UUUUGACGACGAAGAGAGAUCCUUCAACAUCCUUACGACUCCAUUGGCUGAGGUCGAUGUUGAACUCGUAGAAGGUGACAUGAGCGGCCGUGAUGAGGAUCUCCUCAAUGAAUGGAUCGAUUCGCUGAAGAACUGUCAGGUUUAGGAGUUUUGUGCUCUGCUGGUCCAGAUUAGGCAUCAAUUUUCCGUUCUGCGACAUUUUUCAUAGUCCUUUGGGCUCUGCCCCGAGCACAAGCCCCAUGGUUUUUCUGUGAGCUCUCUCUUUUGUAAAUAAAGUGUUUGAUGAGAUAGCCGAGAGAGAGUGAAAGAGUUGAACAGCCAAACAAGGUGAGGUGAACAGUUUCGGACUGAGACUCGAGAUUGGUCUUGCUUUAACUCUUUUAAACAUUUGGAAAUAGCAUUUAUUUCUUUCAAUUUCUCUACUGUUUUUUUCCUUUAUGUCAUUUAGACCCCAAAAUAGAUUUAUUANNNNNNNNNNNNNNNNNNNNNNNNNNNNNNNNNNNNNNNNNNNNNNNNNNNNNNNNNNNNNNNNNNNNNNNNNNNNNNNNNNNNNNNNNNNNNNNNNNNNNNNNNNNNNNNNNNNNNNNNNNNNNNNNNNNNNNNNNNNNNNNNNNNNNNNNNNNNNNNNNNNNNNNNNNNNNAUUUUAACAGCCUUUUAUACUAAACCCUAAAAAUACAUGAAUUUAUCAAAAUAAGUAAAUUAAUUUAAAUUGGUAUGGCAUAAUAGAAGUUUUACCUGCCGAAACAAAUUAAAAAAAUAUUACACUUAAAUCAAAUAUUGACAAAAAUAGAUAACAAUCUAAUGAGAAUCUUAACUAGACAUUUUUACUUCUAUCCAAUUUAACUGGAACGAGAAUUAAGUCCUUUCAAUAGUUAAGACUCAUAACUCAUACAUGCUAGUUUGAGAGUGUGGGGUGUGACAAUGGGUCAAAAGACCAUUGACAAGUACAAAAGAGUGAUUGCAAUUAAUUCAAACCGCUACACACGCUAUAUUGAGGGCCCAUUUUUGUUUAUUUCGUUGAAAAGUAGUUUUCACAAUUAAUUCAAACCGCUACACACGCUAUUGCGUCUUUUAAAAAAAGAAAAAUGGAGUAGUUUUCCAAAAUUUAAUUCAGAGAAGAAGAUUUACUAAUAAUGAUUAGAAAUCUUAAUAUUUGAAUCUUAAUAUUAUGUAUCACUCAUUUAUUAAAUAAUAGAUUUCAUAGUUUGUAAAUUUACUUAACCACUUGAUAAAUGUUAUAUUUGUUGGGACUAAAUUGGGACUUAAUGUUGGAAUAUCUAGUAUUGCAUAAAAAAAAAAUAAAAACUUAACAAUUUAUCUUCGCAUGACUAAUUGUUUUUACAUCACAACUAACCUUAGUUAUUUUUUAAAGUUAUAGUAUUAUUAAAUUGCCCUAACUGGUUAUCAAAAGAUGAAAGCAUGUUAAAAUAAGAAAUUACUAAGAAACAUGUGCUUAAACAGAGGUUAAGGCUACGAAAAUUAAGAAGAAACAACUUACAAUCAAAGGUUAAGAUUAUGAACAAAUUAAGGAAGGUAUUGAGCAGAUAAAGGGACGGAAUCAUUGUCUGAAUUGCCGGUGACAAGAAUGCUUGUGUUGUGAAAAGAAAUUUGAUGGUUUGUAAAUGGGUUGAAUUUUUUAUUCGCUCGCUCCAACUGACUUACUAAUGCCAAAAUUUAUUACUUUGCACAGUAGUGUUUAGGAUCCUCAAGAUCAACUCUUAAUUUGGUCCCAAUUAGUGCAGAAAUCAUCUAUUGAGCAAUAGAAUAAGAAUUUUUUCUAGUCAUGAAAUUCAAUAUAUAAUAUAUCCUUGACACACAUCGAUUAUAACUUAACUGUUAGAAUUCAUAACAUUACUCUCUCUCAAGGGGAGUUCUCUUAACAUAUUAUGUUAGGUUGCCUACAUUCAAAAUAUGUUAGACUGCUCUUUGAAAGCAAUAUUCCCUUUUCCGUAACUUUGAAUUGAUCCAAUAGCUCUUGAAAAGCACAUAAUAAUCAUUAUAAAUUUAAUCAAAGACUAAGCAGGUCUUCUUUGCAUUUGAUCACUGGCAUUUCAGUUAAGUAUGUCAUUUACUUAAAUUUUUCUUGCUUUCAAUUUUCACUGUUGUUUUUUUUUAAUAAAAUAAUUUGUUUAACUAGUCACAGAAAUAAGAGAGAAAAUGGGCCAUUUCUUGACUCAAAGUCAAUUAUAAUUAUCAAAACUUGAGCGGACAUUGCAUGCCUAAAUUCCACACACCCUAAAACGGUUUGAUUGCUUUCACGCGUUCAUGAUUUUCCAUGAAAGAGAGUGCCUCUCGUCUCUUUCCGGACAGUGACGACAAUUAUGUUAACGUGACAAAUACAUAACGUUAUUACAUACAAGAAUAAGUUUUUGGAGCCGAGACUUGAGGGAGGUUCUAUCUAAUUCUAAAGAUUGUAAACCAAAUCAUUAUCCCCAAUUUUUUCAGUUAAAUAAAAUAAAAUUUAUGCUUAAGUAUAAAUAAACAUCCAUAGUGGAUAAAUAUUUGAUUAUCGAUUUUUUUAAUGUAAAAUUGCUGGGUUUGUUGCUUUAAAAUUUUCAAUAAUAAUUUCACUUAUUUAGUAAUUAGAGAGAGAGAGAGGAUUGAGGGCCAAUGUUUCGCGAUUUGGGGGUCAAUUCAAAGUUCAACUAAGGUGUAAAACAUGAUUUCCCUUUCAUGAACUUCGAAGAAAGAAAGAAGACUCUUCACCUUCUUCAUGACAACGAAUGAUGUUGAUAUGACAAAUACAAUCGCUAUUACAGGGAACAGCAUAAGACCGAAAUUUGAUAAAGGGUUUGUUAAAUUAACAUGUUAUUUUUCUUGUUAACUAUGAAUUGGAAGAAAAAAUAAAAAUAAAAUAAAAUUGUAAUCAGUGUGAUGUGUGGAAUAUAUUGAAAUAAAUAAAAUAGAGAAGAGAAAUUCGUUGAUCAAUAUUCAAGAACUCAUCCAAAGUGACUGUUAAAGUCUAGAGGUUCCGUAUGAUUAGCAUUUAUUUUUUUAAUUUUUUGCUUAACAUCAUAUGUAGUCACUGGUCGUGUGAUCUAGGACAGGUUUAGAAAUCUUUUUUUUUUUAACUUCCGUAUUCUUAUUAUUUAAUUAGUUAUAGGUUUUUUAGUAUUUGAGUAGUGAUCACAGGUCUCCUAAUCUAAAAAUAAUGUUUUACGAGUACAAAUAAAAACUAGGAUUUUAACAGCCUUUAUACUGAACCCUAAAAAAUACAUGAAUUUAUCAAAAAUAAAUAAAUUUGAAUUGGUAUGCCAUAAUAAAAAUUUUACUUGCCAAAACAAAUUAAAAAAAAUAUGACGCUUAAAUCAAAUAUCGACAAAAAUAGAUAAAAAUCCAACAAGAAUCUAAAAAUAAGAAAGAUAUCUUCAAAAUAGAAGCGUCCAAGAGAAAUUUGGCGAAGAUUUGCUAAUCCACAUUGAAAAUGUCACUUUUCCUUGAGAACUUCAUAAUGAUAUAUUAUGAGCCUAAGACAAAUACCAAUUACUCAAGUAUGGCCCUAUGAAGACAUCCUAUUCAUUCUCCCUAGACCAGGACGUGUCGCACAUGUUUGCAUUCAAAUUUAGGUGAAAAUCUACUCUCAUCAAGGGAUAUAUAGGUACCUGUGAAGUCUCAAACCCGAGAUAAUGUGAAAGCAAAUCGGGAGUUUGAUUAAAAUUCAGCCAAUAUUAGUGUGUACGGAUGGUAGGGAUGGAAAAAAACUCGACCGUCUUAGGUAUGGUAUUACCCAGAUCUGGCCUAAGCAUGUUUUUUUUGAAACACUCAGAAUUUUUUAAUCAAAACUUAAAAAACCUAGAAUUUAUAUUUUAUAAUAUUAUAUAUAUUUAUUUUAUUUUAUAAUUUUAAUAUUUUCAAAUUUUAUUUUAAUGAAUUGGAAUUAAAAAUAUGAGUUUUAAAUGUUUAAAAUUUUAAAAAUAGAUAAUAAGUGGACCAAAUGAACAAAAUAAUAGAUAUUUUAUAAUAUUCUUCAUAAAAAUCAAGUUUUGAGCUAGCCCAUAAGCUUGUCUAGUGAAGUCUGGGUACCCGCGUUGCCCAAGGUUCCGUCAGAAUCCAGGCUGUGCAGAUAUUUAUGGACGAGAGGAAAUAUUUUCAAGUUGACUGAAUUAAAUAAAAAUAUAUUACAAUCAUAUUAUAUAUUAACAGUAAAAAUAAAAAGAAAUGAAAGAAAAACGCAUGCAAGACUUAGACAAAGUCAAUUAAAAGCUGGGAGUAUCAUCAGUUCAAUUGGUUUUAAAUAGCGUAGAGCCAUCCUCUCGUUGUGUUGCAGAAGAGAGACAGAAGAGUGUGUGUAGGCGAUUAUAAUUAAGCAGAUAUAAAUUGUGGGUUCAAAAAGAGUGUGGGUGAGUGAGUUAAUUUUCAUAUUAUUAGUAGUAAAAGGGUGGUGGAGUGAGGGAUGUUUGGAGCAAGAGAGGUCUGCUCUCCUCCAACUCAGACAUUUCUUCAAUGAUGAUCACCGUCUUCAAAACUGGGUAGACGAUGAGUAUUAUUCAGAUUGUUGUCAGUGGGAACGGGUUGAGUGCAACGACACCACUGGCAGAGUGAUUGAAUUAGAUCUAGCAGUAACUCGGAAUUGGGAAUCAGCAGAGUGGUAUAUGAAUGCUCUCUGUUUAUCCUUUUGAACAAUUAGAGUCUCUUGAUCUAAUAGGGAACAAUAUAGCCGGUUGUGUUGAAAAUGAAGGUCCGUAAUUUACUCUAUUUUAAUUCUUCCUCAUAAUUUUUUUCCAUUUAUCUGAUCCCUUUUGGUUUUUAUUUAAUUUGUAGUGAUACAAUAAAAUUACUUUUUAUUUUUUGGCAGGUCUAGAUAGGUUAUCAAGGUUGAACAACUUGAAGUUUCUUUAUUUAGACCUUAACCACUUCAACAACAGCAUCUUUUCAUCUCUAGGUGGUCUUUCAUCACUCAGAAAACUUAUCAUUGGCUGCUAAUCGAUUGAAUGGAAGUGUUGAUAUUAAAGGUAAGUAAGCUUCAUCCUUCUCCCCUGUCCCAUCUUUUGUGGAUCUUAUUUCACUGAGCAGCUGGAAGUAUUGAUACGAGAUCUAGCUAGACUCUUGCGAGUUUAGGCUUCACGGCUUUGAAUAGUAAUAAAAUAAGUUGAAUAAAUUAUCAAUAUAUGCAAUUUUCAAUGCUUCUCAAUAAUCAGACACAAUUCAAUCUAAUUAUUUCGUAUGUCCUGUCUUCAAAAGUAAAGAAUUGUACACUAAUUGGAAAUCGACAUCGUAGCUUUUUAUUUUCUAUAAUGCUAUUUCUUCGUUAACAAGUUUAUAUCCUAAGAGGGAUUGGAUUGAAAAAAAAAAAAGAAGUUUUGAUGUUCAAUGUCAGCCAUGAUAACCUGCAUCUUAUUUGUCUGCCGACAUCCAAAUUUGUGCACUGAAUUUAGUAUUUUGGUUAUUGUGAAGGGAUCAGAUAUUGGCUUCCAUAGACCAAACUUGUAUUUACUUAAUUAAUUAAUUAACGACAUUUAGUAUUAACAAUUAAAAUUUCAUGUUUAAUUCUAUUUAAUUUUUUUAAGAAAAAAGAAAAUAGAUAUAGCAGCAGGUAAAGCUGAAAUAAAUUUUAAUUCCUUACAAAUUUAAAUUCAUGGUUGUCAGCUAAAUAUACCUGCUUAAAGCCACUCUUUCGCUGAGAUUUAACCAAAAAAAAAAGAGAAAAUAAUUUAUUUAAUUAAACUCUGUUUUAAGUGUUGGAAUAAAUACAGGACUGGAAUCCUUGAGUAACUUGGAGAUGCUGGACAUGAGGGACAAUGCAAUCGACAAUCUAGUGGUUCCUAAAGGUAUACAAAAUGACACUAACCCAAAAUAAUUUAAUCCGAAAUUGUAUCCCAAAUAGAUUACAGAGGUUUGAGGAAGUUGGAUACCCUUUAUUUGGGGGGGAAGGGAAAUUGCAGUGAUAUAUGGAAGCAAGGUGUUGCAAUCAAUAAAGAAAUUCGUUGGUCAAUAUUCAAGGACUCAUCCAAAGUAAUCGUUAAAGUCUAGAGGUCUGCUCUCCACCAACUCAAACAUUUCUUCAAUAUGAUCAACGUCUUCAAAACUAGGUAGACGCGGGAGAUGAUGAGAAAUAAUUUAGAUUGUUGUCAGUGGGAAGGGAUUGAGUGCAACAAAACCACAGGCAGAGUGAUUAAAUUAGAUCUAGCACAAACUCGAAAAUGGGAAUCAGCGAAGUGGUAUAUGAAUGCCUCUCUGUUUACUCCCUUUCAACAAUUAGAGUCUCUUGAUCUAAUUGGGAACAAUAUAGCUGAUUGUGUUAAAAACGACGGUCAUUAAUUUACUCUAUUUUAAUUCUUCCUCCUCGUAAUUUCUUACAUCUAUCUGAUCCCUUUCGGCUUUUGUUUAAUUUGUACGUGAUACAAUAAAAUUAUUUUUUUUCAGGUCUGGAGAGGUUAUCAAGGUUGAACAACUUGAAGUUUCUUGAUUUAGGCUUUAACCACUUCAACAACAGCAUCUUUUCAUCUCUAGGUGGUCUUUCAUCACUCAGACACUUAUCAUUGGCUGAUAAUAGAUUGAAUGGAAGUAUUGAUGUUAAAGAUAAGCAAGCUUCAUCCUUCUCUCGUGUCCCAUCUUUGUGGAUCUUAUUUCAUCGACCAGCUGGAAGUAUUGAUACGAGAUCUAGCUAGACUCUUGCUAGUUUAAGCUUCAAGGCUUUGAAUAUUAUAAAAAUAAGUUUAAGGAAUUAUCAAUAUAUGCAAUUUUCUAUGCUUCUCAUAAUCAGACACAAUUCAAUCUAAUUAUUUCGUAUGUCAUGUCUUCAAAAGUAAAGAAUUGUACACUAAACGGAAAUCGACAUUGUAGCUUUUUAAUUUUUCUAAUGCUCUUUCUUUGUUAACGAGUUUAUAUCCUGAGAGUGGAUUGGAUUAAAAAAAAAAAAAAAAGUUUUGAUGUUCAAGGUAAGCCAUAAUAACAUGCAUCUUAUUUAUCUGCCUAUAUCUAAAUUUGUGCACUGAAUUUAGUAUUUUGGUUAGUGUAAAGGGAUCAGAUAUUGGCUUCCAUAAACCAACUUGUAUUUACUUAAUUAAUUAAUUAACAACCAUUUAGUAUUUAACAAAUUAAAAUUUCGUGUUUAAUUUGUCUUAUUUUUUAUUUUUUGAAGCAAGAAUAAGGUAUAGCAGUAGGUAAAGUUGAAAUACAUAUUUAUUCCUUACAAAUUUAAAUUCGUUUUCAGCCAAAUAUACCUACUUAAAACCACUCAAUCAGGCCAUUGGCAACAGUUUUUUUAGGUUUUUCUAGUUAACCGUGUACUUUUUUGCUUAUUAAUAAAAUUCUUUUGUGCUGAGAUUUAAAAUAAAGAAGGAGAAAAUAAGUUAUUUAAUUAACCCUGUUUUUAAGUGUUGGCAUAAAUACAGGACUGGAUUCCUUGAGUAACUUGGAGGAGCUGGACAUGACAGGCAAUGCAAUCGAUAAUCUUGUGGUUCCUAAAGGUAUACAAAAUGUUCAAAUAUUAAUAAUUUGGAGGACAGUUUAAUUGAUUUGAUUAGGGAAUGCCCAAUGACACUUACCCAAAAUAAUUUAAUCUGAAAUUGUAUCCAAAAACAGAUUUCAGAGGUUUGAGGAAGUUGAAUACCCUUCGUAUAGGGGGAACCAGAAUUCAAAUGAUAGAUGGAAGCAAGGUGUUGCAAUCAAUAGGAUCACUACCGUCCCUCAAAACACUUGACCUUUGGUAUACUAAUUUUACGGGAACAGUAGUUAAUCAAGGUAAGUAAAUCUUUUAUGUCGAAAAUAAUUGAAUUAAUAUAUAUAGCUAAAAUUUAUUGUUUCUACUUCUUUCUAAAUAGAAUUGCACAAUUUCACCAACUUGGAAGAAUUGAUAUUGCUCGAGUCUGAUCUCCAUGUAAGCCAGCUUCUACAAAGCAUCGCAUCAUUCACUUCGUUAAAGUAUUUGUCAAUGGGAGGUUGUACUUAAUGAAGCAAUUAUGGGUAUCCAAAAGAUUUUUUCUUAAUUCGAUAAUAAAUUAUGGGUAUCUGAAGCUUUUAUGAUAUUAAUUCGAUAAUAAUUCUUUCUUUUCAAGUUAAUUUUUUCCCCUAAAAUAAGAUUUUUUUUCUUUUAAAUUUCAUAUAUUUUCAUUGUCCAAUAGUUCUAGCUUCUCUUAAUUGCAGGAUUCUUGAUUAAGGUUAAUGAAAUUUUAGUUCUGUUAUGUUAAGAAUAUUUCGAUCGCUUAGAAGAGUAAAGAAAAAUAAGUAAAUUAACCAAAAAAAAAAGAGAAAAGGACCGGAUUAUCCUUAUUCCCUUGCAUUAUGUGAUCAAUAUCAAAAUUAUAACCAUUUCUUGUUUUAUUGCUUGUAGAUUUUCUUAAAUUCAAGAAUUUGGAACAUCUGGACAUGGGUGGGGCGCAAGUUGACGUCAACACCAGUUUUCUUCAAAUUGUCGGCGAAUCGAUGCCUUCUCUUAAGUUUUUAUCACUGACAGGUUCAAGUCUUAAUAAAAACGCCAUUCUUGAUCAAGGUUAGUUAAUGAUUCUCUUUCUCCCUCUCUCGCAUCUUAACUAAAUUUAAUUGAGAAUAUCUAUAAUGCUAGCUAUUUAUAAACUUAAUGAAAGAUGAUAAGGAGCUACUAUAAUGACAAAAACAACUGUAAAAUAGUGCGCUGUUGUAGUGUUAAUUGAAAAAUAAUGCUAAUUUUAUAGUCAUUUUGUUGCCAUUACGUCAGAUUCCAUUGUUCAAUUAUUUAAGUUUUAUGCAAAUAUAUUUUUCAGGACUUUGUCGGUUAGUGCAUCUACAAGAGUUAUACAUCGGCGGUAAUGAUUUGAGAGGUAGCUUGCCAUGGUGCUUGGCAAACAUGACAUCCCUCCAAGUGUUAGAUGCCUCUUUUAAUCAACUUACUGGAAACAUCUCCCCAGGCCUUUGUGAGUUGGUGCUUCUGAGAGAGUUAUACAUUGAUUACAAUUAUUUAAGAGGUAGCUUGCCUUUGUGCUUGGCAAAUUUGACUUCCCUUCGAGUAUUAGAUGUCUCUUACAAUCAACUUACUGAAAACAUCUCAUCUUCCCUCAUGCAUCUAAUAUCUAUGGAAAAGCUCAUACUUUCAAAUAAUCACUUCUUCCAAAUCCCUAUUUCACUUGAACCACUUUUCAAUCUCACAAAACUCAAGACUUUCGAUGGUGAAAUAUACGCAGAAACUGAGUCACAUUAUAAUUCUUUGACCCCAAAAAUUCCAAUUGACUUCUAUCUCAUUGUCUGGCUACGGAGAUGGUGGCACAUUUCCCAAAUUCUUGUACCAUCAGCAUGACUUGAAGAAUGCUGAUCUCUCACACCUUAACUUGAGUGGAAAUUUUCCAAAUUGGUUGGUAGAAAACAAUACGAACUUAGAGACGCUUCUUCUUGCCAAUAACUCUCUUUUUGGAUCAUUUCGGAUGCCAAUUCAUUCCCACCAGAAAUUAGCAACAUUGGAUGUCUCCAACAAUUUCUUUCAAGGCCAUAUCCCAGUAGAAAUCGGAACAUAUCUGCCAGGCUUAAUGCAUUUAAACUUAUCUAGAAAUGCUUUCAACGGUAGCAUUCCCUCUUCAUUUGCUGAUACGAAAAUGUUGAAAAGCUUGGACAUAUCCUACAAUCAGUUGACUGGUGAAAUCCCUGAGCGCAUGGCCAUGGGUUGCUUCUCAUUGGAAAUUCUUGCAUUGUCAAACAACAGUUUGCAAGGUCAUAUAUUCUCUAAAAAAUUUAACUUGACAAAUUUGAUGAUGUUGCAGUUGGAUGGUAAUAAAUUCAUUGGAGAGAUCCCAGAAAGCUUAUCUAAGUGCUAUUUGUUGGGAGGAUUGUAUCUGAGUGAUAAUCAUCUCUCUGGUGAGAUUCCAAGAUGGUUGGGUAAUUUGUCAGGUUUAGAAGAUAUUAUAAUGCCCAAUAACAAUCUUGAAGGACCAAUUCCAAUCGAGUUUUGUCAGCUUGAUUAUCUGAAGAUUUUAGACCUUUCAAACAAUAGUAUUUUUGGAACUUUACCAUCUUGUUUUAGUCCAGCAUCUAUCGAACAAGUUCAUUUGUCGAAAAACAAGAUAGAAGGACGGCUGGAGAGUAUAAUCCAUGACAGCCCUCAUUUGGUGACAUUCGAUCUUAGUUAUAACAGCUUACACGGAAGUAUUCCAAAUCGGAUUGACAGACUACCUCAGUUAAACUACCUUCUUUUAGCUCAUAAUUAUAUUAAAGGCGAAAUACCAGUUCAAUUAUGCCAGUUGAAGGAAGUGCGGUUGAUUGAUCUUUCUCAUAAUAAUCUAUCUGGUCAUAUUCCUCCUUGCUUGGUUAACACUUCACUCAGUGAAGGUCAUCAUGAGGCAGUAGCUCCAACUUCUAGUUCGUGUGGUCGAGCGUCUGGCUAUGCAAGUCCAUGUGCGAAAAAUACAAGUGGACUUCCGAUGGGAAAGGAAGAAACUGUACAGUUCACAACAAAGAAUAUGUCCUACUAUUAUCAAGGAAGAAUUUUGACGAGUAUGUCUGGGAUUGAUCUUUCUUGUAACAAACUGACAGGUGAGAUUCCUACUCAAAUUGGAUAUCUUACAAGGAUUCGUGCGCUAAAUCUAUCUCAUAACAAUUUGACGGGCACAAUCCCGACAACAUUUUCAAACCUGAAGCAAAUCGAAAGCUUGGACCUCUCCUACAACCUACUGCAUGGGAAAAUCCCUUCUCAGCUCACUGUGCUAAAUACAUUGGCGGUCUUCACAGUAGCAUACAAUAACUUAUCAGGAAAAAUUCCAGAUAGAGUUGCACAAUUUUCAACUUUUGAGGAAGAUAGCUAUGAGGGGAAUCCUUUUCUUUGUGGAUGGCCACUGUCUAAAAGUUGCAAUGAUAGUGGAUUAUCAGCAGUGACACGAGAAGCUUACACUGAUAAUGAAGAAGGUGAUAGUUUAAUUGACAUGGACAGUUUCCUAAUCACUUUUACAGUAUCUUAUGGAAUUGUGAUAUUAGGAAUUAUUGGAGUUUUGUACAUAAACCCCUAUUGGCGACGAAGAUGGUUUUACCUUGUUGAAGUAUGUAUGAUCUCUUGCUACUAUUUUGUAGUAGAUAAUCUUAUUCCUAGAAGAUUCUAUGGUGGAUGGAUGUAAUUUCAUUUACUUUACAACUUAUAUGUAAUUUUUAAAGAAUUUUCUUUUGCAUGCAUGGAAUAGCAACUCAAUAAAAGUAUUUGAUGCAAAUUGUCCUAGAACAACUUAGUAAUUUCAUUGCUACUAUUUGGUUGUAUAUAUACAGUUAAUGAAAUUUUUAAUCAUUCGCAGUAGGAAUUUCUUUAGAUGGCGGCCAAAACUAACAGAUUUGGGGCUCUACUUCUACACAUCAUAACAGGCAAAAGGUCUCUCUUUUACACGAUCUGAAUGAAGAUUAACUUACGCCCUCUAGGCUCUGGAGUGUGUGUAAGUUCUCUAUUAAACUUGACGGUUGAGAUUUCAGGUCCAGAUGAAAGUGAAAUGCAGGCGACGAGACUACACUUUAAGUAAACUGGGACAAACUUAAAAUAAAAAAAAUUGUAGUCCAGGGUGAGAGUGAUGGGUAGCUCAACUUAUGGAGGAUAACUAGGACUUGGAAUAACUAUCAGAUUUGCAACUCUUGUUAUAUGCUAGUGGGGAUUUAGGUAGCAAUUUUUUUUUUUUUCCUUUUUGCCCUCUUCCUCACAAUAAAAACACGUAACACACCAAGCCGUGCCCAAAAUAAUCCUAUUUUAUUCAUGUCAUGAAUCCAAAAACUAUCCCAGCUCACUUUGUUUAACCAGCAUAACUAAAUUGUGGGUAUAAAUGAACACACUUUCGAAGCCUGUAACUUAUAAUAAGCUCAAACCCAAAAAUGACAUUUAAAUCCUGCAAGUGUUUUUCAUCAUCCCUAACAAAAAGAAACAAGAAUAAUUAUAUACCAAUAAUUUUUCCAUAAAAAAUACUGAUUUGAGUUGAAACACUAUACAAACUGGGUUUUAUACACUUCCAGAAAGCUACACGGUAGACAAAAUCUAGCAGCUACAUAUUGGUAUCACUUUCAGCUGGUCAUGAAUGGUGUGCAUUCAGCAGUGCUCGAUAGACCAUGUCUAUGAAUUGAUUGUCCUAUUACAUAUAAAAGCUGGUCAGAUAUACAAGGAAAAAAAUAAUAAUUGAAAAUGCAUCACAAAAAAUAAGUGUUUCGCAUUAGUGUUUGCACUCUAAGCAUGGCAAAGUGGUGCGGGGUUCAUGAUUUUGAAGACUGUGAUAAGUGAAAAAUAGUUCAAUCCACUGAUGAACAUAAAUUUAUUUACAUGUCAAUUUAGAUAUCAUCAAAAAGUAAACAGUAAUUCAGAGUCACUUAAAAUAGUUGAUAAAAUGCGUGCCAUGAAUGUAUUUUUGUACAUAAGAAAUCCAAAGAGUAUUUCUGACAAUACAAAUAUGCUAGCUUUAAGUCUGCUGUCAAUAUGCAAUUAAGAAGAUUAUACCAGCUGCAUGAUAAAGUUCCCCUAAUCUUAAUAACAGUAAACAUGAACAUGUCAGAUGCAAUUAUAGCUUUGAGCAUUUGCAUAACCAGAAAUCCUAACCUGAACAAGCACCAGAAGUGUCUCUCGGACUUUCUCCUUGCUGAUAAAUGGUCCGCUGUCUGAAGUAAGAGCAGGAGUAAGAGAUGGUGGAGGGGUUGGUGGUGGAAAAGGUUGAAGCACUGGGGCACCAUAUGGGCGUUGCAGACUCGGGGGAGGAUUAAGUGGCGGAGCUGUUGGUGUAGAUGAAGAGACAAGCUGCAUCAUCCGUGCAUAGGAGGAUGGAGGAGGAACAAAGAAUAAGGAAGGCUUUACAAGAUUAGGGGUAGGUGCUGAUAGAGGUGGAGAUGGUAUUUGCAAAGUUGGCACGAUAGGAGAAGCAACACUGGCGGGAUGAGAAGGUAAAGAAAUAGUUGUAUUGGACUGGUAAGGUUGUGCAGAGAUUGCUGCAUUAGAAUUAUUCCCCACAGUCAAAGCUGUCUGCAAUGAUAAGGACAGAUGUCAUAUAAAAGGACAUCAUAGAAGUUGAACCUCACACAAAAAUGAAGUGAUAACAUAUGAAAAUAGUAUAUGACUUGCUGCAUUUUUGUGGUAAUGUUGCAUACUUAUGUAGAAACAUAUUAUUUCAAAGAAAACAUACACUGAAGAAGUUCACAAAAGCAGGAUCUUCAGGAACAUCAACAGCAUUUGAGGGAGUUGACUCUAGAGGACCAUCCAUAACUGCCAUAGUUGGAACAGCUUCCAGUUCCUCAAACUCACUGCAGUUUAACAUAAAAGGAACUUGAUGACCAAUUUAAGUAAUAAUUAGAUGAUAUAAGAGGUUAGGGAAAAUGAUGAGUGGACCCUUAUGGAAGAUGAUUUCACCUUAGCUAAACACGAAAAUAAAAUGAAAUCAAAGCUGAAUCCUCGAGUGCAAUGCAAAUAAUUUUUUCUCUCUCUUCUCUAACUCCUCUUAUUCGAAAUUGCUCAUCAUUGUGCAGUUCCUCGAGAUUUUGCUAGAGUAGAGAAAGCUAUUCUCCCGUUAAGUGCAGAGGAAAAAGAAGGGCAAGGGCCUGGUAUGAUGCUAUUCUAUAGGAAGUGAGAAGGUGAAGGGCUAAAAUAUUUUGCAAUUUGGAGGUGGUGUUUGUUAGUGUGUGUACUUCUGAAUUUAUUACCUCUUUAGGAUCCAUAGAAAUUGCCUCUUGUUCAGCAUGCACUGUGCCUACGAGUAAGGCGAGCUUGCAUGGUAUCUAUUGUCUAUUUACUUGGAUAUUCAAACAGGACUACCAGCAACCAAACACAAAUCCCCAAACAAAACACUCUUUCAAGUGCAAGGAAAGAGUAACUUGGGCAUAUUUAUGGUUCAAGCACUACAAUAACUAAGAAUGUGAUGACUGUCCACAAACACUAUAUCAGUGCCUUUUGAACUACAUCACAUGCUUGAAGACUUUUUUUUUAGUCAUACAUAAAUUAGCUAUAAAAUCAAGACCCUUAUACAACUAAAAAGAAAGAAAAAUUGUUUGCUACUACAUAUCAAAACUGGUAAUAGCAAUGUAAGAUGGCAGACUUCUUACUUAAACAGAUGAGAGGCUACAAAUAAAAAAUUUGUGCAAAUAAAAUAUAUGAUAAAGAGCAUAAUACUUUCUUGGGGGCUAAAAAUAAUAUACAACUUGUGAAAUAUAAAUUGAGCUACCAUUACCUUUUAGAUGUGGCAACUUUCGACUUUUGAGGCACCUUGGAAUAUGCAUUCAGAAUCCUGCAUUUGGAAGCCAAAUAAAUAAUGUUAAUAACAAUUUUACAAUAGAAAAAUUAAAAAUUGAUAAAUGGCAGUUGUAAUUUAUGUAUGGUAAAGAUAGCAUCACAUCCAGGUUCCUCCCAUAAACAUGCUUGUAACAAGAAUUAGUUUGCCUCAACUGCUAGCAACUAUACAAUAGUAAAAAUCACUCUUAUGAACUCAACAAUACUAGGCACCAAUAAGAGUAUGACACAGCCAUUCUAAAUGGAAGAGAAUACAACUGUUUUACAACUAUGUUGCAUCAGGAGAUAUGUUAGGAGGAUUAAUCCAGAUACCUUCCAACCCAAAUUAGGAAAACUCGAGUCAGAAACCAGGAGCUGCAACCAAACCUUACAAUCUUGAAGGAAGAAGGAGACUUGGGGCAUUUUUCCAGAUAGGUGACUUACAAGAUCUCCUGCCAAGAAAAUAUCUAUUGCUUUGAACCUCCAUUGAAAUUUCUUUUCCCUUUUUCUUGUUUUGACUUGGAACUUUCCAGCAUCAUCUAUUUGAUCUUUUUUAAAGCUAAAAUAGCAAUCUAUGCGUUGUCAACAUCUUAUCCCCCGCCCCCCCGGGGGGGCCACCAAAAAAAAAAAAAAAACCAAUGAGUUGUCAAUAAAUAGCGCCUACUCAACUUAUGUUCUCCAAUGAUGACAAUGUGCAAAUUGACCUAGCAGCCACAUUUUUCCCCCCUUUCAACCACCAUUAGGCAACUUUUCUAACCUUUCUUCAUUGCCCACGUCUACAGAACUAUCAUAUAAAGACUACAUUAUUAUUGGGACAGAGAAAAAAAUACAGACUAUAUUAUUAUUAUAUCUCAUUUUAUUAAUUAACUAGUGCAAGACUUAUUUAGUGUCAAAUCAAGAACUAAUUAGAAAAGACAACUCAUGAUAAUACAGACUUUAAAAAGCAAUAGCUAGCAACACCCCAUAUACUCCUAUUUUAGCCUUCAAUAUCCUGGUAAAAACACAAUUAAGUCUAGCAAAAGAACAUUCACAAGUAAAUUCAACAUUAAUUAAGAUUAAGUAUCUACUGCACCUUCAAUCAAUGACUCGGUGAAUAGCAUGGUCAACCAUCUAGUUCCUGUAGCCCUCCUUGUACCUAUGUUAGUUACAUUUUACAUAUUAAGCCACGAAAAUGAAGGAUCACAGCCUGGUAAAGAAAGCCAUUAAUUAAUAGUUUUUGUUUAAAAAGUUCUCGUUUAGAUCUUUCCUAUUCAAUGAAUCAAUGUAAUCCAAGGAGAACUCUUCCAUUUCAAGCAGUGUUAGAAGAUAAUUGGAAAGCCUAAAGAUAAUAUACAAGGACCAAGAUAUCGAUUAGGUCAAAUAGUGAAUGUCAAAUAUAAAAAAUAAAUAAAAGAAGUUGUACAUGAUCAUUUACUAUCAAGUUCUGUAAAACUGAAAAUACCAUUAUCCCUGUAGAGAUUCUCAAACAACUCUUUAGCAAAUUAUAAAAUAGUUAAAAAAAGAUCGAAAGUUUAAAAAAAAAAAAAUGUACAACAGCCAUAUCAGGAGAAGUUUUUCUUCUCAAUCUCAAUAUUUUCUAGCCGUAAAACAAUUGAAAAGCUUAACACCAAGUGAAUUAUUAAGAAUUCAUCAUUUAAAUUCCCAAAUCGUAAAAUGUUGGUGCAACUACGAAAGUGCAAAUGCAAUCACUUUACUUACACAAGAAACAUCAAUAGUGAGAAGCCAACUUUGUAUCAAAUUUGAAGCAGAUAGAUAGAGGUCAAAAAAAUUAUAAAGACACUCAAUUAAAAGCCUUUCAAACAGCUUUUGCAUGCAACAAGAACAAAUCAAAGGCGAUGUGAAUGUAUUCAAAGACUAAUUUACAAUCAUCUACAGGACAUAAAUAUCUUGGAUAACUACUCUCUAUACCUUACUGUCCCACUGAAAAUCAUCAAAUCCCUCCAAACAAAAAUGACAAAAUGGAUAAGAAUUGUGUGGUCAAACAUCAAUAACUUAGCAGCCACAGCAAAAACUUAUGUAGACACGCAAGCCACUCAAAAUAGUCAUAUUGUUUGCUUUCCAAACACAAGCCACUUUGUAAUGAAUAUUCAUAAAUUGCUACUACCAUGUUUGUUAAAACACGUGAAAACCGCCAUCACUAACUAAAUGUAACUGAUGAUCAUCAUCACGUUCAUGGAAUCACAUGUCUGACAGUAUUAAUUAGUGCAAAUGGCAUGCUUCUUAAAACUCCUUAUUUAUCACACGGGCGCCAUUCCAAUCAACCAAUGAUUCUGAUCUAGUCGGCAUAUUCAACCCACGAGCGAGUAAUAGCUCCUAUUGCUUCUUUACAUUUCUCAACGAAAUUCCACAUUCUAACCAUACUUCUGAACUUGUUGCUCCCAUAGACUAAUACAAUAUAAAGAUUUCUUCCCACACCGCCUCAGCCCCCACUCCUAAAAAACCAAUUUAAAUUCUCAUUGACUGUACAACCUAUAGUCCAUACCAAAUUGAAAAAUUUACAAAUAUAGAACCUCAAAGAAUCUUCUUGCAUUCCAUUUUUUACGUCAAGAAAUUUGACUUUUACCACAUGCAAGUCAACAAAUAAAAAAAUCAUGUCUUUGUGAGAUGCACAUUUUCAGACGAAUCUGAAGAGCAAUGAAACCGUAAAAACCGAAUAUGAGAACACCGAGGACUCCAGAUAUCACCUAUAGAAUCUUCGGUCCACACUUGCAUGAUGAAAAUGAUGAAAAAAAAUUGAAGGCUUCGUCACCAACUCCCCAGGUUGUUUUGUUCUCCUAUCUCCUAAAUGUAAAGGAAAGGCAACCCGUUCUUUUUCCAAUCUUAAGGGGCACAGAACGACUCUGGUAUAAAAUAGUCAGUUUCUAUACAAAAAUAACUCCUUUGCACUUGGCACUGCACAUCUCAAAAUAAAAAGCAUGCAAGGAGGAGAAUAUAAUAGCAUUAAACAAGUUUUAUUAACCAAACUUCAAAGAUGCCACACAAGGCAAAAAAGAAAUCUGUACAAGCCAGAUCCCAAGAAUAAUAAUUCCAAUAUACAAUUCAGGAAAACAAUAACUAAAACCAGGUUCAUGAGGCCUCAGCAGAAGCAACAUGUAAUAGCCAUACUCUAUUAUUUGAAACACAUUUCCAAGUUUGGUUAAGAUUCUAAACUAUUCUCUAUGUGUCAAUUAUUAACAUGUAAAACAUAAUAAUAUACACUUAUACUACUACAGUAGUAAAACCAGUAAAACAACAAUACCUGCUGAAAAGAUUUGCUACCUCUUCACAUUCACGAGCAUUGUAGAAUCAAAUCCCAUUUACUUCUUGGGAUGCAUUCCGAUAUAACAAAUACGGAACCUGAACUUCAAACUCAAAAUCUCCCAAAAGAUUUUCCACUAAAUUAUCUGCACAUAUCCAAGAUAUUGAAGCUUAUCAGUGCAAAAACAUAUGCAAAAAGACAUGAAGGUUAGAAGACAUAACUAAAACUUAGCAACAACUGAUAAGCACAACAAGACAUGAAAUAUAACACUAGUUGUAAAUACUCUAAAACUUACCAACCCCCUCUCCUGAUUGUCAUAAAACGGCCAAUAUUUAACCCUAGACAACAAAAUUGCAAAUACUCUAGCCUCUAUAUUAUUGGCAUAUAAAUAUUUUCGGUUAGGUACAUUAUAUUCUUCGUUCUAAAACCUCAAUUAUUAGCUAGUACUGUGAUAAAAUGAUUCAUCACUGAAAUUAAAACUAGUUCACGUACAAAUAAUCAAAACUGAAAUAGAAGCAACGAUAAACCAACCUGUAUUACGUCGAUUCAUCACAACAAACUGAAAUCGAGGCUGUGUGUUCCUGAAAAUUGAAAAAAUAAUAAUUUCACCAACUUCAUAUGUAAUACAAUCUCCAAAACACCGAAUAUCAAAUGAAAAAAUGGAAAGCAUAAGAGAUAAAAGAAUCUAAUUUUAUUGACCUUUUGACGACGAAGAGAGAUCCUUCAACAUCCUUACGACUCCAUUGGCUGAGAUCGAUGUUGAACUCGUAGAAGGUGACAUGAGCGGCCGUGAUGAGGAUCUCCUCAAUGAAUGGAUCGAUUCGCUGAAGAACUGUCAGGCUUAGGAGUUUUGUGCUCUGCUGGUCCAGAUUAGGCAUCAAUUUUCCGUUCUGCGACAUUUUUCAUAGUCCUUUUGGGCUUCUGCCCCGAGCACAAGCCCCAUGGUUUUUCUGUGAGCUCUCUCUCUUUUGUAAAUAAAGUGUUUGAUGAGAUAGCCGAGAGAGAGUGAAGAGUUGAACAGCUAAACAAGGUGAGGUGAACAGUUUCGGACUGAGACUCGAGAUUGAUCUUGCUUUAACGUCUUUUAAACAUUUGGGAAAUAGCAUUUAUUUCUUUCAAUUUCUCUACUGUUUUUUUCCUUUAUGUCAUUUAGACCCCAAAAUUAGAUUUAUUAUAAUCAUAUUGUACCCAUACACUAUUAACCCCUUUUAUUUUUUAUAUUGUCAAUAUUAAUGUAUUAGAAUAAUGUUAGAAAUCUCAAUUAUUAUCUCAAUGUUUCAAUCAUAACUAAUGUGAUAAUUCAUCGGUAACUGCAACAUUAACUUAAUUAUUAAUGUUUAUCAUGAAAUGAUGAGAUUAUUAUUCAAGAAAGAAUUAGUAAACAUCAAUGACUAAAAUAAUGUGACAAUUAUAGCUGAAUAUUAGUACAAUAAUUAGAAUUCCUAAAGUUAGUGAAUGUAUUAUAAUAUAUGUGUGUUACACCACUUUAUGUCUCUCAAAUUCAAUUAAGUAAUUUCAGAAACCUGACCUUUUAUUAUAUUAAUUAGGAAUGCAUACAUGAACGAAAGAUGUGCAAAUUUUGUUCUAUUUUUCACUAUUAUUUACCUUUCAUCUACAUACGUCACUUGAUUUUUUGUGAUUAAUAUGCUUAAAUGGAUCUCUUUGAUAUAAAUAAAAUAAACAAAAAGUCUAAGAGAAAAAAAAAAUGAGGACCGAAAUUAUUACACCUACAACAAAUUUGCCCAGAGAGCAAUAAAUCAAACUUGCUUAGGAAGUACAAUGAUUAGUUAAUAACUAUCAUGUUAAAGCUUCUGUCAAGCAAACACCCAUUGAAUUUUUCGCUCGCUUCAAUGACUUACUUAUGCCCAAUAUAUUACUUUGCACAGUAGUAUUUGGGAUCCUAACAAUCAACUCUUAAUUUGGUCCCAAUAUAUUACUUUAUGAAUGCUUGUGUUGUUUUUUUUAUAUAAAAUAAUUUAUUUAAGUAAUCAUAGAAAUAAGGGAGAAAAGGGGGCAUUUGUUGACUCAAAGUCAAUUACAAAUAUUCCAUGCCUAACUUCCACGCACCCUAAAACGGUUUUAUUUGCUUUCACGCGUUCAUGAAUUUCCAUGAAAGAGAGUGCCUCUCGUCUCUUUCCGGACAGUGCCGACAAUUAUGUUAACGUGACAAAUACAUAACGUUAUUACAUACAAUAAUAAGUUUUUGGACCCGAGACUUGAGGGAGGUUCUAUCUAAUUCUAAAGAUUGUAACCAAAUCAUUAUCCCCAAUUUUUUUCAGUUAAAUAAAAUAAAAUUUAUGCUUACGUAUAAAUAAUACUUUGGACAUUCUUGAUAUUUGUCCUUUUAAGAUAAACACCAACCCAAUUAUCUAUUUGUUUGUCUGUUUUUUUUUUUCAAUAACAGUUUGUUAGCAUAAAUAUUUACCUGUGAAAUCGAGGAGGAGAAAAUGUUAGAAAAAAUAAAAAGAAAAAAAAUUAAGGGAGAUAGAAUCAGAUUUUCUUUUUUGAGCAAAGAACAUACAUAAAAAGAUAUUAAAUCUAUUAAGUCUACUUGUCUAUAACGGUAAAUUGCAUAACGAAUAAUUUAUCAGAACAAAAUAAAUUUUAUUAGAUUAUGAGUGUUCUGAUUAUUUUUUAGAGUACCAAUUGUCCCAUGGCACAACAAAAUGCCAGAAAAUAUAAUGUAAAAUUGCUGGUUUGUUGCUUAAAAUUUUCAAUAAUAAUUUCACCUUUUUAGUAAUUAGAGAGAGAUGGAGAGGAUUGACGGCCAAUGUUUAGCGAUUUGGGGUCAAUUCAAAGUCAACUAACGUGUAAAACACGUGUAAGCAUAGAAAACGCUUAGAUUAUUUGUGUUUCAAGUGCAAGAAAAGUAAGAAAAGAAAAAAUGAUUUCCUUUCAUGAACUUCCAAGAAAGAAAGAAGACCCUUCACCUUCUUCGCGACAACAAAUGAUGUUGAUAUGACAAAUACAAGCGCUAUUACAGGGAACAUCAUAAGACCGAGACUUGAUAAAGGGUUUGUUAAAUUACACGUUAUUUUCUUGUUGACUGAAUUGGAAGAAAAAAAUAAAAUAAAAUAAAAUUGUAAUCAGGGUGAUGUGUGGAAUAUAGUGAAAUAAAUAAAUAGAGAAGAGAAACUCGUUGAUCAAUUAAAAGCUGGGAGUAUCAUCAGUUCAAUUGGUUAUAAAUAGCGUAGAGCCAUCCUCUCGUUGUUGCAGAACUGAAGGAAAGAGAGACAGAAAGAGUGUGUGUAGGUGAUUAUAAUUAAGAAGAUAUAAUGUGUGGUUCAAAAAGAGUGUGGGUGAGUGAGUUAAUUUUCAUAUUAUUAGUAGUAAACGGGUGGUGGAGUGAGGGAUGUUUGGAGCAAGAGAGGUCUGCUCUCCUCCAACUCAGACAUUUCUUCAAUGAUGAUCAACGUCUUCAAAACUGGAUAGACGAUGAGUAUUAUUCAGAUUGUUGUCAGUGGGAACGGGUUGAGUGCAACAACACCACUGGCAGAGUGAUUAAAUUAGAUCUAAGAUAUACUCGGAAUCGGAAAUCAGCAGAGUGGUAUAUGAAUGCCUCUCUGUUUACUCCCUUUCAACAAUUAGAGUCUCUUGAUCUAAUUGGGAACAAUAUAGCCGAUUGUGUUGAUAAUGAAGGUCCUUAAUUUACUCUAUUUUAAUUCUUCCUCAUAAUUUUUUCCAUUUAUCUGAUCCCUUUUGGUUUUUAUUUAAUUUGUAUGUGAUACAAUAAAAUUAUUUUUUAUUUUUUAUUUUUUGGCAGGUCUAGAUAAGUUAUCAAGGUUGAACAACUUGAAGGUUCUUUAUUUAGACCUUAACCACUUCAACAACAGCAUCUUUUCAUCUCUAGGUGGUCUUUCAUCACUCAGAAACUUAUCAUUGGCUGCUAAUCGAUUGAAUGGAAGUGUUGAUAUUAAAGGUAAGUAAGCUUCAUCCCUUCUCCCCUGUCCCAUCUUUUGUGGAUCUUAUUUCACUGAGCAGCUGGAAGUAUUGAUACGAGAUCUAGCUAGACUCUUGCGAGUUUAGGCUUCACGGCUUUGAAUAGUAUAAAAAUAAGUUGAAGAAAUUAUCAAUAUAUGCAAUUUUCAAUGCUUCUCAUAAUCAGACACAAUUCAAUCUAAUUAUUUCGUAUGUCCUGUCUUCAAAAGUAAAGAAUUGAGCUCCGAUUGGAAAUCGACAUCGUAGCUUUUUAUUUUCUGUAAUGCUAUUUCUUCGUUAACAAGUUUAUAUCCUAAGAGGGAUUGGAUUCGAAAAAAGUUUUGACGUUCAAGGUAAGCCAUAAUAACCUGCAUCUUAUUUGUCUGCCUGUAUCUAAAUUUGUGCACUGAAUUUAGUAUUUUGGUUAUUGUUAAGGGAUCAGAUAUUGGCUUCCAUAGACCAACUUGUACUUAGUUAACUAAUUAAUUAACGACAUUUAGUAUUUAACAAAUUAAAAUUUUGUAUUUAAUCUAUUUUAAUUUUUUUAAGAAAAAAGAAAAAGAUAUAGCAACAGGUAAAGCUAAAAUAUACCUGCUUAAAGCCACUCAGUCGAGCCAUUUGAGAGCUGCUUUAAAUUUUUCGGAUUAGCCAUAUUCUUUUCUUAUUAAUAAAAUUCUUUUCGCUGAGAUUUAACAAAAAAAAAGGAGAAAAUAAUUUAUUUAAUUAACUAUGUUUUAAGUGUUGGAAUAAAUACAGGACUGAAAUCCUUGAGUAACUUGGAGGAGCUGGACAUGAGCUUCAAUGCAAUCGACAAUCUUGUGGUUCCUAAAGGUAUACAAAAUGUUCAAAUAUUAAUAAUUUGGAGGACAGUUUAAUUGAUUUGAUAAGGUGAAGAAACGUGUUUUCAUUUCUUAAAUAAAGCAUUAUACAUUGAGAGUUAUUUAUAGAUGCAGAGGCUACAUUUUUUCAAAGAUUACAUAUGUGAAUACGGAAGGAAAUGUGUCAAUCCGUUCGGCGCGGAUCUUGUCUUUGACAAGUGCAGAUUCUGUCUUUGAAAGCUUCAUUCAAUGUCGUUUUAUUUGAUUCUCAACACUCCCCCUCAAGUUGGUGCAUAGAUGUCUUGCAUACCCAACUUGUUUAGGAAUUUUGUAAAUGCCCUGCUUGAAAUGGCCUUCGUUAAAAUAUCUGCAAGUUGAUCUUCUGAUCGAAUUUUCGGCAGUUCUAAGAUUUUUUCAUCUAAUUUCUCCUUGAUGAAAAAUCUAUCUACCUCCACAUGUUUUGUUCGAUCGUGUUGAACUGGGUUAUGAGCAAUAUCUCGUGCAGCUUUGUUGUCACAGUGUAAUUGUAUUGGUUGUUGUGAUGGAUAGCCCAAAUCGUUUAAGAUAAAACUUAUCCAUUGCCCUUCACAUAUCCCAAGGGCCAUGCCUCGAUAUUCUGCUUCAGCGCUCGAACGGGCAACGACAUGUUGUUUCUUGCUUCUCCAUGUGACAAGGUUUCCUCCCACAAAGGUAAAGUAUCUUGAAGUAGAGCGUCUAUCACUAACUGACCCCGCCCAAUCUGCAUCAGUAUAAACUUCUAUGUUGCUGUAAUCUUCAUUUUUGGAAAAUAAGAUUCCUUUUCCUGGAUUUGUCUUCAGGUACCUCAAGAUCCGCAUUACUGCUUUCAUGUGUUGUUCUCUGGGAUUAUGCAUAAACUGGCUUACAACACUCAAUGCAUAAGCAAGAUCUGGCCUUGUGUGGGACAAGUACAUCAAUCUUCCAAUCAGCCUUUGAUAUCUUCCUUUGUCUACUGGAACUUGGUCUGAAGUAAUACAAAACUUCAAUCCUUCUUCUAUUGGGGUGUCAAUAGGCUGACAAGCUGUCAUUCCCGUUUCGUGCAAUAGAUCUAAGGCAUAUUUCCUUUGAGACAGAAAGAUUCCUCCCUUAGAUCGAGAAACCUCAAUUCCAAGAAAGUAUUUUAAGGCACCUAAAUCCUUUAUCUCAAACUCUCUUGACAAGUACUUCUGAAGAGCCUCUGUUUCUUCCUCGUCGUUGCCUGUAACUACCAUAUCAUCCACAUAGACAAUAAGGGCAGUGAUUUUACCUUGUCGUUUUUUUAAUGAAUAAGGUAUGAUCUGAAUUGCUUUGGUUAUACCCAAAACGAACCAUAGCCUUUGUGAAUUUCCCGAACAAUGCUCUUGGGGAUUGCUUCAACCCAUACAAUGAUUUCUUCAAUUUGCAUACUUUCUGACUGAGUCGUUCUAGUCCACUGCAUCCUGGUGGCAGAUCCAUAUAAAUUUCUUCAGACAGGUCUCCAUGGAGGAAAGCAUUCUUUACAUCGAACUGUUGCACUGGCCAAUCCAAGUUGACUGCUAAUGAUAAUAAGAUACGAAUAGUAUUAAUUUUUGCUACCGGUGCAAACGUAUCAAUAUAAUCAAUCUCGUAGGUUUGGGUGUAACCCUUAGUUACGAGUCUUGCUUUGUAUCGUUCAAUAGAGCCAUAUGCUUUGUAUUUUAUAGUGUAGAUCCAUCGACAACCCAUUGGUUUCUUUCCUGAUAGAAGAUCAACUAGUUCCCAUGUUUGAUUUUUCUGAAGAGAUCUCAUUUCAUCAUUCAUAGCCGCUUUCCACUUUGGAUCUUUUAAAGCUUCCUGAACACUGUUAGGAAUAGAUACAGCAGAUAAUUGAUUCACAGAUGACUGAUUUGAUUCUGACAAGCGAUGGUUAGACACAAAAUGACUCAUAGGGUAUUUGACUCUACUAGAGAAGUCAGGCUCAUAUGUGGGUUUAGGGAUACCUCUAUUUUGACGUUGGGGAAGAAUUCUUCUUAUUGGACUUGUGGUAGGAACAUCCUCUGCAGACGAUUGGUUAGGUAUUUCUUCAUGUGACUCAUUCUCGAUUGCAGUUGUGUUUGAGUUAUUGUGCUCCCCAAAUGUGUCUUCACAUAUCUCAGCCUGCGAAUCAUCACCAUUUGCUUUUCCAGUAUUUUGAAGGUUUACUAUCUCAAUGGAAGAUUGACUUUCUUCAGGUGGAAGAUAUGUAAGAGUAUGAAUUUCCUAUUCAUUAUACUCCCCCUGAAAUUCAGACUCUGACAAGUAGUAUAUGAUAUCUUCAUGAAAAACGACAUCCAUGGUGAUGUAUAUUUUUCUUGAUGGUGGAUGAUAGCAUCGAUAUCCCUUUUGAUGUAAGGCAUACCCUACAAACACACAACGUAGUGUUCGAGGAGAUAAUUUGUCUUGUUGUGGCAAAUGAACGAAGGCAACACAGCCAAACACAUGUGGGGGCAGAUUCGGCAUAUUUGGUGACAUAAUUGCAUCAUUCAGAACUUGGAAAGGAGUCUGGAAUCCAAGGGAGCUUGAAGGUGUUCGAUUGAUCAAGUAUGCUGCGGAUGCCAGUGCUUCUCCCCAAUAAGAUAAUGGCAUGUGGGCUUGGAUUAGUGAUGCUCGAACAACUUCUAGUAAAUGUCUAUUUUUUCGUUCAACAACGCCAUUUUGUUGGGGUGUCCCCACACAAGUGGUUUGAUGGACAGAUCCUUGUGAUUUCAGAAACUGUUGAAUUGCUGUGCUCAUAUACUCGCCUCCAUUAUCAGUAUGUAGAACUCGAAUUUGUGUCUGAAAUUGAGUAGUCACCAUCUUAUGAAAUCUUUGAAAUAAAGAGUUUACUUCGUCUUUCGAUUUCAUCAGAAAAAUCCAUGUCAUUCUGCUACAAUCAUCAAUAAAUGUAACAAACCAACGAGCACCUCCAAUUGUAGAAACUUUAGAUGACCCCCAUACAUCAGAAUGUACUACCAUAAAAGGAACUGGAUUUUUAUUUAAGGACAAUGGAAAAGUAGUUCGAUGGCUUUUUGAAAGUUCACAAACAUCACAUUUAAAGUUACAAACAUCAAAUUUCAAAAACAAACUAGGAAAUAAUUUUUUUAAGUAACCAAAUGACACAUGCCCUAAACAUCUAUGCCAUAACCAAAUUUCUGAUUUCCCUUUUUUAUGGAACUAUCUGCGACUAGUGCGGGGCUUAGCUUUCCAGUGUUUGUUGAUGACAUCUCCAAGUAGUACAAGUUGCCUCGUCUAAUACCAUAACCAAUCGUUUGCUUCGUUUGGAUGUCCUUAAACACACAAUGAUCAGGCCAAAAAAUUACAACACAUGAUAAGUAAGUGGUUAAUUGAGACACAAAUAAAAGAUUAUAAUCUAAAGAUGGAACAAUUAACACAGUGUCUAAAUUUAAUUCAUUUGUGAGUCAUAAAGAUCCUUCCCCAAUAACUGAGGUUGUGGUUCCAUUUGCAGUAGAAAUAUGUUUUUGUGAAGAUGGUUUCAAUUGAGAAACUUGUCGAGAAUCAAAAGUCAUAUGAUCAGUUGCCCCAGAAUCAAUUAUCCAUGUACUAUUAAUAACAGGUGUACGAGUUUUAAGGGCCUUACUUAGACUAACAGAGGUUGCGAUUUGCACUGAAGAUUCUUUUCUAAGAUCUGUAGUGGAUGUGGAUUCAGCUACUGCAGUUUUUGAUCCAUGCUUGGUGUUCUUCUUUCGAGUAUCCCACCAGUUAGGAUAUCCAAUGAUUUCAAAACAUUGUUCUUUCGUAUGACCCUUCUUUCUACAAUGAGUGCAAUGGAGUGAUGACUUGUCAACAAACUUCCUUUGAGGCUGCUGUCGUGCUAUCAUAGUAGACGUUUCUGAGUCGACCUUCUUGUUUAGUUUGCUUUGCCGUAUAUCUUCUCUUCGGAUCAGAGAAUAACAUUCUUCUAACUCUGGGAUAAUGUCUUUUCGUAGAAUUUCUCCACGAACUUGGUCAAAUUCUUCAUCUAGCCCAGCAAGAAAAAUGUGCACUCUCAAUCUUUCAACAGACCUUCUGUAUAUUACAACAUCUUCUGGAUCCUUCAUGACCACUUUAUCUCGGUGAUCAAGUUCUCGAAAUAUUUCGACCAAUUCUCCAUAGAAUUUAGAGAGUGGUUGUCCAUUUUGCUUAGUAGAGAAUGCCUUCUGGUUUAGAGUGAAAACUUGUAAUUCAUCGCUUCCAUCAUAGAAGGCUUUUGAUAAUGCAUCCCAGAUUUCGUAGGCUGUAGGAAUUCGUAAAUAUCGCUUCAUGAUCACCAGAGACAUGGAUAUGAGUAACCAUCUUUUUAUUUUUUGGUUCUCACUAUACCAUUUCUCAUAUUCCUUUGAAGAUUCCUCAAAUGGCUUUGUGCUGCUACGAAUAUAUGAGAGUUUUUCUCUUUCUGCAAGAUGCAUCUCCAUUAUUUGAGACCAAACAUCGUAGUUUGUCUCAGUCAGGAUAAUUCCAGCAUUAAAUACUCCAUCAGAUUGAACAGAUUGAAUGACAACAUGACUAGAUUCAGUUGGAGUUUUCUCCAUUUUUUUUGUUUUUCUUUUUUCUCUUUUUUUUUUGUUUUUUUUGUUUUUUUUGUUUUUUUUGUUUGUUUUCUUUUUUUUGUUUUUUUUCCGUCUAGAUUGAAAGAAAAAAAAAAUAACCUUUUUAGGUAACAAAACGACAGGUCGUUUGGCCACUGCUUGCCAAACUGACAUGUCGGUUAUGGUGGAAUAUAAACGACAUGUCGUUUUAAUCCUGUUGCACUUCUGGAGACUAAGCGUCACGUCGUUUUACCUCUAAUUUAAAAUCGACAUGUCGGUUUUAAUAUAACGAAAAAAGACACGUCGUUUUUUGACUGCUGCACUUCUGAAAUAAAAACGACAUGUCGGCUGACGUCUUCUUCAACCUCUGGAGCAUGUGAGAGCGCGUGAAUGAUGACAGAGGCGCGUGGUUGACUGGCCGUGGCUUCGGGUGGCGGGUGGGAGCGCGUGGGAAUGUGUUUAAAUGCGAAAUUUUUACAGUUUCUUCACUGAAAACUGAGAAAUUUGAUGGUGUUCUUGGGUUUUGAGGAACACACUCUCAGAAAAUUGCUGGGAUUGUUGAUAAAUUUGUAAACUCAAGUUUUUUACGUAUGGGUGGCUUGUUUCUUGAUCGGCAUGGAUAUCUGUAAUGGUAGGAAUGGGUUUAAGAAAGAAAAUGGUGGGAAAAAUGGUUGUGGGAGGAAUUUGGUUUCCUCUAUUUUUGUUACAAACAGAGCAGCGGAACUUGAAGAAACUUGAGCGUAUUCAUGGCUCUGAUACCAUGAAGAAACGUGUUUUCAUUUCUUAAAUAAAGCAUUAUACAUUGAGAGUUAUUUAUAGAUGCAGAGGCUACAUUUGUUCAAAGAUUACAUAUGUGAAUACGGAAGGAAAUGUGUCAAUCCGUUCGGCGCGGAUCUUGUAUUUGACAAGUGCAGAUUCUGUCUUUGAAAGCUUCAUUCAAUGCCGUUUUAUUUGAUUCUCAACAGGAAUGCCCAAUGACACUUACCCAAAAUAAUUUAAUCCGAAAUUGUAUCCCAAAUAGAUUACAGAGGUUUGAGGAAGUUGGAUACCCUUUAUUUGGGAGGGAAGGGAAAUUGCAGUGAUAUAUGGAAGCAAGGUGUUGCAAUCAAUAAAGAAAUUCAUAGGGUCAAUAUUCAAGGACUCUCCUCCAACUCAAACAUUUCUCAAAUAGAUUAUUUAAUCUGAAAUAGUAUCUCAAAUAGAUUAUAGAGGUUUGAGGAAGUUGAAUACCUUUUAUUUGGGGGGGAAGGGAAAUUGCGGUGAUAUAUGGAAGCAAGGUGUUGCAAUCAAUAAAGAAAUUCGUUGGUCAAUAUUCAGGACUCAUCCAAAGUGAUCGUUAAAGUCUAGAGGUCUGCUCUUCUCCAACUCAAACAUUUCUUCAAUGAUGAGAAUUAUUCAAAUUGUUGUCAGUGGGAAGGGGUUGAGUGCAACAACACCACUGGCAGAGUGAUUAAACUAGAUCUAGGAGCCACUAGGAAUCGGGAAUCAUCAGAGUGGCAUAUGAAUGCUUCUUUGUUUACUCCCUUUCAACAAUUAAAGUCUCUUCAUCUAAUUGGGAACAAUAUAGCCGAUUGUGUUGAAAAUGAAGGUCUUUAAUUUACUCUAUUUUAGUUCUUCCUCGUAAUUUCUUACAUUUAUCUUAUCCCUUUUGGCUUUUGUUUAAUUUGUACGUGAUACAAUAAAAUUAUUUUUUAUUUUUUGGCAGGUCUAGAGAGGCUAUCAAGGUUGAACAACUUUAAGUUUCUUUAUUUAGACCUUAACCACUUCAACAACAGCAUCUUUUCAUCUCUAGGUGGUCUUUCAUCACUCAGACAAUUAUCAUUGGCUACUAAUCGAUUGAAUGGAAGUGUUGAUAUUAAAGGUAAGUAAGCUUCAUCCCUUCUCCCGUGUCCCAUCUUUUGUGGAUCUUAUCUCAUUGACGGGCUGGAAGUAUUGAUACGAGAUCUAGCUAGACUCUUGCUAGUUUAGGCUUCAAGGCUUUGAAUAUUACAAAAAUAGGAUUAAGAAAAUAUCAAUAAAUGCAAAUUUCAAUGCUUCUCAUAAUCAGACACAAUUAAAUCUAAUUAUUUUGUAUGUCCUGUCUUCAAAAGAAAAGAAUUGUACACCAAAUGGAAAUCGACAUUAUUGUUUGCUUUUGAUUAGUGGAUCAAAAAUCGACUAAUUUUUGUUUAACAUAAAAAUAAAAAAGAGAAAAUAAGUUAUUUAAUUAACCCUGUUUUAAGUGUUGGCAUAAAUGCAGGACUGAAUUCCUUGAGUAACUUGGAGGAGCUGGACAUGAGCUUCAAUGCAAUCGAAAAUCUUGUGGUUCCUAAGGGUAUACAAAAUGUUCAAAUAUUAAUAAUUUGGAGGACAAUUUAAUAGAUUUGAUUAGGGAAUGCCCAAUGACACUUACCCAAAAUAAUUUAAUCCAAAAUUGUAUCCCAAACAGAUUUCAUAGGUUUGAGAAAGUUGAAUACCCUUUGUUUAGGGGGAAGCAGAAUUCGAAUGAUAGAUGGAAGCAAGGUGUUGCAAUCAAUAGGAUCACUACCGUCCCUUAAAACACUUUAUCUUUCGUCUACUAAUUUUACGGGAACAGUAGUUAAUCAAGGUAAGUAAAUCUUUUAUGUAGAAAAUAAUUGAAUUAAUAUAUAUAGCUAAAAUUUACUGUUUCUACUUCUUUCUAAAUAGAAUUGCACAAUUUCACCAACUUGGAAGAAUUGAUAUUGCUCGGGUCUCAUCUCCACGUAAGCCAGCUUCUGCAAAGCAUCGCAUCAUUCACAUCGUUAAAGCAUUUGUCAAUGCCAGUUUGUACGCUUACAGGUGCCGUACAUGGUCAAGGUAAAUUACGGGUAUCUGAAGCUUUUAUGAUAUUAAUUCGAUAAUAAUUAUUUCUUUUCAAGUUAAUUUUCUCCCAUAAAAUAAUAUAUAUUUUUUUAAAUUUUAUAUAUUUUCACUGUCCAAUAGUUCUAGCUUCUCUAAUUUGCAGGAUUCUUGAUUAAGGUUAAUGAAAUUUUAGUUCUGUUAUGUUAAGAAUAUUUUGAUCGCUAAGAAGAGUAAAGAAAAAUAAGUAAAUUAACCCAAAAAAAGAAAAGAACAGGAACAUAUUAUCCUUAUUACCUUGCAUUAUGUGAUCAAUAUCAAAAUAAUAACCAUUUCUUGUUUAUUGCUUGUAGAUUUUCGUAAAUUCAACAAUUUGGAACAUCUGUACAUGGGUGAUGUGCAGGUUGACGUCAACACCAGUUUUCUUCAAAUUGUCGGCGAAUCGAUGCCUUCUCUUAAGUUUUUAUCACUGACAGAUUCAAGUCUUAAUAAAAACACCAUUCUUGAUCAAGGUUAGUUAAUGAUUCUCUUUCUCCCUCUCGCGCAUCUUAACUAAAUUUAAUUGCGAAUAUCUGUAAUGCUAGCUAUUUAUAAACUUAAUGAAAGAUGAUAAGGAGCCAUAAUAAUGACAAAAAUAACUGUAAAAUAGUGCACUGUUGUAGUGUUGAUUGAAAAAUAAUGCUAAUUUUUUACUUAACACUAUAACGCUGUAUAAUUUUACAGUUAUUUUGUUGCCAUUACGUCAUAUUCUACUGUUCAACUAUCAGUGAUCAAACUUAAUUUUUAAUAUGUACUUUAAAGAUUUUAUGCAAUUAUUUAAGUUUUAUGCAAUUAUAUUUUUCAGGACUUUGUCGGUUAGUGCAUCUGCAAGAGUUAUACAUCAACGGUAAUGAUUUGAGAGGUAGCUUGCCAUGGUGCUUGGCAAAUUUGACUUCCCUUCGAGUAUUAGAUGUCUCUUACAAUCAACUAACUGAAAACAUCUCCUCAUCUCCCCUCAUGCAUCUAACAUCUAUCGAAGAGCUCAUACUUUCAAAUAAUCACUUCUUCCAAAUCCCUAUUUCACUUGAACCACUUUUCAAUCUCUCAAAACUCAAGACUUUCGAUGGUGAAAUAUGCGCAGAAACUGAGUCACAUUAUAAUUCUUUGACCCCAAAAUUCCAACUGACUUCUAUCUCACUGUCUGGUUACAUAGAUGGUGGCACAUUUCCCAAAUUCUUGUACCAUCAGCAUGACUUGAAGAAUGCUGAUCUCUCACACCUUAACUUGAGUGGACAAUUUCCAAAUUGGUUGGUAGAAAACAAUACGAACUUAGAGACGCUUCUUCUUGCCAACAACUCUCUUUUUGGAUCAUUUCGGAUGCCAAUUCAUUCCCACCAGAAAUUGGCAAGAUUGGAUGUCUCUAAAAAUUUCUUUCAAGGCCAUAUUCCGGUGGAAAUCGGAACAUAUCUGCCAUGUUUAAUGGAUUUAAACUUAUCUAGAAAUGCUUUCAACAGUAGCAUUCCCUCUUCAUUUGCUGAUAUGAAAAUGUUGGAAAGGUUGGACAUAUCCUACAAUCAGUUGACUGGUGAAAUCCCUGAGCGCAUGGCCACGGGUUGCUUCUCAUUGGAAAUUCUUGCAUUGUCAAACAACAGUUUGCAAGGUCAUAUAUUCUCUAAAAAAUUUAACUUGACAAAUUUGAUGACGUUGCAGUUGGAUGGUAAUAAUUUCAGUGGAGAGAUCCCAGAAAGCUUAUCUAAGUGUCGUUUCUUAAGAGGAUUAUAUCUAAGUGAUAAUCAUCUCUCUGGUAAGAUUCCAAGAUGGUUGGGUAAUUUGUCAGCUUUAGAAGAUAUUAUAAUGCCCAAUAACAAUCUUAAAGGACCAAUUCCAAUCGAGUUUUGUCAGCUUGAUUAUCUGAGGAUUUUAGACCUUUCAAACAAUAGUAUUUUCGGAACCUUACCAUCUUGUUUUAGUUCAGCAUAUAUCGAACAAGUUCAUUUGUCAAAAAACAAGAUAGAAGGACGGUUGGAAAGUAUAAUCCAUGACAGCCCCAAUUUGGUGACAUUAGAUCUCAGUUAUAACCGCUUACACGGAAGUAUUCCAAAUCUGAUUGACAGACUACCUCAGUUAAGCUACCUUCUUUUGGCUAAUAAUUAUAUUGAAGGUGAAAUACCAGUUCAAUUAUGCCAGUUGAAGGAAGUGCGGUUGAUUGAUCUUUCUCAUAAUAAUCUAUCUGGUCAUAUUCCUCCUUGCUUGGUUAACACUUCACUCAGUGAAGGUCAUCAUGAGGCAGUAGCUCCAACUUCUAGUUCGCAGGAUCAAUCGCCUGCCUUACUUCCAUCUGAGGCUCCAACUGGAUCUCCGAUGGGAAAGGAAGAAACUGUACAAUUCACAACAAAGAAUAUGUCCCACUAUUAUCAAGGAAGAAUUUUGACGAGUAUGUCUGGGAUUGAUCUUUCUUGUAACAAACUGACAGGUGAGAUUCCUACUCAAAUUGGAUAUCUUACUAGGAUUCAUGCACUAAAUCUAUCUCAUAACAAUUUGACGGGCACAAUCCCGACAACAUUUUCAAACCUGAAGCAAAUCGAAAGCUUGGACCUCUCCUACAACCUACUGCAUGGGAAAAUCCCUUCUCAGCUCACUGUGCUAAAUACAUUGGCGGUCUUCACAGUAGCAUACAAUAACUUAUCAGGCAAAAUUCCAGACAGAGUUGCACAAUUUUCAACUUUUGAGGAAGAUAGCUAUGAGGGGAAUCCUUUUCUUUGUGGAUGGCCACUGUCUAAAAGUUGCAAUGAUAGUGGAUUAUCAGCAGUGACACGAGAAGCUUACACUGAUAAUGAAGAAGGUGAUAGUUUAAUUGACAUGGACAGUUUCCUAAUCACUUUUACAGUAUCUUAUGGAAUUGUGAUAUUAGGAAUUAUUGGAGUUUUAUACAUAAACCCCUAUUGGCGACGAAGAUGGUUUUACCUUGUUGAAGUAUGUAUGAUCUCUUGCUACUAUUUUGUAGUAGAUAAUCUUAUUCCUAGAAGAUUCUAUGGUGGAUGGAUGUAAUUUCAUUUACUUUACAACUUAUAUGUAAUUUUUAAAGAAUUUUCUUUUGCAUGCAUGGAAUAGCAACUCAAUAAAAGUAUUUGAUGCAAAUUGUCCUAGAACAACUUAGUAAUUUCAUUGCUACUAUUUGGUUGUAUAUAUACAGUUAAUGAAAUUUUUAAUCAUUCGCAGUAGGAAUUUCUUUAGAUGGCGGCCAAAACUAACAGAUUUGGGGCUCUACUUCUACACAUCAUAACAGGCAAAAGGUCUCUCUUUUACACGAUCUGAAUGAAGAUUAACUUACGCCCUCUAGGCUCUGGAGUGUGUGUAAGUUCUCUAUUAAACUUGACGGUUGAGAUUUCAGGUCCAGAUGAAAGUUAAAUGCAGGCGACGAGACUUCACUUCAAGUAAACUGGGACAAACUGAGAGUGAUGGGUAGCUCAACUUAUGGAGGAUAACUUGGACUUGGAGUAACUAUCAGAUUUGCAACUCUUGUUAUAUGCUAGUGGGGAUUUAGGUAGCAAUUAUCGCCUUGAGAGUUACAGUAAUCGAUUCAUUUCCUCCUCCAUUUCUGAUGGUAACCCAGCUCUAUACAAGAACAAUCAGAGAAGGUUCAUUUAAGAAAUUUCACAACCCACAUUUUUUUUUUCCUUUUUGCCCUCUUCCUCACAAUAAAAACACCUAACACACCAAGCCGUGCACAAAAUAGUCCUAUUUUAUUCAAGUCAUGAAUCCAAAAACUAUCCCAGCUCACUUUGUUUAACCAGCAUAACUAAAUUGUGGGCAUAAAUGAACACACUUUCAGAAAGCUACACAAUACAAACUGGGUUUCACUUGCAGAAAGCUACACGAUAGACAAAAUCUAGCAGCUACAUAAUGGUAUCACUUUCAGCUGGUCAUGAAUGGUGUGCAUUCAGCAAUGCUCGAUAGACCAUGUCUAUGAAUUGAUUGUCCUAUUACAUAUAAAAUCUGGUCAGAUAUACAAGGAAAAAAAUAAUAAUUGAAAAUGCAUCACAAAAAAUAAGUCUCGCAUUAGUGUUUGCACUCUAAGCAUGAUUUGAAGACUGCGAUAAGUGAAAAAUAGUUCAAUCCACUGAUGAGCAUAAAUUUAUUUAAAUGUCAAUUUAGAUAUCAUAAAAAAGUAAACAGUAAUUCACAGUCACUUAAAAGAGUUGAUAAAAUGCGUGCCAUGAAUGCAUUUUUGUACAUAAGAAAUCCAAAGAGUAUUUCUGACAAUACAAAUAUGCUAGCUUUAAAUCUGCCGUCAAUAUGCAAUUAAGAAGAUUAUACCAGCUGCACGAUAAAGUUCCCCUAAUCUUAAUAACAGUAAACAUGAACAUGUCAGAUGCAAUUAUAGCUUCGAGCAUUUGCAUAACCAGAAAUCCUAACCUGAACAAGCACCAGAAGUGUCUCUCGGACUUUCUCCUUGCUGAUAAAUGGUCCGCUGUUUGAAGUAAGAGCAGGAGUAAGAGAUGGUGGAGGGGUUGGUGGUGGAAAAGGUUGAGGGACUGGGGCACCAUAUGGGCUGCAACACUCAGGGGAGGAUUAAGUGGCGGAGCUGUUGGUGUAGAUGAAGAGACAAGCUGCAUCAUCCGUGCAUAGGAGGAUGGAGGAGGAACAAAGAAUAAGGAAGGCUUUACAAGAUUAGGGGUAGGUGCUGAUAGAGGUGGAGAUGGUAUUUGCAAGGUUGGCACGAUAGGAGAAGCAACACUGGCGGGAUGAGAAGAUAAAGAAAUAGUUGUAUUGGACUGGUAAGGUUGUGCAGAGAUUGCUGCAUUAGAAGUAUUCCCUACAGUCAAAGCUGUCUGCAAUGAUAAGGACAGAUGUCAUAUACAAGGACAUCAUAGAAGUUGAACCUCACACAAAAAUGAAGUGAUAACAUAUGAAAAUAGUAUAUGACUUGCAGCAUUUUUGUGGUAAUGUUGCAUACUUAUGUAGAAACAUAUUAUUUCAAAGAAAACAUACACUGAAGAAGUUCACAAAAGCAGGAUCUUCAGGAACAUCAGCAGCAUUUGAGGGAGUUGACUCUAGAGGACCAUCCAUAACUGCCAUAGUUGGAACAGCUUCCAGUUCCUCAAACUCACUGCAGUUUAACAUAAAAGGAACUUGAUGACCAAUUUAAGUAAUAAUUAGAUGAUAUAAGAGGUUAGGGAAAAUGAUGAGUGGACCCUUAUGGAAGGUGAUUUCACCUUAGCUAAACACGAAAAUAAAAAGAAAUCACCUCGAGUGCAAUGCAAAGAAUUUUUUCUCUCUCUUCUCUAACUCCUCUUAUUCGAAAUUGCUCAUCAUUGUGCUGUUCUUCGAGUUUUCGCUAGAGUAGAGAAAGCUAUUCUCCCGUUAAGUGCAGAGGAAAGAGAAGGGAAAGGGCCUGGUAUGAUGCUAUUCUAUAGGAAGUGAGAAGGUGAAGGGUCGAAAUAUUUUGUAAUUUGGAGGUGGUGUUUGUUAGUGUGUGUGUACUUCUGAAUUUAUUACCUCUGUAGGAUCCAUAGAAAUUGCCUCUUGUUCAGCAUGCACUGUGCCUACGAGUAAGGCGAGCUUGCAUGGUAUCUAUUGUCUAUUUACUUGGAUAUUCAAACAGGACUACCAGUAACACAAAUCCCCAAACAAAACACUCUUUCAAGUGCAAGGAAAGAGUAACUUGGCCAUAUUUAUGGUUCAAGCACUACAAUAACUAAGAAUGUGAUGACUGUCCACAAACACUAUAUCAGUGCCUUUUGAACUACAUCACAUGCUCGAAGACUUUUUUUUUUAGUCAUACAUAAAUUAGCUAUAAAAUUAAGACCAUUAUACAACUAAAAAGAAAGAAAAAUUGUUUGCUACUACAUAUCAAUGUAAGAUGGCAGACUUCUUACUUAAACAGAUGAGAGGCUACAAAUAAAAAAUUUGUGCAAAUAAAAUAUAUGAUAAAGAGCAUAAUACUUUCUUGGGGGCUAAAAAUAAUAUACAACUUGUGAAAUAUAAAUUGAGCUACCAUUACCUUUUAGAUGUGGCAACUUUCGACUUUUGAGGCACCUUGGAAUAUGCAUUCAGAAUCCUGCAUUUGGAAGCCAAAUAAAUAAUGUUAAUAACAAUUUUACAAUAGAAAAAUUAAAAAUUGAUAAAUGGCAGUUGUAAUUUAUGUAUGCGUAAAGAUAGCUUCACAUCCAGGGUCCUCCCAUAAACAUGCUUGUAACAAGAAUUAGUUUGCCUCAACUGUUAGCAACUGCUAACAAUAUACAAUAGUAAAAAUCACUCUUAUGAAGUCAACAAUACUAGGCACCAAUAAGAGUAUGAUACAGCCAUUCUAAAAUGGAAGAGAAUACAACUGUUUUACAACUUUGUUGCAUCAGGAGAUAUGUUAGGAGGAUUAAUCCAGAUACCUUCCAACCCAAUUAGGAAAACUCGAGUCAGAAACAAGGAGCUGCAACCGAACCUUACAAUCUUGAAGGAAGAAGGAGACUUGGGGCAUUUUUCCAGAUAGGUGACUUACUAGAUCUCCUGCCAAGAGAAUAUCUAUUGCUUUGAACCUCCAUUGAAUUUUCUUUUCCCUUUUUCUGGUUUUGACUUGGAACUUUCCAGCAUCAUCUAUUUGAUCUUUUUUAAAGCGAAAAAAGCAAUCUAUGGGUUGUCAACAUCUUAUCACCCCCCCCCCCCGGCCCCCAAAAAAAAAUCAAUGAGUUGUCAAUAAAUAGCGCCUACUCAAAUGUUUUCCAAUGUAUAACAAUGUGCAAAUCGACCUAGUAGCCACAUUUUUCCCCGGUUUCAACCACCGUAUGCAACUUUUCUAACCUUCCUUCAUUGCCCACGUCUACAGAACUAUCAUAUAAAGACUACAUUAUUAUUGGGAUAGAGAAAAAAAUACAGACUAUAUUAUUAUUAUAUCUCAUUUUAUUAAUUAACUAGUGCAAGACUUAUUUAGUGUCAAAUCAAGAACUAAUUAGAAAAGACAACUCAUGAUAAUACAGACCUUAAAAAGCAAUAGCUAGGACCACCCCAUAUACUCCUAUUUUAGCCUUCAAUAUCCUGGUAAAAACACAAUUAAGUCUUGCAAAAGAACAUUCACAAGUAAAUUCAACAUUAAUUAAGAUUAAGUAUCUACUGCACCUUCAAUCAAUGACUGGGUGAAUAGCAUGGUCAACCAUCCAGUUCCUGUAGCCCUCCUUGUACCUAUGUUAGUUACAUUUUACAUAUUAAGCCAGGAAAAUGAAGGAUCACAGCCUGGUAAAGAAAGCCAUUAAUUAAUAGUUUUUGUUUAACAAGUUCUCGUUUAGAUCUUUCCUAUUCAAUGAAUCAAUGUAAUCCAAGGAGAACUCUUCCAUUUCAAGCAGUGUUAGAAGAUAAUUGGAAAGCCUAAAGAUAAUAUACAAGGACCAAGAUAUCAAUUAGGUCAAAUAGUGAAUGUCAAAUAUAAAAAAUAAAUAAAAGAAGUUGUACAUGAUCAUUUACUAUCAAGUUCUGUAAAACUGAAAAUACCAUUAUCCCUAUAGAGAUUCUCAAACAACUCUUUAGCAAAUUAUAAAAUAGUUAAAAAAAGAACGAAAGUUUAAAAAAAAAAAAUGUACAACAGCCAUAUCAGGAGAUGUUUUUCUUCUCAAUCUCAAUAUUUUCUAGCCGUAAAACAAUUGAAAAGCUUAACACCAAGUGAAUUAUUAAGAAUUCAUCAUUUAAAUUCCCAAAUCGCGAAAUGUUGGUGCAACUAGGAAAGUGCAAAUGCAAUCACUUUACUAACACAAGAAACAUCAAUAGUGAGAAGCCAACUUUGUAUCAAAUUUGAAACAGAUAGAUAGAGGUCAAAAAAAUUAUAAAGACACUCAAUUAAAAGCCUUUCAAACAGCUUUUGCAUGCAACAAGAACAAAUCAAAGGCGAUGUGAAUGUAUUGAAAGACUAAUUUACAAUCAUCUACAGGACAUAAAUAUCUUGGAUAACUACUCUCUAUACCUUACUGUCCCACUGAAAAUCAUCAAAUCCCUCCAAACAAAAAUGACAAAAUGGAUAAGAAUUGUGUGGUCAAACUUCAAUAACUUAGCAGCCACAGCAAAAACUUAUGUAGACACGCAAGCCACUCAAAAUAGUCAUAUUGUUUGCUUUCCAAACACAAGCCACUUUGUAAUGAAUAUUCAUAAAUUGCUACUACCAUGUUUGUUAAAACACGUGAAAACCACCAUCACUAACUAAAUGUAACUAAUGAUCAUCAUCACGUUCAUGGAAUCACAUGUCUGACAGUAUUAAUUAGUGCAAAUGGCAUGCUUCUUAAAACUCCUUAUUUAUCACAUGGGUGGCAUUCCAAUCAACCAAUGAUUCUGAUCUAGUCAGCAUAUUCAACCCACGAGCCAGUAAUACCUCCAUUGCUUCUUUAGAUUUCUCAACAAAAUUCCACAUUCUAACCAUACUUCUGAACUUGUUGCUCCCAUAGACUAAUACAAUAUAAAGAUUUCUUCCCACACCACCUCAGCCCUCACUCCUAAAAAACCAAUUUAAAUUCUCAUUGACUGUACAACCUAUAGUCCAUACCAAAUUGAAAAAUUUACAAUAUAGAACCUCAAAGAAUCUUCUUGCGUUCCAUUUUUUACGGCAAGAAAAUUGACUUUUACCACAUGCAAGUCAACAAAUAAAACAAUCAUGUCUUUGUGAGAUGCACAUUUUCAGACGAAUCUGAAGAACAAUGAAACCAUAAAAACCUAAUAUGAGAACACCGAGGACUCCAGAUAUCAUCUAUAGAAUCUUUGGUCCACCCUUGCAUGAUGAAAAAAAAUUGAAGGCUUCGUCACCAACUCCCCAGGUUGUUUUGUUCUCCUAUCUCCUAAAUGUAAAUGAAAGACAACCCGUUCUUUUUCCAAUCUUCAGGGGCACAGAACGACUCUAGUAUUAAAUAGUCAGUUUCUAUACAAAAAUAACUCCUUUGCACUUGGCACUGCACAUCUCAAAAUAAAAAGCAUGCAAGGAGGAGAAUAUAAUAGCAGUAAACAAGUUUUAUUAACCAAACUUCAAAGAUGCCACACAAGGCAAAAAAGAAAUCUGUACAAGCCAGAUCCCAAGAAUAAUAAUUCCAAUAUACAAUUCAUGAAAACAAUAACAAAAACCAUGUUCAUGAGGCCUCAGCAGAAGCAACAUGUAAUAACCAUACUCUAUUAUUUGAAACACAUUUCCAAGUUUGGUUAAGAUUCUAAACUAUUCUCUAUCUGUCAAUUAUUAACAUGUAAAACAUAAUAAUAUACACUUAAACUACUACAGUAGUAAAACCAGUAAAACAACAAUACCUGCUAAAAAGAUUUGCUACCUCUUCACAUUCACGAGCAUUGUAGAACCAAAUCCCAUUUACUUCUUGCGAUGCAUUCCGAUAUAACAAAUACGGAACCUGAACUUCAAACUCUAAAUCUCCCAAAAGAUUUUCCACUAAAUUAUCUGCACAUAUACAAGAUAUUGAAGCUUAUCAGUGCAAAAACAUAUACAAAAAGACAUGAAGGUUAGGAGACAUAACUAAAACUUAGCAACAACUGAUAAGCACAACAAGACAUGAAAUAUAACACUAGUUGUAAACAAGAUAGACACACGGUAUCUAAAUAAUUGUACCAACCCCCUCUCCUGAUUGUCAUAAAAUGGCCAAUAUUUAACGCUAGACAACAACAUUGCAAAUACUCUAGCCUCUAUAUUAUUGGCAUAUAAAUAUUUUCGGUUAGGUACAUUAUAUUCUUCGUUCUAAAACCUCAAUUAUUAGCUAGUACUGUGAUAAAAUGAUUCAUCACUGAAAUUAAAACUAGUUCACGUACAAAUAAUCAAAACUGAAAUAGAAACAACGACAAACCAACCUGUAUUACGUCGAUUCAUCACAACAAACUGAAAUCGAGGCUGUGUGUUCCUGAAAAUUGAAAAAAUAAUAAUUUCAUCAACUUCAUAUGUAAUACAAUCUCCAAAACACCGAAUAUCAAAUAAAAAAAUGGAAAGCAUACGAGGGAAAAUAAUCUUAUUUUAUGACCUUUUGACGACGAAGAGAGAUCCUUCAACAUCCUUACGACUCCAUUGGCUGAGAUCGAUGUUGAACUCGUAGAAGGUGACAUGAGCGGCCGUGAUGAGGAUCUCCUCAAUGAAUGGAUCAAUUCGCUGAAGAACCGUCAGGUUUAGGAGUUUUGUGCUCUGCUGGUCCAGAUUAGGCAUCAAUUUUCCGUUCUGCGACAUAUUUCAUAGUCCUUUUGGGCUCUGCCCCCAGCACAAGCCCCAUGGUUUUUCUGUGAGCUCUCUCUUUUGUAAAUAAAGUGUUCGAUGAGAUAGCCGAGAGAGAGUGAAAGAGUUGAACAGCCAAACAAGGUGAGGUGAACAGUUUCGGACCGAGACUCGAGAUUGAUCUUGCUUUAACUUCUUUUUAAACAUUUGGGAAAUAGCAUUUAUUUCUUUCAAUUUCUCUACUUUUUUUUUCCUUUAUGUCAUUUAGACCCCAAAAUUAGAUUUAUUAUAAUCAUAUUUUACCCAUACACUAUUAACCCAUUUUAUUUUUUAAAUUGUCAAAUAUUAAUGUAUUAAAAUAAUGUUAGAAAUCCCAAUUAUUAUCUCAAUGUUUCAAUCAUAACUAAUGUGAUAACUCAUCGGUAACUGCAACAUUAACUUAAUUAUUAAUGUUUAUCAUGAAAUGAUGAGAUUAUUAUUCAAGAAAAACUUAGUAAACAUCAAUGACUAAUAUAAUAUGACAAUUACAGCUGAAUAUUAGUACAAGAAUUAGGAUCCCUAAAGUUAGUGAAUGUAUUAUAAUAUAUGUGUGUUACACCACUUUAUGUCUCUCAAAUUUAAUUAAGUAAUUUUAUAUUCAAUGAAUCAAUGUAAUCUAAAGAGAACUCUUCCAUUUCAAACUGUGUUAGAAGAUAUUUGCAAAGCCUAAAGAUAAUAUACAAGGACCAAGAUAUACACAGAUUGUUUCUUUAUGGAAUUAAAGAGCUUUAUAGAUGUUAAAACUGUUUCAAACAAUUUUUCUUGUUUGGUUUAACUAAGGAAGAGCUUGUGGAAGAUUAAAAAUGAUGUUUCCUAUUCUCUGUAGGAAGCUUUUAGGAGAUAUUUUGGGCUUUUUUGAAAGGUUGAAUUGUCAAAAAUACCUUCAUGUUAUUGUUUGCUAAAAGAUGUUAUGGACAACUAAACAACCAACGACAUUUUGUUAAAAACUCUACUAGUGUAGGAUCUACUUAAAGAAGUUAUACCAAACAGACUCUUAGACUGAAUAACCCGAUCUUAAGUUUGUAAAAUUGGGCUCAGAAUCUUCACUAACAACCCCGCUUCGGUGAGAAAGCCCAAGCCUGUUACUUUGUAUAACCUUAUUCUGUAUGUUUGAUUGUAGGAACUGGCCAAUCAUACCGACGAGGUGAGUGUGCAGCAUGAGGUGCUUGACGGGAUGUUUACUUUCAAUGAUACAACUAAAGCUAGCCUCAACAUAUAUCAGGUGCCUGCUUGUUUUUGCCUUCUAGAUACUAAUAUUGUUUAGACGUGUAAUCUCUCUCUCCAUUGAACGCUAGCCAAGAGAAAUGUCUGAAUUAUCGAAACAAGAUGAAUUAUUUUUUGUUUAUCGCAGCAGACGAUCUAUGAGCAGAAUUUCUUACAACAAAAGAUGUGUGUCCACCGGCUUGUAUUUAGUCUCGUAAUGCAUUUUAUAUAUAUGCACGCGCACACAGUUUGAGAAGAAUCAGACCAUUAAUUUUCGUUUGAGCCAAUCAACAGAAUGUACAUUUCUUCUAUGAACUUGUAACCGAAACCGCAGUUUUUCAGGUUUGAUGCAUCUGGGAAAAUUUUCAGAUGGAAUAAAACCACCAUGCGCCAAGGUACCAAUGAUGUUUCUUCCAGCUUACGAGCACUUCAAAUAAACUUAGGUCAUAUUUACACAAGGGCGCACAUGAUAUCAAUCUAAUGGCAAUUAUAUCAUCUAAAAUCCAAGACCAAGAGUCUCCCAUUUUCCCGUUCCCUACUCUGUUCAUAUUAUCAUAACUUGAAGUUGCAAGGCAGCCGCAAUCUCCCAGAUCUUUGCUCCUUCCUCAUAGCAGUUAAUCAAACGAUAAACAGAGAUAUCCCAUGUCAACAAGGAGGUAAUCAUAAAAGAACAACAGAAUUGUUGCAAUAUAUUCAUAUGAAAUGUAAAACAAUUUUGAGAAAAAAUAUUGGGAAGAUAUUUUUUUUUUCAUAGAAGUUGCAAUCUUUACGUUAUAUACUAGUUUGACUAGACUAUACAAGGAAGCUAUAUGAAAUUAGAAAAAUAAGCUAUACUAGGAAAGAAUAAAUAUAUGUACAGAAAAUUAGGCUAUAAUCUCUGACUUUCAACAAAUUUAAUAUCAAUUUUCUUCAGGAAGUUGUCUCGCAAGGGGCGCAUCAGUAUUGCAACGUCUGCUGGGUCUUACAUUAUCCACAAAAAUAACUCGUCCAUCUAGUAACUGCAAGUACAUACUGUGAGAUGCUUAAACUCAACAAUAUAAGCAUGGUAAAUUAGAGAAAAAUGAUGCAAUUUUACCUUCCCAUUCAUGUCUGCCAAGGCUUUUUGGGCUUCCUCUUAUGUACUGAAAGUCACAUAUCCGUAACCUUUUGAUCUAUUCUUACCUUAUCCAUUAUUAUUGUAGCUGCAAAAAGAAAAGAAUCGGAUAUUACAAAAUAGUGAAGAGGGAAGAGGGGUUGAGACUUAAAACAGAAAUAGACCAAACCCUCAGUGACGUGGCCAAAUUGUGAAAAAGCAUCAGCUAACAUGCCUUUAGUGGUUGAGAAAGAUGCGCCUGCAAAGGAUGCCAGUUAAUUUUAUCAUAAUUAGAUGGUAAGAUUGCAAAUUCUGCAGCCAAAGGUAGUACGGAACUGAAUGAAGGAAAUCAAAUAUGAAUAUGUUGUCAAUCUCAAAAUAUUAAGAGUAGCAUAAGUAACUUGUGAAACAGUUAUAAGUUCAAGGGAAUUAGAUGAUGGUAUGGUUGAAUUUAUAAAUAUUUGAUAUUUAACAAGUUAGUGUGUACUAUGCAAUUGCAAAAUUUAAGUUCCACAGAAUCGGUUCCUUUAACAUGAUGCAUCACAUAAUAUUUUGUUUGCAAAAUAAAGAAGAAAGAUGACAUAAUAGAAACACUCACAGAGAGAGAAUACCUUUGACGAAAAGCUUAGAAGUGAAUCCUCUGUAAAAUACGAGUUGAGCUGCUGAAUUUUCGAGUUUGAAUGAGAGACUGCGGCAAUUCUGAAAAUGUUUUUUUCUCAUUAGCGCCGCCAUUUUUGUAAUAGAGGGUAAAGAAAUAAGUAACAGAGUAAGAGGUGAGCAGAAACGGCCCAAUUUAGUUAUAUGCCAUGCAUGCGAUCAAAAUUGAAUGGUUAAAUGGCAGCCACUAUGUUACAUCUUGUGUAAGUAACAAACCGCCUACAUGGAUCGUUGGAUUUGGGAAUAUGAAAUCCAAUGGAUAAUAUUGAAUUUAACGAAAAAUAGAUUACAGGUUGCAUUAGUCCAAGAUUAUUUCAAACAAACCAGCUGAUGAAAUAGCCGCUAAUCAAAUUUAAAAGGGAAAAAAAAUCAUAGGUUAUAGAUCUUAUUUCCAUCUUAAAUCUAUGUCUUUCAUGGUAACUCAAUGUGUAUUCUAAUUUAUAAUUUGGAUCUAUAUUAGAGCUAAUGCUUCCCUAAAUAACUAAGAAAAUUUUCUUUUCAUUGAUUAAAUAUCUAUUUCCAAGAUCUUGUAUAUGUAGGAUUUGAAAAGAGGGAGAAUAGUAGGGUUGAUAAUGAGAGAAGAUAGAGAUGUCCAUUCUCAAAUCUAAUAUUAAUGCUAUACUUAUGUUCCUAUACUAAAUAAAUUAUCCAAGGUUCGUGGUUAAUGAUAAGUUGCGAAAUUUUAAUUUCUAUUUAAAGUUUUGUCUAAUAUGGCUUUUCAUAAAGCUUAGAGAAAAGUAGAGCUUUUACAAAAAAACAUUUAAUUAGAAUUGUGAAUGAUAAAUUUUAUUAAAAUUUUUUAAAAAGUACUUUAAUAAAUAAGCUUUUAAAGUUAUAUAUAUUAUGAAAGAAAUGAAAUAAGAUUAUAUAAUAAAUUAAGAGUAUCUUAGAUAAUUGAACUUAAAAAAAAAACUCGCUAAGAGGAUUAAAAUUUGAGUUUUAAUAGUGGAUACAAAAUAGUUUAUUUAAUUCUCAAAAGCUCUACUCAAAAUAGUUUAUUUAAUUCUCAAAAAAUAUUUUUUUCAAUGAGUAAAUAAUACUAAACAUGCACUAAAGUGUUAGGACCAGAAGUUGUCCAAAUAAAAUCAUGAAAUUAUAUGCUGUUGGAUGGAUAUUUUUCAAAUUUGCUGUAGUUUUUUUUUCUUUUCUGCUGGGAAAUUGAAAUGAUGGCUACAACUUAAAUUAUGAAUGGAGUAAUCGGAGAAUAUUGAAACCCAUUUAAUUUGGAUCGUGCAUUGAGGGACGAAAGGAUAAAAAAUUUAAUUUUGAAAUUGCUGUUGGGUACGGUACAAUGACUUACCGUUGACAGCUUGUGCAACCGGAUUACAAUCGGUUAGUUCAAUAAUUUUAUAUCCCUAUUCAACCGCCACGUGCUGCUGUUACAUGGGUCAAUUACUCAUGUCAUUACUGUUACUUACAGCUGCUGUAACAUAACCGGACCCAAAUGGUUAAAUUCUGUUGUUUCCAAUAAUUUUAUGCUGUAUCUUCUUUAAUAAUAAAGAAAACUUGCAUUAAAAUUAAAAUUAGGGUAAUGCCUGAUUUUAUAAAUAGAUUGCAAUGUAAUUUUGAAAAAUAAAUUAAUAAUUUACGAAAUGUUUAUAACAUAAUUUAAUUUUUUUCAAAAAGGAAAAACAACAAAAGUAAAAAAUAGAGAAUGAGGGCUACAAACUUUGCAUCUUAAACGGCCGUUAGAUUAUUUGUAAAUGAAAGCAACGGUCAGAUAUUGGUGGAUUAUGGAAACAUGUAAUCAUAAGGACUACGAGUUUUUUUUUGUUACAUUAAUAUAUUACAAUCAAAAUUCUGUUGGUAUUUAGAACCAGAAUUUCAUUUGACUAUCUUUGAUAAUUCUAAGCUGGUACAGCCUAAAUUCUUAUUCUCAUAUAAUAUCAAAGAGAGAUAUAUAUUCUUCUCCUCUAUUAAUAAAGAGACAUUUUUACUUCUAUCCAAUUUAAAUAGAACAAGAAUUAAGUCAUUUUAAUAGUUAGGACUCAAAACUCAUACACGUUAGUUUGAGAGUGUGGGGUGUGACAAUGGGCCAAGAGACCAUUGACAAAUACAAAAGAGUGGCAGAAAUUAAUUCAAACCGCUACACACGCUAUUGCAACCAAAUUGAGGGCACAUUUUUGUUUAUUUUGUUGAAAAGUAGUCUGUAAAAUUAACUCAAACCGCUACAUACGCUAAUGCAACCCAAUUGAGGGCCCAUUUUUGUUUAUUUCGUUGAAAAGUAGUUUGCGCAAUUAAUUCAAACCGCUACACACACUAUUGCAUCUUUUGAAAAAGAAAAAUGGAAUAAUUUUUCAAAAUUAAUUUAGAGAAUAAGAUUUACUAAUAAUGAUGUUAGAAAUCUUAAUAUUUGAAUCUUAAUAUUAUCUAUAGAAAUCUUAAUAUUUGAAUCUUAAUAUUAUCUAUCACUCAUUUAUUAAAUAAUAAAUUUCAUAGUUUGUAAAAUUACUUAACCACUUGAUAAAUGUUAUAUUUGUUGGGACUAGAUUGGGACUUAAAUAUUAGAAUAUCUAGUAUUACAUAAAAAAAAUUAACAAUUUAUCUUCACACGACUAAUUGUUUUUACAUCACAACUAACCUUAAUUAUUUUAAAAGUUAUAGUAUUAUUAAAUUGCCCUAACUAGUUAUCAAAAGGUGAAAGCAUGUUUUAAAAAGAAAUUACUAAGAAACAUUUGUUUAAACGAAGGUUAAGGUUAUGAUCAAUUAAUUAAGAAGAAACUUACUAUCAAAGGUUAAGAUUAUGAACAAUUUAAGGAAGUUAUUGAGCAGAGAAAGGGACAGAAUGGAUGUUUGAAUUGCCGGUGACAAGAAUGCUUGUGUUGUGAAAAGAAAUCCGAUGGUUUGUAAAUGGGUUGAAUUUUUCGCUCGCUUCAAUGACUUGCUUAUGCCCAAUAUAUUACUUUGCACAGUAGUAUUUGGGAUCCUAACAAUCAACUCUUAAUUUGGUCCCAAUAUAUUACUUUAUGAAUGAUUAGUUAAUAACUAUCAUGUUAAAGCUUCUGUCAAGCAAACACCCAUUGAAUUUUUCGCUCGCUUCAAUGACUUACUUAUGCCCAAUAUAUUACUUUGCACAGUAGUAUUUGGGAUCCUAACAAUCAACUCUUAAUUUGGUCCCAAUUAGUAUAGUAAUCAUCUAUUGAGCGGUAAAAUUUUCUUGCUUUCAAUUUCCACUGUUAUUUUUUUUAAAUAAAAUAAUUUAUUUAAACUAGUCAUAGAAAUAAGAGAGAAAAGGGGUCAUUUCUUGACUCAAAGUCAAUUGUAAUUAUCAAAACUUGAGGGGACAUCGCAUGCCUAAAUUCCACACACCCUAAAACGGUUUGAUUUGCUUUCAGGCGUUCAUGAAUUUCCAUGAAAGAGCCUGCCUUUCGUCUCUUUCGGGACAGUGACUACAAUAAUGGAAAAAAUUAUAAUUCUCGUUAGAUUGUAACCAAAUUAUUAUCCCUAAUUUUUUUAAGUUAAAUAUAAUUAAAUUCAUGCUUAAGUAUUUAGUAAUUAGAGAGAGAUAGAGAGGAUUGAGGGCCAAUGUUUCGCGAUUUGGGGUCAAUUUAAAGUCAACUAACGUGUAAAACACGUGUAUGCAUAGAAAACGCUUAGAUUAUUUGUGUUCCCAAGUGCAAGAAAUUAAGAAAAGAAAAUUUGAUUUCCUUUCAUGAACUUCCAAGAAAGAAAGAAGACCCUUCACCUUGUUCGUGACAACAAAUGAAUGAAUGAUGUUGAUAUGACAAAUACAAGCGCUAUUACAGGGAACAGCAUAAGAUCGAGACUUGAUAAAGGGUUUGUUAAAUUACAUGUUAUUUUCUUUUGACUUGAAUGAUGUUGAAGAAAAAAAUAAAAUAACAUUGUAAUCAGGGUGAUGUGUGGAAUAUAGUGAAAUAAAUAAAUAGAGAAGAGAAAUUCGUUGAUCAAUAUUCAAGAACUCAUCCAAAGUGAUCGUCAAAGUCUAGAGGUUCGGUAUGAUUAGCAUUUAUUUUUAUUUUUUUUUGGCUUAGCAUCAUAUAUAGUCACCUGUCGUGUGAUCUAGGACAUGUUUAGAAAUCCUUUUAUUUUAACUUCCGUAUUCUUAUUAUUUAAUUAGUUAUUGGGUUUUUAAGUAUUUGAGUAUUGAUCACAUGUCUCCUAAUCUAAAAAUAUGUUUUUAAGAGUACAAAUAACAAACUAGGAUUUUAACAGCCUUUUAUACUAAACCCUAAAAAUACAUGAAUUUAUCAAAAUAAGUAAAUUAAUUUAAAUUGGUAUGGCAUAUUAGAAGUUUUACCAGCCGAAACAAAUUAAAAAAAUAUUACACUUAAAUCAAAUAUUGACAAAAAUAGAUAACAAUCUAAUGAGAAUCUUAACUAGACAUUUUUACUUCUAUCCAAUUUAACUGGAUAAAUUGACAAAUAUUGACAAAAAUAGAUAACUCAUACACGCUAGUUUGAGAGUGUGGGGUGUGACAAUGGGUCAAAAGACCAUUGACAGGUAUAAAAGAGUGGUCGCAAUUAAUUCAAACCGCUACACACGCUAUUGCGUCUUUUAAAAAAGAAAAAUGGAAUAGUUUUCCAAAAUUAAUUCAGAGAAGAAGAUUUACUAAUAAUGAUGUUAGAAAUCUUAAUAUUUGAAUCUUAAUAUUAUGUAUCACUCAUUUAUUAAAUAAUAGAUUUCAUAGUUUGUAAAUUUACUUAACCACUUGAUAAAUGUUAUAUUUGUUGGGACUAAAUUGGGACUUAGAUGUUGGAAUAUCAAGUAUUGCAUAAAAAUAAAAAAUAAAAACUUAACAAUUUAUCUUCACAUGACUAAUUGUUUUUACAUCACAACUAACCUUAGUUAUUUUUUAAAGUUAUAGUAUUAUUAAAUUGCCCUAACUGGUUAUCAAAAGAUGAAAGCAUGUUAAAAUAAGAAAUUACUAAGAAACAUGUGCUUAAACAGAGGUUAAGGCUACGAACAAUUAAGAAGAAACAACUUACAAUCAAAGGUUAAGAUUAUGAACAAAUUAAGGAAGGUAUUGAGCAGAUAAAGGGACGAAAUCAUUGUCUGAAUUGCCGGUGACAAGAAUGCUUGUGUUGUGAAAAGAAACCUGAUGGUUUGUAAAUGGGUUGAAUUUUUUAUUCGGUCGCUCCAACUGACUUACUAAUGCCAAAUUUAUUACUUUGCACAGUAGUGUUUAGGAUCCUCAAGAUCAACUCUUAAUUUGGUCCCAAUUAGUGUAGAAAUCAUCUAUUGAGCAAUAGAAUAAGAAUUUUUCUAGUCAUGAAAUUCAAUAUAUAAUAUAUCCUUGACACACAUCGAUUAUAACUUAACUGUUAGAAUUCAUAACAUUACUCUACUCUCAAGGGGAGUUCUCUUAACAUAUUAUGUUAGGUUGCCUACAUUCAAAAUAUGUUAGGCUGCUCUUUGAAAACAAUAUUCCUUUUUCCGUAACUUUGAAUUGAUCCAAUAGCUCUUGAAAAGCACAUAAUAAUCAUUAUAAAUUUAAUCAAAGACUAAGCAAGUCUUCUUUGCAUUUGAUCACUGGCAUUUCAGUUAAGUUUGUCAUUUACUUAAAUUUUUCUUGCUUUCAAUUUCCACUGUUGUUUUUUUUAAUAAAAUAAUUUAUUUAAACUAGUAAUAGAAAUAAGAGAGAAAGGGGUUUUCUUGACUCAAAGUCAAUUAUAAUCAUCAAAACUUGAGCGGACAUUGCAUGCCUAAAUUCCACGCACCCUAAAACGGUUUGAUUUGCUUUCACGCGUUCAUGAUUUUCCAUGAAAGAUAGUGCCUGUCGUCUCUUUCCGGACAGUGACUACAGUCAUGGAAAAAUUAUGUUAAAGUGACGAAUACAAAACGUUAUUACAUGCAAGAAUAAGUUUUUGGAGCCGAGACUUGAGGGAGGUUCUAUCUAAUUCUAAAGAUUGUAACCAAAUCAUUAUCCCCAAUUUUUUUCAGUUAAAUAAAAUAAAAUUUAUGCUUAAGUAUAAAUAAUUUUUUUAAGUUAAAUAUAAAAUAAAAUUCAUGAACUUCCUAGAAAGAAAGAAGACCCUUCACCUUCUUCACGACAACAAAUGAUGUUGAUAUGACAAAUACAAGCGCUAUUACAGGGAACAGCAUGAGACCGAGACUUGAUAAAUAUUAAAUAUAUAAAAUAAGUGGAGCAAACAAACAGAAUAAUAGAUUUUUAUAAUAUUCUUCAUAAAAAUCCAAGUUUUGAGCUGGCCCAUAAGCUUAUCUAGUGAAGUCUGGGUAUCCGCAUUGCCCAAGGUUCCGCUUGAAUCCAGGCUGUGCUGAUAUUUAUGACAUCCCAUAUGGACGGAGAGGAAAUAUAUUCAGUUGACUGAAUUAAAUAAAAAUAUAUUACAAUCAUAUUAUAUAUUAGCAGCAAAAAUAAAAAGAAAUGAAGAAAAACGCUGUGUGGUUCAAAAAGAGUGUGGGUGAGUGAGUUAAUUUUCAUAUUAUUAGUAGUAAAAGGGUGGUGGAGUGAGGGAUGUUUGGAGCAAGAGAGGUCUGCUCUCCUCCAACUCAAACAUUUCUUCGAUGAUGAUCACCGUCUUCAAAACUGGGUAGACGAUGAGAAUUAUUCAGAUUGUUGUCAGUGGGAAGGGGUUGAGUGCAAUAACACCACUGGCAGAGUGAUUGAAUUAUAUCUAGGAGCCACUAGGAAUCGGGAAUCAGCAGAGUGGCAUAUGAAUGCUUCUCUGUUUACUCCCUUUCAACAAUUAGAGUCUCUUGAUUUAAGUUUGAACAAUAUAGCCGGUUGUGUUGAAAAUGAAGGUCCUUAAUUUACUUUAUUUUAAUUCUUCCUAUAAAUUUCUUACAUUUAUCUGAUCCCUUUUGGCUUUUGUUUAAUUUGUACGUGAUACAAUAAAAUUAUUUUUUAUUUUUUGGCAGGUCUAGAUAGGUUAUCAAGGUUGAACAACUUGAAGUUUCUUUUUUUAGACUUUAACUGCUUCAACAACAACAUCUUUUCAUCUCUAGGUGGUCUUUCAUCACUCAGGAUCUUAUCAUUGUUUCUUAAUAGAUUGAAUGGAAGUGUUGACAUUAAAGGUAAAGUAAGCUUCAUCCCUUCUCCCGUGUCCCAUCUUUUGUGGAUCUUAUUUCAUCGACCAGCUGGAAGUAUUGAUACGAGAUCUUGCUAGUGCAAGCUUCAAGGCUUUGAGUGCUACAAAAAUAGGUCUAAGAAAUUAUCAAUACAUAACGUUAUUACAUACAAUAAUAGUUCUAAAGAUUGUAACAAAAUCAUUAUCCCCAAUUUUUUUAAGUUAAAUAAAAUAAAAUUCAUGCUUAAGUAUAAAUAAUACUUUGGACAUUCUUGAUAUUUGUCCUUUUAAGAUAAACAGCAACCCAAUUAUCUAUUUGUUUGUCUGUUUUUUUUUUUUCAAUAACAGUUUGUUAGCAUAAAUAUUUACCUGUGAAGUCGAGGAGGAGAAAAUGUUAGAAAAAAUAAAAAGAAAAAAAAUUAAGGGGGAUAGAAUUAGAUUUUCUUUUUUGAGCAAAGAACAUACGUAAAAAGAUAUUAAAUCUAUUAAGUCUAAUUGUCUAUAACGGUAAAUUGCAUAACGAAUAAUUUAUUAGCGUAAAAUAAAUUUUAUUAGAUUCUGAUUAUUUGUUUGAUUUCUUUUCUCUCUGGACUCAACUUAUUUUGUUUAUUUGAUUUGAUUUUAUUUUUUUUUUAAAGAAACUUAUUGUUUAUCAAUACUGAAUGGCUUAAGAUUGAUGUCUUGAUAAUAGAUGGGGCAAUAUUGCAUUUUUAAUGCAGUAGACUUUGAAGUUAUCAUUGACAAGCUUAGAUGAAUUACUAGGACCAUAAUACAAAUGUCACAGGCAUCGAAGGCACUUACCAAGUUUUGAGUACAUUCCUGUUCCUAUCUAAUAGUUUUUAAUUUCUUUAAUUUAAGACCCCAUUCAUUAAUAUUUUCUUUAUUGUGAAGUUAAUUUUUUUAUCUGAAAUUAAAUUUUUUUUUUAAAUUGUUGACUUAUAGUUUACCUUUGUGUUAAAUGUUGGCAAAAUUAUUUUGUCCAAACCAUUUUUUUUGUCCUGAACGUCCAACUAAAAACUGAAUCAAGGGUUAAGUUGUAAGGUUUCAGUUCGUCCGUUAUAUUAAUUUAUUGUUUUAAUAUUAUGCAGUACAAAUAGGUGUAUAAGUCCAGAGGCGGAUGCAGCACAUGACCAGUGGGGGCUUGAGCCCCCACUGGCCAAAAAAAAAAAUUAAAAAUAAAAGAAUUUUUAAAAUUUUUUAAUUAGCCUCAUUAAAUUUAUUAAAAUAGUCACUAUAAAAUAUAAAUCCCAUAAAAUUUAAACUUUGAUUUUUAAAAAAUAUAAAAAUAUAUAUUUUAAUUAAAAAUAAUGAUAGCCCACUACUCAAAAAUUUUCUAUUCUAAAAAAUAUGGUUAAUUCUUCCAGUUUAUAUAAUAAUAGUAGAACGAACAGUUUCAGUAAUAAAACUCAUGAAGAAUCAUCUUUGGAAUCGGAUGGGAUACGUGAUAGUUUGAUUGUUUAUAUAGGAAAUAAUAAAUUUAAUAAUAUUGAUAAUGAGCCUAUUGCAUAACAUUUUAAAAAUAUAAAAAUGCGUAGAGACUAAUUAUAAAUAUUUUAUAUAUUCAAAAUUUUAAUUUUUUAUAUUUUACUAUUAUCUAAUUUAGCCCCCGGUAAAUUAUUUUUUUAGAUCCGCCACUGUAUAAGUCCAUCAUUUAAAUGCAAAAUGAAACCACAUCAAUAUAGAAAUUAAAAGAAAAUGAAUUCUCACAACCAUACGGUGAGAUUCAAACUCUCUAUCUCCGAGGAUUUCUUAAAGUUAUUCUUAAAUUACACUUAAAUGGUUAAAUUUAAUAAAUAAAGGUUUAAUUCUUUUCUCGCACAUUGUAGAAGCAAAUUUUCUCCUCUGUUGAAAAUUCUAAAUAUUUUUUUAAAUUAGGUUUCAACUAUGACAUGUCAGGACAGAUUUGAUACAUUUCUAAUGCAACCGAUAUAACAACACAACUUUGUGAUUUUUACUAUUCAGGAGAAGAAGAACACAACCUGUAUAACCCAACCGUUUAUAUACAAACAUCGAAUCGCUUUUUAAAAUUAAAUUGGGAAAAUUGGGGAUAUAAUCGUUUUUCAUAUAUAUACAUUUUUUCCUUACAAAUUAAAUUCAUGGUUGUUAGCUAAAUAUACCCGCUUAAAGCCACUCAGUCGAACCCUUUGAGAGCUGCUUUAAAUUUUUCGGAUUAGCCAUAUUCUUUUCACUGAGAUUUAACAUAAAAAAAAGGAGAAAAUAAGUUAUUUAAUUAACUCUAUUUUUAAGUGUUGGCAUAAAUACAGGACUCGAUUCCUUGAGUAACUUGGAGAUGCUGGACAUGAGCGACAAUGCAAUCGACAAUCUAGUGGUUCCUAAAGGUAUACAAAAUGUUCAAAUAUUUAUAAUUUGGAGGACAAUUUAAUUGAUUUGAUAAGGGAAUGCCCAAUGACACUUAUCCAAAAUAAUUUAAUCCGAAAUUGUAUCCCAAAUAGAUUACAGAGGCUUGAGGAAGUUGAAUACCCUUGGCUUAGGGGGAACGGAAACUGCAAUUAUAGAUGGAAGUAAGGUGUUGCAAUCAAUAGGAUCACUACCGUCCCUCAAAACACUUUACCUUUCGUGUACUAAUUUUACGGGAACAGUAGUUAAUCAAGGUAAGUAAAUCUUUUAUGUCGAAAAUAAUUGAAUUAAUAUAUAUAGCUAAAAUUUAUUGUUUUUACUUCUUUCUAAAUAGAAUUGCACAAUUUCACCAACUUGGAAGAAUUGAUAUUGUACAAGUCUGAUCUCCAUGUAAGCCAACUUCUGCAAGCAUCAUUCACUUCGUUAAAGAAUCUGUCAAUGCAUUAUUGUGUACUCAAGGGUGCCCUACAUGGUCAAGGUAAAUUACGGGUAUCCGAAGCUUUUAUGAUAUUAAUUUGAUAAUAAUUCUUUCUUUUCAAGUUAAUUUUUUCCCCUAAAAUAAGAUUUUUUUUCUUUUAAAUUUUAUAUAUUUUCAUUGUCCAAUAGUUCUAGCUUCUCUUAAUUGCAGGAUUCUUGAUUAAGGUUAAUGAAAUUUUAGUUCUAUUAUGUUAAGAAUAUUUCGAUCGCUUAGAAGAGUAAAGAAAAAUUAGUAAAUUAACCAAAACAAAAGGAUCAGAUUAUCCUUAUUCCCUUGCAUUAUGUGAUCAAUAUCAAAAUUAUAACCAUUUCUUGUUUAUUGCUUGUAGAUUUUCGUAAAUUCAAGAAUUUGGAACAUCUGCACAUGGGUGGGGCGCAGGUUGACGUCAACACCAGUUUUCUUCAAAUUGUCGGUGAAUCGAUGCCUUCACUUAAGUUUUUAUCACUGAUAAACUCUAGUAAAAAUAUUUGAACUAAUAAUAUCAGACAGCUGGCCUUUCUUUUCCUUGAGAUACUGAUUCGGAGUACUAAUAAUUUUUUACAAGUAAAGUUCCAUUAAAAUAGCAUAAGCCAUGACAAACACGUAUUGUUUAAUGGGCAUCCGUGAGACAAAGGAAUUGAUUAACCCAAAAGAUCAUAUGUACGGACACAACGUUUUAAUUAUUAACUUGUUUAAGUUUCUAAUCAACCUCUCUAAUCAAUCACAGCAAUUUUUCUUUUCCUCUAUCUCAAUCACUAAUUUCUUAAAGUGUAUACAAUUUUAGGAUGUUUGUAUUCUGAGAAGUUACACCAGCAGCAACCAAUUAUUUCGAAUGGAUCAGACUCAUCACGUAGAAAUAUUUAUUGUGGAUAUGAGGGAUAUUUUAAUAUAAUCUUAUUCCCACUCUCAUAUGACCGUGUAUAUUUAUAUGAAGAUUUAUUUCUUUGUUUUUUCAAUAAUAACGUGUAACAAUUGGAGUUUAAUUGAGUGGUUUUCAACUAAAUUUUAUUUAAUUGGCCACUCAAUUUUAAAUUUCAGGAGAGUUGAAAAUUUAAAAAUUAGAUUAAACUUUACUCAUUCUUUACCUUUCUAAAAGAAGAAAAAAGUACUGAUUUUUAAACAAUUGGCCGUUACAGUCUAUAAAGUUUUGAUUUGCUUUUUUAUAUAAUCGCUUUUAUUAAAAGAAGAAAAAAAUAUCGAUUUUUAAACAAUUGGCCAUUAUGAUAUAUAAACUUUUGAUUGCUUAUAUAUAAUCUCUUUUAUUAUUCCCCUAAAAUAUUGUCGAUAAUAAAAAAAAAAAAAAAAGCAGUCGGCCUAUGUAGCAAUGCAUAUGUGGUAGUAUAUGCAAAAUAAUAAUUUAUAUAAAAUUAACCCACAAAAAAAAUGAUUGAUGUGAAUAUAGAGUAUAAUUUCAUAUUCAUACACUUUUGAUUUUGUUAGGGCAUAUACUAUAUUGAUAUGAGCAUAGGACAUUGUUUACUAAAUAAAAUUAUUAAUAGUUUUAGUCUUCUAGAAUCCCCUGAUAGUGCUCUUAAUCAAAUUAUAAUAUAAGUCAUUGCUUUUUCUUUUUUAUUUUACCAUUUUAUUCUAUUCACCAGAUGCAUUUUUAGUAAUUAUUUUCUAUGUACAUGGUAGUGUUUGAUUUAUUAAUAUUAAAGAAGUUAUCAAUCACUUUUAAGUUUUUAAGUGUUUUUAUUAGGUGUCAAUUUGUAUUGGCAUGUCAAGUAGAUUUUUUAUUUAUGUUUUGUUAAAUUUAUAUAGACAAGAAUCUGGAUUGUUUUGACACUUUUUAAUUGCUUUUUUUUAAAUCACUUGUUAACAUAUUUUAAAAAUAUUUGUACUAUUAGUUACUCAAAUUCUAAUCGAUUUCGGUCUAAAUUAGGAAAUAAUUUUAAAAUAUAUAAAACAUAAUAUAGAUUUAUAGAAUAAUCUGAGAAUAAAGAAGUCGAAAAUUGUCAUUUAUACAAUUAAACUACUCUUUUAUUAUUCACCAUUUUUAUAAAUAUUAUCAAACUAAAAGAUCUCAUUUAAUAGUCAUAUGGUCUUGUCUGAGCGAGAUUCGAUUCCUAAAUAAUAAUAAUAAUAAUAACAAUAUUUUAAGCAAUGUCUUUUUAACAGCAGUUCAAUCAUCUAAAUACAUCACUAACGAAGAAUAUAAUACAUAUUAUAUACAUAUUUAGAUCACACAAAACACGUUAUCAUCUAAAUCUCACUUUUUCUCCAAUAUGUAAUAAAUUCAUGGAAAAUUUUUGAGUGUUCAUAGUGUAUGCUCCCACUCUAACGCAACUCUCUCUCUCUCUCUCUCUUCUUUUUCACCUGAAAGCUUGUCUAAUUUGGUUACAUUCAUGCAUGCUUACAUAAUUAGGCUCUAAUGGAUCAUAGUGUUGCAAAUUAUUAUUUUAAUGAUACGAUCGAUAUAAGCCGUGACUUUAUUUAAGAAAAAUGCUUGUUUGAGUGCUAAGGAAAGAUAGCAGUUAAUGGUGGGCUGAGAAUAUUAAUAAACAGAAAUCAGCAACAAGAAAAGAGAAAAGAAUCACGUCUGCUGACCCAAAAAAGGGAAAUAAAAUGAUAAAAUCACUGUGCGCAACAAUGAUUGACACAAGAACUUUACUCUUCCAAGCAUUGGUCCUUUUCAUGUCUUUGCCUGCCAAUUUUAGCAAAAUGUUUAAAAGGAAAGAAGUGUUUGUGAAGAGAUUCUCUCUUUAUUAUUCUCCUCUGUGACACUGACACACAACACAAGUGAGCAAAUUAAAACCGAGAAUGUUUCUUUUCGCAGUGCUUAAAGCAAAUUAAAAGCGUGGUGACAUCUGCUCCUCAGCCUCUGUGCUGAAAGAGUUUAAAAAAUAAAGCUGAUCAAAGUGUGUAUGUGUGAGUGUAGGUGGAGUGCAUGGGAUCAGCAUAUAUGUGAUUUUGUGUUCAUCUGCAGUAUAGAAUGUGAUUCUUUUUUCCUAUCACUUUCUUCUAUGCAAGGAUCGUAAAAUGCUGUUCGGUAUGAUCAGCUGCUGGUACUUUUGAGCUUGCAGCAGCUUCCAAUGAUUUUAUUUCCAUCAAAUGACAGCAUAAUUUGCAUCAGCAAAUCCGAGAUGACAUGCCAGUUUUUGGGCUGUUCCAUUUCUAGAUAUAACAUCCAAACUUGAAUAUGUAUCUCAUUUGAACAUGUGUGAUACUGGAAUGGACACACGAGGAGUUGGAAUUUAAAUGAGGUAUCAUAUGCUUUUCUUGAAAGAAAUAACCAAUUCAGUAACGGCCUAGACAACUCUAGCCACUUCAAAUUGUCGGUUAAUUAAUGAUUCUCUUUCUCCCUCUCUCUCGCAUCUUAACUAAAUUUAAUUGAGAAUAUCUACAAUGCUAGCUAUUUAUAAACUUAAUGAAAGAUGAUAAGGAGCCAUUAUAAUGACAAACACAACUGUAAAAUAGUGCGUUGUUGUAGUGUUGAUUGAAAAAUAAUGCUAAUGUUUUACCUAACAACACUAUAACGCCGUAUAAUUUUUAAUAUGUACUUUAAACUAUCAGUACUCAAACUUAAUUUUUAAUAUGUACUUUAAAGAUUUUAUGCAAUUAUUUAAGUUUUAUGCAAUUAUAUUUUUCAGGACUUUGUCGGUUAGUGCAUCUGCAAGAGUUAUACAUCAGCAGUAAUGAUUUGAGAGGUAGCUUGCCAUGGUGCUUGGUAAACAUGACAUCCCUCCAAGUGUUAGAUGCCUCUUCCAAUCAACUUAUUGGAAACAUCUCCCCAGGCCUUUGUGAGUUGGUGCUUCUGAGAGAGUUAUACAUUCAUAACAAUGAUUUAAGAGGUAGCUUGCCUUUGUGCUUGGCAAAUUUGACUUCCCUUCGAGUAUUAGAUGUCUCUUACAAUCAACUUACUGAAAACAUCUCCUCAUCUCCCAUCAUGCAUCUAAUAUCUAUUGAAAAGCUCAUACUUUCAAAUAAUCACUUCUUCCAAAUCCCUAUUUCACUUGAACCACUUUUCAAUCUCUCAAAACUCAAGACUUUCGAUGGUGAAAUAUGCGCAGAAACUGAGUCACAUUAUAAUUCUUUGACCCCAAAAUUCCAACUGACUUCUAUCUCACUGUCUGGUUACAUAGAUGGUGGCACAUUUCCCAAAUUCUUGUUCCAUCAACAUGACUUGAAGAAUGCUGAUCUCUCACACCUUAACUUGAGUGGACAAUUUCCAAAUUGGUUGCUAGAAAACAAUACAAACUUGGAGACGCUUCUUCUUGCCAAUAACUCUCUUUUUGGAUCAUUUCGAAUGCCAAUUCAUUCCCACCAGAAUUUAGCAAUAUUGGAUGUCUCCAACAAUUUCUUUCAAGGCCAUAUCCCGGUAGAAAUCGGAACAUAUCUGCCAGUCUUAAUGGGUUUAAACUUAUCUAGAAAUGCUUUCAACGGUAGCAUUCCCUCUUCAUUUGCUGAUAUGAAAAUGUUGGGAAGGUUGGACAUAUCGCACAAUCAGUUGACUGGUGAAAUCCCAGAGCGCAUGGCCACGGGUUGCUUCUCAUUAGAAAUUCUUGCAUUGUCAAACAACAGUUUGCAAGGUCAUAUAUUCUCUAAAAAAUUUAGCUUGACAAAUUUGAUGACGUUGCAGUUGGAUGGUAAUAAAUUCGCUGGAGAGAUCCCAGAAAGCUUAUCUAAGUGCUAUUUGUUAGAAGGAUUAUAUCUGAGUGAUAAUCAUCUCACUGGUGAGAUUCCAAGAUGGUUGGGUAAUUUGUCAGCUUUGGAAGAUAUUAUAAUGCCCAAUAACAAUCUUGGAGGGCCAAUUCCAAUCGAGUUUUGUCAGCUUGAUUCUCUGAAGAUUUUAGACCUUUCAAACAAUAGUAUUUUCGGAACCUUACCAUCUUGUCUUAGUCCAGGAUCUAUUGAACAACUUCAUUUGUCAAAAAACAAGAUAGAAGGACGAUUGGAAAGUAUAAUCCAUGACAGCCCUUAUUUGGUGACAUUAGAUCUUAGUUAUAACAGCUUACACGGAAGUAUUCCAAAUCGGAUUGACAGACUACCUAAGUUAAACUACCUUCUUUUGGCUAAUAAUUAUAUUGAAGGCGAAAUACCAGUUCAAUUAUGCCAUUUGAAGGAAGUGCGGUUGAUUGAUCUUUCUCAUAAUAAUCUAUCUGGUCAUAUUCCUCCUUGCUUGGUUAACACUUCACUCAGUGAAGGUCAUCAUGAGGCAGUAGCUCCAACUCCAAGUGGAUCUCCGAUGGGAAAGGAAGAAACUGUUCAGUUCACAACAAAGAAUAUGUCCUACUAUUAUCAAGGAAGAAUUUUGACGAGUAUGUCUGGGAUUGAUCUUUCUUGUAACAAACUGACAGGUGAGAUUCCUACUCAAAUUGGAUAUCUUACUAGGAUUCAUGCACUAAAUCUAUCUCAUAACAAUUUGACGGGCACAAUCCCGACAACAUUUUCAAACCUGAAGCAAAUCGAAAGCUUGGACCUCUCCUACAACCUACUGCAUGGGAAAAUCCCUUCUCAGCUCACUGUGCUAAAUACAUUGGCGGUCUUCACGGUAGCAUACAAUAACUUAUCAGGAAAAAUUCCAGAUAGAGUUGCACAAUUUUCAACUUUUGAGGAAGAUAGCUAUGCGGGGAAUCCUUUUCUUUGUGGAUGGCCACUGUCUAAAAGUUGCAAUGAUAGUGGAUUAUCAGCAGUGACACGAGAAGCUUACACUGAUAAUGAAGAAGGUGAUAGUUUAAUUGACAUGGACAGUUUCCUAAUCACUUUUACAGUAUCUUAUGGAAUUGUGAUAUUAGGAAUUAUUGGAGUUUUAUACAUAAACCCCUAUUGGCGACGAAGAUGGUUUUACCUUGUUGAAGUAUGUAUGAUCUCUUGCUACUAUUUUGUAGUAGAUAAUCUUAUUCCUAGAAGAUUCUAUGGUGGAUGGAUGUAAUUUCAUUUACUUUACAACUUAUAUGUAAUUUUUAAAGAAUUUUCUUUUGCAUGCAUGGAAUAGCAACUCAAUAAAAGUAUUUGAUGCAAAUUGUCCAAGAACAACUUAGUAAUUUCAUUGCUACUAUUCGGUUGUAUAUAUACAGUUAAUGAAAUUUUUAAUCAUUCGCAGUAGGAAUUUCUUUAAAUGGCGGCCAAAACUAACAGAUUUGGGGCUCUACCUCUACACAUCAUAACAGGCAAAAGGUCUCUCUUUUACACUAUCUGAAUGAAGAUUAGCUUACGCCCCCUGGAGUUCUCUAUUAAACUUGACGGUUGAGAUUUCAGGUCCAGAUGAAAGUGAAAUGCAGGCGACGAGACUACACUUUAAGUAAACUGGGACAAACUUAAAAUAAAAAAAAUUGUAGUCCAGGGUGAGAGUGAUGGGUAGCUCAACUUAUGGAGGAUAAUUAGGACUUGGAAUAACUAUCAGAUUUGCAACUCUUGUUAUAUGCUAGUGGGGAUUUAGGUAGCAAUUUUUUUUUUUUUCCUUUUUGCCCUCUUCCUCACAAUAAACACACCUAACACACCAAGCCGUGCCCAAAAUAAUCCUAUUUUAUUCAUGUCAUGAAUCCAAAAACUAUCCCAGCUCACUUUGUUUAACCAGCAUAACUAAAUUGUGGGUAUAAAUGAACACACUUUCGAAGCCUGUAACUUAUAAUAAGCUCAAACCCAAAAAUGACAUUUAAAUCCUGCAAGUGUUUUUCAUCAUCCCUAACAAAAAGAAACAAGAAUAAUUAUAUACCAAUAGUUUUUCCAUAAAAAAUACUGAUACCAAUAGUUUUUCCAUAAAAAAUACUGAUUUGAGUUGAAACACUCUACAAACUGGAUUUUAUACACUUGCAGAAAGCUACGCGAUAGACAAAAUCUAGCAGCUACAUAAUGGUAUCACUUUCAGCUGGUCAUGAAUGGUGUGCAUUCAGCAGUGCUCGAUAGACCAUGUCUAUGAAUUGAUUGUCCUAUUACAUAUAAAAGCUGGUCAGAUAUACAAGGAAAAAAAUAAUAAUUGAAAAUGCAUCACAAAAAAUAAGUGUCUCGCAUUAGUGUUUGCACUCUAAGCAUGGCAAAGUGGUGCGGGUUCAUGAUUUUGAAGACUGGGAUAAGUGAAAAAUAGUUCAAUCCACUGAUGAACAUAAAUUUAUUUACAUGUCAAUUUAGAUAUCAUAAAAAAGUAAACUGUAAUUCACAGUCACUUAAAAGAGUUGAUAAAAUGCAUGCCAUGAAUGCAUUUUUGUACAUAAGAAAUCCAAAGAGUAUUUCUGACAAUACAAAUAUGCUAGCUUUAAAUCUGCUGUCAAUAUGCAAUUAAGAAGAUUAUAUCAGCUGCAUGAUAAAGUUCCCCUAAUCUUAAUAACAGUAAACAUGAACAUGUCAGAUGCAAUUAUAGCUUCGAGCAUUUGCAUAACCAGAAAUCCUAACCUGAACAAGCACCAGAAGUGUCUCUCGGACUUUCUCCUUGUUGAUAAAUGGUCCGCUGUUUGAAGUAAGAGCAGGAGUAAGAGAUGGUGGAGGGGUUGGUAGUGGAAAAGGUUGAAGCAUUGGGGCACCAUAUGGGCGUUGCAGACUCAGGGGAGGAUUAAGUGGCGGAGCUGUUGGUGUAGAUGAAGAGACAAGCUGCAUCAUCUGUGCAUAGGAGGAUGGAGGAGGAACAAAGAAUAAGGAAGGCUUUACAAGAUUAGGGGUAGGUGCUGACAGAGGUGGAGAUGGUAUUUGCAAGGUUGGCACGAUAAGAGAAGCAACACUGGCGGGAUGAGAAGGUAAAGAAAUAGUUGUAUUGGACUGGUAAGGUUGUGCAGAGAUUGCUGCAUUAGAAGUAUUCCCCACAGUCAAAGCUGUCUGCAAUGAUAAGGACAGAUGUCAUAUACAAGGACAUGAUAGAAGAUGAACCUCACACAAAAAUGAAGUGAUAACAUAUGAAAAUAGUAUGACUUGCUGCAGUUUUGUGGUAAUGUUGCAUACUUAUGCAGAAACAUAUUAUUUCAAAGAAAACAUACACUGAAGUAGUUCACAAAAGCAGGAUCUUCAGGAACAUCAGCAGCAUUUGAGGGAGUUGACUCUAGAGGGACCAUCCAUAACUGCCAUAGUUGGAACAGCUUCCAGUUCCUCAAACUCACUGCAGUUUAACAUAAAAGGAACUUGAUGACCAAUUUAAGUAAUAAUUAGAUGAUAUAAGAGGUUAGGGAAAAUGAUGAGUGGACCCUUAUGGAAGGUGAUUUCACCUUAACUAAACACGAAAAUAAAAAGAAAUCAAAGCUGAAUCCUCGAGUGCAAUGCAAAGAAUUUUUUCUCGCUCUUCUCUAACUCCUCUUAUUCGAAAUUGCUCAUCAUUGUGCUGUUCUUAGAGUUUUCACUAGAGUAGAGAAAGCUAUUCUCCCGUUAAGUACAGAGGAAAGAGAAGGGCAAGGGCCUGGUAUGAUGCUAUUCUAUAGGAAGUGAGAAGGUGAAGGGUUAAAAUAUUUUGUAAUUUGGAGGUGGUGUUUGUUAGUGUGUGUGUACUUCUGAAUUUAUUACCUCUUUAGGAUCCAUAGAAAUUGCCUCUUGUUCAGCAUACACUGUGCCUACGAGUAAGACGAGCUUGCAUGGUAUCUAUUGUCUAUUUACUUGGAUAUUCAAACAUGACUACCAGCAACCAAACACAAAUCCCCAAACAAAACACUCUUUCAAGUGCAAGGAAAGAGUAACUUGGGCAUAUUUAUAGUUCAAGCACUACAAUAACUAAGAAUGUGAUGACUGUCCACAAACACUAUAUUAGUGCCUUUUGAACUACAUUACAUGCUCGAAGACUUUUUUUUUAGUCAUACAUAAAUUAGCUAUAAAAUUAAGACCGUUAUACAACUAAAAAGAAAGAAAAAUUGUUUGCUACUACAUAUCAAAACUGGUAAUAGCAAUGUAAGAUGGCAGACUUCUUACUUAAACAGAUGAGAGGCUACAAAUAAAAAAUUUGUGCAAAUAAAAUAUAUGAUAAAGAGCAUAAUACUUUCUUGGGGGCUAAAAAUAAUAUACAACUUGUGAAAUAUAAAUUGAGCUACCAUUACCUUUUAGAUGUGGCAACUUUCGACUUUUGAGGCACCUUGGAAUAUGCAUUCAGAAUCCUGCAUUUGGAAGCCAAAUAAAUAAUGUUAAUAACAAUUUUACAAUAGAAAAAUUAAAAAUUGAUAAAUGGCAGUUGUAAUUUAUGUAUGCGUAAAGAUAGCUUCACAUCCAGGGUCCUCCCAUAAACAUGCUUGUAACAAGAAUUAGUUUGUCCAACUGUUAGCAACUGCUAACAAUGUACAAUAGUAAAAAUCACUCUCAUGAACUCAACAAUACUAGGCACCAAUAAGAGUAUGAUACAGCCAUUCUAAAAUGGAAGAGAAUACAACUGUUUUACAACUAUGUUGCAUCAGGAAUUAUGUUAGGAGGAUUAAUCCAGAUACCUUCCAACCCAAUUAGGAAAACUCGAGUCAGAAACCAGGAGCCACAACCGAACCUUACAAUCUUGAAGGAAGAAGGAGACUUGGGGCAUUUUUCCAGAUAGGUGACUUACUAGAUCUCCUGCCAAGAGAAUAUCUAUUGCUUUGAACCUCCAUUGAAAUUUCUUUUCCCUUUUUCUUGUUUUGGCUUGGAACUUUCCAGCAUCAUCUAUUUGAUCUUUUUUAAAGCUAAAAAAGCAAUCUAUGGGUUGUGAACAUCUUAUCACCACCCCCCCCCCCCGGGCCCCCCAAAAAAAAAUCAAUGAGUUGUCAAUAAAUAGCGCCUACUCAAAUGUUUUCCAAUGGAUGACAAUGUGCAAAUCGACCUAGCAGCCACAUUUUUCCCCCCUUUCAACCACCAUUAGGCAACUUUUUUAACCUUUCUUCAUUGCCCACGUCUACAGAACUAUCAUAUAAAGACUACAUUAUUAUUGGGAUAGAGAAAAAUAUACAGACUGUAUUAUUAUAUCUCAUUUUAUUAAUUAACUAGUGCAAGACUUAUUUAGUGUCAAAUCAAGAACUAAUUGGAAAAGACAACUCAUGAUAAUACAGACCUUAAAAAGCAAUAGCUAGCAACACCCCAUAUACUCCUAUUUUAGCCUUUAAUAUCCUGGUAAAAACACAAUUAAGUCUUGCAAAAGAACAUUCACAAGUAAAUUCAACAUUAAUUAAGAUUAAGUAUCUACUGCACCUUCAAUCAAUGACUGGGUGAAUAGCAUGGUCAACCAUCUAGUUCCUGUAGCCCUCCUUGUACCUAUGUUGGUUACAUUUUACAUAUUAAGCCACGAAAAUGAAGGAUCACAGCCUGGUAAAGAAAGCCAUUAAUUAAUAGUGUUUGUUUAAAAAGUUCUCGUUUAGAUCUUUCCUAUUCAAUGAAUCAAUGUCAUCCAUGGAGAACUCUUCCAUUUCAAGCAGUGUUAGAAGAUAAUUGGAAAGCCUAAAGAUAGUAUACAAGGACCAAGAUAUCGAUUAGGUCAAAUAGUGAAUGUCAAAUAUAAAAAAUAAAUAAAAGAAGUUGUACAUGAUCAUUUACUAUCAAGUUCUGUAAAAUUGAAAAUACCAUUAUCUCUGUAGAGAUUCUCAAACAACUCUUUAGCAAAUUAUAAAAUAGUUAAAAAAAGAACAAAAGUUUUUUUUUAAAAAAAGAACAUCCAUAUCAGGAGAUGUUUUUCUUCUCAAUCUCAAUAUUUUCUAGCCGUGAAGCAAUUGAAAAGCUUAACACCAAGUGAAUUAUUAAGAAUUCAUCAUUUAAAUUCCCAAAUCGCAAAAUGUUGGUGCAACUAGGAAAGUGCAAAUGCAAUCACUUAACUAACACAAGAAACACCAAUAGUGAGAGCCCACUUUGUAUCAAAUUUGAAACAGAUAGAGGUCAAAAAAAUUAUACACUCAAUUAAAAGCCUUUCAAACAGCUUUUGCAUGGAACAAGAACAAAUCAAAGGCGAUGUGAAUGUAUUCAAAGACUAAUUUACAAUGAUCUACAGGACAUAAAUAUCUUGGAUACCUACUCUCUAUACCUUACUGUCCCACUAGAAAUCAUCAAAUCCCUCCAAACAAAAAUGACAAAAUGGAUAAGAAUUGUGUCGUUAAACUUCAAUAACUUAGCAGCCACAGCAAAAACUUAUGUAGGCACGCAAGCCAUUCAAAAUAGUCAUAUUGUUUGCUUUCCAAACAAAAGCCACUUUGUAAUGAAUAUUCAUAAAUUGCUACUAUCAUGUUUGUUAAAACACGUGAAAACCACCAUAACUAACUAAAUGUAACUGAUGAUCAUCAUCAAGUUCAUGGAAUCACAUAUCUGACAGUAUUAAUUAGUGCAAAUGGCAUGCUUCUUAAAACUCCGUAUUUAUCACAUGGGCGCCAUUCCAAUCAACCAAUGAUUCUGAUCUAGUCGGCAUAUUCAACCCACGAGCGAGUAAUACCUCCUAUUGCUUCUUUACAUUUCUCAACGAAAUUCCACAUUCUAACCAUACUUCUGAACUUGUUGCUCCCAUAGACUAAUACAAUAUAAAGAUUUCUUCCCACACCACCUCAGCCCACACUCCUGAAAAACCAAUUUAAAUUCUCAUUGGCUGUACAACCUAUAGUCCAUACCAAAUUGAAAAAUUUACAAAUAUAGAACCUCAAAGAAUCUUCUUGCAUUCCAUUUUUUACGGCAAGAAAUUUGACUUUUACCACAUGCAAGUCAACAAAUAAAAAAAUCAUGUCUUUGUGAGAUGCACAUUUUCAGACGAAUCUAAAGAGCAAUGAAACCGUAAAAACCGAAUAUGAGAACACCGAGGACUCCAGAUAUCACCUAUAGAAUCUUUGGUCCACACUUGCACGAUGAAAAUGAUGAAAAACAAUUGAAGGCUUCAUCACCAGCUCCCCAGGUUGUUUUGUUCUCCUAUCUCCUAAAUAUAAAGGAAACGCAACCCGUUCUUUUUUCCAAUCUUAAGGGGCACAAAACGACUCUGGUAUAAAAUAGUCAGUUUCUAUACAAAAAUAACUCCUUUGCACUUGGCAUUGCACAUCUCGAAAUAAAAAGCAUGCUAGAAAGAGAAUAUAAUAGCAUUAAACAAGUUUUAUUAACCAAACUUCAAAGAUGCCACACAAGGCAAAAAUGGAAUCUGUACAAGCCAGAUUCCAAGAAUAAUAAUUCCAAUAUACAAUUCAGGAAAACAAUAACUAAAACUAGGUUCACGAGGCCUCGGCAGAAGCAACAUGUAAUAACCAUACUCUAUUAUUUGAAACACAUUUCUAAGUUUGGUUAAGAUUCUAAACUAUUCUCUGUGUCAAUUAUUAACAUGUAAAACAUAAUAAUAUACACUUAAACUACUACACAAACUACUACACUAGUAAAACCAGUAAAACAACAAUACCUGCUGAAAAGAUUUGCUACCUCUUCACAUUCACGAGCAUUGUAGAACCAAAUCCCAUUUACUUCUUGGGAUGCAUUUCGAUAUAACAAAUACGGAACCUGAACUUCAAACUCAAAAUCUCCCAAAAGAUUUUCCACUAAAUUAUCUGCACAUAUACAAGAUAUUGAAGCUUAUGAGUGCAAAAACAUAUACAAAAAGACAUGAAGGUUAGAAGACAUAACUAAAACUUAGCAACAACUGAUAAGCACAACAAGACAUGAAAUAUAACACUAGUUGUAAACAAGAUAGACACAUGGUAUCUAAAAAAUUGUACCAACCCCCUCUCCUGAUUGUCAUAAAACGGCCAAUAUUUAACCCUAGACAACAAAAUUGCAAAUACUCUAGCCUCUAUAUUAUUGGCAUAUAAAUAUUUUAGGUUAGGUACGUUAUAUUCUUCGUUCUAAAACCUCAAUUAUUAGCUAGUACUGUGAUAAAAUGAUUCAUCACUGAAAUUAAAACUAGUUCACGUACAAAUAAUCAAAACUGAAAUAGAAACAACGACAAACCAACCUGUAUUACGUCGAUUCAUUACAACAAACUGAAAUCGAGGCUGUGUGUUCCUGAAAAUUGAAAAAAUAAUAAUUUCACCAACUUCAUAUGUGAUACAAUCUCCAAAACACCGAAUAUCAAAUGAAAAAAUGGAAAGCAUAAGAGAGAAAAGAAUCUAAUUUUAUUGACCUUUUGACGACGAAGAGAGAUCCUUCAACAUCCCUACGACUCCAUUGGCUGAGGUCGAUGUUGAACUCGUAGAAGGUGACAUGAGCGGCCGUGAUGAGGAUCUCCUCAAUGAAUGGAUCGAAUCGCUGAAGAACUGUCAGGUUUAGGAGUUUUGUGCUCUGCUGGUCCAGAUUAGGCAUCAAUUUUCCGUUCUGCGACAUUUUUUAUAGUCGUUUUGGGCUCUGCCCCGAUCACUAGCCCUCAUGUUUUUCUGUGAGCUCUCUCUCUUUUGUAAAUAAAGUGUUUGAUGAGAGCGCCGAGAGAGAGUGAAAGAGUUGAACAGCCAAACAAGGUGAGGUGAACAGUUUCGGACUGAGACUCGAGAUUGGUCAAGCUUUAACUUCUUUCAAACAUUUGGGAAAUAGCAUUUAUUUCUUUCAAUUUCUCUACUGUUUUUUUCCUUUAUGUCAUUUAGACCCCAAAAUUAGAUUUAUUAUAAUCAUAUUUUACCCAUUCACUAUUAACCCCUUUUAUUUUUUAAAUUGUCAAUAUAUAAUGUAUUAGAAUAAUGUUAGAAAUCCCAAUAAUUAUCUCAAUGUUUCAAUCAUAACUAAUGUGAUAACUCAUCGGUAAGUGCAACAUUAACUUAAUUAUUAAUGUUUAUCAUGAAAUGAUGAGAUUAUUAUUCAAGAAAAACUUAGUAAACAACAAUGACUAAUAUAAUGUGACAAUUACAGCUGAAUAUUAGUACAAUAAUUAGAAUCCCUAAAGUUAGUGAAUGUAUUAUAAUAUAUGUGUGUUACACCACUUUAUGUCUCUCAAAUUCAAUUAAGUACUUUUAAAAACCUGACCUUUUAUUACUUUAAUUAGGAAUGCAUACAUGAACGAAAGAUGUGCAAUUUUUGUUCUAUUUUUCACUAUUAUUUACCAUACAUCUACGUACGUCACUUGAUUUUUUGCGAUUAAUAUGCUUAAAUGGAGGUAUAAAUAAAAUAAACGAAAAGUCUAAGAGAAAAAAAAAUAUCUUGAUGUUAUUGUUUGCUAAAAGAUGUUAUGAACAACUAAAUAACCAACAACCCUGCUUCGGUGAGUGUGCAACAUGAGGUGCUUGACGGGAUAUUUACUUUCGAUGAUACAACUAAAGCUAGCCGCAACAUAUAUCAGGUGCCUGCUUGUUUUUACCUUCUAGAUACUAAUAUUGUUUUACAGGUUGCCAGUGUAACAUUCGACUUGCUGUUGCUUCUAGUGUUGGGAUCGUGUUUAAUUGUGCUUUUCAGCUUUCUUGUCAUAACAACUUGGGUAUUAAUCUUUCUCCAUAUCAAGCUUGAAGUUCUAAAUUUCAGUUUUAUCUUGUAUUUGAUGUUUUAUAAUUUCAUUGCAAACAGAUUAGAAUAGAAACUUCAAAAGUUCCAACUGACUAGUCCCGUGUAACUUUUUCAGGGAAUAUUUUUGAACGUGAAGAACUAGCUUAAUUUUUUUUAUGUUACUUUCUUACCCUAUCUUUGUAUAACUCCGAGCGAGAUUCACGAAGAUUGAAUCCUGCCUACGAUUACGGCGAGCAAUUUAGCAGUGAGGCAACCGAGGUCGUUUACAUAUUCAUUUUCAUCUAGGUUAACAUGAGCUCCAUUUGCGUUGAUUUAAUAUGUUAUUUGAUAAAAGAAAUUGAAUUCAUGACUUACUCUGAAUGUAACAUAAGCUCCAUUUGCGCUGAUUUAAUAUGUUAUUUGAUAAAAGAAAAUUGAAUUCAUGACUUACUCUGAAUGUGACCAUCAUUGGAGAUUAUAGAAUUCAAGUCACAGAAAUCUAUGCUUAUCAAAGUAAUUUGGAUAAUUAAGAAAACCACAAAGGUCCAGAAAACUUCUAGAGAGAUGAAGAAAAAUGUUUUCACGUGGUGAUUCAUUUUAACUAAUUAUAUACCCAAACGCGUAGCAGGAGGCUGACUGGCCAUUCCCCAGAUUCAUUUGACCAAACAGCGUAUCAUUCAUAUGUUUGCCACCGACCUACUUCGUGACACGCCAUCACCUCGCUUGUGGAUAAGCUCUAUCUUUUAAAAUAAUUUUAUUGUGAAUAAUUUUAAUUAUGAAAUUGUAAUUAAACAUAGUUAGUUACUCGAAGAUUGUGCAUGAAUUACGAUGUAUCAGAAAACAGGAACACAUAGUUUUCAACAAUUGAUCCUAGGAAGAUGCCCAUAGCUUGUUGUGCCAAAAAUAGAAAAUCUAAGAUGUGAAAAAAUUUUGUUGAGAUUCAUUUUUCAUCCUGAUGUUACAGCUGGCCUUUUUUUUUUUUUUUUUUUGGCAGAGAAUAAUGCUUAUGUGAUUUCUGAACUUGGUUACUGUUGAAAUGAGCUGAAAAUGAGCUGGAAAUGUGUUUGGUUAAUGAGAAAGAGAGCGAGAAAAUGAAAGAAAUCUAUUUCACUUUUUGUUUAUCAGAAUGAUUACAUUCACAAUGAAUCUAAGCUGAUAUUUAUACUUAAAUGAAUACACACGAGAUUCUUCUUGCUAGAUACUUCUAGAAACUCUACACGCACACUCACACUGAGCUAGUGGUUACUAAAACCGUUACAACAAUAUUGCCAGCUCAGCAUAACCAACUUAUAACUAACACACUCAGCUGCAGGGGAAACCAUCAAGCAUACGGUGCAUCCUCUGUAAUCAAGCUUCUUUAAGCAUGCUCUGCAGAUCAUACGUCUGAAUUAUCGAAACAAGAUGAAUUAUUUUUUGUUUAUUUUAGCAGGCGAUCUAUGAUCGGAAUUUCUUGCAACAAAAGAUGUGUGUCCACCAGCUUGUAUUCAAUUCGCGAACACAGUUUGAGAAGAAUCAGACCAUUAAUUUUCUUUUGAGCCAAUCAACAGAAUGUACAUUUCUUCUAAGAACCUGUAACCGAAACCGCAGUUUUUCAGGUUUGCUCCUUCCUCAUAGCAGUUAAUCAAACGAUAAACAGAGAUAUCCCAUGUCAACAAGAAGGUAAUCAUAAAAGAACAACAGAAUUGUUGCAACAUAUUCAUAUGAAAUGUAAAACAAUUUUGAGAAAAAAUAUUGGGAAGAUAUUUUUUUUUUCAUAGAAGUUGCAAUCUUUACGUUAUUUACUAGUUUGACUAGACUAUAUAAGGAAGCUAUAUGAAAUUAGAAAAAUAAGCUAUACUAGGAAAGAAUAAAUAUAUGUACAGAAAAUUAGGCUAUAAUCUCUGACUUUCAACAAAUUUAACAUCAAUUUUCUUCAGGAAGUUGUCUCGCAAGGGGCGCAUCAGUAUUGUAACAUCUGCUGGGUCUUACAUUAUCCACAAAAAUAACUCGUCCAUCUAGUACCUGCAAGUACAUACUCUGAGAUGCUUAAACUCAACAAUAUAAGCAUGGUAAAUUAGAGAAAAAUGAUGCAAUUUUACCUUCCCAUUCAUGUCUGCCGAGGCUUUUUGGGCUUCCUCUUCUGUACUGAAAGUCACAUAUCCGUAACCUUUUGAUCUAUUCUUACCUUUAUCCAUUAUUAUUGUAGCUGCAAAAAGAAAAGAAUCGGAUAUUACAAAAUAGUGAAGAGGGAAGAGGGGUUGAGACUUAAAACAGAAAUAGACCAAACCCUCAGUGACGUGGCCAAAUUGUGAAAAAGCAUCAGCUAACAUUCCUUUAGUGGUUGAGAAAGAUACGCCUGCAAAUGAUGCCAGUUAAUUUUAUCUUUUUUAGAUGGUAAGAUUGCAAAUUCUGCAGCCAAAGGUAGUACGGAGCUGAAUAAAGGAAAUCAAAUAUGAACACGUCUUCAAUCUCAAAAUAUUAAGAGUAGCCUAAGUAACUUGUGAAACAGUUAUAAGUUCAAGGGAAUUAGAUGAUGGCAUGGUUGAAUUUUAUAAAUAUUUGAUAUUUUGGACCGAACAGGGCAAACAGAUGGAUCCAGAUAAUCAAGAAAAACAUCAAUUCCAUGCAACCAAAUUAUUCGAUUGAUUAAUUGAGCAACACUAUAAAAUUAUUCAAAUAUGUGGCUCCGUCCGUUCCACCACCACAACCAAAAAAAUCAGAUCCCCCCAUUUGGAUUCGAUUGAUUAAUUUGAGCAUAUAAAAUCGGGUUUUAAACUUCCCUAAUCAAAAUUUAUAGUCCACAGAAUCAGUUCCUUUAACAUGAUGCAUUACAUAAUAUUUUGUUUGCAAAAUAAAGAAGAAAGAUGACAUAAUAGAAACACGCUAUUGCAUCUUUUGAAAAAGAAAAACGGAAUAGUUUUCCAAAAUUAAUUCCGAGAAGAAGAUUAACUAAUAAUGAUGUUAGAAAUUUUAAUAUUUGAGUCUUAAUAUUAUGUAUCACUCAUUUAUUAAAUAAUAGAUUUCAUAAUUUGUAAAAUUACUUAACCACUUGAUAAAUGUUAUAUUUGUUGGGACUUAAAUGUUGGAAUAUCUAGUAUUGCAUUAAAAAAUAAAUAAAAACUUAACAAUUUAUCUUCACUUGACUAAUUAUUUUUACAUUACAACUAACCUUAAUUAUUUUGAAAAUUACAGUAUUAUUAAAUUGCCCUAACUGGUUAUCAAAAGUUGAAAGCAUGUUAAAAUAAAAAAAAUUACUAAGAAACAUGUGCUUAAACAGAGGUUAAGGCUAUGAACAAUUAAGAAGAAAAUCAAUGUUGUUUUUUUUUUUCAAUUGAUUUCAAUUCCCACUGUUGUUUUUUUUAUAAAAUAAUUUAUUUAACUAGUCAUAGAAAUAAGAUAGAAAAGGGGGCAUUUGUUGACUCAAAGUCAAUUACAAAUAUUAAACUUGAGCGGACAUCGCAUGCCUAACUUCCACGCCCCCUAAAACGGUUUGAUUUGCUUUCACGCGAUCAUGAAUUUCCAUGAAAGAGCCUGCCUUUCGUCUCUUUCGGGACAGUGACUUCAAUUAUGGAAAAAUUUAUAAUUCUCGUUAGAUUGUAACUAAAUUAUUAUCCCUAAUUUUUUUAAGUUAAACAAAAUAAAAUUUAUGGUUAAGUAUAAAUAAUACUUUGGCCAUUCUUGUUAUUUGUCCUUCUAAGAUCGACAGCAACCUAAUUAUUUAUUUGUUUGCCUUUUUUUUUUAAAUAACAAUUUGUUAGCAUAAAUAUUUACCUGUGAAGUCGAGAAGGAGAAAAUGUUAGAAAAAUAAAAAGAAAAAAAAUUAAGGGAGAUAGAAUCAGAUUUUCUUUUUUAAGCAAAGAACAUACGCAAAAAGAUAUUAAGUCUAAUUGUCUAUAACGGUAAAUUGCAUAACGAAUAAUUUAUCAGCGUAAAAUAAAUUUUAUUAGAUUAUGAGUGUUCUGAUUAUUUUCUAGAGUACGAAUUGCCCCAUCGUAAAAAAAAGGCCGAGAAAUAUAGCCUUUGCGAUGGCCUUUUACCGUGUCGUUGUAAAAAGGUUAGUAGUUGAGUACUAUUAGUAAUUUAAUGCACCAAUAUUGUGUAUUCCAUCUUAUCAAUGCCUGAUUUUAUAAAUAGAUUGCAAUGUAAUUUUGAAAAAUAAAACAAUAAUUUACGAAAUGCUUAUAACAUAAUUUUAAUUUUUUUCAAAAAGGAAAAACAGCAAAAGUAAAAAAUAGAGAAUGAGGGCUACAAACUUUGCAUCUUAAGCGGCCGUUAGAUUAUUCGUAAAUGAAAGCAACGGUCAGAUAUUGGUGGAUUAUGGAAACAUGUAAUCAUAAGGAUUACCAGUUUUUUUUUAUUUUACAUUAAUAUAUUACAAUCAAAAUUCUAUUGGUAUUUACAACCAGAAUUUCAUUUGACUAUCUUUGAUAAUUCUAAACUAGUACAACCCAAAUUCUUAUUCUCAUAUAAUAUCAAAGAGAGAUAUAUAUUCUUCUCCUCUAUUAAUAAAGAGACAUUUUUACUUCUAUCCAAUUUAAAUAGAACAAGAAUUAAGUCAUUUUAAUAGUUAGGACUCAGAACUCAUACACGCUAGUUUGAGAGUGUGGAGUGUGACAAUGGGCCAAGAGACCAUUGACAAGUACAAAAAGUGAUAGAAAUUAAUUCAAACCGCUACACACGCUAUUGCAACCAAAUUGAGGGCACAUUUUUGUUUAUUUCGUUGAAAAGUAGUCUGUAAAAUUAACUCAAACCGCUACAUACGCUAUUGCAACCCAAUUGAGGGCCCAUUUUUGUUUAUUUUGUUGAAAAGUAGUUUGCGCAAUUAAUUCAAACCGCUACACACGCUAUUGCAUCUUUUGAAAAAGAAAAAUGGAAUAGUUUUUCAAAAUUAAUUUAUAAAAUAAGAUUUACUAAUAAUGAUGUUAGAAAUCUUAAUAUUUGAAUCUUAAUAUUAUUUAUCACUCAUUUAUUAAAUAAUAGAUUUCAUAGUUUGUAAAAUUACUUAACCACUUGAUAAAUGUUAUAUUUGUUGGGACUAGAUUGGGACUUAAAUAGUGGAAUAUCUAGUAUUGCAUAAAAAAAACUUAUUAAUUUAUCUUCACACGACUAAUUGUUUUUACAUCACAACUAACCUUAAUUAUUUUAAAAGUUAUAGUAUUAUUAAAUUGCCCUAACUAGUUAUCAAAAGGUGAAAGCAUGUUUAAAAAAGAAAUUACUAAGAAACAUUUGUUUAAACGAAGGUUAAGGUUAUGAUCAAUUAAUUAAGAAGAAACUUACUAUCAAAGGUUAAGAUUAUGAACAAUUUAAGGAAGUUAUUGAGUAGAGAAAGGGACAGAAUGGUUGUCUGAAUUGCCGGUGACAAGAAUGCUUGUGUUGUGAAAAGAAAUCCGAUGGUUUGUAUUUUUGUUGAAUUUUUCGCUCGCUUCAAUGACUUGCUUAUGCCCAAUAUAUUACUUUGCACAGUAGUAUUUGGGAUCCUAACAAUCAACUCUUAAUUUGGUCCCAAUUAGUAUAGUAAUCAUCUAUUGAGCGGUAAAAUAUUAAUUUAAAUAGUCAUAAAAUCUAAUAUAUAAUAGAUUACUAACACACAUAAAUUAAAACUUAAUUUUCUGAAAUCAUAACAUUACUCUACUCUUCAGUGGAGUUCUCUUAAACAGAUUAUGUGAGAUUGCCUAUAUUAAAAAUAUGUUAAGACCUCUUGUUGAAAGCAAUAUUCGCUUUUUGAUUAUAUCCAUAACUUUGAAUUGAUGAAGUUGUAUUCAACAGCUCUUGAAAAGACUAAGCAUGUCUUCUUUGCAUUUGAUCACUGGUAUUUCAGUUAAGUUUGUCGUUUACUUAAAUUUUUCUUGCUUUCAAUUUCCACUGUUAUUUUUUUUUAAUAAAAUAAUUUAUUUAAACUAGUCAUAGAAAUAAGAGAGAAAAUGGGCCAUUUCUUGACUCAAAGUCAAUUAUAAUUAUCAAAACCUGAGGGGACAUCGCAUGCCUAAAUUCCACGCACCCUAAAACGGUUUGAUUUGCUUUCACACGUUCAUGAUUUUCCAUGAAAGAGAGUGCCUCUCGUCUCUUUGCGGACAGUGACUACAAUUAUGUUAACGUAACAAAUACAUAACGUUAUUACAUACAAGAAUAAGUUUUUGGAGCCGAGACUUGAGGGAGGUUCUAUCUAAUUCUAAAGAUUGUAACCAAAACAUUAUCCCCAAUUUUUUUUAAGUUAAAUAAAAUAAAAUUUAUGCUUAAAUAUAAAUAAUUUUUUAAAGUUAAAUAUAAAAUAAAAAAAUUCAUGAACUUCCAAGAAAGAAAGAAGACCCUUCACCUUCUUCGUGACAACAAAUGAUGUUGAUAUGACAAAUACAAGCGCUAUUACAGGGAACAGCAUAAGACCGAGACUUGAUAAAUAUUAAAUAUAUAAAAUAAGUGGGGCAAACGAACAGAAUAAUAGAUAUUUUAUAAUAUUCUUCAUAAACGUCCAAGUUUUGAGCUGGCCAAUAAGCUUAUCUAGUGAAGUAUGGGUAUCCACGUUGCCCAAGGUUCCGUUUGAAUCCAGGCUGUGUAGAUGUUUAUGACAAUCCCACAUGGACGGAGUGGAAAUAUUUUCAGUUGACUGAAUUAAAUAAAAAUAUAGUACAAUCAUAUUAUAUAUUAGCAGAAAAAAUAAAAAGAAAUGAAGAAAAACGCAUGCAGACUUAGACAAGUCAAUUAAAAGCUGGGAGUAUCAUCAGUUCAAUUGGUUAUAAAUAGCGUAGAGCCAUCCUCUCGUUGUUGCAGAACUGAAGGAAAGAGAGACAGAAAGAGUGCGUCUAGGUGAUUAUAAUUAAGAAGAUAUAAUGUGUGGUUCAAAAAGAGUGUGGGUGAGUGAGUUAAUUUUCAUAUUAUUAUUAGUAAAAGGGUGGUGGAGUGAGGGAUGUUUGGAGCAAGAGAGGUCUGCUCUCCUCCAACUCAAACAUUUCUUCAAUGAUGACCAACUUCUUCAAAACUGGGUAGACGAUGAGAAUUAUUCAGAUUGUUGUCAGUGGGAAGGGGUUGAGUGCAACAACACCACUGGCAGAGUGAUUAAAUUAGAUCUAGCAGUAACUCGGAAUUGGGAAUCAGCAGAGUGGUAUAUGAAUGCCUCUCUGUUUACUCCUUUUGAACAAUUAGAGUCUCUUGAUCUAAUAGGGAACAAUAUAGCUGGUUGUGUUGAAAAUGAAGGUCCUUAAUUUACUCUAUUUUAAUUCUUCCUCCUCGUAAUUAAGAAAACUUUAAAGUUACCUAUCCUAUUGGCUAAGUCAUUGUAUGUUUCCACUAGGAAUUAAGAACACUUUAUAGUCAAUUAGUCCCUUUUGGCUUUUGUUUAAUUUGUACGUGAUAUAAUAAAAUUAUUUUUUAUUUUUUGUCAGGUCUGGAUAGGUUAUCAAGGUUGAACAACUUGAAGUUUCUUUAUUUAAGCUCUAACUACUUCAACAACAGCAUCUUUUCAUCUCUAGGUGGUCUUUCAUCACUCAGACAAUUAUCAUUGGCUGCUAAUCAAUUGAAUGGAAGUAUUGAUAUUAAAGGUAAGCAAGCUUCAUCCCUUCUCCCAUGUCCCAUCUUUGUGGAUCUUAUUUCAUCGACCAGCUGGAAGUAUUGAUACGAGAUCUAGCUAGACUCUUGCUAGUGUAAGCUUCAAGGCUUUGAGUGCUACAAAAAUAGGUCUAAGAAAUUAUCAAUACAUAACGUUAUUACAUACAAUAAUAGUUCUAAAGAUUGUAACAAAAUCAUUAUCCCCAAUUUUUUUAAGUUAAAUAAAAUAAAAUUCACGCUUAAGUAUAAAUAAUACUUUGGACAUUCUUGAUAUUUGUCCUUUUAAGAUAAACAGCAACCCAAUUAUCUAUUUGUUUGUCUUUUUUUUUUUUUAAAUAACAGUUUGUUAGCAUAAAUAUUUACCUGUUAAGUCGAGGAGGAGAAAAUGUUAGAAAAAAUAAAAAGAAAAAAUUAAGGGGGAUAGAAUCAGAUUUUCUUUUUUGAGCAAAGAACAUACGUAAAAAGAUAUUAAAUCUAUUAAGUCUAAUUGUCUAUAACGGUAAAUUGCAUAACGAAUAAUUUAUCAGCGUAAAAUAAAUUUUAUUAGAUUCUGAUUAUUUGUUUGAUUUCUUUUCUCUCUGGACUCAACUUAUAUUGUUUAUUUGAUUUGAUUUUAUUAUUUUUUAAAGAAACUUAUUGUUUAUCAAUACUGAAUGGCUUAAGAUUGAUGUCUUGAUAAUAGAUGGGGCAAUAUUGCCUUUUUAAUGCAGUAGACUUUGAAGUUAUCAUUGACAAGCUUAGAUGAAUUACUAGGACCAUAAUACAAAUGUCACAGGCAUCGAAGACACUUACCAAGUUUUUAGUACAUUCCUGUUCCUAUCUAAUAGUUUUUAAUUUCUUUAAUUUAAGACCCCAUUCAUUAAUAUUUUCUUUAUUGUGAAGUUAAUUUUUUUUAUGUGAAAUUAAUUUUUUUUUUAAACAUUUUGUUGACUUAUAGUUUACCUUUGUGUUAAAUGUUGGCAAAAUUAUUUUGUCCAAACCAUUUUUUUUGUCCUGAACGUCCAACUAAAAACUGAAUCAAGGGUUAAGUUGUAAGGUUUCAGUUCGUCCGUUAUAUUAAUUUAUUGUUUUAAUAUUAUGCAGUACAAAUAGGUGUAUAAGUCCAUCAUUUAAAUACAAAAUGAAACCACAUCAAUAGAGAAAUUAAAAGAAAAUGAAUUCUCACAACCAUACGGUGAGAUUCAAACUCUCUAUCUCCGAGGAUUUCUUAAAGUCAUUCUUAAAUUAUACUUAAAUGGUUAAAUUUAAUAAAUAAAGGUUUAAUUCUUUUCUCGUACAUUGUAGAAGCAAAUUUUCUCCUCUGUUGAAAAUUCUAAAUACUUUUUUAAAUUAGGUUUCAACUAUGACAUAUCAGGAGAGAUUUGAUACAUUUCUAAUGCAACCGAUAUAACAACACAACUUUGUGAUUUUUACUAUUCAGGAGAAGAAGAACACAACCUGUAUAACCCAACCGUUUAUAUACAAACAUCGAAUCGCUUUUUAAAAUUAAAUUGGGAAAAUUGGGGAUAUAAUCGUUUUUCAUAUAUAUACAUUUUUUCCUUACAAAUUUAAAUUCAUGGUUGGUAGCUAAAUAUACCUGCUUAAAGCCACUCAGUCGAACCCUUUGAGAGCUGCUUUAAAUUUUUCGGAUUAGCCAUAUUCUUUUCACUGAGAUUUAACAUAAAAAAAGGAGAAAAUAAGUUAUUUAAUUAACUCUAUUUUAAGUGUUGGCAUAAAUACAGGACUCGAUUCCUUGAGUAACUUGGAGAUGCUGGACAUGAGCGACAAUGCAAUCGACAAUCUAGUGGUUCCUAAAGGUAUACAAAAUGUUCAAAUAUUUAUAAUUUGGAGGACAAUUUAAUUGAUUUGAUAAGGGAAUGCCCAAUGACACUUGUCCAAAAUAAUUUAAUCCGAAAUUGUAUCCCAAAUAGAUUACAGAGGCUUGAGGAAGUUGAAUACCCUUGGCUUAGGGGGAACGGAAACUGCAAUUAUAGAUGGAAGUAAGGUGUUGCAAUCAAUAGGAUCACUACCGUCCCUCAAAACACUUUGCCUUUCAUAUACUAAUUUUACGGGAACAGUAGUUAAUCAAGGUAAGUAAAUCUUUUAUGUCGAAAAUAAUUGAAUUAAUAUAUAUAGCUAAAAUUUAUUGUUUCUACUUCUUUCUAAAUAGAAUUGCACAAUUUCACCAACUUGGAAGAAUUGAUAUUGCUCGAGUCUGAUCUCCAUGUAAGCCAGCUUCUACAAAGCAUCGCAUCAUUCACUUCGUUAAAGUAUUUGUCAAUGGGAGGUUGUAUACUCACAGGUGCCGUACAUGGUCAAGGUAAAUUAUGGGUAUCUGAAGCUUUUAAAUUUUUUCUUUUAAAUUUUUUAUAUUUUCACUGUCCAAUGGUUCUACCUUCUCUAAAUUGUAGGAUUCUUGAUUAAGGUUAAUGAAAUUUUUGUUCUGUUAUGUUAAGAAUAUUUCGAUCGCUUAGAAGAGUAAAGAAAAAUAAGUAAAUUAACCCAAAAAAAAAAGAAAAGAACAGGACCGGAUUAUCCUUAUUCCCUUGCAUUAUGUGAUCAAUAUCAAAAUUAUAACCAUUUCUUGUUUAUUGCUUGUAGAUUUUCGUAAAUUCAAGAAUUUGGAACAUCUGCACAUGGGUGGGGCGCAGGUUGACGUCAACACCAGUUUUCUUCAAAUUGUCGGUGAAUCGAUGCCUUCUCUCAAGUUUUUAUCACUGACAGAUUCAAUUCUUAAUAAAAACACCAUUCUUGAUCAAGGUUAAUUAAUGAUUCUCCUUCUCCCUCUCUCGCAUCAUAACUAAAUUUAAUUGAGAAUAUCUAUCAUGCGAGCUAUUUAUAAACUUAAUGAAAGAUGAUAAGGAGCCAUAAUAAUGACAAAAAUAACUGUAAAAUAGUGCACUGUUGUAGUGUUGAUUGAAAAAUAAUGAUAAUUUUUUACUUAACACUAUAACGCUGUAUAAUUUUACAGUUAUUUUGUUGCCAUUACGUCAGAUUAUACUGUUCAACUAUCAGUGAUCAAACUUAAUUUUUAAUGUGUACUUGAAAGAUAUGUAAUUAUUUAUCUAUGUGUACUGAAGGAUGAAUUAUAUAUUUUUCAGGACUUUGUCAGUUAGUGCAUCUGCAAGAGUUACACAUCGGCGGUAAUGAUUUGAGAGGUAGCUUGCCAUGGUGCUUGGCAAACAUGACAUCCCUUCAAGUGUUAGAUGCCUCUUCUAAUCAACUUACUGGAAACAUCUCCCCAGGCCUUUGUGAGUUGGUGUUUCUAAGAGAGUUAUCCAUUCAUAACAAUGAUUUAAGAGGUAGCUUGCCUUUGUGCAUGGCAAAUUUGACUUCCCUUCGAGUAUUAGAUGUCUCUUACAAUCAACUUACUGAAAACAUCUCAUCUUCCCUCAUGCACCUAAUAUCUAUGGAAGAGCUCAUAAUUUCAAAUAAUCACUUCUUCCAAAUCCCUAUUUCACUUGAACCACUUUUCAAUCUCUCAAAACUCAAGACUUUCGAUGGUGAAAUAUGCGCAAAAACUGAGUCACAUUAUAAUUCUUUGACCCCAAAAUUCCAACUGACUUCUAUCUCACUGUCUGGUUACAUAGAUGGUGUCACAUUUCCCAAAUUCUUGUACCAUCAGCAUGACUUGAAGAAUGCUGAUCUCUCACACCUUAACUUGAGUGGAAAUUUUCCAAAUUGGUUGGUAGAUAACAAUACGAACUUAGAGACGCUUCUUCUUGCCAACAACUCUCUUUUUGGAUCAUUUCGGAUGCCAAUUCAUUCCCACCAAAAAUUGGCAAAAUUGGAUGUCUCCAACAAUUUCUUUCAAGGCCAUAUUCCGGUGGAAAUCGAAACAUAUCUGCCAGUCUUAAUGGGUUUAAACUUAUCUAGAAAUGCUUUCAACGGUAGUAUUCCCUCUUCAUUUGCUGAUAUGAAAAUGUUGGAAAGGUUGGACAUAUCCUACAAUCAGUUGACUGGUGAAAUCCCUGAGCGCAUGGCCACGGGUUGCUUCUCAUUGGAAAUUCUUGCAUUGUCAAACAACAGUUUGCAAGGUCAUAUAUUCUCUAAAAAAUUUAACUUGACAAAUUUAUUAAGGUUGCAGUUGGAUGGUAAUAAUUUCAUUGGAGAGAUCCCAGAAAGCUUAUCUAAGUGCCGUUUGUUAGGAGGAUUAUAUCUGAGUGAUAAUCAUCUCACUGGUGAGAUUCCAAGAUGGUUGGGUAAUUUGUCAUUUUUACAAGAUAUUAUAAUGCCCAAUAACAAUCUUGAAGGGCCAAUUCCAAUCGAGUUUUGUCAGCUUGAUUCUCUGAAGAUUUUAGACCUUUCAAACAAUAGUAUUUUUGGAACUUUACCAUCUUGUUUUAGUCCAGCAUCUAUCGAACAAGUUCAUUUGUCGAAAAACAAGAUAGAAGGACGGUUGGAAAGUAUAAUCCAUGACAGCCCCAAUUUGGUGACAUUAGAUCUCAGUUAUAACCGCUUACACGGAAGUAUUCCAAAUCGGAUUGACAGACUACCUCUGUUAAGCUACCUUCUUUUAGCUAAUAAUUAUAUUGAAGGCGAAAUACCAGUUCAAUUAUGCCAGUUGAAGGAAGUGCGGUUGAUUGAUCUUUCUCAUAAUAAUCUAUCUGGUCAUAUUCCUCCUUGCUUGGUUAACACUUCACUCAGUGAAGGUCAUCAUGAGGCAAUAGCUCCAACUUCUAGUUCGCGGGAUCAAGCGUCUGCCUCUGUACUUCCAUCUGAGGCUCCAAAUGGAUCUCCGAUGGGAAAGGAAGAAACUGUACAGUUCACAACAAAGAAUAUGUCCUACUAUUAUCAAGGAAGAAUUUUGACGAGUAUGUCUGGGAUUGAUCUUUCUUGUAACAAACUGAUAGGUGAGAUUCCUCCUCAAAUUGGAUAUCUUACAAGGAUUCAUGCGCUAAAUCUAUCUCAUAACAAUUUGACGGGCACAAUCCCGACAACAUUUUCAAACCUGAAGCAAAUCGAAAGCUUGGACCUCUCCUACAACCUAUUGCAUGGGAAAAUCCCUUCUCAGCUCACUGUGCUAACUACAUUGGCGGUCUUCAGAGUAGCAUACAAUAACUUAUCAGGCAAAAUUCCAGAUAGAGUUGCACAAUUUUCAACUUUCGAGGAAGAUAGCUAUGAGGGGAAUCCUUUUCUUUGUGGAUGGCCACUGUCUAAAAGUUGCGAUGAUAAUGGAUUAACAACAGUGACAACAGAAGCUUACACUGAAAAUGAAGAAGUUGAUAGUUUAAUUGACAUGGACAGUUUCCUGAUCACUUUUACAGUAUCUUAUGGAAUUGUGAUAUUAGGAAUUAUUGGAGUUUUGUACGUAAACCCCUAUUGGCGGCGAAGUUGGUUUUACCUUGUUGAAGUAUGUAUGACCUCUUGCUACUAUUUUGCAGCAGACAAUCUUGUUCCUAGAAAAUUCUAUGGUGGAUGGAUGUAAUUUCAUUACAUUACAACUUAUAUGUAAUUUUCAAAGAAUUUUCUUUUGCAUGCAUGGAAUAGCAACUCAAUAAAAGUAUUUGAUGCAAAUUGUCCAAGAACAACUUAGUAAUUUCAUUGCUACUAUUCGGUUGUAUGUAUACAGUUAAUGAAAUUUUUAACCAUUCGCAGAAUACCCUUAGGAAUUUCUUUAGAUGGCGGCAAAAAACUAAGAGAUUCGGGGCUCUACACGGUCUGAAUGAAGAUUAACUUAAUGCCCUCAGGAUUAUGUGUAAGUUCUCUUUUAAAUUUAAGGGGUUGAGAUUUCAGGUCCGGAUGAAAGUUGAAUGCAGGUGACGAGACUUCACUGGGACAAACUUAAAAUAAAAAAUUAUAGUCCACAGUAAGAGCAAUGGGUAGCUUAACUUAUGGAAGAUAACUAGAACUUGGAAUAACUUAAAUUAGCUAUAAAAUUAAGACCAUUAUACAACUAAAAAGAAAGAAAAAUUGUUUGCUACUACAUAUCAAAACUAGUAAUAGCAAUGAAAGAUGGCAGACUUCUUACUUAAACAGAUGAGAGGCUACAAAUAAAAAAUUUGUGCAAAUAAAAUAUAUGAUAAAGAGCAUAAUACUUUCUUGGGGGCUAAAAAUAAUAUACAACUUGUGAAAUAUAAAUUGAGCUACCGUUACCUUUUAGAUGUGGCAACUUUCGACUUUUGAGGCACUUUGGAAUAUGCAUUCAGAAUCCUGCAUUUGGAAGCCAAAUAAAUAAUGUUAAUAACAAUUUUACAAUAGAAAAAUUAAAAAUUGAUAAAUGGCAGUUGUAAUUUAUGUAUGUGUAAAGAUAGCAUCACAUCCAGGGUCCUCCCAUAAACAUGCUUGUAACAAGAAUUAGUUUGCCUCAACUGCUAGCAACUAUACAAUAGUAAAAAUCACUCUUAUGAACUCAACAAUACUAGGCACCAAUAAGAGUAUGAUACAGCCAUUCUAAAUGGAAGAGAAUACAACUGUUUUACAACUAUGUUGCAUCAGGAGAUAUGUUAGGAGUUUUAAUCCAGAUACCUUCCAACCCAAUUAGGAAAACUCGAGUCAGAAACCAGGAGCUGCAACCGAACCUUACAAUCUUGAAGGAAGAAGGAGACUUGGGGCAUUUUUCUAGAUAGGUGACUUACUAGAUCUACUGCCAAGAAAAUAUCUAUUGCUUUGAACCUCCAUUGAAAUUUCUUUUCCCUUUUUCUUAUUUUGACUUGGAACUUUCCAGCAUCAUCUAUUUGAUCUUUUUUAAAGCUAAAAUAGCAAUCUACGGGUUGUCAACAUCUUAUCCCCCCCCCCCCGGGGGGCCCCCAAAAAAAAAACAUCAAUGAGUUGUCAAUAAAUAGCGCCUACUCAACUUAUGUUCUCCAAUGGAUGACAAUGUGCAAAUCGACCUAGCAGCCACAUUUUUCCCCCCUUUCAACCACCAUUAGGCAACUUUUCUAACCUUUCUUCAUUGCCCACGUCUACAGAACUAUCAUAUAAAGACUACAAGAUAGACGCACGGUAUCUAAAUAAUUGUACCAACCCCCUCUCCUGAUUGUCAUAAAACGGCCAAUAUUUAACGCUCGACAACAAAAUUGCAAAUACUCUAGCCUCUAUAUUAUUGGCAUAUAAAUAUUUUCGGUUAGGUACAUUAUAUUCUUCGUUCUAAAACCUCAAUUAUUAGCUAGUACUGUGAUAAAAUGAUUCAUCACUGAAAUUAAAACUAGUUCACGUACAAAUAAUCAAAACUGAAAUAGAAGCAACGAUAAACCAACCUGUAUUACGUCGAUUCAUCACAACAAACUGAAAUCGAGGCUGUGUGUUCCUGAAAAUUGAAAAAAUAAUAAUUUCACCAACUUCAUAUGUAAUACAAUCUCCAAAACACUGAAUAUCAAAUGAAAAAAUGGAAAGCAUAAGAUAGAAAAGAAUCUAAUUUUAUUGACCUUUUGACGACGACGAGAGAGCCUUCAACAUCCUUACGACUCCAUUGGCUGAGGUCGAUGUUGAACUCGUAGAAGGUGACAUGAGCGGCCGUGAUGAGGAUCUCCUCAAUGAAUGGAUCGAUUCACUGAAGAACUGUCAGGUUUAGGAGUUUUGUGCUCUGCUGGUCCAGAUUAGGCAUCAAUUUUCCGUUAUGCGACAUUUUUCAUAGUCGUUUUGGGCUCUGCCCCGAGCACAAGCCCCAGGGUUUUUCUGUGAGCUCUCUCUUUUGUAAAUAAAGUGUUUGAUGAGAUAGCCGAGAGAGAGUGAAAGUGUUGAACAGCCAAACACGGUCUCGAGAUUGAUCUUGCUUUAACUUCUUUUAAACAUUUGGGAAAUAGCAUUUAUUUCUUUUAGUUUCUCUACUUUUUUUUUUCCUUUAUGUCAUUUAGACCCCAAAAUUAGAUUUAUUAUAAUCCUAUUUUACCCAUACACUAUUAACCCCUUUUAUUUACCCCUUUUAUUUUUAAAAUUUGUCAAUAUUAAUGUGUUAGAAUAAUGUUAAAAAUCCCAAUUAUUAUCUCAAUGUUUCAAUCAUAACUAAUGUGAUGACUCAUUGGUAACUGCAACAUUAACUUAAUUAUUAAUGUAACACAAUAAAAGUUUGCCACUUCGGCAUUGGUCGGAGUGGUGGGAUGCUUGUGAGGGCAGCGGUUCAAGCCCCCACAAAAGUAUUUGUGGGGGCUAACGUUGUGGGGGCUAACGUGCUUAUUUGUUUAAUAUUUCAAAAAUUUCCUCUCCCUCGUGCAAUACGAGUGGAGUAUGGACAUCCCUCUUCUGUAAGGGAUUAUUUGUCUGGGCAUGUACUUCACAGAAUUCAAUGUAAUAAUAUAAGUCCCAAUCAUGUAUUUCUGAUUGUAAAUAUCAGUGUAAUAUAUCUGCUGUUGAUGCGAGAUUCUGGUUCUCCUCGUUCUACGACCAGGAUCUCUGCUCGAUCAACUUUACCACGACCAGGAGGUCUCCUAGUAAUGCUUCUUCUCCAGAUGUCCCUGCACACACAGACAAGUCAGAGUACGCCGGUUGUUCUCCCGGCGCAAACCCUCCGACGCUCAAGUCAGAUAUGAAGGUUCGGGGAACGCUUGCCACAGGUCUUAUGGCUUUUUCGUGGUUUUCUCUUUUAUCUUAAAAAUGCUAACCCUUUUACCUUCGUUGGCUACCUUUUUAUAGGCUUCUCCGAAUCCCCGUUUUCCGCUUUUUGCCAGACGGUAUGGGACUCUGACUGCUGCGUCAUGGGCGAAGGUGGGAUCUUGCGUGUUACGCCACGGUUCUGGGGAAAGCGUGGCUGUCGUGCCUAGAUUCUCGGGCUGGAGAGCAUGUCUUGCCAACUGCCGUCGACCGGGUCUCCUCGCUUCUCGACCUCUAGCCGGAAUGAUCUUAUGCCUCUUACAGGAAAUUGACCUCGCGGAUGACGUGCUCGUGGACGAGCAGGAUAUUUCUGCUCCUGUUCCCCCGCGCAUCAGGCUUUUACGGAACACACCGGCUCGAGGAACUCUGCCCCCAGAUAUCUGCUCACCAUGCCUGGUCUCAUCGACGUAUUUCUCCUAAACACCGGUCCCCCAGUUUCUGGUGUUGGGUAAUGUAGUGGACCAGCAGUAGAAACUCGAUAGUACUCGCUCACGUGGGACUGGAAAAGGCUGCCAAGAGUCGUGUCGCAUUUAAUUGCGGACGGGGUGACGUGGCGGAAAUCCCCCCUCCAUUUGAAUUUCAAACCGACGGUUAUGAGGCCCUCGGGAUUCGGCGCUGUUAAAUGCUGGCAACCCAAGAGUCCGUCCCCAUUAGAAAAACCAAAUCCUCUCGAACGGCAUAUUCAUCAUCCACUACGUCUCCGUCUCUGUCUCUCCGGCAAAGAAGUUCCGGCAUAAAAGUCCUCCAUCUCUGAUUUUCACCGACUGAACCAUUACUUCAGGUAUUUCUUCUAUCUCCUUGGCCUCGGAUAGUUGUAGAUAAUUUCUCUUUUCUUCUGUUUGGGUAGUAGUUGGUGGUGUUGUGGUUAGAGCUUAGGGAAUGUCGAAAGGCAAAGAGAAGGUCAUUGAGGUUGACGACGACGAGUUGGACUUCCUGCCUAGUCUGCUCACCGACCCUGCUUUUGACCCCGGGAUUCCCUUAGAGCCCACUAGGUCUAGUGUCGGGACUAGUGCUAGCAGGAUGUCUCCCCAAACAACCUCUACGAGCGGAAGUAGUGGUGAGGAGAGAUCUUCUGACUCUGAGGAUACGUUGAGUGAGAAUGGCGAAGGUGAUUCUGGUGAGGUGUCUCCAUCUAGAACAUCACGACCAGGAGAACGGGGUACAGUAGGAGGCAGAGCCUUGUCGCGCGAUUAUGCCAUUGAUUACAUGACGUGCAUGACCUCGUUUGACGAGCUCAAGGACCUCCGGCUUAGGUAUAGCAUUCCUGGUGAGAUACCUCUCAAGGUCCCAGGAAAGAAGGAUGCUCCCAGCCGGCCUCCUAGGGGAUACGUUACCCUGUUUUUAGAGAGCUUUAAGUACGGGCUGAGGUGUCCCUUGCAACCCUACUUUGCCCGGAUACUUAACGGGCUAAACCUAGCUCCUGGUCAGCUGAAUCCCAAUGGGUGGAGAGUGCUCUCUGGUCUGUUCAUAUUGUGGGACAGAUGUUGCCAGAGCGAGCCCACGGUUGAUGAGGUGAGACACCUGUACCAGCUAAAGAGCAGCCCCAAAGAUGCCGGCUGGUACUACUUCCAAUCUAGCACCAAGAGCAGGAAACCUAUAACCGACCUCCCCACUGGUGGUGGUGGGAAUUGGAAGAGAAAGUUCUUUUUUGCUGGGGGUCCUUGGGGUCAGGUUGCACAAAUGAACGGGAAGGAUUAUCGGGUCCCACCCCGUUUCACGGUCCCAGGUUGCCUGCUUGCUUUUAGAUGUCUUGUAUCCAUAAGUGUUCUUGCUUUAUUGGCUUGUCUCUAACCAAAUGUCUGUUUGUGUUGUAGUUUCUUGGGGUGUUCACUUCCCGCUCCCACCCGACCAGCUCAAACGGGUCGAGGCUGUGCUCGUCAAUUCCUGCUCGAGCCGGGAACUGUUAACUACGUACAACUUGCUCGAGUCUCGCUUGAUACUUCCUGGCCAUAGGAUGGAGGACGCUGUGAUUGGGGCUCUGACCCGAAAACGUUCUCGACCCCCAACCACGAAGAGGGACCAGAGUAAGGAUGCCCCUGUGGCAAAGCGGGCCAACAUCGUGCAGCAGGUCCCACCCUUGAAGAUUUUACCUCCUGCUCCCGUAAAAAUUAGGGAAGCUGGUGGAGCUGCCACAGAUCCUGCUUCCUCUCCUCCUCCUGUCGGGCCCCGAUCUCACUUACCUGACAGCCGAGCAGAACAUCUGGUCCCCUACUUCAAUGAGUUAACUAAACUCGUGAGCAGGAAGGAUCUGGAGGACUUUGACGGCCGCACCUUGGGUGAGUUGGUGGGGGCCAUGCAACAUAGCGCUUUCCACCUCAGCUGCAUGACCACCUAUUACAAGGCUAAGGCUGGCCGCUAUGACCGGAAGAUGAAGGAGGAUAUUCAAUCGGCGACGACCAGAGCUGACGUUGCCGAGAAGAAAGCAGGGGAGCUGAAUCUCGAGAAUCUGAAGCUGAUGGAGCAAGAAUCACUUGCUCAAGCAAAAGCCAUCGCCCUCGAGGAGGAGCUUAUCAAGGUCAGGGAGGAUCUGCAAAGGCAGAAGGCAAUGUAUGAGGCUCAGCUCGAAUCUCUUCGCGACUCCCACCGAGCUCAGGCCGAGAACUUGGAGAGGGAGGCCGACAACCAGUACGACCAGGGACUUCGGUAUUCCUAUCGUUGCAUCAUGGCCGUCCUCGGGAAGCAACACCCUGAUCUGAAGAUGGGUGACCUUGCGGCUGGUGUUGCUCAACAUAUGGACGAGGAGGCGGCCAAGGAGGAUGCCAAAGGGGUAGAGCCGAUCGUGAUAGAGGAGGAAAACUCUCCUCCUCAUGUAGUCCCUGCUGAUGUUGGCGAGGCGAGCACCCACCCCGAUGCCUCUAGUGAUACCCCUCCUGCACCUGAGGAGGUCCAGCCAACCGAUGCCGCUGGGCUCACUGAUCCACCAUCUUCUUGAUAUAUUUCUUGUAUUGUAAUGACAAUGUUUAUGAAGAUUAUUCCCUCUGUUAAUUAUUAACAAAUUAAUAAAAAUGUUUUUGAUCACCUUCUUGUGUCGUAAUUACGAAUUAAUUUUCGUUUGAGAAUCUGCUUGUCUUUGUCUAAACGAGCAGGUUCCGGCUUGGCUCAUGGUUUUGCCACAUGCCUUUGAAGAUUUUUCAAUGCUUGGGAUUCGGUUUGCCUUCGCGCAGUUGAGCAGAUCCUGGCACGCUUGGCUUCUGUCUCGCCAUAAGAUAGGCUUUGAGACUUGACGAGCCUUUGCAUGCCUUGGAUUCUUCAAAGCUCAGGAUUCUGCUGCCUUCUCAUGGCCGAGCAGAUCCUGGCAUGCUUGGCUUCUUUCUCGCCAUAAGACAGGCUUUGAGACUUGACGAGCCUUUGCAUGCCUUGGAUUCUUCAAGGGUUGGGAUUCUGCUGCCUUCUCGUGGCCGAGCAGAUCCUGGCAUGCUUGGCUUCGGUCUCGCCAUAAGACAGGCUUUGAGACUUGACGAGCCUUUGCAUGCCUUGGAUUCUUCAAGGGUUGGGAUUCUGCUGCCUUCUCGUGGCCGAGCAGAUCCUGGCAUGCUUGGCUUCUGUCUCGCCAUAAGACAGGCUUUGAGACUUGACGAGCCUUUGCAUGCCUUGGAUUCUUCAAGGGUUGGGAUUCUGCUGCCUUCUCGUGGCCGAGCAGAUCCUGGCAUGCUUGGCUUCGGUCUCGCCAUAAGACAGGCUUUGAGACUUGACGAGCCUUUGCAUGCCUUGGAUUCUUCAAGGGUUGGGAUUCUGCUGCCUUCUCGUGGCCGAGCAGAUCCUGGCACGCUUGGCUUCUGUCUCGCCAUAAGACAGGCUUUGAGACUUGAUGAGCCUUUGCAUGCCUUGGAUUCUUCAAGGGUUGGGAUUCUGCUGCCUUCUCGUGGCCGAGCAGAUCCUGGCAUGCUUGGCUUCUGUCUCGCCAUAAGACAGGCUUUGAGACUUGACGAGCCUUUGCAUGCCUUGGAUAAUUUCUUGGUUUCAAGCGUAAAAUUGCUUCAUUAAUGGCAGGAUUCGACUUACAUAAAAUUGUUUGGGACAUAAAGCGUAAAAGAUAAACGAUAAUGAGCAUGAGCAGAAAUAGCUCUCAAAUGUGAACAAAUCUUACUGGAAGUAUUUUCGGAGGUGUGCUGCGUUCCAUGGGCGUUUCACCUCGUGGCCGUCCGCGCGAACCAGCCUGUAAGCUCCGGGUCCCGCUAUCUGCUUGACUCUAUAUGGCCCUUCCCAAUUCGGUCCCAGCACUCCUUGAGUCGAAUCUUUGGUGCUCUGAUUCACUCUUCUCAGUACCCAGUCUCCGACCCUGAAUUGCCGUAUGUUCACCUUCUGGUUAUAAUACCGAGCAACCCUCUGUUGGUAAGUGACUGAUCGCUCGGCUGCUUGCUCCCUCCUUUCCGUCAGCAGAUCAAGAUUCAAACAUAUCUGCUCGUCGUUCUCCUGCUCAUUGAAAUGAUCUGUCCGGUGUGUGGUCGUUCCUAUCUCAGCCGGCACGACCGCUUCGUGUCCGAAAGCCAAAGCGAACGGUGUCUCCCCCGUUGCGGUUUUGUGGGUUGUUCUGUAUGCCCAUAGCACACCUGACAGCUCGUCAACCCACGCACCCUUUUUUGCACCAAGCCUGGUUUUCAGAAGCCUCUUGAUGGUCUUGUUGGCUGCUUCUACUUGUCCAUUCGAUUGAGGGUGAGCAGGCGAGCAAUACUUCAGCUCUAUCCCGAGGUUCUGGCAGAAAUCCCUGAAGCUGUGAUUAUCGAACUGCCUGCCAUUAUCCGUUACCAAGGCAUAAGGGAUCCCGUAUCGACAGACCAGGUUUCUCCACACGAAGUCUGUUGUUUUCUUCUCCGUGAUCCUGCUAAGGGCUUCCACCUCUAUCCACUUCGUGAAGUAAUCUAUAGCAACUAUUGCAUGUGUUGCUGCUCCUCGUCCUUUUGGCAAUGGGCCGAUCAGAUCAAUUCCCCAUUGAGCAAACGGCCAAGGGGAGGCCAUAGAGGUGAGCUUCUCUGGUGGUUGGUUGGAGAAAUUUGCAAAACUCUGGCAGCUUGCACAACCCCUGGUCUUCUUUUGCGCAUCCUGGUGCAUUGUCGGCCAGAAAUAUCCCUGUCUUAGGACCUUGUGGGCCAGGGACCUCCCGCCAGAAUGAUUUCCGCAAAUUCCUUCAUGUACUUCUCUCAGCACGUAAUCCGCGUCGUCGUCAUCCAAACACCGAAGGAACGGUAAUGUGUAUCCUCGCCGAUACAGUACCCCAUCGAUCAUCGUGUAUCUCGAGGCCUGAGCUCUAAUCUUCCGAGCUCGCAGCUUAUCUGGUGGUAAUACCCCGUCUCUAAGGUAUGAAACUAUCGGGUCCCUCCACGAGCAUUUUUGUUCUAUCCGCAACACCCCCAAAUUCUGCUCGAUACUUGGGCUGGACUUCACUUCUAGAGGGACGGACUUUGGCAUUUUUGGGUCGGCUACUGCUGCCAUCCUAGCCAAAAUGUCUGCUCGACUAUUAUGCUCCCUGGGGAUUUGUAUCACCUCCACUACUUCGAACUUCCCCAUCAUCUGCCUGACUAUCUUCAGGUACUGUUCCAUCUUCUCCUCUCUUGGUUGGAAUCUUUCACUGACAUGAUUCGCAACCAGCUGGGAAUCAGUUCUGAUCUUAACUCUGUCUGCUUUCACGGCCCUAGCCAAUUCCAGGCCUGCUAUCAAGGCUUCGUACUCUGCCUGGUUAUUUGUGGCUGCAAAUUCCAACUUUACAGCAUAAGAGAUCUCCUCCCCCUCUGGGCCUUCCAGGACAAUCCCUGCUCCUGAACCCCGCUCCCCUGAUGACCCAUCUACAGACAUCUGCCAUACUUGAGUUUCGUCAUUGCCUAUAACUGCAUCUUGUUGACCUAAGCAUGUUUCGGGCUCUGUGAAUUCAGCUACGAAAUCGGCCAUUGCCUGGGCCUUUAUCGCUGCGCGGGGUUUAUAGUCUAUGUCGAACUCGCUCAGCUCCACAGCCCACUUGACGAGCCGCCCAGAGGCAUCUGGCUUGUGCAGAGUCUGACGCAAUGGCUGGUAUGUUAUUACCGAGAUCGGGAAGGCUUGAAAAUAUGGCCUCAACUUCCGAGCAGCAACCACAAGGGCAAGUGCCCAUUUCUCCAACGAUGGGUACCUGGUCUCAGCGUCGAACAGGGCCUUGCUGGUGUAGUAUAUCGGAUACUGAACUCCUUCUUCCUCUCUCACCAGAACAGAACUGGCGGCCCGAUCCGAUACCGCCAAAUACAGAUACAACUUGUCCCCAUUCCUCGGUGUGGACAGCAGCGGAGCUUGCUGCAAGUAUUGCUUCAAGUUCCGGAAGGCUUCCUCGCAUUCUGGGGUCCAUUCUGUUUUCCUUCCCCUCCUUAUCACUUGAAAGAAUGGCUGACACUUAUCUGUAGCUUUGGAUAUGAAUCUGCUCAACGCCGCCAACCUCCCCGUGAGGCCCUGCGUCUCCUUCAGGUUACGAGGAGACGUCAUUUGCACAAUCGCCUGGAUUUUCUCGGGAUUUGCUUCAAUCCCCCUAUGGCUCACCAUGAAUCCCAGGAAUUUCCCUGACUCGACCCCAAAAGCACACUUCUCCGGAUUGAGCUUCAUCUUAUACUUCCUCAAAAGCUCGAAUGUCUCCUCGAGGUGUCUGACAUGUUCCUUCGGGAUCUUGGACUUGGUGAUCAUGUCAUCCACGUACACCUCCAUGGUUUUCCCGAUCAACGGCUUAAAGACUUUGUUCACCAGCCUUUGAUAGGUGGCCCCAGCAUUCUUGAGACCGAAUGACAUCACCCUGUAACAGAACAAACCUUGGUUAGUGAUGAAAGCCGUGCUCUCCUCAUCCUGCUCGUACAUGGGGAUCUGGUUGUAUCCCGAGAAUGCGUCCAUGAAGCUAAGCAGACCAUGUCCAGCUGUUGAAUCUACUAGCUGAUCGAUCCUUGGUAAAGGGAAGCUGUCUUUUGGGCACGCCUUGUUGAGGUCUGUGAAAUCCACACACAUCCUCCACUUGCCGUUUGCCUUCUUUACCAACACCACAUUUGAUAUCCACUCUGGGUAACUGACUUCCCGAAUGAACCCUGCUCUCAGGAGCUUCUCCACCUCGUCAUUUACAGCCUCAUACCUCUCCUGGUUGAAACACCUCCUCUUCUGCCUUACUGCCCGAGCACCUUUCUUUAUUGCCAACUUAUGACACGCUACCUCAGGGUCAAUCCCUGGCAUGUCUUCAUGUGUCCAGGCAAACACAUCAGCAUGAGCCUGUAAGCAUUUCACAAACUCCUGCUUUUGCUCUCCCUUCAGUCUCGACCCGAUUCUGAUCGUCUUUCCCGGGUUCUCUGGUCCCAUGCUUACCGUUUCCAGAUCCUCUACAGGUUCUUGUCUGCCAGUCUUGUUUUCUACUCGGGUAUCGAGGGAUGUUAUCUGCAUUGCCUCCCUUGCUGCCGAGGAGUAGCAGCUUCUUGCGAUCCUCUGGUCUCCUCGUACCACUCCUACUACCCCAUUCACCCGGUACUUCAGAGCCAGAUAAUGGUUGGACAACACCGCUUUGCUCAUCCUUAAAAACGGCCGACCUAGGAUCAUCUGGUAAGGACCUUCCUCAUCCACUACGACAAAGUCCAGUAUCAUUGUUCUUUCUGUCGGGGGGCUCCCAAUUGUGAUAGGUAGUUCGACCACGCCCAGGGGAACCAGCUUCCCUCCUCCGAACCCCUUCAAGGAGGUGUUGGUGUAUUCCAACUUCCGGUCGGCUAUUCCCAUCUCUUCCAGGGUUGACUUAAAUAACACAUCAACUGAGCUCCCUAUAUCAACCAGUAUCCGGUCAAACUUCUUGCUAGCGACCGUAGCCUUGAUGACUAAGGCAUCCUCGUGGGGGUAUAGGAUCCCUUCCUCAUCCUCAUCCGUCCACAUGAUUGGCACUUGCCUGACCCUUGCCCGUUUGGCUGCUGGGGUGUUGAGGAGUACCUCUUUACUGGUCAUGGCGUACCUAGCAUAAUUUUUUCUCGAUCUGUUUGAAUCUCCGGCCAACGUUGGGCCCCCCGCUAUCACCCUUACUGCGGGCUGCUCGUGCCUCAAGAUUCUAUCACUCUGCUCCCCUUCAUCUGUUGUGGCCACCAUCGGGAAAGUCCCAUCCAUAAACUCGUCCAGGUACCGAUUUCUCACCAAAUCUUCGACUUGGGUCUUGAGAUCUCUACACUCUGCUGUGGUAUGGCCAUGGGUGCCAUGGAACUUACAAUAACGUCCUCUAUCCCUCCUGUUGGGUAGCUUUGUUAUUGGUGUAGGGAGGUGCAGCAGCCCUCGAUCCUUUAUGGCUUCGUACACCUCAUCCAGGGACAUCUUCAAGGGAGUGUACCGCCCAUAGUCCUGGUGCUGGUCGAUCCGAUGUACUGCUCUUUCUCUGUUUGCCCCGCUCUGAGUUGGGGGCGGUGGAAGUACUUCUGGUCUGCUCGUCCUGCUACCGUGGGAAUGUUGAUGAAGACCACCAGAUGCCGGAUCAUUUCUUGUCCAAGGUUCCCUAGCUGGGGAACGAGGAGGUUGCGCCCUGCUGCGCUGAUACUGUGGUGGCCUCUGAUGAGGCUGGUAAGCAGUGACCCUGCCUCCUGCUCCACUACCGGAGGCCUGGUGGUCCCUCCUCCUGAUCGGCCCGUUCCCUGGUAAUGCUUUCAUCUCUCUCCUCCCCAACCCUUCUAACUGGUCUGUCUUGAUCCGUGCAGCCUUCUCCUCUUCAAUCUCGAUGUCUCUUUUAGCCUGUUCGUAUGCGGCCGCAUACGUUUGAAUAGCUGGGCUUCUCAAAUUGUACCACAGCCUUCCUAUCUUCACCCCUUCUUUCAAUCCCCUUAACGCCUGAGGGUGGUUGAAGGCUCCCAAGUCGAGGACAGCCCGAUGAAACCUCUUGAUGAAUUCCCGAAGGGUUUCUUGCUCCCCCUGUUUCAUGCUUUUCAGCUCCAUCAUGUCAUCUUCCGGUGACAUUGCCCCACUGAACUGCUCCGCGAAUUCCUGGCACAUCUGCUCGAAGGUUUUAAUGCUGCCCCGAAGAAGUUUCCUGUACCAUUCUCGUGCACGUCCCUCAAGGGAUAGUGGGAACACCCUGCACCUUUGGGAUUGAGAUAAUCCUUGUACCCUAGUUAUGUCGUUGAAGCGCUCUAUGUGCAUCAGCGGGUCAGUUCUUCCCGCGUAUCUGAGGUCGGGGAGGCGGAAAUCUCUCGGAAUAACUGCCCUCAUGAUCUCUGCUGCGAGCGGUGAUUCUCCGUCCAGCAUUAUCCUCCAACCAGGGGCUCUGUUCCUCCCUUGCAUAUCGUCAAUUAUCUGCGCUAGUCUGCGCACUUCCUCCUCCAGCUGCCCUGCACGACCAGGGUCACGUGCUGCAACUUGAUCCCGCUCUUGCUCUACAUCUUGCAAGUGUUGCCUCAACUCGGUUUCCUCUGCAUUCACCACCCCGUCGUCCGCGUCACAAGUCUGUCUUGCCGGGGACCGCUCUCUUUCUCUAUGAAAUUCUCCCCGUAGAGGUGCGUUACCUCUCUCACCAUCAAAUCUCCCUGUGGUUUGACUUCUCCCCGCACUAUCGGGACCUGGUGCCACUCCACCGCCUCUCACCCUUCCCUCUUGAGUUACCCUUCGCUUGCUCCGUAGCUCAUGCAGGAUGGUGUUGUGCAAAUUUUAAUGUACUCGCAAGCGCACGAAUCUAUUGUAGUAUAGACUAAUGGUGACGAGUGUCGAUCCCACGAGGAGGUGGAUUUUUAAUUAUAUAUAGAAUUAAUUUUGUAAAUGGGUGGUUGGAAUUGUGGUGGAAGUGAUUUAAAAUAUGCUAAAAUUGGAAUUGCAAUGGCGAGAAUAAAUUGUAGAGAAAAUCGAUUAAAUUGACGUACUUGGGUAUCUGGAUCCGUAUCAACAUGCAUCAUGGGCUAAAUAAUCCGUAUUAAUGCCAAUUAAAUCAUGAGGGGGGAAUCCACACCUCAUGAACCACGCUCUAAUCAAUAUGGUGCUAAGGGCUUAUCGUGCCAAAUAAUAAUAACCUUAUACUAGAGAGCCGGUGUAACCAAGGCGGUAUCUAGACAAGAUCAGUAUUAUUUGUCGACGAAAAGUCAAAUCAUCCACAAAAACUAGAGGGGAAAAGAAAAUAAAUUUACCAAAUAAAGCCCAUGACUCAUGUUGAGACUUCACCUUCAACCCAAGCUUGAAAGGAAAUUAGCCACUCAUAAUUGAACUAAGGGCAAAAUGGGAAUUUAUUAAAAUACAAAGAAAAUACAAGAUGGAGAAGGAAUUACAGAAAAUGGAUCCCAAAAAUGGAUUCAGAGAUAUCAAAUUAGGGGGGAGAGGCCCCCUUUUUAUAGAUACAUGGAGUAAAUCAUGGCCAUCGGAUUAAAAACAGUUUGGACGCUCAGGAUUGCGCCACGUCAUCAGUCAACAGUCCACGGUUUGACCACGCGGAUGAACAGUAACACGGUUUGACCACGCGGAUGAACAGUAACGCGGUUUGGUUGAAAAUAAUCCUGUGUGAUGCAUGCACCGUACGCGAGAUUUUUCGUCCACUGAUAUGCUGCCACGUCACCAUCAACAGUACAUAAGAAUUUUAGUCCAACAGGAUCGUGACACCUCAUCAGUCAAUGCCACAUCAUCGGUCAAUGCCACGUCAUCGAUCCGUCUAUGUGAACAGUGUCGUGAACAGUAACGUAGACAGUACCGUAUACGUUAAUAGUACCGUACAUGUGAAUAGUGCCAUUUUUCCUUUUAUGCUCCUCCUAAGGUUUUCGACCGUCCUGAGUUCAAAAGUGAUGUCCGUUUUGCCGUCUGAUCUCUCCUUUAUUGUGAAAUGACUAUAAUACCCCUAAAAUACAUAAAAUACUUAAUUAAAAUAACACACACGUAAUUACAUCACAAGAAGGUUAAAUACAUAAAAGUAAGAGUUGUUAGUAAGACUUGAAAUAUAAAAUGAUGGUUUUCUCCUUUAUAAAUAUGCAUUUUCUAAUACUCAACAGAUGGUUGUCAAGGUCUCCAUCUGCUUUUCCAUCCGGUCGAACAUGACUUUUUCCCGUGCUUCACUGACUAUCUCCCUCAGCGUCACGGAAUCGUUAAGCCUCAUAUCACCCCCUUGUGCACUACUUCCUCCUGUCUCCAUUGCUUUUCGCUUACUCCACCCCUCUUCUUGCUAUCAACAGAAGCUUUUUGCUCUGGGUCCCCACAGACGGCGCCAAAAUGUUGAUGCGAGAUUCCGGUUCUCCUCGUUCUACGACCAGGAUCUCUGCUCGAUCAACUUUACCACGACCAGGAGGUCUCCUAGUAAUGCUUCUUCUCCAGAUGUCCCUGCACACACAGACAAGUCAGAGUACGCCGGUUGUUCUCCCGGCGCAAACCCUCCGACGCUCAAGUCAGAUAUGAAGGUUCGGGGAACGCUUGCCACAGGUCUUAUGGCUUUUUCGUGGUUUUCUCUUUUAUCUUAAAAAUGCUAACCCUUUUACCUUCGUUGGCUACCUUUUUAUAGGCUUCUCCGAAUCCCCGUUUUCCGCUUUUUGCCAGACGGUAUGGGACUCUGACUGCUGCGUCAUGGGCGAAGGUGGGAUCUUGCGUGUUACGCCACGGUUCUGGGGAAAGCGUGGCUGUCGUGCCUAGAUUCUCGGGCUGGAGAGCAUGUCUUGCCAACUGCCGUCGACCGGGUCUCCUCGCUUCUCGACCUCUAGCCGGAAUGAUCUUAUGCCUCUUACAGGAAAUUGACCUCGCGGAUGACGUGCUCGUGGACGAGCAGGAUAUUUCUGCUCCUGUUCCCCCGCGCAUCAGGCUUUUACGGAACACACCGGCUCGAGGAACUCUGCCCCCAGAUAUCUGCUCACCAUGCCUGGUCUCGUCGACGUAUUUCUCCUAAACAUCUGCUAUAAUAGCAGUUGUAAAUAUAUGUGUAAUGCAGUAAUAUGAUGAUUAAUCAGUAUUCAAAACACAAUAAAAGUUUCGUACAGAUUUUGAUAUUGAGAGUAACACAAUAAAAGUUUCAUACAGAUUUUGCAAACGAAAAGCACAUAAUACACUUAACUAGGAGGAAAAAUUAAGGUGUAUUUAUUACAAACUGCUAACAAUAUACAAUUGUAAAAAUCACUCUUAUGAACUCACAAAUACUAGGCAGCAAUAAGAGUAUGAUACAGCCAUUCUAAAUGAAAGAGAAUACAACUGUUUUACAACUAUGUCACAUCAAGAGAUAUGUUAGCAGGAUUAAUCCAGAUACCUUCGAACCCAAUUAACGAACUCGAGUCAGAAACCAGGGGCCCCCAACUAAACCUUACAAUCUUGAAGGAAGAAGGAGACUCGUGGUCCAGAUAGGUGACUUACUAGAUCUCCUGCAAAAGAGAAUAUCUAUUGCUUUGAACCUCCAUUGAAAUUUUUUUUUCCCUUUUUCUUGUUUUGACUUGGAACUUUCCAACAUCAUCUAUUUGAUCUUUUUUGAAGGUAAAAUAGCAAUCUAUAGGUUGCCAACAUGUUAUUCUGCCAAACCCUACCCCACCCCCCCGGGGGACAACAAAUCGACCUAGCACACACCUUUCUUCAUUGCCCACACCUACAGAACUAUAAUAAAAAGACUACGUUACUAUUGGGGUAGAGAAAAUAUACAGACUGUAUUAUUAUUACAUCGCAUUUUACUAAUUAACUAGUGCAAGACUUCUUUAGUGUCAAAUCAAGAACUAAUUAGAAAAGACAACUCAUGAUAAUACAGACCUUAAUAAGCAAUUGCUAACAACAUCCCAUAUACUCCUAUUUUAGCCUUCAUUAUCCUGGUAAAAACACAAAUAAGUCUUGCAAACGAACAUUUAUAAGUAAAUUCAACAUUAAUUAAGAUUAGGUAUCUACUGCACCUAAUAGCAUGGUCAACCAUCCAGUUCCUGUAGCCUUCCAUGUACCUAUGUUAGUUACAUUUUACAUAUUAAGCCACGAAAACGAAGAAUCACAGCCUGGUAAAGAAAGACAUUAAUUAAUAGUUUUUGUUUAAAAAUUUCUCCUUUAGAUCUUUCCUAUUCAAUGAAUCAAUGUAAUCUAAAGAGAACUCUUCCAUUUCAAACAGUGUUAGAAGGUAUUUGCAAAGCCUAAAGAUAAUAUACAAGGACCAAGAUAUACACAGAUGGUUUCUUUAUGGAAUUAAAGAGCUUUAUAGAUGUUAAAACUGUUUCAAACAAUUUUUCUUGUUUGGUUUAACUAAGGAAAAGCUUGUGGAAGAUUAAAAAUGAUGUUUCCUAUUCUCUGUAGGAAACUUUUAGGAGAUUUUUUGGGCUUUUUUGAAAGGUUGAAUUGUCAAAAAUACCUUGAUGUUAUUGUUUGCUAAAAGAUGUUACGGACAUCUAAACAACCAACAACAUUUUGUUAAAAGCUCUACUAAUGUAGGAUCUACUUAAAGAAGCUAUACCAAACAGACUCUUAGACUGAAUAACUCGAUCUUAAGUUUGUAAAAUUGGGCUCAGAAUCUCCACUAACAACCCCGCUUCGGUGAGAAAGCCCAAGCCUGUUACUUUGUAUAACCUUAUUCUGUAUGUUUGAUUGCAGGAACUGGCCGAUCAUACCGACGAGGUGAGUGUGCAACAUGAGGUGCUUGACGGGAUGUUUACUUUCUAUGAUUCAACUAAAGCUAGCCUCAACAUAUAUCAGGUGCCUGCUUGUUUUUACCUUCUAGAUACUAAUAUUGUUUAGACGUGUAAUCUCUCUCUCCAUUGAACGCUAGACGGCUCGUCUCAAGCCUUCUACGUACUUCAGAGUCCUUCACUAGCUUUUUAUGUAUAAAGUUUUGAUCUUUUUCCUUCAUUUGCUUGAAGCUCAUUACUGCAGAUUUUUUUUACAGGUUGGUAGUGUAACAUUCGACUUGCUGUUGCUUCUAGUCUUGGGAUCGUAUUUAAUUGUGCUUUUCAGCUUUCUUGUCAUCACAACUAGGGUAUUACUCUUUCUCCAUAUCAAGCUUGAAGUUCUAAAUUUCAGUUUUAUCUUGUAUUUGAUGUUUUAUAAUUUCAUUGCAAACAGAUUAGAAUAGAAACUUCAAAAGUUCCAACUGACUAGUCCCGUGUAACUUUUCCAGGGAAGAUGUUCUCUCAUAACAACUACGAACGUGUUAUGGUUUAGCUCAGUGUCACAAAGGACAGUUUCCAACAAUUGAUCCUAGGAAGAUGCCCAUAGCUUGUUGUGCCAAAAAUAUAAAAUCUAAGAUGCGAAAAGAUUUUGUUGAGAUUCAUUUUUCAUCCUGAUGUUACCGCUGGCCUUUUUUUUUUUUUGGCAGAGAAUAAUGCUUAUGUGAUUUCUGAACUUGGUGAUUGUUGAAAUGAGCUGAAAAUGAGCUGGAAAUGUGUUUGGUUACUGAGAAAGAGAGCAAGAAAAUGAAAGAAAUCUAUUUCACUUUUUAUUUAUCAGAAUGAUUACAUUCACAAUGAAUCUAAGCUGCUAUUUAUACUUAAAUGAAUACACACGAGAAUCUUCUUGCUAGAUACUUCUAGAAACUCUACACGCACACUCGCACUGAGCUAGUGGUUACCAAAACCGUGACAACAAUAUUGCCAGCUCAGCAUAACCAACUUAUAAGUUAUAACUAACACACUCAGCUGCAGGGGAAACCAUCAAGCUUACUGUGCAUCCUCUGUAAUCAAGCUUCUUUAAGCAUGCUCUGCAGAUCAUAUGUCUGAAUUAUCGAAACAAGAUGAAUUAUUUUUUGUUUAGCAGCAGGCGAUCUAUGAGCAGAAUUUCUUGCAACAAAAGAUGUGUGUCCCCCGGCUUGUAUUUAGUCUCGUAAUGCAUUAUAUAUAUGCACGCGAACACACUUUUGAGAAGAAUCAGACCAUUAAUUUUCUUUUGAGCCAAUCAACAGAAUGUACAUUUCUUCUAAGAGCUUGUAACCGAAACUGCAGUUUUUCAGGUUUGAUGCAUCUGGGAAAAUUGUCAGAUGGAAUAAAACCAUCAUGCGCCAAGGUACCAAUGAUGUUUCUUCCAGCUUAUGAGCACUUCAAAUAAACUUAGGUCAUACUUACACAAGGGCGCACAUGAUAUCAAUCUAAUGGCAAAUAUAUCAUCUAAAAUCCAAAACCAAGAGUCUCCCAUUUUCCCGUCCUCUACUCUGUUCAUAUUAUCAUAACUAGAAGAUUGCAAGGCAGCCGCAAUCUCCCAGAUCUUUGCUCCUUCCUCAUAGCAGUUAAUCAAACGAUAAAUAGAGAUAUCCCAUGUCAACAAGAAGGUAAUCAUAAAAGAACAACAGAAUUGUUGCAACAUAUUCAUAUGAAAUGUAAAACAAUUUUGAGAAAAAAUAUUGGGAAGAUAUUUUUUUUUCAUAGAAGUUGCAAUCUUUACGUUAUUUACUAGUUUGACUAGACUAUAUAAGGAAGCUAUAUGAAAUUAGAAAAAUAAGCUAUACUAGGAAAGAAUAAAUAUGUGUACAGAAAAUUAGGCUAUAAUUUUCAAAUUAGAUGCCAGUUAAUUUUAUCAUAAUUAGAUGGUAAGAUUGCAAAUUCUGCAGCCAAAGGUGGUACGGAACUGAAUGAAGGAAAUCAAAUAUGAACAUGUUUUCAAUCUUAAAAUAUGAAGAGUAGCAGAAGUAACUUGUGAAACAGUUAUAAGUUCAAGGGAAUUAGAUGAUGGCAUGGUUGAAUUUUAUAAAUAUUUGAUAUUUUGGACCGAACAGGGCAAACAGAUGGAUCCAGAUAAUCAAGAAAAACAUCAAUUCCAUGCAACCAAAUUAGUGUGGGCAAUGCAAUUGAGCAACACUAAAAAAUUAUUCAAAGAAAUCAGUAUCCAAAUAUAUGGCUCCGUCCGUUCCACCACCACAACCAAAAAAAUCAGAUCCCCCCAUUUGGAUUCGAUUGAUUAAUUUGAGCAUAUAAAAUCGGGUUUUAAACUUCCCUAAGCAAAAUUUAUAUUCCACAGAAUCAGUUCCUUUAACAUGAUGCAUUACAUAAUAUUUUGUUUGCAAAAUAAAGAAGAAAGAUGACAUAAUAGAAACACGCUAUUGCAUCUUUUGAAAAAGAAAAACGGAAUAGUUUUCCAAAAUUAAUUCCGAGAAGAAGAUUAACUAAUAAUGAUGUUAGAAAUUUUAAUAUUUGAGUCUUAAUAUUAUGUAUCACUCAUUUAUUAAAUAAUAGAUUUCAUAAUUUGUAAAAUUACUUAACCACUUGAUAAAUGUUAUAUUUGUUGGGACUAAAUUGGAACUUAAAUGUUGGAAUAUCUAGUAUUGCAUUAAAAAAUAAAUAAAAACUUAACAAUUUAUCUUCACUUGACUAAUUGUUUUUACAUCACAACUAACCUUAAUUAUUUUGAAGUUACAGUAUUAUUAAAUUGUCCUAACUGGUUAUCAAAAGUUGAAAGCAUGUUAAAAUAAAAAAAAUUACCAAGAAACAUGUGCUUAAACAGAGGUUGAGGCUAUGAACAAUUAAGAAGAAACUCUUAAUUUGGUCCCAAUUAGUAUAGUAAUCAUCUAUUGAGCGGUAAAAUAUUAAUUUUAAUAGUGAUGAAAUCCAAUAUAUAAUAGAUUACUAACACACAUAAAUUAAAACUAAACUGUCAGAAAUCAUAACAUUACUCUACUCUUCAGUGGAGUUCUCUUAAACAGAUUAUGUGAGAUUGCCUACAUAAAAAAUAUGUUAAGACUGCUUGUUGAAAGCAAUAUUCGCUUUUCCAUUAUAUCCAUAACUUUGAAUUGAUAAAGUUGUAUUCAACAGCUCUUGAAAAGACUAAUUUAUUUAAACUAGUCACAGAAAUAAGAGAGAAAGGGGGCUAUUUCUUGACUCAAAGUCAAUUAUAAUUAUCAAAACUUGAGCGGACAUCGCAUGCCUAACUUCCACGCACCCUAAAACGGUUUGAUUUGCUUUCACGCGUUCAUGAAUUUCCAUGAAAGAGCCUGCCUUUCGUCUCUUUCGGGACAGUGACUACAAUUAUGGAAAAAAUUAUAAUUCUCGUUAGAUUGUAACCAAAUUAUUAUCCCUAAUUUUUUUAAGUUAAAUAAAAUAAAAUUUAUGCUUAAGUAUAAACAAUAAUUUGGACAUUCUUGUUAUUUGUCCUUCUAAGAUAGACAGCAACCUAAUUAUUUAUUUGUUUGCCUGUUUUUGUUUUUUUAAAUAACAGUUUAUUAGCAUAAAUAUUUACCUGUGAAGUCGAGGAGGAGAAAAUGUUAGAAAAAAUAAAAAGAAAAAAAAUUAAGGGAGAUAGAAUCAGAUUUUCUUUUUUGAGCAAAGAACAUACGUAAAAAGAUAUUAAAUCUAUUAAGUCUAAUUGUCUAUAACCGUAAAUUGCAUAACGAAUAAAUUAUCAGCGUAAAAUAAAUUUUAUUAGAUUCUGGUUAUUUUCUAGAGUACGAAUUGUCUCAUCGUAGAACAAACACCGGAAAAUAUAACCUUUGCGGAGGUCUUUUGCUGUGUCGUUAUAAAAAGGUUAUUAGUAAUUUAAUGCACCAAUAUUGUAUAUUCCACCUUAUCAAUGUCUCUGGUUGCGAAAGAUUGUUAAAAGCAACGUGUUCUUUCUUUGUCUUAUGUAAUUUUUUCGUUGUCCAUGAGUUUUAAUUGAAAUACUUGGCUUCCAGUUAUUUUGUAAACCUGUCGAAAACUACCACAGUGGAUAAAGAUUAACCAGCUCAUUCUUUACAAUUGACUAUCGAUUUUUUAUUUUUUUAUUUUUAUUUAAAAUUGCUGGUUUGUUGCUUAAAAUUUUCAAUAAUAAUUUCACUUAUUUAGUAAUUAGAGAGAGAUAGAGAGGAUUGGCGGCCAAUGUUUCGCGAUUUGGGGUCAAUUCAAAGUCAACUAACGUGUAAAACACGUGUAUGCAUAGAAAACGCUUAGAUUAUUUGUGUUCCAAGUGCAAGAAAUUAAGAAAAGAAAAAUUGAUUUCCUUUCAUGAACUUCCAAGAAAGAAAGAAGACCCUUUACCUUCUUCGUGACAACAAAUGAAUGAAUGAUGUUGAUAUGACAAAUACAAGCGCUAUUGCAGGGAACAGCAUAAGACCGAGACUUGAUAAAGGGUUUGUUAAAUUACAUGUUAUUUUCUUUUGACUUGAAUGAUGUUGAAAUAAAAUAAAAUUGUAAUCAGGAUGAUGUGUAGAAUAGUGAAAUAAAUAAAAAGAGAAGAGAAAUUCUUUGACCAAUAUUCAAGAACUCAUCCAAGGUGAUCGUCCAAGUCUAGAGGUUCGGUGUGAUUAGCAUUUAUUUUUAAUUUUUUGGCUAACAUCAUAUAUAGUCACUUGUCGUGUGAUGUAGGGCAAGUUUAGAAAUCCUUUUAUUUUAACUUCCGUAUUCUUAUUAUUUAAUUAGUUAUAGGGUUUUUAAGUAUUUGAGUAUUGAUCACAUGUCUGCUAAUCUAAAAAUAUUUUUUUACGAUCGAGUACAAAUAACAAACUAGAAUUUUAACAGCCUUUUAUACUAAACCCUAAAAAUACAUGAAUUUAUCAAAAUAAGUAAAUUAAUUUAAAUUGGUAUGGCAUAAUAGAAGUUUUACCUGCCGAAACAAAUUAAAAAAAUAUUACACUUAAAUCAAAUAUUGACAAAAAUAGAUAACAAUCUAAUGAGAAUCUUAACUAGACAUUUUUACUUCUAUCCAAUUUAACUGGAACGAGAAUUAAGUCCUUUCAAUAGUUAAGACUCAUAACUCAUACAUGCUAGUUUGAGAGUGUGGGGUGUGACAAUGGGUCAAAAGACCAUUGACAAGUACAAAAGAGUGAUUGCAAUUAAUUCAAACCGCUACACACGCUAUAUUGAGGGCCCAUUUUUGUUUAUUUCGUUGAAAAGUAGUUUUCACAAUUAAUUCAAACCGCUACACACGCUAUUGCGUCUUUUAAAAAAGAAAAAUGGAGUAGUUUUCCAAAAUUAAUUCAGAGAAGAAGAUUUACUAAUAAUGAUGUUAGAAAUCUUAAUAUUUGAAUCUUAAUAUUAUGUAUCACUCAUUUAUUAAAUAAUAGAUUUCAUAGUUUGUAAAUUUACUUAACCACUUGAUAAAUGUUAUAUUUGUUGGGACUAAAUUGGGACUUCAAUGUUGGAAUAUCUAGUAUUGCAUAAAAAAUAAAAAAAAACUUAAAAAUUUAUCUUCGCAUGACUAAUUGUUUUUACAUCACAACUAACCUUAGUUAUUUUUUAAAGUUAUAGUAUUAUUAAAUUGCCCUAACUGGUUAUCAAAAGAUGAAAGCAUGUUAAAAUAAGAAAUUACUAAGAAACAUGUGCUUAAACAGAGGUUAAGGCUACGAACAAUUAAGAAGAAACAACUUACAAUCAAAGGUUAAGAUUAUGAACAAAUUAAGGAAGGUAGAUAAAGGGACGGAAUCAUUGUCUGAAUUGCCGGUGACAAGAAUGCUUGUGUUGUGAAAAGAAACCUGAUGGUUUGUAAAUGGGUUGAAUUUUUUAUUCGCUCACUCCAACUGACUUACUAAUGCCAAAUUUAUUACGUUGCACAGUAGUGUUUAGGAUCCUCAAGAUCAACUCUUAAUUUGGUCCCAAUUAUUGUAGAAAUCAUCUAUUGAGCAAUAGAAUAAGAAUUUUUCUAGUCAUGAAAUUUAAUAUAUAAUAUAUCCUUGACACACAUCGAUUAGAACUUAAUUGUUAGAAUUCAUAACAUUACUCUACUCUCAAGGGGAGUUCUCUUAACAUAUUAUGUUAGGUUGCCUACAUUCAAAAUAUGUUAGACUGCUCUUUGAAAGCAAUAUUCCCUUUUCCGUAACUUUGAAUUGAUCCAAUAGCUCUUGAAAAGCACAUAAUAAUCAUUAUAAAUUUAAUCAAAGACUAAGCAGGUCUUCUUUCCAUUUGAUCACUGGCAUUUCAGUUAAGUUUGUCGUUUACUUAAAUUUUUCUUGCUUUCAAUUUCCACUGUUGUUUUUUUUAUAUAAAAUAAUUUAUUUAAACUAGUCAUAGAAAUAAGAGAGAAAGGGCGCCAUUUCUUGACUCAAAGUCAAUUAUAAUUAUCAAAACUUGAGCGGACAUUGCAUGCCUAAAUUCCACGCACCCUAAAACGGUUUGAUUUGCUUUCACGCGUUCAUGAUUUUCCAUGAAAGAGAGUGCCUCUCGUCUCUUUCCGGACAGUGACUGCAAUUAUGUUAACGUGACGAAUACAUAACGUUAUUACAUACAAGAAUAAGUUUUUGGAGCCGAGACUUGAGGGAGGUUCUAUCUAAUUCUAAAGAUUGUAACCAAAUCAUUAUCCCAAAUUUUUUUCAGUUAAAUAAAAUAAAAUUUAUGCUUAAGUAUAAAUAAUUUUUUUUCAGUUAAAUAUAAAAUAAAAUUCAUGAACUUUCCUAGAAAGAAAGAAGACCCUUCACCUUCUUCGUGACAACAAAUGAUGUUGACAUGACAAAUACAAGCUCUAUUACAGGGAAUAGCAUAAGACCGAAACUUGAUAAAUAUUAAAUAUAUAUUAUAAGUGGACCAAAUGAACAAAAUAAUAGAUAUUUUAUAAUAUUCUUGAUAAAAAUCCAAGUUUUGAGCUGGCCCAUAAGCUUGUCUAGCGAAGUCUGGGUACCCGCGUUGCCCAAGGUUUCGUCUGAAUCCAGGCUGUGUAGAUGUUUAUGACAUCCCAUAUGGACGGAGAGGAAAUAUUUUCAGUUGACUGAAUUAAAUAAAAAUAUAUUACAAUCAUAUUAUAUAUUAACAGCAAAAAUAAAAAGAAAUGAAGAAAAACGCAUGCAAGACUUAGAGAAGUCAAUUAAAAGCUGGGAGUAUCAUCAGUUCAAUUAGUUAUAAAUAGCGUAGAGCCAUCCUCUCGUUGUUGCAGAAGAGAGACAGAAAGAGUGUGUGUAGGUGAUUAUAAUUAAGAAGAUAUAAAGUGUGGUUCAAAAAGAGUGUGGGUGAGUGAGUUAAUUUUCAUAUUAUUAGUAGUAAAAGGGUGGUGGAGUGAGGGAUGUUUGGAGCAAGAGAGGUCUGCUCUCCUCCAACUUAAACGUUUCUUCAAUAAUAAUGAACGUCUUCAAAACUGGGCAGACGCGGCAGAUGAUGAGAAUUAUUCAGAUUGUUGUCAGUGGGAAGGGGUUGAGUGCAAUAACACCACUGGCAGAGUGAUUGAAUUAUAUCUAGGAGCCACUAGGAAUCGGGAAUCAGCAGAGUGGCAUAUGAAUGCUUCUCUAUUUACUCCCUUUCAACAAUUAGAGUCUCUUUAUCUAAUUGGGAACAAUAUAGCCGGUUGUGUUGAAAAUGAAGGUCCUUAAUUUACUUUAUUUUAGUUCUUCCUAUAAAUUUCUUACAUUUAUCUGAUCCCUUUUGGCUUUUAUUUAAUUUGUAUGUGAUACAAUAAAAUUAUUUUUUAUUUUUUGGCAGGUCUAGAUAGGUUAUCAAGGUUGAACAACUUGAAGUUUCUUUUUUUAGAUUUUAACUGCUUCAACAACAACAUCUUUUCAUCUCUAGGUGGUCUUUCAUCACUCAGGAUCUUAUCAUUGUUUCAUAAUAGAUUGAAUGGAAGUGUUGACAUUAAAGGUAAAGUAAGCUUCAUCCCUUCUCCCGUGUCCCAUCUUUUGUGGAUCUUAUUUCAUCGACCAGCUGGAAGUAUUGAUACGAGAUCUAGCUAGACUCUUGCUAGUGCAAGCUUCAAGGCUUUGAGUGCUACAAAAAUAGGUCUAAGAAAUUAUCAAUACAUAACGUUAUUACAUACAAUAAUAGUUCUAAAGAUUGUAACAAAAUCAUUAUCCCCAAUUUUUUUAAGUUAAAUAAAAUAAAAUUCAUGCUUAAGUAUAAAUAAUACUUUGGACAUUCUUGAUAUUUGUCCUUUUAAGAUAAACAGCAACCCAAUUAUCUAUUUGUUUGUCUGUUUUGUUUUUUUUAAAUAACAGUUUGUUAGCAUAAAUAUUUACCUGUGAAGUCGAGGAGGAGAAAAUGUUAGAAAAAAUAAAAAGAAAAAAAAUUAAGGGGGAUAAAAUCAGAUUUUCUUUUUUGAGCAAAGACCAUACGUAAAAAGAUAUUAAAUCUAUUAAGUCUAAUUGUCUAUAACGGUAAAUUGCAUAACGAAUAAUUUAUCAGCGUAAAAUAAAUUUUAUUAGAUUCUGAUUAUUUGUUUGAUUUCUUUUCUCUCUGGACUCAACUUAUAUUGUUUAUUUGAUUUGAUUUUAUUAUUUUUUAAAGAAACUUAUUGUUUAUCAAUACUGAAUGGCUUAAGAUUGAUGUCUUGAUAAUAGAUGGGGCAAUAUUGCAUUUUUAAUGCAGUAGACUUUGAAGUUAUCAUUGACAAGCUUAGAUGAAUUACUAGGACCAUAAUACAAAUGUCACAGGCAUCUAAGGCACUUACCAAGUUUUGAGUACAUUCCUGUUCCUAUCUAAUAGUUUUUAAUUUCUUUAAUUUAAGACCCCAUUCAUUAAUAUUUUCUUUAUUGUGAAGUUAAUUUUUUUUAUGUGAAAUUAAUUUUUUUUUAAAAAAAAUUUGUUGACUUAUAGUUUACCUUUGUGUUAAAUGUUGGCAAAAUUAUUUUGUCCAAACCAUUUUUUUGUCCUGAACGUCCAACUAAAAACUGAAUCAAGGGUUAAGUUGUAAGGUUUCAGUUCGUCCGUUAUAUUAAUUUAUUGUUUUAAUAUUAUGCAGUACAAAUAGGUGUAUAAGUCCAUCAUUUAAAUACAAAAUGAAACCACAUCAAUAUAGAAAUUAAAAGAAAAUGAAUUCUCACAACCAUAAGGUGAGAUUCAAACUCUCUAUCUCCGAGGAUUUCUUAAAGUUAUUCUUAAAUUAUACUUAAAUGGUUAAAUUUAAUAAAUAAAGGUUUAAUUCUUUUCUCGCACAUUGUAGAAGCAAAUUUUCUCCUCUGUUGAAAAUUCUAAAUAUUUUUUUAAAUUAGGUUUCAACUAUGACAUAUCAGGAGAGAUUUGAUACAUUUCUAAUGCAACCGAUAUAACAACACAACUUUGUGAUUUUUACUAUUCAGGAGAAGAAGAACACAACCUGUAUAACCCAACCGUUUAUAUACAAACAUCGAAUCGCUUUUUAAAAUUAAAUUGGGAAAAUUGGGGAUAUAAUCGUUUUUCAUAUAUAUACAUUUUUUCCUUACAAAUUUAAAUUCAUGGUUGGUAGCUAAAUAUACCUGCUUAAAGCCACUCAGUCGAACCCUUUGAGAGCUGCUUUAAAUUUUUCGGAUUAGCCAUAUUCUUUUCACUGAGAUUUAACAUAAAAAAAAAAGAGAAAAUAAGUUAUUUAAUUAACUCUAUUUUAAGUGUUGGCAUAAAUACAGGACUCGAUUCCUUAAGCAACUUGAAGGCGCUGUACAUGAGCUUCAAUGCAAUCGACAAUCUAGUGGUUCCUAAAGGUAUACAAAAUCUUCAAAUAUUAAUAAUUUGGAAGACAAUUUAAUUGAUUUGAUUAGGGAAUGCCCAAUGUCACUUAUCCAAAAUAAUUUAAUCUGAAAUUGUAUCCCAAAUAGAUUACAGAGGCUUGAGGAAGUUGAAUACCCUUUAUUUUGGGGGGGGGGGGGGGGGGGGGGGGGGGAGGGAAAUUGCAGUGAUAUAUGGAAGCAAGGUGUUGCAAUCAAUAAAGAAGUUCAUUGGUCAAUAUUCAAGGACUCAUCCAAAGUAAUCCACCAACUCAAACAUUUCUUCAAUGAUGAUCAACGUCUUCAAAACUAGGUAGACGCGGGAGAAAUGAGAAUAAUUUAGAUUGUUGUCAGUGGGAAGGGGUUGAGUGCAACAACACCACUGGCAGAGUGAUUAAAUUAGAUCUAGCAUUUCGAAAAUGGGAAUCAGCAAAGUGGUAUAUGAAUGCCUCUUUGUUUACUCCCUUUCAACAAUUAGAGUCUCUUGAUCUAAGUUGGAACAAUAUAGCCGGUUGUGUUCAAAAUGAAGGUCCUUAAUUUACUCUAUUUUAGUUCUUCCUCGUAAUUUCUUACAUUUAUCUGAUCCCUUUUGGCUUUUGUUUAAUUUGUAUGUGAUACAAUAACAUUUUUUUAGUUUUUAUUUUUUAUUUUUUGGCAGGUCUAGAGAGGCUAUCAAGGUUGAACAACUUGAAGUUUCUUUAUUUAGACGACAACCACUUCAACAACAGCAUCUUUUCAUCUCUAGGUGGUCUUUCAUCACUCAGACACUUAUCAUUGGCUGAUAAUAGAUUGAAUGGAAGUAUUGAUAUUAAAGGUAAGCAAGCUUCAUCCCUUCUCCCGUGUCCCAUCUUUGUGGAUUUUAUUUCAUCGACCAGUUGGAAGUAUUGAUACUAGAUCUAGCUAGACUCUUGCUAGUUUAAGCUUCAAGGCUUUGAAUAUUAUAAAAAUAGGUUUAAGGAAUUAUCAAUAUAUGCAAUUUUCAAUGCUUCUCAUAAUCAGACACAAUUCAAUCUAAUUAUUUCGUAUGUCUUGUCUUCAAAAGUAAAGAAUUGUACACUAAACGGAAAUCGACAUUGUAGCUUUUUAAUUUUUCUAAUGCUCUUUCUUUGUUAACGAGUUAAAUCCUGAGAGUGGAUUGGAUUCAAAAAAAAAAAAAAAAACAAGUUUUGAUGUUCAAGGUAAGCCAUAAUAACAUGCAUCUUAUUUAUCUGCCUAUAUCUAAAUUUGUGCAUUGAAUUUAGUAUUUUGGUUAGUGUGAAGGGAUCAGAUAUUGGCUUCCAUAAACCAACUUGUAUUUACUUAAUUAAUUAAUUAACGCCAUUUAGUAUUUAAAAAAUUAAAAUUUCGUGUUUUAUUUAUUUUAUUUUUUAUUUUUUGAAACAAGAAUAAGGUAUAGCAGUAGGUAAAGUUGAAAUAAAUUUUUAUUCCUUACAAAUUUAAAUUCGCCGUUGUCAGCCAAAUAUACCUACUUAAAACCACUCGGUCAGGCCCUUGGCAGCUGGUUUUUAGGUUUUUCUAGUUAGCCGUGUACUUUUUUGCUUAUUAAUAAAAUUCUUUUGCGCCGAGAUUUAAAACAAAGAAGGAGAAAAUAAGUUAUUUAAUUAACCCUGUUUUAAGUGUUGGCAUAAAUGCAGGACUGAAUUCCUUGAGUAACUUGGAGGAGCUGGACAUAAGCGACAAUGCAAUCGACAAUCUUGUGGUUCCUAAAGGUAUACAAAAUGUUCAAAUAUUUGGAGGACAGUUUAAUAGAUUUGAUUAGGGAAUGCCCAAUGACACUUACCCAAAAUAAUUUAAUCUGAAAUUGUAUCCCAAACAGAUUUCAGAGGUUUGAGGAAGUUGAAUACCCUUUAUUUCGGGGGAAGGGCAACUGCAAUGAUAGAUGGAAGCAAGGUGUUGCAAUCAAUAGGAUCACUACCGUCCCUCAAAACACUUUACCUUUUGUAUACUAAUUUUAAGGGAACAGUAGUUAAUCAAGGUAAGUAAAUCUUUUAUGUCGAAAAUAAUUGAAUUAAUAUAUAUAUCUAAAAUUUAUUGUUUCUACUUCUUUCUAAAAAGAAUUGCACAAUUUCACCAACUUGGAAGAAUUGAUAUUGGACGAGUCUGAUCUCCACAUAAGCCAGCUUCUGCAAAGCAUCGCAUCAUUCACUUCGUUAAAGUAUUUGUCAAUGCAACAUAGUGUACUCAAGGGUGCCCUGCAUGGUCAAGGUAAAUUACGGGUAUCUGAAGCUUUUGUGAUAUUAAUUCGAUAAUGAUUCUUUCUUUUCAAGUUAAUUUUCUCCCGUAAAAUAAUAUUUUUUUCUUUUAAAUUUUAUAUAUUUUCACUAUCCAAUAGUUCUACCUUCUCUAAAUUGUAGGAUUCUUGAUUAAGGUUAAUGAAAUUUUAGUUAUGUUAUGUUAAGAAUAUUUCGAUCGCUUAGAAGAGUAAAGAAAAAUAAGUAAAUUAACCCAAAAAUAAGGACCGGAUUAUCCUUAUUCCCUUGCAUUAUGUGAUCAAUAUCAAAAUUAUGACCAUUUCUUGUUUAUUGCUUGCAGAUUUUCGUAAAUUCAAGAAUUUGGAAAAUCUGGACAUGGGUGAGGUGCAGGUUGACGUCAACACCAGUUUUCUUCAAAUUGUCGGCGAAUCGAUGCCUUCUCUGAAGUUUUUAUCACUGAUAAACUCUAGUAAAAACACCAUUCUUGAUCAAGGUUAAUUAAUGAUUCUCUUUCUCCCUCUCGCGCAUCUUAACUAAAUUUAAUUGAGAAUAUCUAUGAUGUGAGAUAUUUAUAAACUUAAUGAAAUAUGAUAAGGAGCCAUAAUAAUGACAAAAAUAACUAUAAAACAGUGCAUUGUUGUAGUGUUGAUUGAAAAAUAAUGCUAAUUUUUUACUUAACACUAUAACGCUAUAUAAUUUUACAGUUAUUUUGUUGCCAUUACGUCAGAUUCUACUGUUCAACUAUCAGUGAUCAAACUUAAUUUUUAAUAUGUACUUUAAAGAUUUUAUGCAAUUAUUUAAGUUUUAUGCAAUUAUAUUUUUCAGGACUUUGUCGGUUAGUGCAUCUGCAAGAGUUAUACAUCAGCAGUAAUGAUUUGAGAGGUAGCUUGCCAUGGUGCUUGGCAAAUUUGACUUCCCUUCGAGUAUUAGAUGUCUCUUACAAUCAACUUACUGAAAACAUCUCCUCAUCUCCCAUCAUGCAUCUAAUAUCUAUUGAAAAGCUCAUACUUUCAAAUAAUCACUUCUUCCAAAUCCCUAUUUCACUUGAACCACUUUUCAAUCUCUCAAAACUCAAGACUUUCGAUGGUGAAAUAUGCGCAGAAACUGAGUCACAUUAUAAUUCUUUGACCCCAAAAUUCCAACUGACUUCUAUCUCACUGUCUGGUUACAUAGAUGGUGGCACAUUUCCCAAAUUCUUGUACCAUCAGCAUGACUUGAAGAAUGCUGAUCUCUCACACCUUAACUUGAGUGGACAAUUUCCAAAUUGGUUGCUAGAAAACAAUACAAACUUAGUGAUGCUUCUUCUUGCCAAUAACUCUCUUUUUGGAUCAUUUCGAAUGCCAAUUCAUUCCCACCAGAAUUUAGCAACAUUGGAUGUCUCCAAACAAUUUCUUUCAAGGCCAUAUUCCGGUAGAAAUCGGAACAUAUCUGCCAGGUUUAAUGGAUUUAAACUUAUCUAGAAAUGCUUUCAACGGUAGCAUUCCCUCUUCAUUUGCUGAUAUGAAAAUGUUGGAAAGGUUGGACAUAUCUGACAAUCAGUUGACUGGUGAAAUCCCUGAGCGCAUGGCCACGGGUUGCUUCUCAUUAGAAAUUCUUGCAUUGUCAAACAAUAGUUUGCAAGGUCAUAUAUUCUCGAAAAAAUUUAACUUGACAAAUUUGAUGACGUUGCAGUUGGAUGGUAAUAAAUUCAUUGGAGAGAUCCCAGAAAGCUUAUCUAAGUGUUAUUUGUUGGGAGGAUUGUAUCUGAGUGAUAAUCAUCUCUCUGGUGAGAUUCCAAGAUGGUUGGGUAAUUUGUCAGCUUUAGAAGGUAUUAGAAUGCCCAAUAACAAUCUUGAAGGACCAAUUCCAAUCGAGUUUUGUCAGCUUAGUGCUCUGAAGAUUUUAGACCUUUCAAACAAUUCUAUUUUCGGAACGUUACCAUCUUGUUUUAGUCCAGCACAUAUCGAACAAGUUCAUUUGUCAAAAAACAAGAUAGAAGGACGGUUGGAAAGUAUAAUCCAUGACAGCCCUUAUUUGGUGACAUUAGAUCUUAGUCAUAACCGCUUACACGGAAGUAUUCCAAAUCGGAUUGACAGACUACCUCAGUUAAACUACCUUCUUUUAGCUCAUAAUUAUAUUAAAGGCGAAAUACCAGUUCAAUUAUGCCAGUUGAAGGAAGUGCGAUUGAUUGAUCUUUCUCAUAAUAAUCUAUCUGGUCAUAUUCCUCCUUGCUUGGUUAACACUGCACUCAGUGGAGGUCAUCAUGAGGCAGUAGCUCCAACUUCGAUUUGGUGUGGUCGAGCGUCUGUCUAUAUAUCUGCAUGUCUGCCUAGUCGAAGUGCACCUCCGAUGGGAAAGGAAGAAACUGUACAGUUCACAACAAAGAAUAUGUCCUACUAUUAUCAAGGAAGAAUUUUGACGAGUAUGUCUGGGAUUGAUCUUUCUUGUAACAAACUGACAGGUGAGAUUCCUACUCAAAUUGGAUAUCUUUCUGGGAUUCAUGCGCUAAAUCUAUCUCAUAACAAUUUGACGGGCACAAUCCCGACAACAUUUUCAAACCUGAAGCAAAUUGAAAGCUUGGACCUCUCCUACAACCUACUGCAUGGGAAAAUCCCUCCUCAACUCAUUGUGCUAAAUACAUUGGAGGUUUUCAAAGUAGCAUACAAUAACUUAUCAGGCAAAAUUCCAGAUAGAGCACAAUUUUCAACUUUCGAGGAAGAUAGCUAUGAGGGGAAUCCUUUUCUUUGUGGAAAGCCACUGUCCAAAAGUUGCAAUGAUAAUGGAUUGACAACAGUGACACCAGAAGCUUCCACCGAAAAUCAAGGUGAUAGUUUAAUUGACACGGACAGUUUCCUGAUCACUUUUACAGUAUCUUAUGGAAUUGUGAUAAUAGGAAUUAUUGGAGUUUUGUACAUAAACCCUUACUGGCGGCGAAGAUGGUUUUACCUUGUUGAAGUGUGUAUGACCUCUUGUUAUUAUUUUGUAGCAGACAAUCUUGUUCCUCGAAGAUUCUAUCGUGGAUGGAUGUAAUUUCCUUACAUUACAACUUAUAUGUAAUUUUUAAAGAAUUUUCUUUUGCAUGCAUGGAAUAGCAACUCAAUAAAAGUAUUUGAUUCAAAUUGUCCAAGAACAACUUAGUAAUUUCAUUGCUACUAUUCGGUUGUAUAUAUACAGUAAAUGAAAUUUUUAACCAUUCGCAGUAGGAAUUUCUUUAGAUGGCGGCCAAAACUAACAGAUUUGGGGCUCUACUUCUACACAUCAUAACAGACAAAAGGUCUCUCUUUUACACGAUCUGAAUGAAGAUUAACUUACGCCCUCUGGAGUGUGUGUAAGUUCUCUAUUAAACUUGACGGUUGAGAUUUCAGGUCCAGAUGAAAGUAAAAUGCAGGCGACGAGACUUCACUUUAAGUAAACUGGGACAAACUUAAAAUAAAAAAAAUUAUAGUCCAGGGUGAGAGUAAUGGGUAGCUCAACUUAUGGAGGAUAACUAGGACUUGGAAUAACUAUCAGAUUUGCAACUCUUGUUAUAUGCUAGUGGGGAUUUAGGUAGCAAUUAUCACCUUGGGAGUUACAGUAAUCGAUUCAUUUCCUCCUUCAUUUCUGAUGGUAACCCAGCUCUAUACAAGAACAAUCAGAGAAGGUUCAUUUAAGAAAUUUCACAACCCACAAAUUUUUUUUUCCUUUUUGCCCUCUUCCUCACAAUAAACACACCUAACACACCAAGCCGUGCCCAAAAUAAUCCUAUUUUAUUCAUGUCAUGAAUCCAAAAACUAUCCCAGCUCACUUUGGUUAACCAGCAUAACUAAAUUGUGGGUAUAAAUGAACACACUUUCGAAGCCUGUAACUUAUAAUAAGCUCCAACCCAAAAAUGACAUUUAAAUCCUGCAAGUGUUUUUCAUCAUCUUUAACAAAAAGAAACAAGAAUAAUUAUAUACCAAUAAUUUUUCCAUAAAAAAUACUGACUUGAGUUGAAACACUAUACAAACUGGGUUUUAUUACACUUGCAGAAAGCUACAGGGUAGAAAAAAUCUAGCAGCUACAUAUUGGUAUCACUUUCAGCUGGUCAUGAAUGGUGAGCAUUCAGCAAUGCUCGAUAGACCAUGUCUAAGAAUUGAUUGUCCUAUUACAUAUAAAAGCUGGUCAGAUAUACAAGGAAAAAAAUAAUAAUUGAAAAUGCAUCACAAAAAAUAAGUGUUUCGCAUUAGUGAACAUAAAUUUAUUUACAUGUCAAUUUAGAUAUCAUCAAAAAGUAAACAGUAAUUCAGUCACUUAAAAUAGCUUUAAGUCUGCUGUCAAUAUGCAAUUAAGAAGAUUAUACCAGCUGCAUGAUAAAGUUCCCCUAAUCUUAACAACAGUAAACAUGAACAUGUCAGAUGCAAUUAUAGCUUCGAGCAUUUGCAUAACCAGAAAUCCUAACCUGAACAAGCACCAGAAGUGUCUCUCGAACUUUCUCCUUGCUGAUAAAUGGUCGGCUGUUUGAAGUAAGAGCAGGAGUAAGAGAUGGUGGAGGGGUUGGUGGUGGAAAAGGUUGAAGCACUGGGGCACCAUAUGGGCGUUGCAGACUCACGGGAGGAUUAAGUGGCGGAGCUGUUGGUGUAGAUGAAGAGACAAGCUGCAUCAUCCGUGCAUAGGAGGAUGGAGGAGGAACAAAGAAUAAGGAAGGCUUUACAAGAUUAGGCGUCCAGUUGCCAGAUUCAGAGGUGUCAACGGGUGAUAUUAAAGGUGUAGGUGCUGAUAGAGGUGGAGAUGGUAUUUGCAAGGUUGGGAGAAGCAACACUGGCGGGAUGAGAAGGUAAAGAAAUAGUUGUAUUGUACUGGUAAGGUUGUGCAGAGAUUGCUGCAUUAGAAGUAUUCCCCACAGUCAAAGCUGUCUGCAAUGAUAAGGACAGAUUGUUGGAGAAUUAACAAAAUAAAACACAAAAAACACUAUUUUAUUUCUUCAACAACACUUCUCACCAAUUACAACUCUUAUUUUUCACUUUCUACACCUUAGAGAUUUUGCUACUUCACUUGAUGAUUAAACCAAAGGGGAGAGGGGGUAUUUAUACAUGAAACAAACUAAUCACAACCAUUCAUUUAUUCAAUUAAUACACAAAUCCUCACCAUCCAUUAAAACCUACCACUCACCUACUUCACCAACCACACCUAACACACCUAACACAAAUAAUUCAAAGCUCACCAACCAUACCUACUCAUGGAACCUUCCAUGAGUUGGGCUUGAUUUACUCAUCUUGGAUCAAGUUUAUGAUCCAACACCUCCCCUUAAACUUGAUCCUGUGACACCAAGCAAACUUCUGAAUCUUGCAAAGUCUUCUUCCUUGAGUGGUUUAGUGAAGAUAUCAGCUGCUUGAUCUUGUGAUUUUACAUACUUGACUUGCACUUCUUUUCUUGCAAUACACUCUCUUAUGAAAUGAUAGCGAGUGUCUAUGUGUUUACUUCGAUCAUGAAAGACUGGAUUCUUGGAUAGGGCAAUUGCUGAUUUGUUAUCAACACAAAUCUCGGUUGGCUCUUCUUGUGCCAAACUCAACUCCUUCAGCAAAUUUCUGAGCCAAAUUGCAUGACAAACACUUGAUGUGGCAGCUACAUAUUCAGCUUCACAAGUGGAUAGAGUGACAAUUGGUUGCUUCUUUGACAUCCAUGUGAAAGCAGUAUCUCCCAUGAAGAACACAAAUCCUGUUGUGCUCUUUCGAUCAUCUACAUCUCCACCCCAAUCGCUAUCGCUAUAUCCAAUAAGCUUGUAGUGAUUAGAAAAUGAGUAUAACAAGCCGAAAUUAAUUGUACCUUUGAUAUAGCGAAGGAUUCUUUUUGCAGCUUUAAAAUGAGUGGUCUUUGGAUUCUCCAUGUAUCGGCUCACAAGUCCAACAGCAUAAAGAAUAUCUGGUCUUGUGCAUGUCAAAUAACGGAGGCUUCCAACCAAACUUUUAAAGAAUGUUGGAUCUAUAUCUUCGCCUUCAUCAUAUUUGGAUAACUUGACUCCGCAUUCCACUGGCGUGCUUAUAGGCUUGCAAUCAUUCAUCUUGAACCUUUUGAGAAUCUCCUUUGCAUAACUUUCUUGGGAGAUAAAUAUGUCUUCUUCCUUUUGCUUGACUUCAAUGCCGAGGUAAUAUGUCAUCAGUCCGAUGUCAGUCAUCUCGAACUCUUUGAUCAUCACUCUUUUGAACUCUUCAAACAAGCUUGGAUUACUUCCAGUGAAGAUGAGAUCAUCCACAUACAGGCACACAAUCAAAAUAUCUCCAUCUUUUUCUUUGACGUAGAGAGCAUGUUCAUAUGGGCAUUUGGUGAAGCCUUUCUCUUGAAAAUACUUGUCAAUUCUGCUAUUCCAUGCCCUUGGUGCUUGCUUUAACCCGUAAAGAGCUUUCUUUAAUCUCAAAACUUUGUCUUCAUGUCCUUUCACCAUAUAGCCUAAUGGUUGUUCGAUGUAAACUUCUUCUUCAAGGAAUCCAUUCAAGAAAGCAGACUUCACAUCCAUUUGAAAAAUCUUCCAUUUGUUCUGAGCAGCCAAAGAAAUAAUAAGUCUAAUAGUUUCAAGUCGAGCUACAGGAGCAAAUACCUCGUCAUAGUCUAUGCCAGCCUUUUGACUAUAGCCUUUUGCAACUAGCCUCGCCUUGUGCCUUUCAAUUUCUCCAUUCGCAUUUCUUUUUGUUUUAUACACCCAUUUGACACCGAUCGCCUUAUGACCUUUUGGAAGAGUAGUAAGCUCCCAAGUAUCAUUCUUCACAAUGGCUUUGAUUUCUUCAUCCAUUGCAAUUCUCCACUUCUCAUCUAGUGCAGCUUCUUGGAAGUUGACUGGCUCACAAUCAGCAAAGAGGCAAAAGAGAGUGAGAUUAUCAUGUCUCUCAGUUACCUCAUAGAGAUCUUGAAGACUCCUUGUACGUUCUUCAGUUCUUUCAUUUAAGAAAUGCGGCGGUGAAUCUCCGCAUGUGGUUGGUACCGGUGAGAUAGGUAGAGUGGCAGGCUCUUGUUGUUCGUCUACUUGUUUUAUCUGUGUAUGAUCAUCUUCUUCAAUGGGAAAGAAGUUGAAGUCAUCCACACCAGAGCCAAAAUCUCAUUCUCCUUCUUCAUCAAAAACUACAUCUCGACUGAUCACGAUCUUCCCGUUGUUUGGAUUGUAAAGCUUGUAUCCUUUGGAGUUGUUGUCGUAGCCGAUGAAGAUGAACUUUUCACUUUUGUCAUCCAGCUUGGCUCUACUUUCAUCUGGUACAUGUACAUGGGCAAUGCUUCCGAAAACUCUUAGAUGGGUUAUGCCGGGUUUUCUUCCACUCCAAGCUUCUUGUGGCGUCUUGCCCCACACGCUUCUUGUUGGAGAUCGAUUGGAUAAGUAGACUGCACAUGCAACAGCUUCAGCCCAAAAUUCUUUAGGUAGCCUCUUACUCUUAAGCAUGCUUCUUGCCAUGUCGAGGAUGGUUCUGUUCUUCCUUUCUGCAACACCAUUUUGUUGAGGGGAUCUUGGAACUGUCAAAGGGCGUCGAAUUCCAUUUGCUUCACAAAACUCUAAAAAUUCUUUGGAAGUGAACUCUCCACCUCGAUCAGAUCUCAUGGCUUUAAUCUGGUAUCCACUUUCUUUUUCCACUGCAGCUUUAAACUUCUUGAAAGCUUCAAAAACUUCUGAUUUUUGCUUCAAAAAAUACACCCAAGUUUUUCUUGAAAAAUCAUCUAUGAAGAGAAGGAAGUAGUUACUUUUACCAAGGGAGUUUGGUUUGAAUGGACCGCACACAUCAGUAUGAAUGAGCUCGAGUGGCUUCUGAGCUCUUGAGUUUGACUCCUUUGGAAAGCUCUUUCUGAAUUGCUUGCCAAGUAAACAUCCUUCACAAAGCUGAUCAGGGUGAUUGAUGUAUGAUAAGCCUUUCACCAUGUUCUUCUUGAAUAGUAGCUCCAAUCCUCCAAAGUUGAGAUGCCCAUAUCGAAGAUGCCAAGUCCAGGAUUGAUCUUUGUGACAGGCUUUGAGACAUUUUGCAACAUCAUUUUGAAUAUUUAAUGGAAACAUUCUAUUCUUCGACAUUUUCACCUUUGUAAUUAGAUUUCCUUUGUCAUCUUUUAGGAAAAGACUAUAAUCUUUUAAGUGAAUAUCAUAGCCUUUUUCUAAAAGUUGACCCAAACUAAGAAUGUUGCUUUUCAUAUUGGGCACAUAGUAAACAUUCGAAAUUAUUUGGUGACUACCAUCUUUUGCACGAAAAAGAAUGUUACCUUUACCCUUCACUGGUACUUUUGAAUCAUCUCCAAAAGCGACACUGCCAUUCACAGAUUCACUUAGUUGCACGAACAUGUUUAUGUUUCCACUCAUAUGAUUGCUAGCACCUGUGUCAAGAUACCAUGUAUUUUCUUGACCUCCACUUGUGUCAUUGCGUGCUAGUAAAAGUGUGCCAUCUUCACUAUUUUUCUCUUCAGCAUAGUUCACUCUCUCUUCAAUUCUGGUGCUUGGAGCUCUGCAUUCUGAAGCAUAAUGCCCAAACUUUUGACAAUUAUAGCACUGUACUUGGGAUUUGUCAUACCUCGAUCUUGGAUUGCCUCUGCCUCGUCCUCUGGUUGAGCUUUCUCCUUUGGCAUAAUUGGAGUUGUUGUUGUUGAAAUUCCAACCUCGUCCAUGACCACGACCUCUACCUCGUCCAUGACCACGACCCCUACCUCGGACAUAGUGCCUUCUCUCAUUGUCGGAGCUUUCUUCUCUUUUCUUUGGAUUGACUUCCAUCUUGAGAAGUUGUUCUUCGAUUCCUUGCCUCUUUUUUUGUUUUUCUUCAUAGGCUUGCAACCUUCCUUGAAGUUGCUCGAUCGUCAUAUCCUCCAGAUCUCUUGUUUCUUCAAUUGUCACAACAAUAUGGUCAAACUUCGACUCUACUGAUCGAAGUAUCUUUUCAAUGAUCCUUACCUCUUUUAACUCCUCGCCAUUUCUUUUUAAUUCAUUGGAAACAGUCACAACCCGAGUAAAGUAGUCAGAAAUUGACUCUGACGCCUUCAUAUGUAAGGACUCAAAUUCUCCUCGUAAUGUUUGGAGACGAACCUUCUUAACUUGUUCCGCUCCUUUGUAAGAGGUCUCUAGUUUCUCCCAUGCUUCUUUUGAGGAGGUUGUACCAGCAAUUUUUUCAAAAUCAUCUUCAUCUAAUGAUUGAAAGAUGAGAUACUUUGCUUUAUUCUCUUUCUUCUUCAAGUCUUUUAAAUUCUCCUUCUGCGCCGCAGUUAAAGUGGCUUCAUUUUCUGGCACAAUAAAGCCUUUUUCCACGACAUCCCAUACGUCAUGUGCGCCCAAUAGAGCCUUCAUUUUAAUACUCCAAUUGUCAAACUUACUUCCCUUUAAUUGUGGAACUUGAAAUGACAUCAUACCACCCUUUGCCAUAACUCACAAAUUGAGUGAGAAUUUGGAGAUUCUGAAAGCACAAAUGGAUCCGGCACGUCGAAAAACCUUGGGAAUGACUCGAGUCAACUUUCGGUCAACGGUCAACGCUGGUCAACGGUCAACGCUGGUCAACGGUCAACGUCGGUCAACGGUCAACACCGGCUUGGUAGUCUUGGUUCGGUCCGGAUUGGUUCAGCUCGAGUUGGCUCGGUUCGACUUGAUUCGGUUCAGCUCGGUUCGGCUUGGUUCAACUCGGUGAGUCGACUCAGCUUUAGGGCAGAAAACUUCCGGCGGCAAGUGUGGGCGCGUCCGGUCUCCGAUUGGGAUAAUUUUUGCGGCGUCACUUUCCUCUCGUCGAGAUCUUCGAUUUGAUAUGCUAUAUGACCAUAUAUAGCAUCAUGUACUAGCUCUGAUACCACUUUGUUGGAGAAUUAACAAAAUAAAACACAAAAAACACUAUUUUAUUUCUUCAACAACACUUCUCACCAAUUACAACUCUUAUUUUUCACUCUCUACACCUUAGAGAUUUUGCUACUUCACUUGAUGAUUAAACCAAAGGGGAGAGGGGGUAUUUAUACAUGAAACAAACUAAUCACAACCAUUCAUUUAUUCAAUUAAUACACAAAUCCUCACCAUCCAUUAAAACCUACCACUCACCUACUUCACCAACCACACCUAACACAAAUAAUUCAAAGUUCACCAACCAUACCUACUCAUGAAACUUUCCAUGAGUUGGGCUUGAUUUACUCAUCUUGGAUCAAGUUUAUGAUCCAACACAGAUGUCAUAUACAAGGACUUCAUCGAAGUUGAACCUCACAAAAAAAUGAAGUGAUAACAUAUGAAAAUAGUAUAUGACUUGCGCGGCAUUUUUGUGGUAAUGUUGCAUACUUAUGUAGAAACAUAUUAUUUCAAAGAAAACAUACACUGAAGAAGUUCACAAAAGCAGGAUCUUCAGGAACAUCAGCAGCAUUUGACGGAGUUGACUCUAGAGGACCAUCCAUAACUGCCAUAGUUGGAACAGCUUCCAGUUCCUCAAACUCACUGCAGUUUAACAUAAAAGGAACUUGAUGACCAAUUUAAGUAAUAAUUAGAUGAUAUAAGAGGUUAGGGAAAAUGAUGAGUGGACCCUUAUGGAAGGUGAUUUCACCUUAGCUAAACACGAAAAUAAAAAGAAAUCAAAGCUGAAUCCUCGAGUGCAAUGCAAAGAAUUUUUUCUCUCUCUUCACUAACUCCUCUUAUUCGAAAUUGCUCAUCAUUGUGCUGCUCUUCGAGAUUUCGCUUGAGUAGAGAAAGUUAUUCUCCCGUUAAGUGCAGAGGAAAAAGAAGGGCAAGGGCCUGGUAUGAUGUUAUUCUAUAGGAAGUGAGAAGGUGAAGGGUUAAAAUAUUUUGCAAUUUGGAGGUGGUGUUUGUUAGUGUGUGUACUUCUGAAUUUAUUACCUCUUUAGGAUCCAUAGAAAUUGCCUCUUGUUCAGCAUGCACUGUGCCUACGAGUAAGGCGAGCUUGCAUGGUAUCUAUUGUCUAUUUACUUGGAUAUUCAAACAGGACUACCAGCAACCAAACACAAAUCCCCAAAACAAAACACUCUUUCAAGUGCAAGGAAAGAGUAACUUGGGCAUAUUUAUGGUUCAAGCACUACCAUAACUAAGAAUGUGAUGCUGUCCACAAACACUAUAUCAGUGCCUUUUGAACUACAUGACAUGCUUGAAGACUUUUUUUUUAGUCAUACAUAAAUUAGCUAUAAAAUUAAGACCAUUAUACAACUAAAAAGAAAGAAAAAUUGUUUGCCACUACAUAUCAAAACUGGUAAUAGCAAUGUAAGAUGGCAGACUUCUUACUUAAACAGAUGAGAGGCUACAAAUAAAAAAUUUGUGCAAAUAAAAUAUAUGAUAAAGAGCAUAAUACUUUCUUGGGGGCUAAAAAUAAUAUACAACUUGUGAAAUAUAAAUUGAGCUACCAUUACCUUUUAGAUGUGGCAACUUUCAACUUUUGAGGCACCUUGGAAUAUGCAUUCAGAAUCCUGCAUUUGGAAGCCAAAUAAAUAAUGUUAAUAACAGUUUUACAAUAGAAAAAUUAAAAAUUGAUAAAUGGCAGUUUUAAUUUAUGUAUGUGUAAAGAUAGCAUCACAUCCAGGGUCCUCCCACAAACAUGCUUGUAACAAGAAUUAGUUUGCCUCAACUGUUAGCAACUGGUAACAAUAUACAAUAGUAAAAAUCACUCCUAUGAACUCAACAAUACUAGGCACCAAUAAGAGUAUGAUAUAGCCAUUCUAAAAUGGAAGAGAAUACAACUGUUUUACAACUAUGUUGCAUCAGGAGAUAUGUUAGGAGGAUUAAUCCAGAUACCUUCCAACCCAAUUAGGAAAACUCGAGUCAAAAACCAGGAGCCGCAACCGAACCUUACAAUCUUGAAGGAAGAAGGAGACUUGGGGCAUUUUUCCAGAUAGGUGACUUACUAGAUCUCCUGCCAAGAGAAUAUCUAUUGCUUUGAACCUCCAUUGAAUUUUCUUUUCCCUUUUUCUUGUUUUGACUUGGAACUUUCCAGCAUCAUCUAUUUGAUCUUUUUUAAAGCUAAAAUAGCAAUCUAUGGGUUGUCAACAUCUUAUCAUAAAUUGACGAUUGCAAGGCAGCCGCAGAUCCAGAGCAAUCUCCCAGCUCUUUGCUCCUUCAUCAUUGCAGUUAGUCAAAAGAUAAGCAGAGAUAUCCCAUGUCAACAAGAAGGUAAUCAUAAAAGAACAACAGAAUUGGAAAACAUAUUUUGUUAUAGAUGAAAUGAUAUGAGCAUCCAUGUAUCUAUCCAGCAUUUAGGACACCGCAAUAUAUUCAUAUGAAACGUAAAACGAUUUAAUAUCAAUUUUCUUCAGGAGACUGACAAUGCGUUUGGGAUUGAGGUUGGGCAGCUGUAGCUUAAAAGCUACAACACUAAAGUGUUUGGUAAACACUAGCUGCUGUAACUUUUAAGCUAUGUUGAUAUGAUUUUUCACUUGUAUAAUAUAAAAUUUAUUAUAUCUUUAAUAAUUUUAUCAAAAUUAUUAUUUAAAAUUUAUAUUUACUAUAUAUUAUUAACUUUUGUUUCAUAAUUACAGCUUUUUUUUCACAGCAGCUGUAGCUUAAAAGCUAUAGCACCUCAAUCCCAAACGCACCCUGAGCAGGUUGUCUCGCAAGUGGCGCAUCAGUAUUGUAACGUCUGCUGGGUCUUACAUUAUCCACAAAAAUAACUCGUCCAUCUAGUAACUGCAAUUACAUAAUGUGAGAUGCGUAAACUCAACAAUAUAAGCAUGGAAAAUUAGAGAAAAAUGAUGCAAUUUUACCCUCCCAUUCAUGUCUUCCAAGGCUUUUUGGGCUUCCUCUUCUGUACUGAAAGCCACAUACCCGUAACCUUUUGAUCUAUUGUUACCUUUAUCCAUUAUUAUUACAGCUGCAAAGAGAAAAGAAUUGGAUAUUAGAAAAUAGUGAAGAGGGAACAGGGGUUGAGACUUAAAACAGAAAUAGACCAAACCCUCAUUGAGUUGGCCAAAUUGUGAAAAGGCAUCAGCUAACAUCUCUUUAGUGGUUGAGAAAGAUACACCUGCAAAGAAUGCCAGUUAAUUUUAUCAUAAUUAGAUAGUAAGAUGGAAAAUUCUGCAGCCAAAGGUAGAAUGCAACUAAGGAAAUCAAAUAUGAACAUGUCUUCAAUCUUAAAAUAUUAAGAGUAGCAUAAGUAACUUGUGAAACAGUUAUAAGUUCAAAUGGUUGAAUUUAUAAAUAUUUGAUACUUUGGACCGAACAGGGCAAACAGAUGGUGAGCAGAAGCAGCCCAGUUUAGCUAUAUGCCAUGUAUGUGAUCAAAAUUGAAUGGUUAAAUGGCAGCCACUGUGUUACAUCUUGUGUAAGUAACAAACCGCCUGCAUGGAUCGUUGGAUUUGGGAAUAUGAAAUCCAAUGGAUAAUAUUGAAUUUAACGAAAAAUAGAUUACAGGUUGCAUUAUUCCAAGUUUAUUUCAAACAAACCAGCUGAUGAAAUAGCCGCUAAUCAAAUUUAAAAGGGAAAAAAAUUCAAAUUAUAGGUUAUAGAUCUUAUUUCCAUCUUAAAUCUAUUUGUCUUUCAUGGUGUCUCAAUGUGUAUACUAAUUUAUAAUUUGGAUCUAUAUUAGAGCUAAUGCUUCUCCAAAUAACUAAGAAAUUUUUAUUUUCAUUGAUUAAAUAUUUAUUUCCAAUAUUUUGUAUAUGUAGGAUUUGAAAAGAGGGAAAAUAGUAGGGAUGAUAAUGAGAGAAGAUAGAGAUGUCGAUUCUCAAAUCUAAUAUUAAUGCUAUACUUAUAUUCCUAUACUAAAUAAAUUAUCCAAGUUUUGUGGUUAACGAUACGUUGCAAAAUUUUAAUUUCUAUUUAAAGCUCUGUCUAAUAUGGCUUUUCAUAAAGCUUAGAGAAAAGUAGAGCUUUUACAAAAAAAAAAAAAUUAAUUAGAAUUGUCAAUGAUAAAUUUUAUUAAAAAAUUUUAAAAAGUACUUUAAUAAAUAAGCUUUUAAAGUUAUAUACAUUAUGAAAGAAAUUAAAUAAGAUUAUAUAAUAAAUUAAGAGUAUCUUAGAUAAUUGAACUUUAAAAAAAAAAAACUCGCUAAGAGGUUUAAAAUUUGAGUUUUUAAUAGUGGAUACAGAAUAGUUUAUUUAAUUCUCAAAAGCUCUACUCAAAAUACAACCAUGUAACACAAAAAUUUUUCAUAAGUUUUUUGGACUAGUUAAGUAUUUUUUUUGAAAAAAAAUAUUUUUUUCAUUGAGUAAAUAAUACUAAACAUGCACUAAAGUGUUAGGACCAGAAAUUGUACAAAUAAAACCAUGAAAUUAUAUGUUGUUGGGUGGAUAUUUUUCAAAUUUGCUGUAGUUUUUUUUUCUUUUCUGCUGGGAAAUUGAAAUGAUGGCUACAACUUAAAUUAUGAAUGGAGUAAUCGGAGAAUAUUGAAACCCGUUUAAUUUGGAUCGGGCAUUGAGGGACGAAAGGAUAAAAAAUUUAAUUUUGAAAUUGCUGUUGGGUACGGUACAAUGACUUACCGUUGACAGCCUGUGCAACCGGAUUACAAUCGGUUAGUUCAAUAAUUUUAUGGAUGUCCCUAAGUUACGUUAAGUGUAUCUUAAGUUUUUUGUCUUUUUCUUCUCGUAAUUUUUUAUACAAGUCUUCUUAUUUAUUACUUUUUAUUUUUAAAGAUGCAUUUGUCUUCUUCUGUCAAUUAUACACCUAUUUUUCAUUCUUUCUAAUAUUUUCUUUAUCUCUUUAAACAAUAAUAUAUGAUUAUCGAAUUCAUAUAAAUCUGUAAAUUCUGAAUAAAUUUCGAGUCCUAAAUUUAUUAUUCCCAUUCUUUCUUGUUCUAAUAACUCUAUUUUUUAGGUUAUUUGAUUUAUAUAACUUGUUAUAAUAUUUUCCCAGCCUAGAUUCAUAUGAUCUAUUGUUUCUGCUAAAUUAUGUAUUAUAUUAAAAGCAUGUUGGUUCAUGGUAAUGCUUCUUUUUUAUACCAGUAUACUAAAAAUUUUAUAAAUUCAUCUAUGAAUUUCAUUUUCUUUUCUAUUAAAAUCUCACCUCCUAGAGUUUCUAUAUUUCUUUCUUGUAAUUCUUGUGUUAUAUUAAGCUCAAUAUUUCGGAUGUUAUUCUUUUCGGAUUUUAUAGACAUUAUUAAAUUUUUUAUUUCUUCUUUGUCAAACACUUUUAAAGUAUAUAAGCUAUCUGUUAUAUCUUUUAUAGGAUCCAUGGCUCUGAUACCAUUUUUAUUACAAAAAACAAAACAAAACAAAAACAAAACCAAAACAAAACAAAACAAAUAAAACAAAAUCUAUAAAACAAAACAAAAUAUACACUAACAAGCAAACAACAAAACCAAAGUUUUGGAUGAAAGAUAAUUGAUAAGAAGAUAUAUUACUAUUAUUAUUCUUCUAAAAAUGUAUAUCUAUCAUAUCUCCCACUGUUAUUAUUCCUUAAAUAUAAUCCUAUAACUUCUUCUCCAUUAAUGAUACUAGGUAUAUUUCCUGGAAAAUUAGGAACAUAAAAAUCAUAAUAAUUAUUAUUGGUUUCUAUAAUAUAUGUAGGAUGCAUAAUUUGAUUUAAGAUUUCUAAAUUAUGGGUUAUGUUUACAGGAUAAAGGAGUAUUUCUACUUUUAAAAUAUAUAAGUUAUUAUUUAUUAUACUAGUGUAAUAUCUUAUGUCCCUAUAAUUAUUCAUGAUAUUAAAAUUCUAAUUCUUCGUUAUCUGAAUUAUUUAUAUAUUCGACGUAAGAAGGUUCUAUUUUUAAGCUUUCAUUUUCUAUUUUAGCUUUAACUAUAUCAAUAGCUUCAUCUACAGUUAAUAGUGUAAUUAAGUGUUUUAGAUUAUCCGUUUCUAAAAUGUUUAAGAUUCUUCUUUUUAUUUCAGGUGGUAAUUCUAGGCUAUAAAUAGCUUGUAUUUCAUUUUUACUAAUAACUUCUUCUUUACUAAAUAUGUAUGAACUUUGUUUAAAAGAUCCAAGAUUAUAAUCUAUUAUCAUCAUGUAAUUAUUAUAUGUAAUCCUAGUUGUAGGAUUUAUCAUUUUUUCUUUAGGAUUUCCACGUCCUAAUCUUACACUCAUAUUUUGAUAAACACUCAUUUUCUUAUUUCUUUAACAAUUUUUGAUUAAUAAUUUGAAUAAAAUUCACUUCUAAGAGAUGCUCAUCCACCAUUAAUCUCCUCAUCUACAAUCAUCACCAAACUUCCACCAACAGAUAAGGUUAGAGAAUUAUUACCUAAGUUAUCCUUUUUUCUUCGUCUUAAGAUCUGUCUCCAGUGACCUGCAGCCUACGCGUCCUUCACUCCCUCAACGGCCUCCUGCCUAAACGGGAUCAAGUGGACUCUGAUGGCCUUUCUGUAUGGAUCUGGAUCUUCUUUCUUAGAAUCAGGGAUAAUUUUAGGUUUCUCUUUCCUUUCUAUGGGGUUGUUUGUUUAUGAUUGAAAGAUGUAUUGAUUUAUGGUUUCGAGCUUAAGAGAAUUUAGCUAUGCAUGUUUCAGAGAGUUUUGAAAAAGUGAAGUAUGGUUUUUCAAUCUGAGUUUUCAAUCUGAGGUAUCCCUCGUUCUUCUUUUCUUUUUAUUUCAAAACUUUCUAUUCGAGAUUACAUUCUUGCCCUUUUGGCUUUUUCUAAUUAUUACAAGUGCUUUACAUUAUUGCUAAGACAAAGCUUUUCUGCUUUUUAUCUUGUCGGCUUCUUUUUAUCUUCUUUUUGUCUGGCAUCUUCUUUAUGCUGUCUGCCACUAUAUGAUCACAUCAGUCUGGCAUCUUCUUUAUGCUGUCUGCCACUAUAUGAUCACAUCUUUUUAUUUUGUCUGAUUGCUUGCUUCCAUAAGCUGAUAAGCAUGCUGCAUAGUUUCACUGCUGCUGGGAAAUCGCAUAGUGCUUAUUUCAUUAAUAAGCUCUAACAAGAUAUUUGAGGAUGUAUGGCUGUCUUCUGCUGUUACUAAGAUAUAAUUUUGAAAUCUGAUGAUGGUUCUGAAAUUCCUUUUGUAGAGGUCUUUUGCUAUGCUCCAGAUUGCUUUUAUGCCUCGAGCUCUUCGGGUUCGGAUCCAAUUUUUUGUAAUCUGAGGAACAUUAGUAUAUUCGGUUCCUAUUUCUAAUUGGAAAUUUUUGGUUAUAUGACCCACUGAAAUCAUAUAAAAUGCUUGGUAUUCUACAUUUUGAUGAUAUUCUGGACUUAUGGUGUAGAAUUUGAGGUAUAUGGGUCUUUUCUGGGCGAAUUUAGAUAUUUCUUUGACUAGUAAUUCAUCUAAACUGGCUAUUUCUCGGAGGUCUAUAUCAGGAUAUAUUAAAUCUAGAUAACCAUAACGGGCUAUUUUUCCUACAAGAAGUGGGUCUGCUCCUUUGGUGGCUAUCAUUCUGGGAUACAUAUUUUUACCUGGUGCUUUAUGGAUAUUAUUAUUGUGGGAACAGAUAGAAUAAAUCCAUGUAGAAAAUUGUUUAUACUCUUCUUCUUUUGGAUUCAAAGGUUCCUUCUCUUCUUCUUUUAUUUGGAGAUUGUUUAUUUGGAUGAACUUUUUUGAAGGACUUGAUUUUUGUGGCUCAACUUCGAUGGAUAUUAUAUUUGGUGGGUUUUUGAUUGGGUCAGAGAUUGGUUUAUUUUCUCUGAAGGGUCCACUACUGCUUCCUUCACCAAUUGGGCUGGUGUUUAUUGGCGCAAUAUUCUUUGGGCCUUGUUUUAUUGAGAGUGCUUUUGUCAGGUCAUUUAUUUGCGACACUAACAAAUGUACUCCUUUUUCAUGGGCUUCUGAAGCCUCUUUCAAAUAAUUUACAGCAUCGAUUAUAUCUGAAGCUUCUGUUGCCAGUCUAUGUAGUUCAUCAUCUAUUUUGGCAAGGAUCAAAUCUAUUUCAGGAUCCAUUCCCAAAUUCUAUGUUCCUGCUUAAAAAAUCUGCAAGAAAGUUGUUAGAUCCUUUUAUAUGUAUAAUUUUAAAAUUAUAAUAUGAUAAAUAAGCUUGCCAUCUAUGUAACCUUCUGUACUGGGGUUCAUUUGGUAAAAUUCUAUUUAUUAAUGAGCUUACCUGGGAAUUGUCAGUUUCUAUAAUAAAAUGUUUUUGUAAUAAGAACAAAGAAAACUUUUUUAUUCCUUUAUAUAUUGCAAGUAGCUCUUUCUCAUGGACAGGAUAAUUGACUUGUGCUUGGUUGAAAGUACCACUGGUGUAUCUACAUAUCUCAUUUAUAUCAGUCUUAAGUAUUGCUCCCCAAUAUAGGUCAGAUGCAUCAGUCUGCAUUAUUAACUUAUCAGUUUUAUCUGGUAAUCUCAAAGAAGGAAGAUCUUUACAUUCAUUUUUUAAGUUUUUUACAGUUUCUGUAUGUUCUAUGCUCCAUCCUCUAGUAUUAUUUUUCCUAAGUAACUUUUGAAGUAUAUUUUUCUUUUUAGCUAGAUUUUCUAUAAAUCCUUCUGCAUAAUUUAAGCAGCCUAAGAAUUUUUGUAUUUGUUGUUUAUUUUCUAAUUUAUCUGGAAAAUCAAUAAUUUUUCUUCCUAUAUGGCUUUGGAGUCUGAUUCCUUGUUUAUCUAUAAUCAUUCCUAAAAAUUCAAUUUUCUUAUGUUCUAUUUUUGCUUUUCUUUCUGAUAAUACUAUCCCUUCUUUAAUACAUAAAUUUACAAAUUCUUUUAAAUGUUUUCUGUGAUCUUCUAAGGUUUCAGAGGCUAAUAAUAUGUCAUCAACAUAUACUAUUAUGUAUUUAUAAUCUCUAAAUAUUUUAUCCAUUCUUUUUUGGAAUAUUUGUGGAGCAUUUUUUAAUCCAAAGGGCAUUACUAACCAUUCAUAAUGUCCUUGUGGAGUACUAAAUGCUGUAUAAGGAAUACUAUUUUCUUCCAUUUUUAUUUGCCAGAAACCUGAUUUACAAUCAAACUUUGAAUAAUAAGUUUUAUUUUUUACUAAAUUAAUUAGAACUUCUUUAUUUGGCAAAAAAUAUCCAUCAAAUUUGGUAUAUUUAUUUAGUUCUUUAUAGUUUAUUACCAUUCUAGCUUUCCCUCUAACUUGUUCUGCUCUUUUUCUAACCAUGAAAGCUGGGCUGUUGUGUGGACUAUUACUAUUGCGUAUUAAAUUUAAUUCUAAUAAUUCUUUUAUCUGGAUUCUAAAUUCUUCUCGGUCUUCUUCUGUGUACAUCAUAGGUUUAAGUCUUAUGAUUCUAUUUUCUGUUAAUUCUAUUUUUGCUCUGGGGUGAUCUGGUUUCCAUAAGGCUAAUGGAUUUUCUUCAUAGACUUGCUUUAGUUGGGAUUUUAUUGUUUCUAAUUUUAUAUUUAUGUUAUAACUCUGUCCUUUUGAAAUUAAAUAAUGUUUUUCAUAAAUUGUCUUAUCACCACGCGAGGCUGGCUGAACUCUAUAAGGGCGAAAUUCUCGAGGAAUUCGUAAAAUAUGAUUGCAUGGGGUUUUAAGAGUAACCAUAUAGGUCGUCUGUUGGUAAUAUUGAAAUUGUUGUAAGAAAUCAUUUCCUAAAAGUAUAUCACAGUCCAUUUGGUCAUAUUGGAAGAUAUGAUUAAUACGAACAAUUUUACUUCCUAAAAUAGUUUCAAAGCUUUCUAAAGAUUGAGUAAUAUGUUGUUUGUCUCCUGUGAUACCUACGAGUUUUAUCUUGCUAUUUGAUUUCCAUUGGUUUGAUAAAAAGGUUUUCAUGAUUGUAAUUUCACUUCCUGUGUCUAUUAAGGCACAAGUGUUUAUAUCUUUUUCUACUAUAUUUAUUUGUAUAUAAACAGACAUAGGAUAUUUUAUAUAUGCUUGUCUUAACAUGUUUCACAAAUUAUCUUUUGUCCUUCUAUUUGUAAGGUAAUUUGGUCUUUUUCUAUUUUAUAAUAUUCUAGACUAUUUAAGAAACUAUUUCCUAAGACUAUAUGUUUUUCUGGAUCUGUAGUCAUAAAAGAAUCUAUGUAGCAAGAUACUAUUAUUCGUAUUCCUUCAAUUAUUAAUGGAACUUUUACUUCUUGUCUACAUAUGUGCUUAUUACCAUUAAAGUCAGUAUAUUCAUAUGGAAUUUCUUUUUCUUUUAUUAAGAGUCCUUUAUUUUUUGUAUGAUUCAUAUAAUUAUGACUUGUUCCUGUAUCUACUAGGAUAGGUAACCUUAUUGUAUAUUCUAUUCCAUUGAAGUAUUGUCCAAGGAUUUUUACUACACUACUAGUAAGAGUAGGUUUUAAGACUUGUUUAUUUAUAUUGAUUAUUUGUCUAUUAGUACUUAAUCUUCUAGAAGAUUCUCCUCUCAAAAGAGUUCUUCCGGCAAAACUGAUAGGGAUUAUAGAAUUCUCAUUAUUAUUAUUUAAAAAUUGUUUUUUAUCAUCUACAUCUAAUUCGUAUGUUAUAGGAAUUUUAUAAUCCUGUAUUAUAGGUUCUAUCAAAGUUGCUAUUUCCUCACAUUCUUUAUUUAUUUCUAUAUAUGGUUUAUUCCCAUAGAUUUCUCCAUAAUUUGAGUUACAAAAACUAUAUAAUGCUGAAUAGUGUAUAGUCAUUAAUCUAUUUCCUUCCUUCAUUAAGUUCUUUUUUAGGAGUUUAAAAUGUAGACUUAAAGUUUCAUCUAUAUUUUUAUCCCUUAUGUGUACACAGUAUCUAGGAUGACAUGUAAAUAGUAAUUUGGUAUAACAUAAGUUUCCUUCUACUGUUCCUAGAUGCCCUAUACUAGGAUCAUGGAAUCUUUGAUCAUGAAUUGAUAAAAUUAUUGGACUAUCUACUCCUUCUUUAAAGAGGGAUUUUAUUAAGAUUUGGAUUUCAGCUAAAUAUACAUAUUGAAUUUUUUCUUUUGUUGAUUCAUUUUUUAUUUUUCUUAAGGCUAGAUCUAUUGUUCUUUUAUUUAUUAAGCUAAAUCGUAUGUUUCCUUCAGCUUGUGUUAUAGUUACAGCUUUUUCUUCUUCAUAGUAUUCAUGUAAAAUUAUCCUUUUUCUUUUAAAUAAAUCUCUUAGUUUUUGUAAGAUACUAUACUCCGGUUUUUCCACAUUUAAUCUUAGAAGUUUAUUGUAUUUUUCUUUAUUAAAAGUGGCUACUAAACUAUACCCACUUUUGUUUUCUUCUCUUUCUAUUUCUUCAAUGUCGUCUAUUUCUUCUUUUUCCAAUAUGUCUUUUUCUUUAUUCUGAUUCAUUUUCCUCUGUAUUUUCCAUAUAUACUAUCAUUCCUUCGUAUUCUGAUAUGUUUUUUAUUUCUUCUAAUUCAUCUCUUAUUUGUUCAAAAUCUUCUUGUAAAAUUCUAACUUUUUUCUUUUUACAAUCUGUACUGAUAUGUCCUAUUUCACCACAAUUCCAGCAUUUACAUUUUGAUUUAUCUACUAACUUUCUUUGGUUUUUAUAUUUUCUUUUAUAGUAUUUUCUUCCAGGUUUCUUGUAUUUCUUUUUAAAUUUGUUGUAUUUUUUAUAUCUUUUUUCUUUUUUAUAUUUUCUUUUUCUAUUAUAAUAUGGGAUAGAACAUCCCCAUUGAGUUGGCAUCUCUGUUUUUUCACAACAUAUUUCUGUUAUGUUUCUACUCUUUUUGAUUAAAUUCCUCUGGAUACAUAUAUCACUAAGUCGAGUAUUUAUAAAUCUUAUUCUAGAUCCUAGGUUAUCUGGGAGUUUAUUUGAAGUACUAAUUUUUUCAUAUUCAUUUAUAAAGUAACUAUUCCAAGGGUAUGGCAACUUGGAGUAAUAUAAGUUUUUAUAAACUUCUUGAUCUUCUAAACUUACAUAUUGUUCAUAAUAAUAUUUACUAAAUUCGCAAGUAUAUUCUUUGAUAAAACACAUAUUGCAUAUUGUUAAAUUUAAUAGAUUUAACCGUGCUCUUUGUUUUUCAUUAUUUGCUUCUCUCUCUGAAUUUUCUAACCAAUCUUCUCCUAAAAAUUCUCUAGCAAUGUAUUCCAGUAUUCUUUCUAUUCCUAGAGCAGUGCUCCUCCUAAAAGCUAUUUUGGUUGAGUCUUUUAUUAACAUUUGUGUAUCAUCACUUAAUCCUCUCCACCAAUUAAAUACAUUCCCUGUAAAACUAGUUAUUAGGAUAUCUGUGAAUAUGUCUAUCUUUUCUUCAUUAGUGGUUACAUUCCAGUCAUCAUUAGCUCCAUUAUAUGUGAAGAAUAGCUUCAUCUGCAUUCCCCAUUCUGCUAAUGUUUUUCGAGGGUUCUCUUUACAGUCUAUAUUUAAAAAUGAUCCACUAUUGCUUAUAGGUACUAAUGUAUCUUGAUUAGGUUUGUAUUCUUUUUUCCAUGGAGUAGAUUUUGUUUUAGGUGUGUAUUCAUAAAAAGGUUUAUUCUUUUUCUUAGGUAUAUUGCUUGGUUCUGCAACAUUUGGUUUCAUUUCUGGUCCUCCUGCUGUAUUCAUUUUUAUAUGGUAUUCUUUUUCAAAUUCUUCUAAAUCACUAAGAUUUAUGUCACUAAAUUUUUCAGUUAAACUUUCUAUUGUGUCUUCCAUUAUUCAGAAUUAGACUCAGUUUGUUCUUUUAUUUCUAAUUUCUCUUUUCCUUUUUCUUUCUUUCUUAUUUCUGCCUUUAGUUCUUCAGCUUCCUCUAAUAUUUUUGGAUAUUGUGUCUCCAUAAACCAGUAGUCAUAACUGCCUUUUUGGGGUUUUUGUGUAGAUUUCUUUAAGUUUGUCCCAAUAAUAUUUGAUUUUAUCAUCUCAAGUCUUUCUAUUUUCUUAUUUUUCUUUUUACAUUUUUGUAACAGUGACAUCUCUAUUUUUAAUUUUCCUAUAUCUUGUCUUAUUUCUUUUAUUUCUUCUUUUAGAUUUAAAAGUAUUUCUUUUAACUCUAUUAUCGUGGUUUCCAUAAACUAUAAGGGGGUCUAUCAAUAUUUUGUUUAUUUGAAUGUAUGUUACGUUGCAUGUAACAUAGGCUUGGCCUAAUUUUAUAUCCCUAUUUAACCGCCACGUGCUGCUGUUACAUGGGUCAAUUAGUCAUGUCAUUACUGUUACUUACAGCUGCUGUAACAUAACCGGACCCUGGUUAAAUUCUGUUGUUUCCAAUAAUUUUAUGCUGUAUCUUUUUUAAUAAUAAAGAAAACUUGCAUUAAAAUUAAAAUUAGGGUAAUACCUGAUUUUAUAAAUAGAUUGCAAUGUAAUUUUGAAAAAUAAAACAAUAAUUUACGAAAUGGUUAUAACAUAAUUUUAAUUUUUUUUAUUGCUUGUAGAUUUUCGUAAAUUCAAGAAUUUGGAACAUCUGGACAUGGGUGAGGUGCAGGUUGAUGUCAACACCAUUUUUCUUCAAAUUGUCGGCGAAUCGAUGCCUUCUCUUAAGUUUUUAUCACUGAUAAACUCUAGUAAAAACACCAUUCUUGAUCAAGGUUAAUUAAUGAUUCUCUUUCUCCCUCUCUCGCAUCUUAACUAAAUUUAAUUGAGAAUACCUAUAAUGCUAGCUAUUUAUAAACUUAAUGAAAGAUGAUAGGGAGCCAUAAUAAUGACAAAAACUACUGUAAAAUAGUGUGCUGUUGUAGUGUUGAUUGAAAAAUAAUGCUAAUUUUUUACUUGACACUAUAACGUCGUAUAAUUUUACAGUUGUUUUGUUGCCAUUACGUCAGAUUCUACCGUUCAAUUAUCAGUACUCAAACUUAAUUUUUAAUAUGUACUUUAAAGAUUUUAUGCAAUUAUUUAUCUAUGUGUACUGAAGGAUGAAUUAUAUAUUUUUCAGGACUUUGUCAGUUAGUGCAUCUGCAAGAGUUAUACAUCGGCGGUUAUGACAUCCCUUCAAGUGUUGUAUGCCUCUUCUAAUCAACUUACUGGAAACAUCUCCCCAGGCCUUUGUGAGUUGGUGCUUAUGAGAGAGUUACACAUUGAUAACAAUGAUUUAAGAGGUAGCUUGCCUUUGUGCUUGGCAAAUUUGACUUCCCUUCGAGUAUUAGAUGUCUCUGACAAUCAACUAACUGAAAAUAUCUCCUCAUCUCCCCUCAUGCAUCUAACAUCUAUCAAAGAGCUCAUACUUUCAAAUAAUCACUUCUUCCAAAUCCCUAUUUCACUUGAACCACUUUUCAAGCUCUCAAAACUCAAGACUUUCGAUGGUGAAAUAUGUGCAGAAACUGAGUCACAUUAUAAUUCUUUGACCCUAAAAUUCCAACUGACUUUUAUCUCACUGUCUGGUUACAUAGAUGGUGGCACAUUUCCCAAAUUCUUGUACCAUCAGCAUGACUUGAAGAAUGCUGAUCUCUCACACCUUAACUUGAGUGGAAAAUUUCCAAAUUGGCUGGUAGAAAACAAUGCGAACUUAGAGAGGCUUCUUCUUGCCAAUAACUCUCUUUUUGGAUCAUUUUGGAUGCCAAUUCAUUCCCACCAGAAAUUGGCAACAUUGGAUGUCUCCAACAAUUUCUUUCGAGGCCAUAUUCCGGUGGAAAUCGGAACAUAUCUUCCAGGCUUAAUGCAUUUAAACUUAUCUAGAAAUGCUUUCAACGGUAGCAUUCCCUCUUCAUUUGCUGAUAUGAAAAUGUUGGAAAGGUUGGACAUAUCCUACAAUCAGUUGACUGGUGAAAUCCCUGAGCGCAUGGCCACGGGUUGCUUCUCAUUGGAAAUUCUUGCAUUGUCAAACAACAGUUUGCAAGGUCAUAUAUUCUCUGAAAAAUUUAACUUGACAAAUUUGAUGACGUUGCAGUUGGAUGGUAAUAAAUUCACUGGAGAGAUCCCAGAAAGCUUAUCUAAGUGCUAUUUGUUAGAAGGAUUAUAUCUGAGUGAUAAUCAUCUCACUGGUGAGAUUCCAAGAUGGUUGGGUAAUUUGUCAGCUUUGGAAGAUAUUAUAAUGCCCAAUAACAAUCUUGAAGGGCCAAUUCCAAUCGAGUUUUGUCAGCUUGAUUCUCUGAAGAUUUUAGACCUUUCAAACAAUAGUAUUUUUGGAACUUUACCAUCUUGUUUUAGUCCAGCAUCUAUCGAGCAACUUCAUUUGUCGAAAAACAAGAUAGAAGGACGACUGGAGAGUAUAAUCCAUGACAGCCCUCAUUUGGUGACAUUAGAUCUUAGUUGUAACAGCUUACACGGAAGUAUUCCAAAUCGGAUUGACAGACUACCUCAGUUAAACUACCUUCUUUUAGCUCAUAAUUAUAUUAAAGGCGAAAUACCAGUUCAAUUAUGCCAGUUGAAGGAAGUGCGGUUGAUUGAUCUUUCUCAUAAUAAUCUAUCUGGUCAUAUUCCUUCUUGCUUGGUUAAAACUGCACUCAGUGGAGGUCAUCAUGAGGCAGUAGCUCCAACUCCUGGUCGGUGUGUUGAAGCGUCUGUCUAUCGACGUACAUGUGUGAUUCCAAGUGGACCUCCGAUGGGAAAGGAAGAAACUGUACAGUUCACAACAAAGAAUAUGUCCUAUUAUUAUCAAGGAAGAAUUUUGACGAGUAUGUCUGGGAUUGAUCUUUCUUGUAACAAACGGACAGGUGAGAUUCCUACUCAAAUUGGAUAUCUUACAAGGAUUCAUGCGCUAAAUCUAUCUCAUAACAAUUUGACGGGCACAAUUCCGACAACAUUUUCAAACCUGAAGCAAAUCGAAAGCUUGGACCUCUCCUACAACCUACUGCAUGGGAAAAUCCCUUCUCAGCUCACUGUGCUAAAUACAUUGGCGGUCUUCAGAGUAGCAUACAAUAACUUAUCAGGCAAAAUUCCAGAUAGAGUUGCACAAUUUUCAACUUUUGAGGAAGAUAGCUAUGAGGGGAAUCCUUUUCUUUGUGGAUGGCCACUGUCCAAAAGUUGCAAUGAUAAUGGAUUAUCAGCAGUGACACCAGAAGCUUACACUGAUAAUGAAGAAGGUGAUAGUUUAAUUGACAUGGACAGUUUCCUGAUUACUUUUACAGUAUCUUAUGGAAUUGUGAUAAUAGGAAUUAUUGGAGUGUUGUACGUAAACCCCUAUUGGCGGCGAAGAUGGUUUUACCUUGGUGAAGUGUGUACGACCUCUUGCUACUAUUUUGUAGCAGACAAUCUUGUUCCUAGAAGAUUCUAUGGUGGAUGGAUGUAAUUUCAUUACAUUACAACUUAUAUGUAAUUUUCAAAGAAUUUUCUUUUGCAUGCAUGGAAUAGCAACUCAAUAAAAGUAUUUGAUGCAAAUUGUCCAAGAACAACUUAGUAAUUUCAUUGCUACUAUUCGGUUGUAUAUAUACAGUUAAUGAAAGUUUUAACCAUUCGCAGUAGGAAUUUCUUUAGAUGGCGGCCAAAACUAACAGAUUUGGGGCUCUACUUCUACACAUCAUAACUGGCAAAAGGUCUCUCUUUUACACGAUCUGAAUGAAGAUUAACUUACGCCCUCUGGAGUGUGUGAAAGUUCUCUAUUAAACUUGACGGUUGAGAUUUCAGGUCCAGAUGAAAGUUAAAUGCAGGCGACGAGACUACACUUUAAGUAAACAGGGACAAACUUAAAAUUAAAAAAAUUAUAGUCCAGGGUGAGAGUAAUGGAGGAUAACUAGGACUUGGAAUAACUAUCAGAUUUGCAACUCUUGUUAUAUGCUAGUAAUCGAUUCAUUUCCUCCUCCAUUUCUGAUGGUAACCCAGCUCUAUACAAGAACAAUAAGAGAAGGUUCAUUUAAGAAAUUUCACAACCCACAUUUUUUUUUUUUUCCUUUUUGCCCUCUUCCUCACAAUAAACACACCUAACACACCAAGCCGUGCCCAAAAUAAUCCAAUUUUAUUCAUGUCAUGGAUCCAAAAACUAUCCCAGCUCACUUUGUUUAACCAGCAUAACUAAAUUGUGGGUAUAAAUGAACACUUUCGAAGCCUGUAACUUAUAAUAAGCUCAAACCCAAAAAUGACAUUUAAAUCCUGCAAGUGUUUUUCAUCAUAAAAAAUACUGAUUUGAGUUGAAACACUAUACAAACUGGGUUUUAUACACUUGCAGAAAGCUACACGGUAGACAAAAUCUAGCAGCUACAUAAUGGUAGCACUUUCAGCUGGUUAUGAAUGGUGUGCAUUCAGCAGUGCUCGAUAGACCAUGUCUAUGAAUUGAUUGUCCUAUUACAUAUAAAAGCUGGUCAGAUAUACAAGGAAAAAAAUAAUAAUUGAAAAUGCAUCACCAAAAAUAAGUGUCUCGCAUUAGUGUUUGCACUCUAAGCAUGGCAAAGUGGUGCGGGUUCAUGAUUUUGAAGACUGGGAUAAGUGAAAAAUAGUUCAAUCCACUGAUGAAUAUAAAUUUAUUUACAUGUCAAUUUAGAUAUCAUAAAAAAGUAAACAGUAAUUCACAGUCACUUAAAAGAGUUGAUAAAAUGUGUGCCAUGAAUGCAUUUUAGUACAUAAGAAAUCCAAAGAGUAUUUCUGACAAUACAAAUAUGCUAGCUUUAAAUCUGCUGUCAAUAUGCAAUUAAGAAGAUUAUACCAGCUGCAUGAUAAAGUUCCCCUAAUCUUAAUAGCAGUAAACAUGAACAUGUCAGAUGCAAUUAUAGCUUCGAGCAUUUGCAUAACCAGAAAUCCUAACCUGAACAAGCACCAGAAGUGUCUCUCGAACUUUCUCCUUGCUGAUAAAUGGUCUGCUGUUUGAAGUAAGAGCAGGAGUAAGAGAUGGUGGAGGGGUUGGUGGUGGAAAAGGUUGAAGCACUGGGCCACCAUAUGGGCGUUGCAGACUCAGGGGAGGAUUAAGUGGCGGAGCUGUUGGUGUAGAUGAAGAGACAAGCUGCAUCAUCCGUGCAUAGGAGGAUGGAGGAGGAACAAAGAAUAAGGAAGGCUUUACAAGAUUAGGCGUCCAGUUGCCAGAUUCAGAGGUGUCAACGGGUGAUAUUAAAGGGGUAGGUGCUGAUAGAGGUGGAGAUGGUAUUUGCAAGGUUGGGAGAAGCAACACUGGCGGGAUGAGAAGGUAAAGAAAUAGUUGUAUUGGACUGGUAAGGUUGUGCAGAGAUUGCUGCAUUAGAAGUAUUCCCCACAGUCAAAGCUGUCUGCAAUGAUAAGGACAGAUGUCAUAUACAAGGACUUCAUAGAAGUUGAACCUCACACAAAAAUGAAGUGAUAACAUAUGAAAAUAGUAUAUGACUUGCUGCAUUUUUGUGGUAAUGUUGCAUACUUAUGUAGAAACAUAUUAUUUCAAAGAAAACAUACACUGAAGAAGUUCACAAAAGCAGGAUCUUCAGGAACAUCAGCAGCAUUUGAGGGAAUUGGCUCUAGAGGACCAUCCAUAACUUCCAUAGUUGGAACAGCUUCCAGUUCCUCAAGUUCUAGAUUUCAGUUUUAUCUUCUAUUUGAUGUUUUAUAAUUUCGUUGCAAAUGGAUUAGAAUAGAAAACUCCAAAAGUUCCAAGUAGCUACCAAUGUUUUCCAACAGGGUCUUGAUGGUCUAAUCAGUUUGUUUCGAAGACCCCCAUCUCGUAAGGUAAAAACAGCUUGAUGGGGUGGCACGAUGGUGCACCAGUCCUGUGUAACUUUUUCAGAGAAGAUUUUCACUCGUAACCUAGGUGGAAGUCUCCCAGGAGAAGUUGGCAAAUGACAACUACGAAGGUGUUAUGGUUUAGCUUGUUGUGCCAAAAAUAGAAAAUCUAGGAUGCGAAAAAAUUUUGUUGAGAUUCAUUUUUCAUCCUGAUGUUACAGCUGGCUUUUUUUUUUUUUUUUUUGGCAGAUAAUAAUGCUUAUGUGAUUUCUGAACUUGGUGAUUCUAGCGGAUAGAGGCACUAAGCCAAGAGAAAUGUCUGAAUUAUCGAAACAAGAUGGAAUUAUUUUUUGUUUUUCGCGGCAGACGAUCUAUGAGCGGACUUUCUUACAACACAAGAUGUGUCCACCGGCUUGUAUUUAGUCUCGUAAUGCAUUAUAGCACUGAUGUUUGCCCCGGGUCAAACCCUGAAACCUCACCAAAAACGACGCAUUUUGUGAAUUUUUUUUGUUUUAAUUUUUAACCAAUACGACGUUGUUUUGCUUCAAGCUUCCCCACGAAUGGCUUUUCCUUCCUCUUCAUUUCACCACUCAACGAAUGGCUUUCUCUUCCUCUUCAUUUCACCACUCAACCUCAACGAUAGAACCGACCCGCAAAACCCUUAAACUGUUAUUCUUUCCUUCAAUCCGAUAGGAUUUGGUUUCGAUUAAGCAAAAGCAAAAGCUUGAACAAGGUAAGGUACUGUCUUCCCAGAAAAUGAAUUGUAUAUCAGUACCAAAUCCUCUAAAGACCCUUUCUCACACAAAUCCUCUGGAAUUUCACCAGAAAAUUGAUUGUACGAGAGGUCUGAUGUUUGUAAAGGAGAGUACUUCCCAAGUUCGCUCGGCAGCCCACCUCUGAGUUUGUUGUUAAACAAUUUGAGUUCAUACAAGUUCUUAGACCGAGCUAUACUCUCUGGCAAAGUACCCUCGAGUCUGUUCUCAUACAAGUUGAGUGACUCGAGCUGUAGCUCACACAACUCGUUCGGAAUCAUCCCAGUCAGCUGAUUCAUCGACGCGACUUUGCCGUAAGGUAACGUACUGUCUUCUUUGGCAGCAGAUUAUUUUCAAAGCUUGAAUUUUGCUUGAAUUUUGUUGUUUUAAUUUGUGAAGCCAUUGCCGUUGCUGUUAAAUUGGGUUAAUAUAAUGGGUACUAAGUUUAUGCUGCGAUGUUUUUUGCUUGAAUCCUGAGCUGUUUCAAUUUGAUUCUUGAGUUGUGAGUUGUGGAUUACGAAUGACAAUUUCAGGUGCGGAUUGUGGAUUGCGAAUGGAAAUUUCAGGCUGUGGCUGGAGCUGGAUCGAAGAAGGAAAGGGGAAAUAUUUGGCUGUGGCUGGAGAUGGUGGCUGGAGCUCGAUCGACGAAGGAAAGGGGAAAUAUUUGGCUGUGGUUGGAGCUCGUGGCUGGAGCUCGAUCGACGAAGGAAAUGAAAGAGAAAAUAUUUGGUUGUGGCUGGAUCUCGAUCAACGAAGGAAAGGCAAGGGAAAAUACUUGGGUGGAGCUCCAUCAACAAAGAAUAAGGGAAAUAUUUGGCAAGCAAAAAUGGGAUUGUUUUUGCCUUUAAUGAAACGCCGCGUUUAAAUUUCGGGGUUUGACUCGGGAUUUGACCCGGGGUAAGUAGCAUUUUCCUUCCAUAUAUAUAUGCACGCGCACACAGUUUGAGAAGAAUCAGACCAUUAAUUAGAGAAAAAUGAUGCAAUUUUACCUUCCCAUUCAUGUAUGCCAAGGCUUUUUGGGCUUCCUCUUCUGUACUGAAAGUCACAUACCCGUAACCUUUUGAUCUAUUCUUACCUUUAUCCAUUAUUAUUGUAGCUGCAAAAAGAAAAGAACCGGAUAUUACAAAAUAGUGAAAGGGAAGAGGGGUUGAGACUUAAAACAGAAAUAGACCAAACCCUCAGUGACUUGGCCAAAUUGUGAAAAAGCAUCAGCUAACAUCUCUUUAGUGGUCGAGAAAGAUACGCCUGCAAAGAAUGCCAGUUAAUUUUAUCAUAAUUAGAUGGUAAGAUUGCAAAUUCUGCAGCCAAAGGUGGUACGGAACUGAAUGAAGGAAAUCAAAUAUGAAUAUGUUUUCAAUCUUAAAAUAUUAAGAGUAGCAUAAGUAACUUGUGAAACAGUUAUAAGUUCAAGGGAAUUAGAUGAUGGCAUGGUUGAAUUUUAUAAAUAUUUGAUAUUUUGGACCGAACAGGGCAAACAGAUGGAUCCAGAUAAUCAAGAAAAACAUCAAUUCCAUGCAGCCAAAUUAGUGUGGGCAAUGCAAUUGAGCAACACUAUAAAAUUAUUCAAAGAAAUCUCUAGGUCAGUAUCCAAAUAUAUGGCUCCGUCCGUUCCACCACCACAACCAAAAAAAUCAGAUCCCCCCAUUUGGAUUCGAUUGAUUAAUUUGAGCAUAAAAAAUCGGGUUUUAAACUUCCCUAAGCAAAAUUUAUAUUCCACAGAAUCAGUUCCUUUAACAUGAUGCAUUACAUAAUAUUUUGUUUGCAAAAUAAAGAAGAAAGAUGACAUAAUAGAAACACUCACAGAGAGAGAAUACCUUUGACGAAAAGCUUAGAAGUGAAUCCUCUGUAAAAUACGAGUUGAGCUGCUGAAUUUUUCGAGUUUGAAUGAGAGACUGCGGCAAUUCUGAAAAUGUUUUUUUCUCAUUAGCGCCGCCAUUUUUGUAAUAGAGGGUAAAGAAAUAAGUAACAAAGUAAGAGGUGAGCAGAAGCGGCCCAAUUUAGUUAUAUGCCAUGCAUGCGAUCAAAAUUGAAUGGUUAAAUGGCAGCCACUAUGUUACAUCUUGUGUAAGUAACAAACCGCCUACAUGGAUCGUUGGAUUUGGGAAUAUGAAAUCCAAUGGAUAAUAUUGAAUUUAACGAAAAAUAGAUUACAGGUUGCAUUAGUCCAAGUUUAUUUCAAACAAACCAGCUGAUGAAAUAGCCGCUAAUCGAAUUUAAAAGGGAAAAAAAAUCAAAUUAUAGGUUAUAGAUCUUAUUUCCAUCUUAAAUCUAUGUCUUUCAUGGUGACUCAAUGUGUAUACUAAUUUAUAAUUUGGAUCUAUAUUAGAGGCUUAGAGCCAAUGCUUCCCUAAAUAACUAAGAAAAUUUUCUUUUCAUUGAUUAAAUAUUUAUUUCCAAUAUCUUGUAUAUGUAGGAUUUGAAAAGAGGGAAAAUAGUAGGGAUGAUGAUGAGAGAAGAUAAAGAUGUCGAUUCUCAAAUCUAAUAUUAAUGCUAUACUUAUAUUCCUAUAGUAAAUAAAUUAUCCAAGGUUCGUGGUUAAUGAUACGUUGCGAAAUUUUAACUGUCUAAUAUGGCUUUUCAUAAAGCUUAGAGAAAAGUAGGGCUUUUACAAAAAAAAAAAUUUAAUUAGAAUUGUCAAUGAUAAAUUUUAAAAAGUACUUUAAUAAAUAAGCUUUUAAAAUUAUAUAUAUUAUGAAAGAAAUGAAAUAAGAUUAUAUAAUAAAUUAAGAGUAUCUUAGAUAAUUGAACUUUAAAAAUAAAACUUGCUAAGAGGUUUAAAAUUUGAGUUUUUAAUAGUGGAUACAAAAUAGUUUAUUUAAUUCUCAAAAGUACUAUUCAAAAUACAACCAUGUAACACAAAAAUUUUUAAUAAGUUUUUUGGACUAGUUAAGUACUUUUUUUGAAAAAAAAUAUAUUUUUUUCAUUGAGUAAAUAAUACUAAACAUGCACUAAAGUGUUAGGACCAGAAGUUGUACAAAUAAAACCAUGAAAUUAUAUGUUGUUGGAUGGAUAUUUUUCAAAUUUGCUGUAGUUUUUUUUUUCUUUUCUUCUGGGAAAUUGAAAUGAUGGCUACAACUUAAAUUAUGAAUGGAGUGAUCGGAGAAUAUUGAAACCCAUUUAAUUUGGAUCGUGCAUUGAGGGACGAAAGGAUAAAAAAUUUAAUUUUGAAAUUGUUGUUGAGUACGGUACAAUGACUUACCGUUGACAGCUUUUGCAACCGGAUUACAAUCGGUUAGUUCAAUAAUUUUAUAUCCCUAUUUAACCGCCACGUGCUGCUGUUACAUGGGUCAAUUAGUCAUGUCAUUACUAUUACUUACAGCUGCUGUAACAUAACCGGACCCAAAUGGUUAAAUUCUGUUGUUUCCAAUAAUUUUAUGCUGUAUCUUCUUUAAUAAUAAAGAAAACUUGCAUUCAAAUUAAAAUUAGGGUAAUGCCUGAUUUUAUAAAUAGAUUGCAAUGUAAUUUUGAAAAAUAAAACAAUAAUUUACGAAAUGCUUAUAACAUAAUUUUAAUUUUUUUCAAAAAGGAAAAACAACAAAAGUAAAAAAUGGAGAAUGAGGGCUACAAACUUUGUAUCUUAAACGGCCAUUAGAUUAUUUGUAAAUGAAAGCAACGGUCAGGAUUAUGGAAACAUGUAAGUAUAAGGACUACGAGUUUUUUUUUGUUACAUUAAUAUAUUACAAUUAAAAUUCUAUUGGUAUUUACAAUCAGAAUUUUAUCUGAAUAUCUUUGAUAAUUCUAAACUAGUACAGCCCAAAUUCUUAUUCUCAUAUAAUAUCAAAGAGAGAUAUAUAUUCUUCCCCUCUAUUAAUAAAGAGACAUUUUUACUUCCUUUUAAUAGUUAGGACUCAGAACUCAUACACGCUAGUUUGAGAGUGUGGGGUGUGACAAUGAGCCAAGAGACCUUGACAAGUACAAAAAAGUGGUAGAAAUUAAUUCAAACCGCUACACACGCUAUUGCAACCAAAUUGAGGGCCCAUUUUUGUUUAUUUGGUUGAAAAAUAGUUUGCAUAAUUAAUUCAAACCGCCACACACGCUAUUGCAACCAAAUUGAGGGCCAGUUUUUGUUUAUUUCGUUGAAAAGUAGUUUGCACAAUUAAUUCAAACCGCUACACACGCUAUUGCAUCUUUUGAAAAAGAAAAACGGAAUAGUUUUCCAAAAUUAAUUCCGAGAAGAAGAUUAACUAAUAAUGAUGUUAGAAAUUUUAAUAUUUGAGUCUUAAUAUUAUGUAUCACUCAUUUAUUAAAUAAUAGAUUUCAUAAUUUGUAAAAUUACUUAACCACUUGAUAAAUGUUAUAUUUGUUGGGACUAAAUUGGGACUUAAAUGUUGGAAUAUCUAGUAUUGCAUUAAAAAAUUAAUAAAAACUUAACAAUUUAUCUUCACUUGACUAAUUGUUUUUACAUCACAACUAACCUUAAUUAUUUUGAAGUUACAGUAUUAUUAAAUUGUCCUAACUGGUUAUCAAAAGUUGAAAGCAUGUUAAAAUAAAAAAAAUUACCAAGAAACAUGUGCUUAAACAGAGGUUGAGGCUAUGAACAAUUAAGAAGAAACUCUUAAUUUGGUCCCAAUUAGUAUAGUAAUCAUCUAUUGAGCGGUAAAAUAUUAAUUUUAAUAGUGAUGAAAUCCAAUAUAUAAUAGAUUACUAACACACAUAAAUUAAAACUAAACUGUCAGAAAUCAUAACAUUACUCUACUCUUCAGUGGAGUUCUCUUAAACAGAUUAUGUGAGAUUGCCUACAUAAAAAAUAUGUUAAGACUGCUUGUUGAAAGCAAUAUUCGCUUUUCCAUUAUAUCCAUAACUUUGAAUUGAUAAAGUUGUAUUCAACAGCUCUUGAAAAGACUAAUUUAUUUAAACUAGUCACAGAAAUAAGAGAGAAAGGGGGCUAUUUCUUGACUCAAAGUCAAUUAUAAUUAUCAAAACUUGAGCGGACAUCGCAUGCCUAACUUCCACGCACCCUAAAACGGUUUGAUUUGCUUUCACGCGUUCAUGAAUUUCCAUGAAAGAGCCUGCCUUUCGUCUCUUUCGGGACAGUGACUACAAUUAUGGAAAAAAUUAUAAUUCUCGUUAGAUUGUAACCAAAUUAUUAUCCCUAAUUUUUUUAAGUUAAAUAAAAUAAAAUUUAUGCUUAAGUAUAAACAAUAAUUUGGACAUUCUUGUUAUUUGUCCUUCUAAGAUAGACAGCAACCUAAUUAUUUAUUUGUUUGCCUGUUUUUGUUUUUUUAAAUAACAGUUUAUUAGCAUAAAUAUUUACCUGUGAAGUCGAGGAGGAGAAAAUGUUAGAAAAAAUAAAAAGAAAAAAAAUUAAGGGAGAUAGAAUCAGAUUUUCUUUUUUGAGCAAAGAACAUACGUAAAAAGAUAUUAAAUCUAUUAAGUCUAAUUGUCUAUAACCGUAAAUUGCAUAACGAAUAAAUUAUCAGCGUAAAAUAAAUUUUAUUAGAUUCUGGUUAUUUUCUAGAGUACGAAUUGUCUCAUCGUAGAACAAACACCGGAAAAUAUAACCUUUGCGGAGGUCUUUUGCUGUGUCGUUAUAAAAAGGUUAUUAGUAAUUUAAUGCACCAAUAUUGUAUAUUCCACCUUAUCAAUGUCUCUGGUUGCGAAAGAUUGUUAAAAGCAACGUGUUCUUUCUUUGUCUUAUGUAAUUUUUUCGUUGUCCAUGAGUUUUAAUUGAAAUACUUGGCUUCCAGUUAUUUUGUAAACCUGUCGAAAACUACCACAGUGGAUAAAGAUUAACCAGCUCAUUCUUUACAAUUGACUAUCGAUUUUUUAUUUUUUUAUUUUUAUUUAAAAUUGCUGGUUUGUUGCUUAAAAUUUUCAAUAAUAAUUUCACUUAUUUAGUAAUUAGAGAGAGAUAGAGAGGAUUGGCGGCCAAUGUUUCGCGAUUUGGGGUCAAUUCAAAGUCAACUAACGUGUAAAACACGUGUAUGCAUAGAAAACGCUUAGAUUAUUUGUGUUCCAAGUGCAAGAAAUUAAGAAAAGAAAAAUUGAUUUCCUUUCAUGAACUUCCAAGAAAGAAAGAAGACCCUUUACCUUCUUCGUGACAACAAAUGAAUGAAUGAUGUUGAUAUGACAAAUACAAGCGCUAUUGCAGGGAACAGCAUAAGACCGAGACUUGAUAAAGGGUUUGUUAAAUUACAUGUUAUUUUCUUUUGACUUGAAUGAUGUUGAAAUAAAAUAAAAUUGUAAUCAGGAUGAUGUGUAGAAUAGUGAAAUAAAUAAAAAGAGAAGAGAAAUUCUUUGACCAAUAUUCAAGAACUCAUCCAAGGUGAUCGUCCAAGUCUAGAGGUUCGGUGUGAUUAGCAUUUAUUUUUAAUUUUUUGGCUAACAUCAUAUAUAGUCACUUGUCGUGUGAUGUAGGGCAAGUUUAGAAAUCCUUUUAUUUUAACUUCCGUAUUCUUAUUAUUUAAUUAGUUAUAGGGUUUUUAAGUAUUUGAGUAUUGAUCACAUGUCUGCUAAUCUAAAAAUAUUUUUUUACGAUCGAGUACAAAUAACAAACUAGAAUUUUAACAGCCUUUUAUACUAAACCCUAAAAAUACAUGAAUUUAUCAAAAUAAGUAAAUUAAUUUAAAUUGGUAUGGCAUAAUAGAAGUUUUACCUGCCGAAACAAAUUAAAAAAAUAUUACACUUAAAUCAAAUAUUGACAAAAAUAGAUAACAAUCUAAUGAGAAUCUUAACUAGACAUUUUUACUUCUAUCCAAUUUAACUGGAACGAGAAUUAAGUCCUUUCAAUAGUUAAGACUCAUAACUCAUACAUGCUAGUUUGAGAGUGUGGGGUGUGACAAUGGGUCAAAAGACCAUUGACAAGUACAAAAGAGUGAUUGCAAUUAAUUCAAACCGCUACACACGCUAUAUUGAGGGCCCAUUUUUGUUUAUUUCGUUGAAAAGUAGUUUUCACAAUUAAUUCAAACCGCUACACACGCUAUUGCGUCUUUUAAAAAAGAAAAAUGGAGUAGUUUUCCAAAAUUAAUUCAGAGAAGAAGAUUUACUAAUAAUGAUGUUAGAAAUCUUAAUAUUUGAAUCUUAAUAUUAUGUAUCACUCAUUUAUUAAAUAAUAGAUUUCAUAGUUUGUAAAUUUACUUAACCACUUGAUAAAUGUUAUAUUUGUUGGGACUAAAUUGGGACUUCAAUGUUGGAAUAUCUAGUAUUGCAUAAAAAAUAAAAAAAACUUAAAAAUUUAUCUUCGCAUGACUAAUUGUUUUUACAUCACAACUAACCUUAGUUAUUUUUUAAAGUUAUAGUAUUAUUAAAUUGCCCUAACUGGUUAUCAAAAGAUGAAAGCAUGUUAAAAUAAGAAAUUACUAAGAAACAUGUGCUUAAACAGAGGUUAAGGCUACGAACAAUUAAGAAGAAACAACUUACAAUCAAAGGUUAAGAUUAUGAACAAAUUAAGGAAGGUAGAUAAAGGGACGGAAUCAUUGUCUGAAUUGCCGGUGACAAGAAUGCUUGUGUUGUGAAAAGAAACCUGAUGGUUUGUAAAUGGGUUGAAUUUUUUAUUCGCUCGCUCCAACUAACUUACUAAUGCCAAAUUUAUUACUUUGCACAAUAGUGUUUAGGAUCCUCAAGAUCAACUCUUAAUUUGGUCCCAAUUAGUGUAGAAAUCAUCUAUUGAGCAAUAGAAUAAGAAUUUUUCUAGUCAUGAAAUUUAAUAUAUAAUAUAUCCUUGACACACAUCGAUUAGAACUUAACUGUUAGAAUUCAUAACAUUACUCUACUCUCAAGGGGAGUUCUCUUAACAUAUUAUGUUAAGUUGCCUACAUUCAAAAUAUGUUAGACUGCUCUUUGAAAGCAAUAUUCCCUUUUCCAUAACUUUGAAUUGGUCCAAUAGCUCUUGAAAAGCACAUAAUAAUCAUUAUAAAUUUAAUCAAAGACUAAGCAGGUCUUCUUUGAAUUUGAUCACUGGCAUUUCAGUUAAGUUUGUCGUUUACUUAAAUUUUUCUUGCUUUCAAUUUCCACUGUUGUUUUUUUUCUAAAAUAAUUUAUUUAAACUAGUCAUAGAAAUAAGAGAGAAAGGGCGCCAUUUCUUGACUCAAAGUCAAUUAUAAUUAUCAAAACUUGAGCGGACAUUGCAUGCCUAAAUUCCACGCACCCUAAAACGGUUUGAUUUGCUUUCACGCGUUCAUGAUUUUCCAUGAAAGAGAGUGCCUCUCGUCUCUUUCCGGACAGUGACUGCAAUUAUGUUAACGUGACGAAUACAAAACGUUAUUACAUACAAGAAUAAGUUUUUGGACCCGAGACUUGAGGGAGGUUCUAUCUAAUUCUAAAGAUUGUAACCAAAUCAUUAUCCCCAAAUUUUUUCAGUUAAAUAAAAUAAAAUUUAUGCUUAAGUAUAAAUAAUUUUUUAAAGUUAAAUAUAAAAUAAAAAAAUUCAUGAACUUCCUAGAAAGAAAGAAGACCCUUCACCUUCUUCGUGACAACAAAUGAUGUUGAUAUGACAAAUACAUGCGCUAUUACAGGUAACAGCAUAAGACCAAGACUUGAUAAAUAUUAAAUAUAUAAAAUAAGUGGAGCAAACGAAUAGAAUAAUAGAUUUUUAUAAUAUUCUUCAUAAAAAUCCAAGUUUUGAGCUGGCCCAUAAGCUUAUCUAGUGAAGUCUGGGUAUCCGCGUUGCCCAAGGUUCCGUUUGAAUCCAGGCUGUGCAGAUGUUUAUGACAUCCCAUAUGGACGGAGAGGAAAUAUUUUCAGUUGACUUAAUUAAAUAAAAAAAAAGAAAUGAAGAAAAACGAAUACAAGACUUGAAAAAGCUGGGAGUAUCAUCAGUUCAAUUGGUUAUAAAUAGCAUAGAGCCAUCCUCUCGUUGUUGCAGAACUGAAGCAAAGAGAGACAGAAAGAGUGUGUGUAGGUGAUUAUAAUUAAGAAGAUAUAAUGUGUGGUUCAAAAAGAGUGUGGUUGAGUGAGUUAAUUUUCAUAUUAUUUGUAGUAAAAGGGUGGUGGAGUGAGGGAUGUUUGCAGCAAGAGAAGUCUGCUCUCCUCCAACUUAGACAUUUCUUCAAUGAUGAUCACCGUCUUCGAAAAGGGGCAGACGCAGGAGAUGAUGAGAAUUAUUCAGAUUGUUGUCAGUGGGAAGGGGUUGAGUGCAACAACACCACUGGCAGAGUGAUUAAAUUAGAUCUAGCAUUUCGAAAAUGGGAAUCAGCAGAGUGGUAUAUGAAUGCCUCUCUGUUUACUCCUUUUCAACAAUUAGAGUCUCUUGAUCUAAUUGGGAACAAUAUAGUCGGUUGUGUUGAAAAUGAAGGUCCUUAAUUUACUUUAUUUUAAUUCUUCCUGUAAAUUUCUUACAUUUAUCUGAUCCCUUUUGGCUUUUGUUUAAUUUGUACGUGAUACAAUAAAAUUAUUUUUUAUUUUUUGGCAGGUCUAGAUAGGUUAUCAAGGUUGAACAACUUGAAGUUUCUUUUUUUAGAUGAUAACGACUUCAACAACAGCAUCUUUUCAUCUCUAGGUGGUCUUUCAUCACUCAGAGACUUAUCAUUGGCUGGUAAUGGAUUGAAUGGAAGUAUUGAUAUUAAAGGUAAGCAAGCUUCAUCCCUUCUCCCGUGUCCCAUUUUUCAGAUUAGCCAUAUUCUUUUCACUGAGAUUUAACAUAAAAAAAAAAGGAGAAAAUAAGUUAUUUAAUUAACUCUAUUUUAAGUGUUGGCAUAAAUACAGGACUCGAUUCCUUGAGUAACUUGGAGAUACUGGACAUGAGCAACAAUGCAAUCGACAAUCUAGUGGUUCCUAAAGGUAUACAAAAUGUUCAAAUAUUAAUAAUUUGGAGGACAAUUUAAUUGAUUUGAUAAGGGAAUGUCCAAUGACACUUACCCAAAAUAAUUUAAUCCGAAAUUGUAUCUCAAAUAGAUUACAGAGGUUUUGAGGAAGUUGAAUACCCUUGAUUUGGGGGGGGGGGGGGGGAGGGAAAUUGCAGUGAUAUAUGGAAGCAAGGUGUUGCAAUCAAUAAAGAAAUUCAUUGGUCAAUGUUCAAGGACUCAUCCAAAGUAAUCGUUAAAGUCUAGAGGUCUGCUCUCCACCAACUCAAACAUUUCUUCAAUGAUGAUCAACGUCUUCAAAACUAGGUAGACGCGGGAGAUGAUGAGAAUAAUUUAGAUGUUGUCAGUGGGAAGGGGUUGAGUGCAACAACACCACUGGCAGAGUGAUUAAAUUAGAUCUAGCAUUUCGAAAAUGGGAAUCAACAGAGUGGUAUAUGAAUGCCUCUCUGUUUACUCCCUUUCAACAAUUAGAGUCUCUUGAUCUAAGUUGGAACAACAUAGCCGGUUGUGUUCAAAAUGAAGGUCCUUAAUUUACUCUAUUUUAGUUCUUCCUCGUAAUUUCUUACAUUUAUCUGAUCCCUUUUGGCUUUUGUUUAAUUUGUACGUAAUACAAUAAAAAUUUUUUUUAGUUUUUAUUUUUUAUUUUUUAUUUUUUGGCAGGUCUAGAGAGGCUAUCAAGGUUGAACAACUUGAAGUUUCUUUAUUUAGACAAUAACCACUUCAACAACAGCAUCUUUUCAUCUCUAGGUGGUCUUUCAUCACUCAUACACUUAUCAUUGGUUGGUAAUCGAUUGAAUGGAAGUAUUGAUAUUAAAGGUAAGCAAGCUUCAUCCCUUCUCCCGUGUCCCAUCUUUGUGGAUUUUAUUUCAUCGACCAGCUGGAAGAAUUGAUACGAGAUCUAGCUAGACUCUUGCUAGUUUAAGCUUCAAGGCUUUGAAUAUUAUAAAAAUAGGUUUAAGGAAUUAUCAUUAUAUGCAAUUUUCUAUGCUUCUCAUAAUCAGACACAAUUCAAUCUAAUUAUUUCGUAUGUCCUGUCUUCAAAAGUAAAGAAUUGUACACUAAACGGAAAUCGACAUUGUAGCUUUUUAAUUUUUCUAAUGCUCUUUCUUUGUUAACGAGUUUAUAUCCUGAGAGUGGAUUGGAUUCAAAAAAAAAAAAGUUUUGAUGUUCAAGGUAAGCCAUAAUAACAUGCAUCUUAUUUAUCUGCCUAUAUCUAAAUUUGUGCACUGAAUUUAGUAUUUUGGUUAGUGUGAAGGGAUCAGAUAUUGACUUCCAUAAACCAACUUGUAUUUACUUAAUUAAUUAAGUAAAUUUUUUGAAACAAGAAUAAGGUAUAGCAGGUUGGAUAUGUAUUUAUUUAGUUUAAAUAACUUUUCCAUCCAUCCAAAACCUUUAAGCAUGUAGUUGAAGAGGGGUGGCAAUUCAAGUUGGAUAUGUAUUUAUUUAGUUUAAUUGGAUCUGAUAUUAUAUAUUCUAAACCUUUUGAAUAUGGAUAUGGAUGUUUUUAAAAUAGUCAAUUGGAUACUGGAUGAAUAUGGAUAUUAGAUAUUUAAUUCAUUUAUGUUAAAAAAUAAAGUAAGAAGUUAUAUAUAUUUACCAUGAUAUCCAUUUAUUGAAUGCCUUUUUUUUUUAUAUUUUCAAAUUAGCAAACCAUAGUUUAUCUCUUUUAGUUUCACACACUAGCCGUUCGUUCCUCGUUGGCCACUGAUAUCGUCGACCGUCGCUUGUUUGAUAUAUAUUAGUUAUUCAUGAUUUUGCUCUCUUCUUUUGUGAUACAGUUGCUUCUUCUUCUUUUAAUUUAGGAUAUCUGUGUCUCUAUAUUUCUCUAUAUGUAUCAAUUACACGCCGUUGUCAGCCAAAUAUACCUACUUAAAACCACUCAAUCAGGCCCUUGACAACUGUUUUUUACGUUUUCCUGGUUAGCCGUAUACUUUUUUGCUUAUUAAUAAAAUUAUUUUGCACCGAGAUUUAAAAUAAAAAAACGGAGAAAAUAAGUUAUUUAAUUAACCCUGCUUUAAGUGUUGGCAUAAAUGCAGGACUGAAUUCCUUGAGUAACUUGGAGGAGCUGGACAUGAGCGCCAAUGCAAUCGACAAUCUAGUGGUCCUAAAGGUAUACAAAAUGUUCAAAUAUUAAUAAUUUGGAGGAUAGUUUAAUUGAUUUGAUUAGGGAAUGCCCAAUGACACUUACCCAAAAUAAUUUAAUCCGAAAUUGUAUCCCAAACAGAUUUCAGAGGUUUGAGGAAGUUGAAUACCCUUCUUUUACGGGGAAGCAGAAUUCGAAUGAUAGAUGGAAGCAAGGUGUUGCAAUCAAUAGGAUCACUACCAUCCCUCAAAACGCUUUACCUUUUCUUUAUUAAUUUUAAGGGAACAGUAGUUAAUCAGGGUGAGUAAAUUUUUUUAUGUCGAAAAUAAUUGAAUUAAUAUAUAUAGCUAAAAUUUAUUGUUUCUACUUCUUUCUAAAUAGAAUUGCACAAUUUCACCAACUUGGAAGAAUUGAUAUUGGUCGAGUGUGAUCUCCAUGUAAGCCAGCUUCUGCGAAGCAUCGCAUCAUUCACUUCGUUAAAGUAUUUGUCAAUGCAAGAUAGUGUACUCAAGGGUGCCCUGCAUGGUCAAGGUAAAUUACGGGUAUCUGAAGCUUUUAUGAUAUUAAUUCGAUAAUAAUUCUUUCUUUUCAAGUUAAUUUUCUCCCGUAAAAUAAUAUUUUUUUCUUUUAAAUUUUAUACAUUUUCACUGUCCAAUAGUUCUACCUUCUCUAAAUUGUAGGAUUCUUGAUUAAGGUUAAUGAAAUUUUAGUUCUGUUAUGUUAAGAAUAUUUCGAUCGCUUAGAAGAGUAAAGAAAAAUAAGUAAAUUAACCCAAAAAAAGAAAAGAACAGGACCGGAUUAUCCUUAUUCCCUUGCAUUAUGUGAUCAAUAUCAAAAUUAUAACCAUUUCUUGUUUAUUGCUUGUAGAUUUUCGUAAAUUCAACAAUUUGGAACAUCUGUACAUGGGUGAGGUGCAGGUUGACGUCAACACCAGUUUUCUUCAAAUUGUCGGCGAAUCGAUGCCUUCCCUUAAGUUUUUAUCACUGAAUGAUUCAAGUCUUAAUAAAAACACCAUUCUUGAUCAAGGUUAAUUAAUGAUUCUCUUUCUCCCUCUCGCGCAUCUUAACUAAAUUUAAUUGAGAAUAUCUAUAAUGCUAGCUAUUUAUAAACUUAAUGAAAGUUGAUGAGGAGCCAUUAUAAUGACUAAAACAACUGUAAAAUAGUGCGCUGUUGUAGUGUUGAUUGAACUAUUGGACUGUAAAACAACUGUAACAACACUAUAACGCUGCAUAAUUUUACAGUUAUUUUGUUGCCAUUACGUCAGAUUCCACUGUUAAACUAUCAGUACUCAAACUUAAUUUUUAAUAUGUACUUUAAAGAUUUUAUGCAAUUAUUUAAGUUUUAUGCAAUUAUAUUUUUCAGGACUUUGUCGGUUAGUGCAUCUGCAAGAGUUAUACAUCGGCCAUAACGAUUUGAGAGGUAGCUUGCCAUGGUGCUUGGCAAACAUGACAUCCCUUCAAGUGUUAGAUGCCUCAUCUAAUAAACUUACUGGAGACAUCUCCCCAGGCCUUUGUGAGUUGGUGCUUCUGAGAGAGUUAUACAUACAUAACAAUGAUUUAAGAGGUAGCUUGCCAUGGUGCUUGGCAAACAUGACAUCCCUUCAAGUGUUAAAUGCCUCUUCUAAUCAACUUACUAGAAACAUCUCCCUAGGCCUUUGUGAGUUGGUGCUUCUGAGAGAGUUAUCCAUUGAUAACAAUGAUUUAAGAGGUAUCUUGCCUCUGUGCUUGGCAAAUUUGACUUCCCUUCGAGUAUUAGAUGUCUCUUACAAUCAACUUACUGAAAACAUCUCCCCAGGCCUUUGUGAGUUGGUGCUUCUGAGAGAGUUAUCCAUUCAUAACAAUGAUUUAAGAGGUAGCUUGCCUUUGUGCUUGGCAAAUUUGACUUCCCUUCAAGUAUUAGAUGUCUCUUACAAUCAACUUACUGAAAAUAUCUCAUCUUCCCUCAUGCAUCUAAUAUCUAUGGAAAAGCUCAUACUUUCAAAUAAUCACUUCUUCCAAAUUCCUAUUUCACUCGAACCACUUUUCAAUCUCUCAAAACUCAAGACUUUUGAUGGUGAAAUAUGCGCAGAAACUGAGUCACAUUAUAAUUCUUUGACCCCAAAAUUCCAACUGACUUCUAUCUCACUGUCUGGUUACAUAGAUGGUGGCACAUUUCCCAAAUUCUUGUACCAUCAGCAUGACUUGAAGAAUGCUAAUCUCUCACACCUUAACUUGAGUGGAGAAUUUCCAAAUUGGUUGGUAGAAAACAAUACAAACUUAGAGACGCUUCUUCUUGCCAAUAACUCUCUUUUUGGAUCAUUUCGGAUGCCAAUUCAUUCCCACCAGAAAUUAGCAACAUUGCAUGUCUCCAACAAUUUCUUUCAAGGCCAUAUCCCAGUAGAAAUCGGAACAUAUCUGCCAGGCUUAAUGGAAUUAAACUUAUCUACAAAUGCUUUCAACGGUAGCAUUCCCUCUUCAUUUGCUGAUAUGAAAAUGUUGCAAAGCUUGGACAUAUCCCACAAUCAGUUGACGGGUGAAAUCCCUGAGCUCAUGGCCACGGGUUGCUUCUCAUUAGAAAUUCUUGCAUUGUCAAACAAUAGUUUGCAAGGCCAUAUAUUCUCUAAAAAAUUUAGCUUGACAAAUUUGAUGACGUUGCAGUUGGAUGGUAAUAAUUUCAGUGGAGAGAUCCCAGAAAGCUUAUCUAAGUGCCGUUGGUUAGGAGGAUUAUAUCUGAGUGAUAAUCAUCUCUCUGGUAAGAUUCCAAGAUGGUUGGGUAAUUUGUCAGCUUUAGAAGAUAUUAUAAUGCCUAAUAACAAUCUUGAAGGACCAAUUCCAAUCGAGUUUUGUCAGCUUGAUUCUCUGAAGAUUUUAGACCUUUCAAACAAUAGUAUUUUCGGAACCUUACCAUCUUGUUUUAGUCCAGCAUAUAUCGAACAAGUUCAUUUGUCAAAAAACAAGAUAGAAGGACGGUUGGAAAGUAUAAUCCAUUACAGCCCUUUUUUGGUGACAUUAGAUCUUAGUUAUAACCGCUUACACGGAAGUAUUCCAAAUCGGAUUAACAGACUACGUCAGUUAAACUACCUUCUUUUAGGUCAUAAUUAUAUUAAAGGCGAAAUACCAGUUCAAUUAUGCCAGUUGAAGGAAGUUCGGUUGAUUGAUCUUUCUCAUAAUAAUCUAUCUGGGCAUGUUCCUCCUUGCUUUGUUAACACUUCACUCAGUGAAGGUCAUCAUGAGGCAGUAGUCCCUGAACAUUUAGAUCUGCAAUCAAAUGAAUCUUCGAUGGGAAAGGAAGAAACUGUACAGUUCACAACAAAGAAAAUUUCCUACUAUUAUCAAGGAAGCAUUUUGAGGAGUAUGUGUGGGAUUGAUCUUUCUUGUAACAAACUGACAGGUGAGAUUCCUACUCAAAUUGGAUAUCUUACAAGGAUUCGUGCGCUAAAUCUAUCUCAUAACAAUUUGACGGGCACAAUCCCGACAACAUUUUCAAACCUGAAGCAAAUCGAAAGCUUGGACCUCUCCUACAACCUACUGCAUGGGAAAAUCCCUUCUCAGCUCACUGUGCUAACUACAUUGGCGGUCUUCAGAGUAGCAUACAAUAACUUAUCAGGAAAAACCCCAGAUAGAGUUGCACAAUUUUCAACAUUUGAGGAAGAUAGUUAUGAGGGGAAUCCUUUUCUUUGUGGAUGGCCACUGUCUAAAAGUUGCAAUGAUAGUGGAUUAUCAGCAGUGACACCAGAAGCUUACACUGAUAAUGAAGAAGGUGAUAGUUUAAUUGACAUGGACAGUUUCUUGAUCACUUUUACAGCAUCUUAUGGAAUUGUGAUAUUAGGAAUUAUUGGAGUUUUGUACAUAAACCCCUAUUGGCGACAAAGAUGGUUUUACCUUGUUGAAGUAUGUAUGAUCUCUUGCUACUAUUUUGUAGUAGAUAAUCUUAUUCCUAGAAGAUUCUGUCGUGGAUGGAUGUAAUUUCAUUUACUUUACAACUUAUAUGUAAUUUUUAAAGAAUUUUCUUUUGCUUGCAUGGAAUAGCAACUCAAUAAAAGUAUUUGAUGCAAAUUGUCCAAGAACAACUUAGUAAUUUCAUUGCUACUAUUCGGUUAUAUAUGUACAGUUAAUGAAAUUUUUAACCAUUCGCAGUAGGAAUUUCUUUAGAUGGCGGCCAAAACUAACAGAUUUGGGGCUCUACUUCUACACAUCAUAACAGGCAAAAGGUCUCUCUUUUACACGAUCUGAAUGAAGAUUAGCUUACGCCCUCUGGAGUGUGUGCAAGUUCUCUAUUAAACUUGACGGUUGAGAUUUCAGGUCCAGAUGAAAGUAAAAUGCAGGCGACGAGACUUCACUUUAAGUAAACUGGUACAAACUUAAAUUAAAAAAAAUUAUAGUCCAGUGUGAGAGUAAUGGGUAGCUCAACCUAUGGAGGAUAACUAGGACUUGGAAUAACUAUCAGAUUUGCAACUCUUGUUAUACGCUAGUGGGGAUUAUCACUUUCAGCAGCUACAUAAUGGUAUCACUUUCAGCUCGUCAUGAAUGGUGUGCAUUCAGCAGUGCUCGAUAGACCAUGUCUAUGAAUUGAUUGUCCUAUUACAUAUAAAAGCUGGUCAGAUAUACAAGGAAAAAAAUAAUAAUUGAAAAUGCAUCACAAAAAAUAAGUGUCUCGCAUUAGUGUUUGCACUCUAAGCAUGGCAAAGUGGUGUGGGGUUCAUGAUUUUGAAGACUGAUAAGUGAAAAAUAGUUCAAUCCACUGAUGACCAUAAAUUUAUUUACAUGUCAAUUUAGAUAUCAUCAAAAAGUAAACAGUAAUUCACAGUCACGUAAAAUAGUUGAUAAAAUGCGUGCCAUGAAUGCAUUUUUGUACAUAAGAAAUCCAAAGAGUAUUUCUGACAAUACAAAUAUGCUAGCUUUAAGUCUGCUGUCAAUAUGCAAUUAAGAAGAUUAUACCAGCUGCAUGAUAAAGUUCCCCUAAUCUUAAUAACAGUAAACAUGAACAUGUCAGAUGCAAUUAUAGCUUCGAGCAUUUGCAUAACCAGAAAUCCUAACCUGAACAAGCACCAGAAGUGUCUCUCGAACUUUCUCCUUGCUGAUAAAUGGUCUGCUGUUUGAAGAGCAGGAGUAAGAGAUGGUGGAGGGGUUGGUGGUGGAAAAGGUUGAAGCACUGGAGCACCAUAUGGGCGUUGCAGACUCAGGGGAGGAUUAAGUGGCGGAGCUGUUGGUGUAGAUGAAGAGACAAGCUGCAUCAUCCGUGCAUAGGACGAUGGAGGAGGAACAAAGAAUAAGGAAGGCUUUACAAGAUUAGGCGUCCAGUUGCCAGAUUCAGAGGUGUCAACGGGUGGUAUUAAAGGGGUAGGUGCUGAUAGAGGUGGAGAUGGUAUUUGCAAGGUCGGCACGAUAGGCGAAGCAACACUGGCGGGAUGAGAAGGUAAAGAAAUAGUUGUAUUGGACUGGUAAGGUUGUGCAGAGAUUGCUGCAUUAGAAGUAUUCCCCACAGUCAAAGCUGUCUGCAAUGAUAAGGACAGAUGUCAUAUACAAGGACUUCAUAGAAGUUGAACCUCACACAAAAAUGAAGUGAUAACAUAUGAAAAUAGUAUAUGACUUGCUGCAUUUUUGUGGUAAUGUUGCAUACUCAUGUAGAAACAUAUUAUUUCAAAGAAAACAUACACUGAAGAAGUUCACAAAAGCAGGAUCUUCAGGAACAUCAGCAGCAUUUGAGGGAGUUGACUCUAGAGGACCAUCCAUAACUGCCAUAGUUGGAACAGCUUCCAGUUCCUCAAACUCACUGCAGUUUAACAUAAAAGGAACUUGAUGACCAAUUUAAGUAAUAAUUAGAUGAUAUAAGAGGUUAGGGAAAAUGAUGAGUGGACCCUUAUGGAAGGUGAUUUCACCUUAGCUAAACACGAAAAUAAAAAGAAAUCAAAGCUGAAUCCUCGAGUGCAAUGCAAAGAAUUUUUUCUCUCUCUUCUCUAACUCCUCUUAUUCGAAAUUGCUCAUCAUUGUGCUGUUCUUCGAGAUAUCGCUAGAGUAGAGAAAGCUAUUCUACCGUUAAGUGCAGAGGAAAGAGAAGGGCAAGGGCCUGGUAUGAUGCUAUUCUAUAGGAAGUGAGAAGGUGAAGGGUUAAAAUAUUUUGCAAUUUGGAGGUGGUGUUUGUUAGUGUGUGUACUUCUGAAUUUAUUACCUCUUUAGGAUCCAUAGAAAUUGCCUCUUGUUCAGCAUGCACUGUGCCUACGAGUAAGGCGAGCUUGCAUGAUAUCUAUUGUCUAUUUACUUGGAUAUUCAAACAGGACUACCAGCAACCAAACACAAAUCCCCAAACAAAACACUCUUUCAAGUGCAAGGAAAGAGUAACUUGGGCAUAUUUAUGGUUCAAGCACUACCAUAACUAAGAAUGUGAUGCUGUCCACAAACACUAUAUCAGUGCCUUUUGAACUACAUCACAUGCUCGAAGACUUUUUUUUUAGUCAUACAUAAAUUAGCUAUAAAAUAAAGACCAUUAUACAACUAAAAAGAAAGAAAAAUUGUUUGCUACUACGUAUCAAAACUGGUAAUAGCAAUGUAAGAUGGCAGACUUCUUACUUAAACAGAUGAGAGGCUACAAAUAAAAAAUUUGUGCAAAUAAAAUAUAUGAUAAAGAGCGUAAUACUAUAUUGGGGGCUAAAAAUAAUAUACAACUUGUGAAAUAUAAAUUGAGCUACCAUUACCUUUUCGAUGUGGCAACUUUCGACUUUUGAGGCACCUUGGAAUAUGCAUUCAGAAUCCUGCAUUUGGAAGCCAAAUAAAUAAUGUUAAUAACAAUUUUACAAUAGAAAAAUUAAAAAUUGAUAAAUGGCAGUUGUAAUUUAUGUGUGUAAAGAUAGCAUCGCAUCCAGGUUCCUCCCAUAAACAUGCUUGUAACAAGAAUUAGUUUGCCUCAACUGCUAGCAACUAUACAAUAGUAAAAAUCACUCUUAUGAACUCAACAAUACUAGGCACCAAUAAGAGUAUGACACAGCCAUUCUAAAUGGAAGAGAAUACAACUGUUUUACAACUAUGUUGCAUCAGGAGAUAUGUUAGGAGGAUUAAUCCAGAUACCUUCCAACCCAAUUAGGAAAACUCGAGUCAGAAACCAGGAGCUGCAACCAAACCUUACAAUCUUGAAGGAAGAAGGAGACUUGGGGCAUUUUUCCAGAUAGGUGACUUACAAGAUCUCCUGCCAAGAAAAUAUCUAUUGCUUUGAACCUCCAUUGAAAUUUCUUUUCCCUUUUUCUUGUUUUGACUUGGAACUUUCCAGCAUCAUCUAUUUGAUCUUUUUUAAAGCUAAAAUAGCAAUCUAUGGGUUGUCAACAUCUUAUCCCCCCCCCCCCCCCCCGGGGGGCCACCAAAAAACAAAACCAAUGAGUUGUCAAUAAAUAGCGCCUACUCAACUUAUGUUCUCCAAUGAUGACAAUGUGCAAAUCGACCUAGCAGCCACAUUUUUCCCCCCUUUCAACCACCUUUAGGCAACUUUUCUAACCUUUCUUCAUUGCCCACGUCUACAGAACUAUCAUAUAAAGACUACAUUAUUAUUGGGAUAGAGAAAAAAAUACGGACUAUAUUAUUAUUAUUAUAUCUCAUUUUAUUAAUGAACUAGUGCAAGACUUAUUUAGUGUCAAAUCAAGAACUAAUUAGAAAAGACAACUCAUGAUAAUACAGACCUUAAAAAGCAAUAGCUAGCAACACCCCAUAUACUCCUAUUUUAGCCUUCAAUAUCCUGGUAAAAACACAAUUAAGUCUUGCCAAAGAACAUUCACAAGUAAAUUCAACAUUAAUUAAGAUUAAGUAUCUACUGCACCUUCAAUCAAUGACUGGGUGAAUAGCAUGGUCAACCAUCCAGUUCCUGUAGCCCUCCUUGUACCUAUGUUAGUUACAUUUUACAUAUUAAGCCACGAAAAUGAAGGAUCACAGCCUGGUAAAGAAAGCCAUUAAUUAAUAGUUUUUGUUUAAAAAGUUCUCGUUUAGAUCUUUCCUAUUCAAUGAAUCAAUGUAAUCCAUGGAGAACUCUUCCAUUUCAAGCAGUGUUAGAAGAUAAUUGGAAAGCCUAAAGAUAAUAUACAAGGACCAAGAUAUCAAUUAGGUCAAAUAGUGAAUGUCAAAUAUAAAAAAUAAAUAAAAGAAGUUGUACAUGAUCAUUUACUAUCAAGUUCUGUAAAACUGAAAAUACCAUUAUCCCUGUAUAGAUUCUCAAACAACUCUUUAGCAAAUUAUAAAAUAGUUAAAAAAAGAACGAAAGUUUUAAAAAAAAAAAUGUACAACAGCCAUAUCAGGAGAUGUUUUUCUUCUCAAUCUCAAUAUUUUCUUGCCGUAAAAAAUUGAAAAGCUUAACACCAAGUGAAUUAUUAAGAAUUCAUCAUUUAAAUUCCCAAAUCGCAAAAUGUUGGUGCAACUAGGAAAGUGCAAAUGCAAUCACUUUACUAACACAAGAAACAUCAAUAGUGAGAAGCCAACUUUGUAUCAAAUUUGAAACAGAUAGAUAGAGGUCAAAAAAAUUAUAAAGACACUCAAUUAAAAGCCUUUCAAACAGCUUUUGCAUGCAACAAGAACAAAUCAAAGGCGAUGUGAAUGUAUUGAAAGACUAAUUUACAAUCAUCUACAGGACAUAAAUAUCUUGGAUAACUACUCUCUACACCUUACUGUCCCACUGAAAAUCAUCAAAUCCCUCCAAACAAAAAUGACAAAAUGGAUAAGAAUUGUGUGGUCAAACUUCAAUAACUUAGCAGCCACAGCAAAAACUUAUGUAGACACGCAAGCCACUCAAAAUAGUCAUAUUGUUUGCUUUCUAAACACAAGCCACAUUGUAAUGAAUAUUCAUAAAUUGCUACUACCAUGUUUGUUAAAACACGUGAAAACCACCAUAACUAACUAAAUGUAACUGAUGAUCAUCAUCACAUUCAUGGAAUCACAUAUCCGACAGUAUUAAUUAGUGCAAAUGGCAUGCUUCUUAAAACUCCUUAUUUAUCACAUGGGCGCCAUUCCAAUCAACCAAUGAUUCUGAUCUAGUCAGCAUAUUCAACCCACGAGCGAGUAAUACCUCCAUUGCUUCUUUAGAUUUCUCAACGAAAUUCCACAUUCUAACCAUACUUCUGAACUUGUUGCUCCCAUAGACUAAUACAAUAUAAAGAUUUCUUCCCACACCACCUCAGCCCCCACUCCUAAAAAACCAAUUUAAAUUCUCAUUGACUGUACAACCUAUAGUCCAUACCAAAUUGAAAAAUUUACAAAUAUAGAACCUCAAAGAAUCUUCUUGCGUUCCAUUUUUUACGGCAAGAAAAUUGACUUUUACCACAUGCAAGUCAACAAAUAAAACAAUCAUGUCUUUGUGAGAUGCACAUUUUCAGACGAAUCUGAAGAGCAAUGAAACCAUAAAAACCUAAUGUGAGAACACCGAGGACUCCAGAUAUCAUCCAUAGAAUCUUUGGUCCACCCUUGCAUGAUGAAAAAAAAUUGAAGGCUUCGUCACCAACUCCCCAGGUUGUUUUGUUCUCCUAUCUCCUAAAUGUAAAGGAAAGACAACCCGUUCUUUUUCCAAUCUUAAGGGACACAGAACGACUCUAGUAUAAAAUAGUCAGUUUCUAUACAAAAAUAACUCCUUUGCACUUGGCACUGCACAUCUCAAAAUAAAAAGCAUGCAAGGAGGAGAAUAUAAUAGCAGUAAACAAGUUUUAUUAACCAAACUUCAAAGAUGCCACACAAGGCAAAAAAGAAAUCUGUACAAGCCAGAUCCCAAGAAUAAUAAUUCCAAUAUACAAUUCAGGAAAACAAUAACUAAAAACAGGUUCAUGAGGCCUCAGCAGAAGCAACAUGUAAUAACCAUACUCUAUUAUUUGAAACACAUUUCCAAGUUUGGUUAAGAUUCUAAACUAUUCUCUAUCUGUCAAUUAUUAACAUGUAAAACAUAAUAAUAUACACUUAAACUACUACAGUAGUAAAACCAGUAAAACAACAAUACCUGCUAAAAAGAUUGGCUACCUCUUCACAUUCACGAGCAUUGUAGAACCAAAUCCCAUUUACUUCUUGGGAUGCAUUUCGAUAUAACAAAUACGGAAUCUGAACUUCAAACUCAAAAUCUCCCAAAAGAUUUUCCACUAAAUUAUCUGCACAUAUACAAGAUAUUGAAGCUUAUCAGUGCAAAAACAUAUACAAAAAGACAUGAAGGUUAGGAGACAUAACUAAAACUUAGCAACAACUGAUAAGCACAACAAGAAAUGAAAUAUAACACGAGUUGUAAACAAGAUAGACACACGGUAUCUAAAAAAUUGUACCAACUCCCUCUCCUGGUUGUCAUAAAACGGCCAAUAUUUAACCCUAGACAACAAAAUUGCAAAUACUCUAGCCUCUGUAAUAUUGGCAUAUAAAUAUUUUCGGUUAGGUACAUUAUAUUCUUCGUUCUAAAACCUCAAUUAUUAGCUAGUACUGUGAUAAAAUGAUUCAUCACUGAAAUUAAAACUUCACGUACAAAUAAUCAAAACUGAAAUAGAAGCAACGAUAAACCAACCUGUAUUACGUCGAUUAAUCACAACAAACUGAAAUCGAGGCUGUGUGUUCCUGAAAAUUGAAAAAAUAAUAAUUUCACCAACUUCAUAUGUAAUACAAUCUCCAAAACAACGAAUAUCAAAUGAAAAAAAGGGAAAGCAUAAGAGAGAAAAGAAUCUAAUUUUAUUGACCUUUUGACGACGAAGAGAGAGCCUUCAACAUCGUUACGACUCCAUAUGCUGAGAUCGAUGUUGAACUCGUAGAAGGUGACAUGAGCGGCCGUGAUGAGGAUCUCCUCAAUGAAUGGAUCGAUUCGCUGAAGAACUGUCAGGUUUAGGAGUUUUGUGCUCUGCUGGUCCAGAUUAGGCAUCAAUUUUCCGUUCUGCGACAUUUUUCAUAGUCCUUUUGGGCUUCUGCCCCGAUCACUAGCCCUCAGGUUUUUCUGUGAGCUCUCGCUCUUUUGUAAAUAAAGUGUUUGAUGAGAUAGCCGAAAGAGAGUGAAAGAGUUGAACAGCCAAACAAGGUGAGGUGAACAGUUUCGGACUGAGACUCGAGAUUGAUCUUUGCUUUAACGUCUUUCAAACAUUUGGGAAAUAGCAUUUAUUUCUUUCAAUUUCUCUACUUUUUUUUUCCUUUAUGUUAUUUAGACCCCAAAAUUAGAUUUAUUAUAAUCAUAUUUUACCCAUACACUAUUAAUCCCUUUUAUUUUUUAAAUUGUCAAUAUUAAUGUAUUAGAAUAAUGUUAGAAAUCCCAAUUAUUAUCGCAAUGUUUCAAUCAUAACUAAUGUGAUAACUCAUCGGUAACUACAACAUUAACUUAAUUAUUAAUGUUUAUCAUGAAAUGAUGAGAUUAUUAUUCAAGAAAAACUUAGUAAACAUCAAUGACUAAUAUAAUAUGACAAUUACAACUGAAUAUUAGUACAAUAAUUAGGAUCCCUAAAGUUAGUGAAUGUAUUAUAAUAUAUGUGUGUUACACCACUUUAUGUCUCUCAAAUUCAAUUAAGUAAUUUCAGAAACCUGAUCUUUUAUUACAUUAAUUAGGAAUGCAUACAUGAACGAAAGAUGUGCAAUUUUUGUUCUAUUUUUCACUAUUAUUUACCAUUCAUCUACUUACAUCACUUGAUUUUUUGUGAUUAAUAUGCUUAAAUGGAUCUCUUAGAUAUAAAUAAAAUAAACGAAAAGUCUAAGAGAAAAAAAAAUGAGGACCGAAAUUAUUACACCUACAACAAAUUUGCCCAGAGAGCAAUAAAUCAAACUUGCUUAGGAAGUACAAUGAUUAGUUAAUAACUAAAAGAGCCUUCACCUGACAUGUUAAAGCUUCUGUCAAGCAAAACACCCAUUGAAAGCUGUUUAGGUCCGUCUUAGAUCAUCGGAAAUUUGACAAAAUCAUAAAAACCCUCAUCUUAUGAUAAUCUUUUCCAGAUAGGUGACUUACUAGAUCUCCUGCCAAGAGAAUAUCUAUGGUUUUGAACCUCCAUUGAAAUUUCUUUUUCCCUUUUUCUUGUUUUGACUUGGAACAAUUUAUUUGAUCUUUUUUAAAGGUAAAAUAACAAUUUAUAGGUUGCCAACAUCGUAUUCUGCCAAAUCCCACCCCAAAACAAAAAAAAAAAAUCAAUGGGUUGACAACAAAUAGCGCCUACUCAACUUAUGUUCUCCAACGGACGACAAUAUGCAAAUCGACCUAGUAGCCACAUUUUUCCCCCUUUCAACCACCGUUAGGCACCUUUUCUAACCUUCCUUCAUUGCCCACACCUGCAGAACUAUAAUAAAAAGACUACAUUAUUAUUGAGGUAGAGAAAAUAUACAGACUGUAUUAUUAUUACAUCCCAUUUUACUAAUUAACUAGUGCAAGACUUCUUUAGUGUCAAAUCAAGAACUGAUUAGAAAAGACAACUCAUGAUAAUACAGACCUUAAUAAGCAAUAGCUAACAACAUCCCAUAUACUCCUAUUUUAGCCUUCACUAUCCUGGUAAAAACACAAUUAAGUCUUGCAAAAGAACAUUCAUAAGUAAAUUCAACAUUAAUUAAGAUUAGGUAUCUACUGCACCUAAUAGCAUGGUCAACCAUCUAGUUCCUGUAGCCUUCCAUGUACCUAUGUUAGUUACAUUUUACAUAUUAAGCCACGAAAACGAAGAAUCACAGCCUGGUAAAGAAAGCCAUUAAUUAAUAGUUUUUGUUUAAAAAGUUCUCCCUUAGAUCUUUCCUACUCAAUGAAUCAAUGUAAUCUAAAGAGAACUCUUCCAUUUCAAACAGUGUUAGAAGAUAUUUGCAAAGCCUAAAGAUAACAUACAAGGACCAAGAUAUACACGGAUGGUUUCUUUAUGAGACUAAAGAGCUUUUUUAGAUGUUAAAACUGUUUCAAACUGUUUUUCUGGUUUGGUUUAACUAAGGAAGAGCUUGUGGAAGAUUAAAAAUGAUGUUUCCUGUUCUCUGUAGGAAGCUUUUAGGAGAUUUUUUGGGCUUUUUUGAAAGGUUGAAUUGUCAAAAAUACCUUGAUGUUAUUGUUUGCUAAAAGAUGUUAUGGACAACUAAACAACCAACAACAUUUUGCACAAUUUUCAACUUUCAAGGAAGAUAGCUAUGAGGGGAAUCCUUUUCUUUGUGGAUGGCCACUGUCCAAAAGUUGCGAUGAUAAUGGAUUAACAACAGUGACAACAGAAGCUGACACUGAAAAUGAAGAAGUUGAUAGUUUAAUUGACAUGGACAGUUUCCUGAUCACUUUUACAGUAUCUUAUGGAAUUGUGAUAUUCGGAAUUAUUGGAGUUUUGUACGUAAACCCCUAUUGGCGGCGAAGUUGGUUUUACCUUGUUGAAGUAUGUAUGACCUCUUGCUACUAUUUUGCAGCAGACAAUCUUGUUCCUAGAAAAUUCUAUGGUGGAUGGAUGUAAUUUCAUUACAUUACAACUUAUAUGUAAUUUUCAAAGAAUUUUCUUUUGCAUGCAUGGAAUAGCAACUCAAUAAAAGUAUUUGAUGCAAAUUGUCCAAGAACAACUUAGUAAUUUCAUUGCUACUAUUCGGUUGUAUGUAUACAGUUAAUGAAAUUUUUAACCAUUCGCAGAAUACCCUUAGGAAUUUCUUUAGAUGGCGGCCAAAAACUAAGAGAUUCGGGGCUCUACACAGUCUGAAUGAAGAUUAACUUAAUGCCCUCAGGAUUAUGUGUAAGUUCUCUUUUAAAUUUAAGGGGUUGAGAUUUCAGGUCCGGAUGAAAGUUGAAUGCAGGUCACGAGACUUCACUGGGACAAACUUAAAAUAAAAAAUUAUAGUCCACAGUAAGAGCAAUGGGUAGCUUAACUUAUGGAAGAUAACUAGAACUUGGAAUAACUUAAAUUAGCUAUAAAAUUAAGACCAUUAUACAACUAAAAAGAAAGAAAAAUUGUUUGCUACUACAUAUCAAAACUGGUAAUAGCAAUGUAAGAUGGCAGACUUCUUACUUAAACAGAUGAGAGGCUACAAAUAAAAAAAUUGUGCAAAUAAAAGAUAUGAUAAAGAGCAUAAUACUUUCUUGGGGGCUAAAAAUAAUAUACAACUUGUGAAAUAUAAAUUGAGCUACCAUUACCUUUUAGAUGUGGCAACUUUCGACUUUUGAGGCACUUUGGAAUAUGCAUUCAGAAUCCUGCAUUUGGAAGCCAAAUAAAUAAUGUUAAUAACAAUUUUACAAUAGAAAAAUUAAAAAUUGAUAAAUGGCAGUUGUAAUUUAUGUAUGUGUAAAGAUAGCAUCACAUCCAGGGUCCUCCCAUAAACAUGCUUGUAACAAGAAUUAGUUUGCCUCAACUGCUAGCAACUGCUAACAAUAUACAAUAGUAAAAAUCACUCUUAUGAACUCAACAAUACUAGGCACCAAUAAGAGUAUGAUACAGCCAUUCUAAAUGGAAGAGAAUAUAACUGUUUUACAACUAUGUUGCAUCAGGAGAUAUGUUAGGAGGAUUAAUCCAGAUACCUUCCAACCCAAUUAGGAAAACUCAAGUCAGAAACCAGGAGCUGCAACCGAACCUUACAAUCUUGAAGGAAGAAGGAGACUUGGGGCAUUUUUCCAGAUAGGUGACUUACUAGAUCUCCUGCCAAGAGAAUAUCUAUUGCUUUGAACCUCCAUUGAAUUUUCUUUUCCCUUUUUCUUGUUUUGACUUGGAACUUUCCAGCAUCAUCUAUUUGAGCUUUUUUAAAGCUAAAAAAGCAAUCUAUGGGUUGUCAACAUCUUAUCACCCCCCCCCCCCGCGGGCCCCCCAAAAAAAAAUCAAUGAGUUGUCAAUAAAUAGCGCCUACUCAAAUGUUUUCCAAUGGAUGACAAUGUGCAAAUCGACCUAGCAGCCACAUUUUUCCCCCCUUUCAACCACCAUUAGGCAACUUUUCUAACCUUUCUUCAUUGCCCACAUCUAGAGAACUAUCAUAUAAAGACUACAUUAUUAUUGGGAUAGAGAAAAAUAUACAGACUAUAUUAUUAUAACUCAUUUUAUUAAUUAACUAGUGCAAGACUUAUUUAGUGUCAAAUCAAGAACUAAUUAGAAAAGACAACUCCUGAUAAUACAGACCUUAAAAAGCAAUAGCUAGCAACACCCCAUAUACUCCUAUUUUAGCCUUCAAUAUCCUGGUAAAAACACAAUUAAGUCUUGCAAAAGAACAUUCACAAGUAAAUUCAACAUUAAUUAAGAUUAAGUAUCUACUGCACCUUCAAUCAAUGACUGGGUGAAUAGCAUGGUCAACCAUCUAGUUCGUGUAGCCCUCCUUGUACCUAUGUUAGUUACAUUUUACAUAUUAAGCCAUGAAAAUGAAGGAUCACAGCCUGGUAAAGAAAGCCAUUAAUUAAUAGUGUUUGUUUAAAAAGUUCUCGUUUAGAUCUUUCCUAUUCAAUGAAUCAAUGUAAUCUAAGGAGAACUCUUCCAUUUCAAGCGGUGUUAGAAGAUAAUUGGAAAGCCUAAAGAUAAUAUACAAGGACCAAGAUAUCGAUUAGGUCAAAUAGUGAAUGUCAAAUAUAAAAAAUAAAUAAAAGAAGUUGUACAUGAUCAUUUACUAUCAAGUUAUGUAAAAUUGAAAAUACCAUUAUUCCUGUAGAGAUUCUCAAACAACUCUUUGGCAAAUUAUAAAAUAGUUAAAAAAAGAACGAAAGUUUAAAAAAAAAAAGAAAAUGUACAACAUCCAUAUCAGGAGAUGUUUUUCUUCUCAAUCUCAAUAUUUUCUAGCCGUGAAGCAAUUGAAAAGCUUAACACUAAGUGAAUUAUUAAGAAUUCAUCAUUUAAAUUCCCAAAUCGCAAAAUGUUGGUGCAACUAGGAAAGUGCAAAUGCAAUCACUUAACUAACACAAGAAACACCAAUAGUGAGAGCCCACUUUGUAUCAAAUUUGAAACAGAUAGAGGUCAAAAAAAUUAUAGACACUCAAUUAAAAGCCUUUCAAACAGCUUUUGCAUGCAAUAAGAACAAAUCAAAGGCGAUGUGAAUGUAUUCAAAGACUAAUUUACAAUCAUCUACAGGACAUAAAUAUCUUGGAUACCUACUCUCUAUACCUUCCUGUCCAACUGAAAAUCACCAAAUCCCUCCAAACAAAAAUGACAAAAUGGAUAAGAAUUGUGUGGUCAAACUUCAAUAACUUAGCAGCCACAGCAAAAACUUAUGUAGACAUGCAAGCCACUCAAAAUAGUCAUAUUUUUUGCUUUCCAAACACAAGCCACUGUGUAAUGAAUGCUCAUAAAUUGCUACUACCAUGUUUGUUAAAACACGUGAAAACCACCAUAACUAACUCAAUGUAACUGAUGAUCAUCAUCACAUUCAUGGAAUCACAUAUCUGACAGUAUUAAUUAGUGCAAAUUGCAUGCUUCUUGAAACUCCUUGUUUAUCACAUGGGCGCCAUUCCAAUCAACCAAUGAUUCUGAUCUAGUCGGCAUAUUCAACCCACGAGCGAGUAAUACCUCUUAUUGCUUCUUUACAUUUCUCAACGAAAUUCCACAUUCAAACCAUACUUCUGAACUUGUUGCUCCCAUAGACUAAUACAAUAUAAAUAUUUCUUCCCACACCACCUCAAUCCCCACUCCUGAAAAACCAAUUUAAAUUCUCAUUGGCUGUACAACCUAUAGUCCAUACCAAAUUGAAAAAUUUACAAAUAUAGAACCUCAAAGAAUCUUCUUGCGUUCCAUUUUUUACGGCAAGAAAUUUGACUUUUACCACAUGCAAGUCAACAAAUAAAAAAAUCAUGUCUUUGUGAGAUGCACAUUUUCAGACGAAUUUGAAGAGCAAUGAAACUGUAAAAACCGAAUAUGAGAACACCGAGGACUGCAGAUAUCACCUAUAGAAUCUUCGGUCCACACUUGCAUGAUGAAAAUGAUGAAAAAAAAUUGAAGGCUUCGUCACCAGCUCCCCAGGUUGUUUUGUUCUCCUAUCUCCUAAACAUAAAGGAAAUGCAACCUGUUCUUUUUUCCAAUCUUAAGGGGCACAGAACGACCCUGGUAUAAAAUAGUCAGUUUCUAUACAAAAAUAACUCCUUUGCACUUGGCAUUCCACAUCUCAAAAUAAAAAGCAUGCAAGGAGGAGAACAUAAUAGCAUUAAACAAGUUUUAUUAACCAAACUUCAAAGAUGCCACACAAGGCAAAAAAGGAAUCUGUACAAGCCAGAUCCCAAGAAUAAUAAUUCCAAUAUACAAUUCACAAAAACAAUAACUAAAACCAUGUUCAUGAGGCCUCAGCAGAAGCAACAUGUAAUAACCAUACUCUAUUAUUUGAAACACAUUUCCAAGUUUGGUUAAGAUUCUAAACCAUUCUCUAUGUGUCAAUUAUUAACAUGUAAAACAUAAUAAUAUACACUUAAACUACUACAGUAGUAAAACCAGUAAAACAACAAUACCUGCUAAAAAGAUUUGCUACCUCUUCACAUUCACGAGCAUUGCAGAACCAAAUCCCAUUUACUUCUUGGGAUGCAUUCCGAUAUAAAAAAUACGGAACCUGAACUUCAAACUCAAAAUCUCCCAAAAGAUUUUCCACUAAAUUAUCUGCACAUAUCCAAGAAAUUGAAGCUUAUCAGUGCAAAAACAUAUGCAAAAAGACAUGAAGGUUAGGAGAUACAACUAAAACUUAGCAACAACUGAUAAGCACAACAAGAAAUGAAAUAUAACACGAGUUGUAAACAAGAUAGACACAUGGUAUCUAAAUAAUUGUACCAACCCCCUCUCCUGAUUGUCAUAAAAAGGCCAAUAUUUAACCCUAGACAACAAAAUUGCAAAUACUCUAGCCUCUAUAUUAUUGGCAUAUAAAUAUUUUCGGUUAGGUACAUUAUAUUCUUCCUUCUAAAACCUCAAUUAUUAGCUAGUACUGUGAUAAAAUGAUUCAAAACUGAAAUAGAAACAACGACAAACCAACCUGUAUUACGUCGAUUCAUUACAACAAACUGAAAUCGAGGCUGUGUGUUCCUGAAAAUUGAAAAAAUAAUAAUUUCACCAACUUCAUAUGUAAUACAAUCUCCAAAACACUGAAUAUCAAAUGAAAAAAAUGGAAAGCAUAAGAGAGAAAAGAAUCUAAUUUUAUUGACCUUUUGACGACGAAGAGAGAGCCUUCAACAUCCUUACGACUCCAUUGGCUGAGAUCGAUGUUGAACUCGUAGAAGGUGACAUGAGCGGCCGUGAUGAGGAUCUCCUCAAUGAAUGGAUCGAUUCGCUGAAGAACUGUCAGGUUUAGGAGUUUUGUGCUCUGCUGGUCCAGAUUAGGCAUCAAUUUUCCGUUCUGCGACAUUUUUCAUAGUCCUUUUGGGCUCUGCCCCGAGCACAAGCCCCAUGGUUUUUCUGUGAGCUCUCUCUUUUGUAAAUAAAGUGUUUCAUGAGAUAGUCGAGAGAGAGUGAAAGAGUUGAACAGCUAAACAAGGUGAGGUGAACACUUUCGGACUGAGACUCGAGAUUGAUCUUUGCUUUAACGUCUUUCAAACAUUUGGGAAAUAGCAUUUAUUUCUUUCACAGGGAUUUGUCUGUGGUAUACCCCAAAAAAAGGGUAUUUAUCUAAAAAUACCUCCAUACUCAAAAAUUUCUCGUAUAUGCCUUUUCUAAUAUGCAGUUACGAAAUUACCCUAAUGAAAAACCUAAAUCAACUAAACUACCACAAUCAAUCGUGUAACAAAAUCCCUAAUUUUUUCUCAUGAGCAGCUUCUUCUUCAGCCCGUUCUUCUGGGUUUCUCCUCCUCCAUUUUACAAAUCCCUAUUAUUUUACAACAAUUCUUCUACACACUCUCGCCUCUCUGCAAAUCAGUAGCUGCAAUUCCCCCACUCUGCUUCAGCAUCUCCUCUUCCAGGUACUUUUAGAAAGUCAAAUUUUUUGUUUUAAUGUAAAAUAAAAUUUGAAAGUUUCAAAGCUCAAGUUAUUGAUUUUUCUGAAAAAAAUCAUUUGCAGCUGGUAUUGAAAUGUGUGCAAAGUCUUGUGCCAAAAGCUUAAUUUUCAUUUCUCGCAAAAGUCAGAUGACAAGACUUCACUUGAUUAGGCUUAUGCUUGUCUUUUACCUUGCAUUAAUUUUCAUCUCUUGUAAAAGUCAGAUAAUAAGGCUUCACUCGAUUAGACUAAUAAUUGAUUUAACAUAUUCAUUUUCUGAUUAAUUGUCAUCCAAUUUGCACGCACAUCGGAUAGAAUUCAUCCAAAAAAAUGGCUCGUAAGGUACGGGAGUCCAAAUACUUAUAAACCUACACACCAAGCCUUAGCUUAGCAAUAUGACACUCAAUUAUAGUUCAUAACCGAUAUGCAUGGUGGCCAUAUAUGGGGCUGAGUGACUUCACAGAUUUCAUACAAGGUGAAUAGCAGGUCUUCUUCUCAACUUACUUCGUCUGUGAAGAGAGAUUUCAUCAAAAAAUUGGUAAAACUCAUUCAAAAGACCGACUUAUGAUGUUAGAAAGACCAAAUACCCUAUAAAAUGCUUAAUAAAGUGGUCGCACAAUUAUUCUUGUGUACACAGUACCAAUGCAAUAGAAAAUAGGGUAAACAUUAAUGUCUCUAGCUACUCAGUCCAAUAGACAGUAUAAUCUAAAGAUGUCGUGUUGUUGUAUUGUUACACUGGUGAGACAAUUGCUGCAUGUUGCAGACAUGAUACCUCUAGUACUUCAAAAGAUAGCAUAUCACGAAACACAUCCAGACUGUAGUGAGGUUAUUUCGAAAAUUCCUUGGCCCAUUGUGUGAGUGCGUGACAUCCCGCAACAAAAAUCAGGGUAUGUACUAUAUAUAUAAUGUGUUUUGAACAUAAUAAUAAAAAUGAUGAUUUUUAACAAUUGAUUUAUAUGAAUAUUUUUAGUGGUGACUGUGGAGCAUUUUUGUUGCGGUACUUGGAGGUCCUAGCCCAUGGACUUGAUGUCAAUUCAUACUGCCAACAAGAUCAUGUUACACAAUUUCGACAAGCCUUGGCUGUAAAAUUAUUUGGGCAUAGGUCAUGGAAAAAAACUCCGUAGUGUCAUUUUUUGGAUUAUGAGAUGUAAUAGUUGUAAUGAGGAUGUUGUUGAUAUUUGAUGUCAUUAAAGACAAUUGACAGCAUUAAUAUAUUUUAUUUCUUUGUUAUUUAUAUUAAUGAUAGAUAAGAUAGUUUGCACAAUAUAUGCACAGGGAAUACACUGUAAGAGAAUACACGACUGCAGUCGGGUAUUUGCACAGAUACACGACUGCGGUCGGGUAUUUGGAAAUAAACAUAAUACGCUCUGUGUAAAAUACUCGACUGCAGUCGGGUAUUUGGAAAUAAACAUAAUACGCUCUGUGUAAAAUACUCGACUGCAGUCGGGUAUUUGCACAGAUACACGACUGCGGUCGGGUAUUUGGAAAUAAACAUAAUACGCUCUGUGUAAAAUACUCGACUGCAGUCGGGUAUUUGCACAGAUACACGACUGCGGUCGGGUAUUUGAAAAUAAACAUAAUAAGCUGUAACAAAAUACUCGACUGCGGUCGGGUAUUUGCAAAUAAACAUAAUAAGCUCUGUGACAAAAUACUCGACUGCAGUUGUGUAUUUGCACAAAUACACGACUGUAGUCGGGUAUUUACAAAUAAAAAUGACAAGCUCUCUGUGAAAAAAUACUCGACUGCAGUCGAGUAUUUGCACAGAUACGCGACUAUAGUUGAGUAUUUAGAAAUAAAUAUGACAAGCUCUCUGUGACAGUCGGGUAUUUACACAGAUACACGACUGUAGUCGAGUAUUUAGAAAUAAACAUGACCAGUUUUGUAACAGUCAAAAUACACUAUUGUACUGGGGUAUGUGCACAGAAUAAAAACUCUUUUCAAUCAUUCAUUAUAUUGAUGACACAAUCAAUAUAGAUUUUAAACAUAUCAAACUUCAAAUAAAUGAAACUAACUAUAGUCUGGUUGCCUAUCAAAUAACACAAAUCCAAUAGUUAUUGAAAUCGUAAAUAAGUCGUAAUACAAUAGAAGUUGUUUAACAUUCAUCAUAAAUUUUUGGCAUAUUCAACCCAAACACUCGGUCCAUAUUUUAUAAGCCUCUGGUCGCCUCCCUUCAAUACUUGUUCUUAGAAAGUCACACAAACAUGUUUAUUCAUCUGCGAAACAAAAAGGUAGAAAUUUAUCACUAAAUAUGAAAGAUAUUAAAAAAAUUAAAACAACAAAAAAUAACAAGUAUAUAAGGUUCAUAGUAGUCGUGUAACUUAUUAACAAUUAUAGUAUGUAAGUUUAUACGUACACGCUAGUAGUCGUGUAACUUAUUAACACACAUGACUAUAGUCUAGUAAUAGUAAAAGGAUAUAUAUAGUGAAAAAUAUAUAUUUUUUGAACCAAUAGAAUAAUAAGGUGUCAUAAUAAUUGAAUUUUUUUGCACAUUUUCACGACUACAGUCGUGUAAAUACAUACAUACACGACUGAUGUCGUGUAUGUCGGGUGCAGAAAAAAAAUUUGACAACAACUUCAGAUUUUAACGAAUGUAGUUAUAAAAUCCAUCAAAUAACAGUCAUAUGAUGCAAAUGUAAUAAAAAUAUGAGUUGCUUUAGUGUUUAUCACAAACCAAACAAAACCCUAAAAAUAAUAUAAUGUCAACAAAUUGAAUAGAUAGCCCAAAAUAAAAUAAAAAAAGUUUCAAAUACCUUAUUCAUGGGAUGAAUAAUACACCCAGCUGCAAACAAACUCAGUGCAUUAGCUGUUUGUGAGUGAUUUUGAGUGUGGUGUGAGUUUUUGUAUAGGUGAUAAAUACGUGAGAAGCAAAGAGUGUUGUGAGUUGUGUGUGUGUUUUAUAUUUUUCUUUAGGGAUAUUUUAGACAAUGUACCACAUAAAAAGGCAUACUUAAAUAAUUUUCAAACAUGAGGUAUAUUUAACUAAAUACACUACUUUUAAGGCAUAUUUAAUUAAAAACCCCUUUCUUUCAAUUUCUCUACUUUUUUUUGUUUUCCUUUAUGUCAUUUAGACCCCAAAAUUAGAUUUAUUAUAAUCAUAUUUUACCCAUUCACUAUUAACCCCUUUUAUUUUUAAAAUUGUCAAUAUUAAUGUAUUAGAAUAAUGUUAGAAAUCCCAAUUAUUAUCUCAAUGUUUAAAUCAUAACUAAUAUGAUAACUCAUCGGUUACUGCAACAUUAACUUAAUUAUUAAUGUUUAUCAUGAAAUGAUGAGAUUAUUAGUCAAGAAAGAAUUAGAAAAUAUCAAUGACUAAUACAAUGUGGCAAUUACAGUUGAAUAUUAAUACAAUAAUUAGGAUCCCAAAAGCUAGUGAAUGUAUUAUAAUAUAUGUGUGUUACACCACUUUAUGUCUCUCAAAUUCAAAUAAGUAAUUUCAUAAACCUGAUCUUUUAUUACAUUAAUUAGGAAUGCAUACAUGAACGAAAGAUGUGCAAUUUUUGUUCUAUUUUUCACUAUUAUUUACCAUUCAUCUGCUUACGUCACUUGAUUUUUUGCGAUUAAUAUGCUUAAAUGGAUCUCUUAGAUAUAAAUAAAAUAAACGAAAAGUCUUAAGAGAAAAAAAAAUGAGGACCGAAAUUAUUACACCUACGACAAAUUUGCCCGGAGAGCAAUAAACCAAACUUGCUUAGGAAAUACAAUGAUUAGUUAACAACUAAAAGAGCCUUCACCUUACAACUUAAAGCUUCUGUCAAGCAAACACCCAUUGAAAGCUGUUUAGGUCCGUUUUUAGAUCAUCGGAAAUUUGACAAAAUCAUAAAAACCCUCAUCUUAGAAAUUCCAAGCAUCAGGCAGUAGAUCAGGCAGUAGUCCGACUUUAUUGAUAUUGAGAGUAACACAAUAAAAGUUUCGUACAGAUUUUGCAAACGAAAAGCACAUAAUACACUUAACUAGGAGGAAAAAUUAAAGUGUACAUAUUACAAUCUGCUAACAAUAUACAAUAGUAUAUUGUAUAUACAAUAGUAUAUAUACAAAUUAACUAGGCACCAAUAAGAGUAUGAUACAACCAUUCUAAAUGAAAGAGAAUACAAUUGUUUUACAACUAUGUCACAUCAGGAGAUAUGUUAGCAGGAUUAAUCCAGAUACCUUCGAACCCAAUUAACGAACUCGAGUCAGAAACCAGGGGCCCCUAACUGAACCUUACAAUCUUGAAGGAAGAAGGAGACUUGUGGUCCAGAUAGGAGACUUACUAGAUCUCCUGCAAAAGAGAAUAUCUAUUGCUUUGAACCUCCAUUGAAAUUUCUUUUUCCCUUUUUCUUGUUUUGACUUGGAACUUUCCAGCAUCAUCUAUUUGAUCUUUUUUGAAGGUAAAAUAGCAAUCUAUAGGUUGCCAACAUGUUAUUCUGCCAAACCCCACCCCACCCCCCCGGGGGACAACAAAUCGACCUAGCACACACCUUUCUUCAUUGCCCACACCUACAGAACUAUAAUAAAAAGACUACGUUACUAUUGGGGUAGAGAAAAUAUACAGACUGUAUUAUUAUUACAUCGCAUUUUACUAAUUAACUAGUGCAAGACUUCUUUAGUGUCAAAUCAAGAACUAAUUAGAAAAGACAACUCAUGAUAAUACAGACCUUAAUAAGCAAUUGCUAACAACAUCCCAUAUACUCCUAUUUUAGCCUUCAUUAUCCUGGUAAAAACACAAAUAAGUCUUGCAAACGAACAUUAUAAGUAAAUUCAACAUUAAUUAAGAUUAGGUAUCUACUGCACCUAAUAGCAUGGUCAACCAUCUAGUUCCUGUAGCCUUCCAUGUACCUAUGUUAGUUACAUUUUACAUAUUAAGCCACGAAAACGAAGAAUCACAGCCUGGUAAAGAAAGACAUUAAUUAAUAGUUUUUGUUUAAAAAGUUCUCGUUUAGAUCUUUCCUAGUCAAUGAAUCAAUGUAAUUUAAAGAGAACUCUUCUAUUUCAAACAGUGUUAGAAGAUAUUUGCAAAGCCUAAAGAUAAUAUACAAGGACCAAGAUAUACACAGAUUGUUUCUUUAUGGGACUAAAGAGCUUUUUUAGAUGUUAAAACUGUUUCAAACUGUUUUUCUGGUUUGGUUUAACUAAGGAAGAGCUUGUGGAAGAUUAAAAAUGAUGUUUCCUGUUCUCUGUAGGAAGCUUUUAGGAGAUUUUUUGGGCUUUUUUGAAAGGUUGAAUUGUCAAAAAUACCUUCAUGUUAUUGUUUGCUAAAAGAUGUUAUGGACAACUAAACAACCAACAAUAUUUUGUUAAAAGCUCUACUAGUGUAGGAUCUACUUAAAGAAGCUAUACCAAACAGACUCUUAGACUGAAUAACUCGAUCUUAAGUUUGUAAAAUUGGGCUCAGAAUCUCCACUAACAACCCCGCUUCGGUGAGAAAGCCCAAGCCUGUUACUUUGUAUAACCUUAUUCUGUAUGUUUGAUUGCAGGAACUGGCCAAUCAUACCGACGAGGUGAGUGUGCAGCAUGACGUGCUUGACGGGAUGGUUACUUUCUAUGAUACAACUAAAGCUAGCCUCAACAUAUAUCAGGUGCCUGCUUGUUUUUACCUUAUAGAUACUAAUAUUGUUUAGACGUGUAAUCUCUCUCUCCAUUGAACGCUAGACGGCUCGUCUCAAGCCUUCUACGUACUUCAGAGUCCUUCAUUAGCUUUUUAUGUAUAAAGUUUUGAUCUUUUUCCUUCAUUUGCUUGAAGCUCAUUACUGCAGAUUUGUUUUACAGGUUGGUAGUGUAACAUUCGACUUGCUGUUGCUUCUAGUGUUGGGAUCGUAUUUAAUUGUGCUUUUCAGCUUUCUUGUCAUAACAACUUGGGUAUUACUCUUUCUCCAUAUCAAGCUUGAAGUUCUAAAUUUCAGUUUUAUCUUGUAUUUGAUUUUUUAUAAUUUCAUUGCAAACAGAUUAGAAUAGAAACUUCAAAAGUUCCAAGGUUUCCAACAGGGUCUUGAUGAUCUAAUCAGUUUGUUUCGAAGACCCCAUCCCGUAAGGUAAAAAAAGCUUGAUGCGGAAGCACGAUGCUGCACCUGUCCUGUGUAACUUUUUCAGGGAAGAUUUUCUCUGAUAACCGAGGUGGAAGUCUCCCAGGAGAAGUUGGCAAAUGAUAACUACGAAUGUGUUAUGGUUUAGCUCAGUGACACAAAGGACAUUUUUCAACAAUUGAUCCUAGGAAGAUGCCUAUAGCUUGUUGUGCCAAACAUAGAAAAUCAAAGAUGCGAAAAAAUUUUGUUGAGAUUCAUUUUAGUUAAAAUUGUUUUAUUGAGUGUUUAGCAAACGAGAAAAUGGAAGAAAGUUGAGAGAAUAAAACUGAAGCUAAGAGGAUUCUAGAACAUCUUUCAAUUUGUUCCGAAUACUCAAAAUGUGAAUACAUUGUUGUUUAUGUACACAGCUGAAGAUAACAGCUCAAUUGUAUAACUAACUACUACUUAGCAAUUUACUAACUGUAACUAAUCAAACUAAAUCUUCACGUGCACUGGUAAUCACAUAACCACUAGGUGCCAGCUGGACAGCCAAGUCAUCAACCUUUAACCGUGUGCCAUAGCUGCUGCAAUCCUCUGCUUUAUCUUCUGUUUUGCAUACUGUACAGCAAGCAUGAUGAGCUUCCUUAACAAUUUUUUUUGGGGCAGAGAAUAAUGCUUAUGUGAUUUCUGAACUUGGGGAUUAUGGCGGAUAGAGGCACUAAGGCAAGAGAAAUGUCUGAAUUAUCGAAACAAGAUGAAUUAUUUUUUGUUUAUCGCAGCAGACGAUCUAUGAGCGGAAUUUCUUACAACAAAAGAUGUGUGUCCACCGGCUUGUAUUUAGUCUCGUAAUGCAUUAUAUAUAUGCACGCACACACAGUUUGAGAAGAAUCAGACCAUUGAUUUUCUUUUGAGCCAAUCAACAGAAUGUACAUUUCUUCUAAGAUCUUGUAACCGAAACCGCAGUUUUUCAAGUUUGAUGCAUCUGGGAAAAUUGUCAGAUGGAAUAAAACCACCAUGCGCCAAGGUACCAAUGAUGUUUCUUCCAGCUUAUGAGCACUUCAAAUCAACUUAGGUCAUAUUUACACAAGGGCGCACAUGAUAUCAAUCUAAUGGCAAUUAUAUCAUCUAAAAUCCAAAACCAAGAGUCUCCCAUUUUCCCGUUCUCUACUCUGUUCAUAUUAUCAUAACUUCGAAGAUUGCAAGGCAGCCGCAGAUCCAGCGCAAUCUCUCAGAUCUUUGCUCCUUCCUCAUUGCAGUUAGUCAAAAGAUAAACAGAGGUGUCCCAUGUCAACAAGAAGGUAAUCAUAAAAGAACAACAGAAUUGUAAAACAUAUUUUGUUAUAGAUGAAAUGAUAUGAGCAUCCAUGUAUCUAUCCAGCAUUUAGGACACCGCAAUAUAUUCAUAUGAAACGUAAAACGAUUUAAUAUCAAUUUUCUUAAGGAGACUGAGCAGGUUGUCUCGCAAGUGGCGCAUUAGUAUUGUAACGUCUGUGGGGUCUUACAUUAUCCACAAAAAUAACUCGUCCAUCUAGUAAAUUAGAGAAAAAUGAUGCAAUUUCACCUUCCCACUCAUGUCUGCCAAGGCUUUUUGGGCUUCCUCUUCUGUACGGAAAGUCACAUACCCGUAACCUUUUGAUCUGUUCUUACCUUUAUCCAUUAUUAUGGUAGCUGCAAAAAGAAAAGAAUCGGAUAUUAGAAAACAGUGAAGAGGGAACAGGGGUUGAGACUUAAAAUAGAAAUAGACCAAACCCUCAGUGACUUGGCCAAAUUGUGAAAAAGCAUCAGCUAACAUUCCUUUAGUGGUUGAGAAAGAUACGCCUGCAAAGGAUGCCAGUUAAUUUUAUCAUAAUUAGAUGGUAAGAUUGCAAAUUCUGCAGCCAAAGGCAGUACGCAACUGAAUGAAGGAAAUCAAAUAUGAACAUGUUUUCAAUCUCAAAAUAUGAAGAGUAGCAGAAGUAACUUGUGAAACAGUUAUAAGUUCAAGGGAAUUAGAUGAUGGCAUGGUUGAAUUUUAUAAAUAUUUGAUAUUUUGGACCGAACAGGGCAAACAGAUGGAUCCAGAUAAUUAAGAAAAACAUCAAUUCCAUGCAACCAAAUUAGUGUGGACAAUGCAAUUGCCUUUCCCUAUGAGAGUAGAGGGCCUAAAUACAAGCAAAAACCUACUGAUGCAUCUACAGAAGCUCACAUUCACUAGCUGCAUGAUUAAAUCACUGGAUGGUCUCACUAUGCAGUAAAGAAUGAAAUAAUUAACGACCUGAUAAGCUGCAAGGUGAAGAAAAUAUUCACCAGAAAAGUUCAAAAUCAAAUCAACGUGGCUUUGAUUAUGGAAAAAAUGAAACAAUAUGUAGUGAAUGAAUCUUCUCGUAACUAUGCAAGACACAAUCACUUCCCAGGAUCUCAGAUAUAGAUUUACCAAGUUGCACAGAUUGAAGAACGAAUCCAGAAAGAAUCAAUUUAAGACAAGAAUUAAGAGAACUGAAAACAAUAGAAACAAACACAGACAACACAAGAAUCAAUUACGUGGUUCGGUUGCACCAAGGAGGCACAACCUACAUCCACGGGAGAUGCUUUCUGGAGAGCUUUUAUUGAAUAACAAUGGAGGAUCUUUUACGGGGCUUUUACUUAAGAUUACAGAGAACUCAUCUUUCACAUUCUCUGAUAUCUCUCUCUCUCUUAACACGGUUACACACCCGCUCAGCUCACAAACUGAACUACAAGAGCAACGAAUCAGCUAAAUCCAGAUUGCACAGCUUGUUGACACGUUGAGUAACAAACUUAACGAACUGAAUCAAGUUGCCUCGCACGGCUAUCACGUGCAUCACUUAAAGCUUUCCCUUAAACGACAAAGAUGAACUGCCGUUUCAAGCUUAAGAAACAAGUGAUUACACACGUGCUUCAGCCCGUGACUUUUAAGUGCUCUUAUCUUAUAUUGCCAAAACGCUGCCGUUUAGAGCUGAUGAGUUUGAUUCACCAGCAAGCCUCACACAAUAUCAGUUGAGCAACACUAUAAAAUUAUUCAAAGAAAUCUCUAGGUCAGUAUCCAAAUAUGUGGCUCCGUCAGAAGCAGAAAAGUUCAAAACCAAAGUAAGAGGUGAGCAGAAGCGGCCCAGUUUAGUUAUAUGCCAUGCAUGCGAUCAAAAUUGAAUGGUUAAAUUCAGUUGUUUCCAAUAAUUUUAUGUUGUAUCUUUUUUAAGAAUAAAGAAAACUUGCAUUAAAACUAAAAGUAGGGUAAUACCUGAUUUUCUAAAUAGAUUGCAAUGUAAUUUUGAAAAAUAAAACAAUAAUUUACGAAAUGGUUAUAACAUUAUUUUAAUUUUUUUUUCAAAAAGGAAAAACAACAAAAAUAAGAAAUAAAGAAUGAGGGCUACAAACUUUUUAUCUUAAACGGCCGUUAGAUUAUUUGUAAAUGAAAGCAACGGUCAGAUAUUGGUGGCUUAUGGAAACAGGUAAUCAUAAGGACUACGAGUUUUUUUUUUUUUUUUUUGUUCCAUUGAUAUAUAACAAUCGGGAUUCUAUUAAUAUUUACAAUUAGAAUUUUAUCUAACUAUCUUUGAUAAUUCUAAACUAGUACAACCCAAAUUCCUAUUCUCAUAUAAUAUGAAAGAGAGAUAUAUAUUCUUUUCCUCUAUUAACGAAGAGACAUUUUUACUUCUAUCCAAUUUAACUGGAACGAGAAUUAAAUCCUUUCAAUAGUCAGGACUCAGACCUCAUACACGCUAAUUUGAGAGUGUGAGGUGUGACAAUGGGCCAAGAGACCAUUGACAAGUACAAAAGAGUGAUUGCAAUUAAUUCAAACCGCUACACACGCUAAAUUAAGGGUCCAUUUUUGUUUAUUUCAUUGCAAAGUAGUUUGCACAAUUAAUUCAAACCGCUACACACACUAUUGCAUCUUUUGAAAAAGAAAAAUGGAAUAGUUUGAAUUGCCCAUGACAAGAAUGCUUGUGUUGUGAAAAGAAAUCCAAUGGUUUGUAAAUGGGUUGAAUUUUUCGCUUACUUCAAUGACUUGCUUAUGCCCAAUAUAUUACUUUGCACAGUAGUAUUUGGGAUCCUAACAAUCAACUCUUAAUUUGGUCCCAAUAUAUUACUUUAUGAAUGCUUGUGCUGUUUUUUUAAUAUAAAAUAAUUUAUUUAACUAAUCAUAGAAAUAAGAGAGAAAAGGGGGCAUUUGUUGACUCAAAGUCAAUUACAAAUAUUCCAUGCCUAACUUCCACGCACCCUAAAACGGUUUGAUUUGCUUUCAUGCGUUCAUGAAUUUCCAUGAAAGAGAGUGCCUCCCGUCUCUUUACGGACAGUGACUCCAAUUAUGUUAGCGUGACAAAUACAUAACGUUAUUACAUACAAGAAUAAGUUUUUGGAGCCGAGACUUGAGGGAGGUUCUAUCUAAUUCUAAAGAUUGUAACCAAAUCAUUAUCCCCAAUUUUUUUCAGUUAAAUAAAAUAAAAUUUAUGCUUAAAUAUAAAUAAUACUUUGGACAUUCUUGAUAUUUGUCCUUUUAAGAUAAACAGCAACCCAAUUAUCUAUUUGUUUGUCUUUUUUUUUUAGUAACAGUUUGUUAGCAUAAAUAUUUACCUGUGAAGUCGAGGAGGAGAAAAUAUUAGAAAAAUAAAAAGAAAAAAAAAUUAAGGGAGAUAGAAUCAGAUUUUCUUUUUUGAGCAAAGAACAUACGUAAAAAGAUAUUAAAUCUAUUAAGUCUAAUUGUCUAUAACAGUAAAUUGCAUAACGAAUAAUUUAUCAGCGUAAAAUAAAUUUUAUUAUGUUAUGAGUGUUCUGAUUAUUUUCUAGAGUACGAAUUGUCCCAUCGUAAAACAAACGACGAGAAAUAUAACCUUUGCGGUGGUCUUUUACCGUGUCGUUGUAAAAAGGUUAGUAGUUGAGUACUAUUAGUAAUUUAAUGCACCAAUAUUCUUUCUUUGUCUUAUGAAAUUUUUUCGUUAUCCAAGAGUUUUAAUUGAAAUACUUGGCUUCCAGUUAUUUUGUAAAGCUGUUGAAAACUACCACAGUAAUUUUUAUUUGAGGGCCAAUGUUUAGCGAUUUGGGGUCAAUUCAAAGUCAACUAACGUGUAAAACAUGAUUUCCUUUCAUGAACUUCCAAGAAAGAAAGGAGACCAUUCACCUUCUUCGUGACAACAAAUGAUGUUGAUAUGACAAAUACAAACGCUAUUACAGUAUAAGACCGAGACUUGAUAAAUUGUUAAAUUACAUGUCAUUUUCUUGUUGACUAAAUUGGAAGAAAAAAAUUAAAAUAAAAUAAAAUUGUAAUCAGGGUGAUGUGUGGAAUAUAUUGAAAUAAAUAAAUGGAGAAGAGAAAUUCGUUGAUCAAUAUUCAAGAACUCAUCCAAAGUGACCGUUAAAGUCUGGAGGUUCCGUAUGAUUAGCAUUUAUUUUUAAUUUUUUGGCUUAACAUCAUAUGUAGUCAUUGGUCGUGUGAUCUAGGACAGGUUUAGAAAUCUUUUUUUUUAACUUCCGUAUUCUUAUUAUUUAAUUAGUUAUAGGAUUUUUUAGUAUUUGAGUAGUGAUCGCAUGUCUCCUAAUCUAAAAAUAUGUUUCUACGAGUACAAAUAAAAACUAAGAUUUUAACAACCUUUUAUACUAAACCCUAAAAAUACAUGAAUUUAUCAAAAUAAAUAAAUUUGAAUUGGUAUGCCAUAAUAAAAAUUUUACUUGCCAAAACAAAUUAAAAAAAUGUGACGCUUAAAUCAAAUGUUGACAAAAAUAGACAAAAAUCCAACAAGAAUCUCAAAAAUAAGAAAGAUAUCUUCAAACAAAAAUAAAAGCGCUCAAGAGAAAUUUGGCGACGAUCUGCUAAUCCAUAUUAAAAAUGUCACUUUGACUCACACUCUUUUCCUCGAGAACUUCAGAAUGAUAUAUUAUGAGCCUAAGACAAAUAGCUAUUGCUCAAGUUAUGGCCUUAUGAAUACAUCUUACUCAAUGGCCAUCCUAAAUCAAUAGAGCAACUUGGACGUGUCGAACAUGUUUGCAUUCAAAUUUAGGUAAAAAUCUAUUCUUAUUGAAGGUAUAUAUAGGUGCCUGUGAAGUCUCAUACCGGAUAUAAUGUGAAAGCAAAUCAUGAAUUUAAUCAUUCAGCCAAUUAUUAGUGUGUACGUAUGGUAGGGAUGGCAAAAACCCCGACCGUAGGUAUAGUAUUACCCAGAUUUGGCCUAAUCAUUUUUUUUUAACACCUAGACUUUUUCAAUCAGAGCUUAAAAACCUAUAAUAUUAUAUAUAUUUUUAAUUUAUUUUAUAAUUUUAUAUUUUCAAAUUUUAUUUUAAUAAAAUUAGACUUGAAAAUAUGAAUUUUAAAUAUUUAAAACUUUAAAUAUAGAUAAUAAGUGGACCAAAUGAACAAAAUAAUAGAUAUUUUAUAAUAUUCUUCAUAAAAAUCCAAGUUUUGAGCUGGCCCAUAAGCUUGUGUGGUGAAGUCUGGGAACCCGCGUUGCCCAAGGUUCCGUCAGAAUCCAGGCUGUGCAGAUAUUUAUGACAUCCCAUAUGGACGGAGAGGAAAUAUUUUCAGUUGACUGAAUUAAAUAAAAAUAUAUUACAAUCAUAUUAUAUAUUAACAGAAAAAAUAAAAAGAAAUGAAGAAAAACGUAUGCAAGACUUAGAGAAGUCAAUUAAAAGCUGGGAGUAUCAUCAGUUCAAUUGGUUAUAAAUAGCGUAGAGCCAUCCUCUCGUUGUUGCAGAACUGAAGGAAAGAGAGACAUAAAGAGUGUGUGUAGGUGAUUAUAAUUAAGAAGAUAUAAUGUGUGGUUCAAAAAGAGUGUGGGUGAGUGAGUUGAUUUUCAUAUUAUUAGUAGUAAAAGGGUGGUGGAGUGAAGGAUGUUUGGAGCAAGAGAGGUCUGCUCUCCUCCAACUCAAACAUUUCUUCAAUGGUGAUCAACGUCUUCAAAACUGGGUAGACGCAGGAGAUGAUGAGAAUUAUUCAGAUUGUUGUCAGUGGGAAGGGGUUGAGUGUAAUAACACCACUGGCAGAGUGAUUGAAUUACAUCUAGGAUAUACUCGGAAUUGGGAAUCAGCAGAGUGGUAUAUGAAUGCCUCUCUCUUUACUUCCUUUCAACAAUUAGAGUCUCUUGAUCUAAGUUGGAACAAUAUAGCUGGUUGUGUUGAAAAUGAAGGUCCUUAAUUUACUCUAUUUUAGUUCUUCCUCGUAAUUUCUUACAUUUAUCUGAUCCCUUUGGGCUUUUGUUUAAUUUGUACAUGAUACAAUAACAUUUUUUUUAGUUUUUAUUUUUUAUUUUUUGGCAGGUCUAGAGAGGCUAUCAAGGUUGAACAACUUGAAGUUUCUUUAUUUAGACGAUAACCACUUCAACAACAGCAUCUUUUCAUCUCUAGGUGGUCUUUCAUCACUCAGACGCUUAUCAUUGGUUGAUAAUAGAUUGAAUGGAAGUAUUGAUAUUAAAGGUAAGCAAGCUUCAUCCCUUCUCCCGUGUCCCAUCUUUUGUGGAUCUUAUUUCAUUGACCGGCUGGAAGUAUUGAUAUAAGAUCUGGCUAAACUCUUGCUAGUUUAAGCUUCAAGGAUUUAAAUAUUAUAAAAAUAGGUUUAAGAAAUUAUCAAUAUAUGCAAUUUUCAAUGCUUCUCAUAAUCAGACACAAUUCAAUCUAAUUAUUUUGUAUGUCCUGUCUUCAAAAGUAAAGAAUUGUACACUAAAUGGAAAUCGACAUCGUAGCUUUUUAUUUUUUCUAAUGCUCUUUUUUCGUUAACAAGUUUAUAUCCUAAGAGGGAUUGGAUUAAAAAAAAAAAAAAGUUUUGAUGUUCAAGGUAGGCCAUAAUAACCUGCAUGUUAUUUGUCUGCCUGUAUCUAAAUUUGUGCACUGAAUUUAGUAUUUUGGUUAUUGUGAAGGGAUCAGAUAUUGGCUUCCAUAGACCAACUUGUAUUUAGUUAAUUAAUUAAUUAACUACAUUUAGUAUUUAACAAAUUAAAAUUUAGUGUUUAAUCUAUUUUAAUUUUUUUAAGAAAAAAGAAAAAGAUAUAGCAGUAGGUAAAGCUAAAAUAAAUUUUAAUUCCUUACAAAUUUAAAUUCAUGGUUGUCAGCUAAAUAUACUUGCUUAAAGCCACUUAGUCGAGCCCUUUGAGAGCUGCUUUAAAUUUUUCGGAUUAGCCAUAUUCUUUUCUUAUUAAUAAAAAUCUUUUCGUUGAGAUUUAACAUAAAAAAGGAGAAAAUAAGUUAUUUAAUUAACUCUGUUUUAAGUGUUGGAAUAAAUACAGGACUGGAUUCCUUGAGUAACUUGGAGGAGAUGGACAUGAGCGACAAUGCAAUCGAAAAUCUAGUGGUUCCUAAAGGUAUACAAAAUGUUCAAAUAUUAAUAAUUUGGAGGACAAUUUAAUUGAUUUGAUUAGGGAAUGCCCAAUGACACUUACCCAAAAUAAUUUAAUCCGAAAUUGUAUCUCAAAUAGAUUACAGAGGUUUGAGGAAGUUGAAUACCUUUUAUUUGGAAGCAAGGUGUUGCAAUCAAUAAAGAAAUUCGUUGGUAAAUAUUCAAGGACUCAUCCAAAGUGAUCAUUAAAGUCUAGAGGUUUGCUCUCCUCCAAUUCAAACAUUUCUUCAAUGAUGAUCAACGUCUUCAAAACUGGGUAGACGCGGGAGAUGAUGAGAAUUAUUCAGAUUGUUUUCAGUGGGAAGGGGUUGAGUGCAACAACACCACUGGCAGAGUGAUUAAAUUAUAUCUAGGAUAUGCUCGGAAUUGGGAAUCAGCAGAGUGGCAUAUGAAUGCUUCUCUGUUUACUCCCUUUCAACAAUUAGAGUCUCUUCAUCUAAUUGGGAACAAUAUAGCCGAUUGUGUUGAAAAUGAAGGUCCUUAAUUUACUCUAUUUUAAUUCUUCCUCAUAAUUUCUUACAUUAAUCUGAUCCCUUUUGGCUUUUGUUUAAUUUGUAGGUGAUACAAUAAAAUUAUUUUUUAUUUUUUGUCAGGUCUAGAGAGGUUAUCAAAGUUGAACAACUUGAAGUUUCUUCGUUUAGAAUCUAACUACUUCAACAACAACAUCUUCUCAUCUCUAGGCGGUCUUUCAUCACUCAGAAACUUAUCAUUGGCUAGUAAUAAAUUGAAUGGAAGUAUUGAUAUUAAAGGUAAGCAAGCUUCAUCCCUUCUCCCAUGUCCCAUCUUUGUGGAUCUUAUUUCAUCGACCAGCUGGAAGUAUUGAUACGAGAUCUAGCUAGACUCUUGCUAGUUUAGGCUUCAAGGCUUUGAAUAUUAUAAAAAUAGGAUUAAGAAAUCAUCAAUAUAUGCAAUUUUCAAUGCUUCUCAUAAUCAGACAGAAUUCAAUCUAAUUAUUUUGUAUGUCCUGUCUUCAAAGGUAAAGAAUUGUACACUAAAUGGAAAUCGACAUUGUAGCUUUUUAUUUUUUUCUAAUGCUCUUUCUUCGUUAACGAGUUUAUAUCCUACGAGGGAUUGGAUUAAAAAAAAAAAAAGUUUUGAUGUUCAAGGUAAGCCAAAAUAACAUGCAUCUUAUUUAUCUGCCAAUAUCUAAAUUUGUGCAUUGAAUUUAGUAUUUUGUUUAGUGUGAAGAGAUCAUUUAUUGGCUUCCAAAAACCAACUUGUAUUUACUUAAUUAAUUAAUUAAUUAACACCAUUUAGUAUUUAACAAAUUAAAAUUUCGUGUUUAAUUUGUUUAAUUUUUUAUUUUUUGAAACAAGAAUAAGGUAUAGAAGUAGGUAAAGUUGAAAUAAAUUUUUAUUCCUUACAAAUUUAAAUUCGCCAUUGUCAGCCAAAUAUACCUACUUAAAACCACUCAAUCAGGCCCUUGGCAUCUGUUUUUUAGGUUUUUCUAAUUAGCCGUAUACUUUUUUGCUUAUUAAUAAAAUUCUUUUGCACCAAGAUUUAAAAAUAAAGGAGGAGAAAAUAAGUUAUUUAAUUAACCUUGUUUUAAGUGUUGGCAUAAAUACAGGACUGGAUUCCUUGAGCAACUUGGAGGAGCUGGACAUGAGCUUCAAUGCAAUCGACAAUCUAGUUGUUCCUAAAGGUAUACAAAACGUUCAAAUAUUGAUAAUUUGGAGGGCGGUUUAAGAGAUUUGAUUAGGGAAUGCCCAAUGACUUACCCAAAAUAAUUUAAUCCGAAAUUAUAUCCCAAACAGAUUACAAAGGUUUAAGGAAGUUGAAUACCCUUCAUUUAGGGGGAAGGGAAAAUGCAAUGAUAGAUGGAAGACAGGUGUUGCACUCAAUAGGAUCACUGUCGUCCCUCAAAACACUUUACCUUUUGUAUACCAAUUUUAUGGGAACAGUAGUUAAUCAAGGUAAGUAAAUCUUUUAUCUCGAAAAUAAUUGAAUUAAUAUAUAUAGCUAAAAUUUAUUGUUUCUACUUCUUUCUAAAUAGAAUUGCACAAUUUCACCAACUUGGAAGAAUUGAUAUUGCUCGAGUCUUAUCUCCAUGUAAGCCAGCUUCUACAAAGUAUCGCAUCAUUCACUUCGUUAAAGUAUUUGUCAAUGCAACAUAGUGUACUCAAGGGUGCCCUGCAUGGUCAAGGUAAAUUACGGGUAUAUGAAGCGUUUGUGAUAUUAAUUCGAUGAUAAUUCUUUCUUUUCAAGUUAAGUUUUUCUUGUAAAAUAAUUUUUUUCUUUUUAAUUUUAUAUAUUUUCACUGUCCAAUAGUUCUAUCUUCUCUAAUUUGCUGGAUUCUUGAUUAAGGUUAAUGAAAUUUUAGUUCUGUUAUGUUAAGAAUAUUUCGAUCGCUUAAAAGAGUAAAGAAAAAUAAGUAAAUUAACCCAAAAAAAAAAGAAAAGAAUAGGACCGGAUUAUCCUUAUUCCCUUGCAUUAUGUGAUCAAUAUCAAAAUUAUAACCAUUUCUUGUUUAUUGCUUGUAGAUUUUCGUAAAUUCAAGAAUUUGGAACGUCUGGACAUGGGUGGGGCGCAGGUUGACGUCAACACCAAUUUUCUUCAAAUUGUCGGCGAAUCGAUGCCUUCUCUUAAGUUUUUAUCACUGACAUAUUCAAGUCUUAAUAAAAACACCAUUCUUGAUCAAGGUUAAUUAAUGAUUCUCCGUCUCCCUCUCUCGCAUCAUAACUAAAUUUAAUUGAAAAUAUCUAUAAUGUGAGCUAUUUAUAAACUUAAUGAAAGAUGAUAAGGAGCCAUAAUAAUGACAAAAACAACUGUAAAAUUUUACAGUUAUUUUGUUGCCAUUACGUCAGAUUCUACUGUUCAACUAUCAGUGAUCAAACUUAAUUUUUAAUAUGUACUUUAAAGAUUUUAUGCAAUUAUUUAUCUAUGUGUACUGAAGGAUGAAUUAUAUAUUUUUCAGGACUUUGUCAGUUAGUGCAUCUGUACGAGUUAGACAUCGGCCGUAACGAUUUGAGAGGUAGCUUGCCAUGGUGCUUGGCAAACAUGACAUCCCUUCAAGUGUUAGAUGCCUCUUCUAAUCAACUUACUGGAAACAUCUCCCCAGGCCUUUGUGAGUUGGUGCUUCUGAGAGAGUUAUACAUUGAUAACAAUGAUUUAAGAGGUAGCUUGCCUUUGUGCUUGGCAAAUUUGACUUCCCUUCGAGUAUUAGAUGUCUCUUACAAUCAACUUACUGAAAACAUCUCAUCUUCCCUCAUGCAUCUAAUAUCUAUAGAAAAGCUCAUACUUUCAAAUAAUCACUUCUUCCAAAUCCCUAUUUCACUUGAACCACUUUUCAAUCUCUCAAAACUCAAGACUUUCGAUGGUGAAAUAUGCACAGAAACUGAGUCACAUUAUAAUUCUUUGACCCCAAAAUUCCAACUGACUUCUAUCUCACUGUCUGGUUACAUAGAUGGUGGCACAUUUCCUAAAUUCUUGUACCAUCAGCAUGACUUGAAGAAUGCUGAUCUCUCACACCUUAACUUGAGUGGAAAAUUUCCAAAUUGGUUGGUAGAAAACAAUACGAACUUAGAGACGCUUCUUCUUGCCAACAACUCUCUUUUUGGGUCAUUUCGGAUGCCAAUUCAUUCCCACCAGAAAUUGACAAUAGUGGAUGUCUCCAACAAUUUCUUUCAAGGCCAUAUUCCGGUGGAAAUCGGAACAUAUCUGCCAGGUUUAAUGGAUUUAAACUUAUCUAGAAAUGCUUUCAACAGUAGCAUUCCCUCUUCAUUUGCUGAUAUGAAAAUGUUGAAAAGGUUGGACAUAUCCUACAAUCAGUUGACUGGUGAAAUCCCUGAGCGCAUGGCCACGGGUUGCUUCUCUUUGGAAAUUCUUGCAUUGUCAAACAACAGUUUGCAAGGUCAUAUAUUCUCUAAAAAAUUUAACUUGACAAAUUUAAUGAGGUUGCAGUUGGAUGGUAAUAAUUUCACUGGAGAGAUCCCAGAAAGCUUAUCUAAGUGCCGUUUGUUAGGAGGACUAUAUCUGAGUGAUAAUCAUCUCUUUGGUAAGAUUCCAAGAUGGUUGGGUAAUUUUUCAGCUUUAGAAGAUAUUAUAAUGCCCAAUAACAAUCUUGAAGGACCAAUACCAAUCGAGUUUUGUCAGCUUGAUUCUCUGACGAUUUUAGACCUUUCAAACAAUGCUAUUUUCGGAACCUUACCAUCUUGUUUUAGUCCAUCAUUUAUCGAACAAGUUCAUUUGUCAAAAAACAAGAUAGAAGGACGGCUGGAAAGUAUAAUCCAUGACAGCCCUUAUUUGGUGACAUUAGAUCUUAGUUAUAACCGCUUCCACGGAAGUAUUCCAAAUUGGAUUGACAUACUUUUUCAGUUAAGCUACCUUCUUCUAGGUAAUAAUUAUAUUGAAGGAGAAAUACCAGUUGAAUUAUGCCAGUUGAAGGAAGUGCAGUUGAUUGAUCUUUCUCAUAAUAAUCUAUCUGGUCAUAUUCCUCCUUGCUUGGUUAACACUGCACUCAGUGAGGCAGUAGCUCCAACUUCUAGUUCGUGUGGUCGAGCGUCUGGCUAUGCACGUCCAUGUGAGAAAAAUACAAGUGGACCUCCGAUGGGAAAGGAAGAAACUGUACAGUUCACAACAAAGAAGAUGUCCUACUAUUAUCAAGGAAGAAUUUUGACGAGUAUGUCUGGGAUUGAUCUUUCUUGUAACAAACUGAUAGGUGAAAUUCCUACUCAAAUUGGAUAUCUUACUAGGAUUCAUGCACUAAAUCUAUCUCAUAACAAUUUGACGGGCACAAUCCCGACAACAUUUUCAAACCUGAAGCAAAUUGAAAGCUUGGACCUCUCCUACAACCUAUUGCAUGGGAAAAUCCCUCCUCAACUAGUUGCGCUAAAUACAUUGGCAGUCUUCAGAGUAGCAUACAAUAACUUAUCAGGUAAAAUUCCAGAUAGAAUUGCACAAUUUUCAACUUUUGAGGAAGAUAACUAUGAGGGGAAUCCUUUUCUUUGUGGAUUGCCACUGUCUAAAAGUUGCAAUGAUAGUGGAUUAUCAGCAGUGACACCGGAAGCUUACAUUGAAGAUGAAGAAGGUGAUUGUUUCAUUGACACGAGCAGUUUCCUGAUCACUUUUACAGUAUCUUAUGGAAUUGUUAUAAUAGGAAUUAUUGGAGUUUUGUACAUAAACCCCUAUUGGCGACGAAGAUGGUUUUACCUUGUUGAAGUAUGUAUGAUCUCUUGCUACUAUUUUGUAGUAGAUAAUCUUAUUCCUAGAAGAUUCUAUCGUGGAUGGAUGUAAUUUCCUUACAUUACAACUUAUAUGUAAUUUUUAAAGAAUUUUCUUUUGCAUGCAUGGAAUAGCAACUCAAUAAAAGUAUUUGAUGCAAAUUGUCCAAGAACAACUUAGUAAUUUCAUUGCAACUAUUCGGUUGUAUAUAUACAGUUAAUGAAAUUUUUAACCAUUCGCAGAAUACCCUUAGGAAUUUCUUUAGAUGGCGGCCAAAAAGAGAUUCGGGGCUCUACACGGUCUGGAUGAAGAUUAACUUAAUGCCCUCUGGAUUAUGUGUAAGUUCUCUUUUAAAUUUAAGGGUUGAGAUUUCAGGUCCGGAUGAAAGUUGAAUGCAGGUGACGAGACUUCACUGGGACAAACUUAAAAUAAAAAAUUAUAGUCCACAAUAAGUGUAAUACCCUACCCCUGGUUUUUGACCAUGCUGACCACCCAUAUAUAUAUAUAUAUAUAUAUAUAUAGAGAGAGAGAGAGAAGUAAAGAGAGAAGAGACGAGAGAGAGAGUGAAAGGAGUUGACCCGAGUUUGACCCGAAUCCGACCCGGAACCCGCGACUUUGACCCAGCGAUUUCUCCCAUUUCCGGCCACCGUUCCGGGCAAGCUUGGUACCGAUUCGAAGCUUGAGAGACGAGCUACGUGUCCAUGCCAUCCUUGCCGCCGGAAAACGAUCGGAAAGCCACCGAUCGAAGCUUUGAAGUUCCGCGGAAUCACCGGCUCGAUUCGCCGGUUUCCGGUGAAGCCAUCACUUGGGUUUGGUCCUUACCUUGCCCUCUGCCAUUUCCGACUAACCACUGACGCCGGGGACAUCGUUUUAUCGGUGAUCAGCCGUUAGAGGAUUCACGACUUCGGGAGCUCGAUUCGGAGCCAUCGCCGCGCGUGGGAGGUCACCACCGCCAUCAUUGGACUCAGCGUGGCUUGAACUUUCAGUUCUGAGCUUCCCGUCGCCGUCGGAUGAAUUCCGGUGACCGUUGACCGGCAAGGGUAUUUCGGUGAUUUCACAGUCUAAGGGCAAUUUUGUAAUUUCAGAUUUUGUGGGUAUUUUCGUAAUUGCAUUGAUUGAGGAUAAAGUUGGUAAUUUAUGAUUUUGAGGUUAAUUUGGUAAUUUUGAUAUGGGGGUAUUUUGGUAAUAUUGAAUUCAAGGGUAUUUUGGUAAAUUUUGUAAUUUGAGGGUAAAUAUGUAAUUUGUGGAAUCAAUGGAUAAUUGGUAAUUUUAAGUGAGGGCAGUGAGGUAAUUUGAGAUUACGAUGGUAACUCGGUAAUUUAAGUCGUAAAGGAUAUUUUGGUAAUUUUACGUUCCGAGGGUAAUUUCGUAAUUUCUGACAUUGUGGUUAUUUUUGUGAUCUGAAUUGAGGACUAUUUAGUAAUUGAAGAUUAUGAGGAUAAGUUGGUAAAAUAAUGAUGUUGGGGGCAUUUUGGUAAUUUUGGCAUGUAGGGGUAUUUCGGUAAUUUUGUGCAUGCGGGAAUAGUUUAUUGUUAAUAGAUAUUCGUUUCGAGAUUUAUUAUAUAAAAUUGGUUGUAUUUCAAUUUACGGAAAAUGAUUAUGGCGUUUCCUUGAUUAGGAGGAUUCGCGAACGAGAAUCAACCCGCGGACGUUGUUGGCACCAAAUCUGGAUAUUGUCACUCUGAGUGGAAUAUACGAAACUUAUUUUUAGAGUUAAUUAUGAUAGUAAAGCAUGUUUGCGGAAUAAGUAUUUUAAAUGUUCUGAUUUAAUGAUUUCUUGAAAUGGAUUUAAUGUGAUUUCCUCGAAAUGGAUUUAAUGUGAUUUCCUCGAAAUAGAUUUUAUUCAUGUGUUGAUAUUUUAUUAAAGUGUUUGGUCAAUGAUUUUGCGUAUCCAUUUUGAAUAACGCAUGAUAUUAUUUGAAAAAUAAGAAAAGUGGAUUCAAAUGUGGUAUGAUUUAAAAUAUGGUUAAGAGGAUUGUUUUUGAAAUCAUUAGACAGUACCCUUCCCCUCCAGAUACAGUGAUAUAAAUGAUAUGAGAUGAGAGGCCUUUGGGGUUCGUCUGAACACACAUAGAGGCUUUGGGCCGUGUGUUUGAGCGUUUUUGCCUUUAUAUGCAUGCAGUACAGAUAUUGAGUUACAGUGAUACAGAUAUGGGCUACAGACAUAUAUUGAGUACAGUGAUACGGAUAUGGGAUACAGAUCAGUUAUUGAGAUUCAGAGAUACAGUGAUACAGAUAUGAGAUACAGACAGUUGAGAUACAGAUGAGAUACAGGCCUUUGGGGCCCGUCUGAGUACACACAGAGGCUUUGGGCCGUGUGCUUGGGCGCUAUUGUCCUUUGGGGACUAGAUUAUGCAUGCACAGAUAUGAUGAGAUAUGAAAUAGUAUUUCCCUAUUUAUCCGUGUAGCUCUGGGGUGUGACGUUACCCAGAUAGUACGUCAUUGCCCGUCCGUUGAGGUCCGUAUAUGACGAGAUUAUUUCCCUGGGUACUUGUUUGAUGAUAGUUUUGGUAUUUAGUAUUUGAUAUGAUAAGUAUGGGUAAUUUUUAAAAACCUCCCCUGAGGUUUGAGGCUGUUGCAAGUAGAUGGUGAAAAUCAUUUUAUUUGUAAAAGACCCCCUACCGUCAGUUAAAAUUUUUAUUGACUAACUGUUGACUUUAAAAAGACAAUAUUACCGCCAAUAAUAGUUUACGUCAGUUAAAAUUUCCUUAAAAUCUUAAAAAAAUAAAAUUACAAACUUAAAAAAAUUAUAUUUUUAUAUCAAAUAAUUAAGAUUUGUAAUUUUAUUACAAACUUUAAAAAAUUACAUUUUUAUAUCAAAUAAUUAAGAUUUGUAAUUUUAUUACAAACUUAAAAAAAAUUAUUUUAAGAUUUGUAAUUUUAUUUUUUUAAGAUUUUAAGGAAAUAUCAAUAACUUAAUCAUGGUGAAAAUAAUUGUUUUAAUUACUUAUGAAAUUGUAAAUAUUUGGAAUUGUAAAUAUUGGGGGUAAUAUUGUCUUUUCAAAGUCAACAGUUAGUCAAUGGAAAUUUUAACUAACGGUAGGGGGCCUUUUACAAAUAAAAUAAUUUUCACCAUCUACUUGCAACAGCCUCAAACCUCAGGGGAGGUUUUUAAAAAUUAUCCUGAUAAGUAUUAUGUUUCCAUCGAUUUUAUGCAGAUUUAUGUAAUAUAGUAUUUCAGUGACUGAUUUGAAUUAAAUAAGUUUAUAUAAGUUCUUAUGAUAUUCUGAUGAAAUUGAUUUGAGAAAUUGAUUUGAGAAAGAUUAAAUCAUUUUAAAAGAAUUGAUUUUUUAAAAUUACUAUCCACUCACUGAGUUCACUGAGUUUUAUACUCAUUCCGCUUUUAUUAUAUUUUCUUCCCCCCACAGGAGAUUUGCAGGUACAUCAGUCGACCUAGUAUCGAAUGUUAGUUUUGAAAUUGUUGCCACGUGAUGGUGUUAGGAUGUCAUAGAGUUAAUACUGUGAUAUUUAGGAUAUUGCGAAUUGUAUUUAUUUAUUAUAUUUUGUAAUUAAGGAUAACCAUUGUAUUUUUUAAUAUUAGAAUGACUUGGGUGGUACUUGGUAUGUUGACUUGAGAAGUUGGUUAUGGAAGAUGGUUGGAUAUUGAAUUAUUUUAGGAGUAUUGUUUUGUAAUUUGCAGGUUUGAGAAUGUUAUAUUUAUAAGGGAGAUUCUGCCGAAAUUUUUAUAGAAUUCGUACUUAAUAUCGAUUCAAUUUUACGAGUUUAGAUGGACUUGCCCUGGGGGUGCGGGGCGGGUCGUUUCAGUAAGAGCAAUGGGUAGUUUAACUUAUGGAAGAUAACUAGAACUUGGAAUAACUAUCCGAUCUGCACCUCUUUAUUUGUUAUAUGCUAGUGGGGAUUUUAGGUAGCGUUUAUCGCCAGGGGAGUUACAGUAAUCGAUUCAUAUAUCCUCCUUUACUUCCGAGGGUAACCCAGCUCUAUACAAGAACAACAAGAGGGUUCAAUUAAGAACUCUCUCUCUUCCUCACAACAAAUACACCUAACAGACCAAACCGUGCGCAAAAUAAUUCUAUUCCGUUCUAUUCAUGUCAUGAAUCCCACAAGUCAAAAACUAUCGCAACUCAUUUUGUUUAAUCAGCAUAACUAAAUUGUGGGUAUAAAUGAGCAAACUUUUGAAGCCUGUAACUUAUAAUAAACGCAAACCCAAAAAUGACAUUUAAAUCCUCAUCAUCCCUAACAAAAAGAAACAGGAAUAAUUAUAUACCAAUAAUUUUUCCACAACAAAUACUGAUUUGAGUUGAAACACUAUACAAACUGGGUCCUAUACACUUGCAGAAAGCUACACAGUAGAGAAAAUCUAGCAGCUACAUAAUGGUAUCACUUUCAGCUGGUCACGAAUGGUGUGCAUUCAGCAGUGCUCGACAGACCAUGUCUACGAAUUGAUUGUCCUAUUACAUAUAAAAGCUGGUUAGAUAUACAAGGAAAAAAUUAAUAAUUGAAAAUGCAUCACAAAAAUUAAGAGUAUCGCAUUAGUGUUUGCACUCUAAGCAUGGCAAAGUGGUGGGGGGUUCAUUAUUUUGAAGACUGGGAUAAGUGAAAAAUAGUUCAAUCCACUGAUGAGCAUAAAUUUAUUUACAUGUCAAUUUAGAUAUCAUCAAAAAGUAAACAGUAAUUCACAGUCACUUAAAAGAGUGGACAAAAUGCAUACCAUGAAUGCAUUUUUGUACGUAAGAAAUCCAAAGAAUAUUUCUGAUAAUACAAAUAUGCUGGCUUUAAAUCUGCUGUCAAUAAGCAAUUAAGAAGAUUAUACCAGCUGCAUGGUAAAGUUCCCCUACUCUUAAUAACAGUAAACAUGAACAUGUCAGAUGCAAUUCUAGCAUCGACCAUUUGCAUAACCAGAAAUCCUAACCUGAACAAGCACCAGAAGUGCCUCCCGGACUUUCUCCUUGCUGAUAAAUGGUCCACAGUUUGAAGUAAGAGCAGGAGUAAGAGAUGGUGGAGGGAUUGGUGGUGGAAAAGGUUGAAGCACUGGGGCACCACAUGGGCGUUGUAGACUCAAGGGAGUAUUAAGUGGCGGAGCUGUUGGUGUAGAUGAAGAGACAGGCUGCAUCAUCCGCGCAGAGGAGGAUGGAGGAGGAACAAAGAAUAAGGAAGGCUUUACAAGAUUAGGUGUCCAGUUGCCAGAUUCAGAGGUGUCAAUGGGUGGCAUUAAAGGGGUAGGUGCUGAUAGAGGCGGGGAUGGUAUUUGCAAGGUUGGCACGAUAGGAUAAGCAACACUGGCGGGAUGAGAAGGUACAGAAAUAGUUGUAUCAGACUGCUAAGGUUGUGCAGAGAUUGCUGCAUUAGAAGUACUCCCCACAAUCAUAGCUGUCUGUAAUGAUAAGGACAGAUGUCAGAUACAAGGACUUCAUAGAAGUUGAACCUCACACUAAAAAGAAGUGAUAACAUAUGAAAAUAGUAUAUGACUUGCAGCAUUUUUGUGGUAAUGUUGCAUACUUAUGUAGAAACAUAUUAUUUCAAAGAAAACAUACACUGAAGAAGUUCACAAAAGCAGGAUCCUCAGGAACAUCAGCAGCAUUUGAGGGAGUUGACUCUAGAGGACCAUCCAUAACUGCCGUAGUUGGAACAGCUUCCAGUUCCUCAAACUCACUGCAGUUUAACAAUAAAAGGAACUCGAUGACCAAUUUAAGUAACAAUUAGAUGAUAUAAGAGGUUAGGGAAAAUGAUGAGCGGACCCUUAUGGAAGGUGAUUUCACCUUAGCUAAACACGAAAAUAAAAAGAAAUCAAGGCCGACUCCUCGAGUGCAAUGCAAAAAAUAUUUUCCCUCUUCUCUAACUCCUCUUAUUCAAAAUUGCUCAUCAUUGUGCUGUUCUUUGAGUUUUCACUAGAGUAGAGAACGCUAUUCUCCUGUUAAGUGCAGAGGAAAGAGAAGGGCAAGGGCCUGGUAUGACGCUAUUCUAUAGAAAGUGAGAAGGUGAAGGGUUAAAAUAUUUUGCAAUUUGGAGGUGGUGUUUGUUAGUGUUCGUACUUCUGAGUUUAUUACCUCUUUAGGAUCCAUAGAAAUUGCCUCUUGUUUAGCAUGCACUGUGCCUAAGAGUAAGGCGAGCUUGCAGAGUAUCUAUUAUUUAUUUACUUGGAUAUUCAAACAGGACUACCAGCAACCAAACCUGUCCCAGCACACUAAUCCCCAAACAAAACACUCCUUCAAGUGCAAGGAAAGAGUAACGUGGGCAUAUUUAUGGUUCAAGCACUACAAUAACUAAGAAUGUGAUGACUGUCCACAAACACUAUAUCAGAACCUUUUGAACUACAUCACAUGCUCGAAGAUUGUUUUUUCAGUCAUACAUAAAUUAGCCAUAAAAUUAAGGCCAUUAUACAACUAAAAAGAAAGAAAAAUUGUUUGCUACUACAUAUCAAAACUGGUAAUAGAAAUGUAAUAUGGCAGACUUCUUACUUAAACAGAUGAGAGGCUACAAAAAAAAAAUUGUGCAAAUAAAAUAUAUGAUAAAGAGCAUAAUACUUUCUUGGGGGCUAAAAAUAAUAUACAACAUGUAAAAUAUAAAUUGAGCUAUCAUUACCUUUUAGACGUGGCAACUUUCGACUUUUGAGGCACCUUGGAAUAUGCAUUCAGAAUCCUGCAUUUGGAAGCCAAAUAAAUAAUGUUAAAAACAAUUUUACAAUAGAAACAUUAAAAAUUGAUAAAUUACAGUUGCAAUUUAUGUAUGCGAAAAGAUAGCAUCACAUCCAGGGUCCUCCCCUAAACAUGCUUGUAACGAGAAUUAGUCUGCCUCCACUGUUAGCAACUGCUAACAAUAUACAAUAGUAAAAAUCACUCUCAUGAACUCACCAAUACCAGACACCAAUAAGAGUAUGAUACAACUAUUCUAAAUGGAAGAGAAAACCACUGUUUUAUAACUAUGUCGCAUCCAAAGAUAUGUUAGGAGGAUUAAUCCAAAUACCUUCGAACCCAAUUAACAAACUUGAGGCAAAAACCAGGGGCCCCAACUGAACCUUACAAUCUUGAAGGAAGGAGGCUUCUGGCAUUUUUCAGAUAGGUGAGUUACUAGAUCUCCUGCGAAGAGAAUAUCUUUUGCUUUGAACCUCCAUUGAAAUUUCUUUUUCCCUUUUUCUUGUUUUGACUUGGAACUUUCCAGCAUCAUCUAUUUGACCUUUUUUAAAGCUAAAAUAGCAAUCUAUGGGUUGUCAACAUCUUAUCUCCCCUUCCCCCCCCCCCCCCAAAAAAAAAAAAUCAAUGGGUUGUCAAUAAAUAGUGCCUACUCAACUUAUGUUUUCCAAGGGAUGACAAUGUGCAAAUCGACCUAGUAGCCACACUUUUCCCCCACUUUCAACCACCGUUAGGCAACUUUUCUAACCUUUCUUCAUUGCCCACAUCUACAGAACUAUCAUAUAAAGACUACAUUAUUAUUGGGGUAGAGGAAAAAAUACAGACUAUAUUAUUAUAUCUCAUUUUACUAAUUGGAAAAGACACUCAUGAUAAUACAGACCUUAAAAAGCAAUAGCUAGUAACACCCCAUGUACUCCUAUUUUAGCCUUCACUAUCCUAGUAAAAACACAAUUAAGUCUUGCAAAAGAACAUUCACAAGUAAAUUCAACAUUAAAUGAGAUUAGGUAUCCACUGCACCUUCAAUCGAUGACUGGGUGAAUAGCAUGGUCAACCAUCUAGUUCCUGCAGCCCUCCUUGUACCUAUGUUAGUUACAUUUUACAUAUUACGCCACGAAAAUGAAGGAUCACAGCCUGGUAAAGAAAGCCAUUAAUUAAUAGCUUUUGUUUAAAAAGUUCUCAUUUAGAUCUUUCCUAUUCAAUUAAUCAAUGUAAUCCAAAGAGAACUCUUCCAUUUCAAGCAGUGUUAGAAGAUAAUUGCAAAGCCUAAAGAUAAUAUACAAGGACCAAGAUAUCAAUAAAGUCAAAUAGUGAAUGUCAAAUAUAAAAAAUAAAUAAAAUAGUUGAACGUGAUCAUUUACUAUCAAGUUCUGUAAAACUGAAAAUACCAUUAUCCCUGUAGAGAUUCUCAAAAAACUCUUUAGCAAAUCAUUAAAUAGCAAAAAAAAGAACGAAAGUUCAAAAAAAAAAAUGUACAACAUCCAUAUCAGGAGAUAUUUUUCUUCUCAAUAUCAAUAUUUUCUAGCCGUGAAGCAAUUGAAAAGCUUAACACCAAGUGAAUUAUUAAGAAUUCAUCAUUUAAAUUCCCAAAUCGCAAAAUGUUGGUGCAACUAGGAAAGUGCAAAUGCAGUCACUUAACUAACACAAUAAGCACCAAUAGUGAGAAGCCCACUUUGUAUCAAAUUUGAAACAGAUAGAUAGAGGUCAAAAAAUUUAUAAAGACACUCAAUUGAAAGCCUUUCAAGCAGCUUUUGCAUGCAACAAGAGCAAAUCAAAGGCGAUGAGAAUGUAUUCAAAGACUAAUUUACAAUCAUCUAUAGACAUAAAUAUCUUGGAUACCUACUCUCUAUACCUUACUGUCCCACUGAAAAUCAUCAAAUCCCUCCAAACAAAAAUGACAAAAUGUAUAAGAAUUGUGUGGUCAAACUUCAAUAACUUAGCAGCCACAGCAAAAACUUAUGUAGACAUGCAAGCCACUCAAAAUAGUCAUAUUUUUUGCUUUCCAAACACAAGCCACUGUGUAAUGAAUGCUCAUAAAUUGCUACUACCAUGUUUGUUAAAACACGUGAAAACCACCAUAACUAACUCAAUGUAACUGAUGAUCACAUCACAUUCAUGGAAUCACAUAUCUGACAGUAUUAAUUAGUGCAAACUGCAUGCUUCUUGAAACUCCUUAUUUAUCACAUGGGUGCCAUUCCAAUCAACCAAUGAUUCUGAUCUAGUCAGCAAAUUCAACCCACGAGCGAGUAAUACCUCCUAUUGCUUCUUUACAUUUCUCAACAAAAUUCCACAUUCUACCCAUACUUCUGAACUUGAUGCUCCCAUAGACUAAUACAAUAUAAAGAUUUCUUCCCACACCACCCCAACCCCCACCCCUAAAAAACCAAUUUAAAUUCUCAUUGGAUGUACAACUUAUAGUCCAUACCAAAUUGAAAAAUUUGCAAAUAUAGAACCUCAAAGAAUCUGCUUGCGUUCCAUUUUCUACAGCAAGAAAAUUGACCUUUACCACAUGCAAGUCAACAUAUAAAACAAUCAUGUCUUUGUGAGAUGCACAUUUUCAGAUGAAUCUGGAGAGCAAUGAAACCAUAAAAACCUAAUAUGAGAACACCGAGGGCUCCAGAUAUCAUCUAUAGAAUCUUUGGUGCACCCUUGCAUGAUGAAAAAAAUUGAAGGCUUCGUCACCAACUCCCCAGGUUGUUUUGUUCUCCUAUCUCCUAAAUGCACAGGAAAGGCAACCCGUUCUUUUUUCCAAUCUUAAGGGGCACAGAAUGACUCCGGUAUAAAAUAGUCAGUUUCUAUACAAAAAUAACUCCUUUGCACUUGGCAUUGCACAUCUCAAAAUAAAAAGCAUGCAAGGAGGAGAAUAUAAUAGCAUUAAACAAGUUUUAUUAACCAAACUUCAAAGAUGCCAGACAAGGCAAAAAAGGAAUCUGUACAAGCCAGAUUCCAAGAAUAAUAAUUCCAAUAUACAAUUCAAGAAAACAAUAACUAAAACCAUGUUCAUGAGGCCUCAGUAGAAGCAACAUGUAAUAACCAUACUCUAUUAUUUGAAACACAUUUCCAAGUUUGGUUAAGAUUCUAAACUAUUCUCUAUCUGUCAAUUAUUAACAUGUAAAACAUAAUAAUAUACACUUAAACUACUACAGUAGUAAAACCAGUAAAACAACAAUACCUGCUAAAAAGAUUUGCUACCUCUUCACAUUCACGAGCAUUGUAGAACCAAAUCCCAUUUACUUCUUGGGAUGCAUUUCGAUAUAACAAAUACGGAACCUGAACUUCAAACUCAAAAUCUCCCAAAAGAUUUUCCACUAAAUUAUCUGCACAUAUACAAGAUAUUGAAGCUUAUCAGUGCAAAAACAUAUAUAAAAAGACAUGAAGGUUAGAAGACAUAACUAAAACUUAGCAACAACUGAUAAGCACAACAAGACAUGAAAUAUAACACUAGUUGUAAACAAGAUAGACACAUGGUAUCUAAAAAAUUGUACCAACCCCCUCUCCUGAUUGUCAUAAAACGGCCAAUAUUUAACCCUAGACAACAAAAUUGCAAAUACUCUAGCCUCUAUAUUAUUGGCAUAUAAAUAUUUUAGGUUAGGUACAUUAUAUUCUUCGUUCUAAAACCUCAAUUAUUAGCUAGUACUGUGAUAAAAUGAUUCAUCACUGAAAUUAAAACUAGGUCACGUACAAAUAAUCAAAACUGAAAUAGAAGCAACGAUAAACCAACCUGUAUUACGUCGAUUCAUCACAACAAACUGAAAUCGAGGCUGUGUGUUCCUGAAAAUUGAAAAAAAUAAUAAUUUCACCAACUUCAUGUGUAAUACAAUCUCCAAAACACCGAAUAUCAAAUGAAAAAAUGGAAAGCAUAAGAGAGAAAAGAAUCUAAUUUUAUUGACCUUUUGACGACGAACAGAGAUCCUUCAACAUCCUUACGACUCCAUUGGCUGAGAUCGAUGUUGAACUCGUAGAAGGUGACAUAAGCGGCCGUGAUGAGGAUCUCCUCAAUGAAUGGAUCGAUUCGCUGAAGAACUGUCAGGUUUAGGAGUUUUGUGCUCUGCUGGUCCAGAUUAGGCAUCAAUUUUCCGUUCUGCGACAUUUUUCGUAGUCCUUUCGGGCUCUGCCCCGAGCACAAGCCCCAUGGUUUUUCUGUGAGCUCUCUCUUUUGUAAAUAAAGUGUUUGAUGAGAUAGCCGAGAGAGAGUGAAAGAGUUGAACACCCAAACAAGGUGAGGUGAACAGUUUCGGAUUGAGACUCGAGAUUGAUCUUGCUUUAACGUCUUUCAAAUAUUUGGGAAAUAGCAUUUAUUUCUUUCAAUUUCUCUACUUUUUUUUUCCUUUAUGUCAUUUAGACCCAAAAAUUAGAUUUAUUAUAAAUUUAUAAUCAUAUUUUACCCAUUCACUAGUAACCCCUUUUAUUUUUGAAAUUUGUCAAUAUUAAUGUGUUAGAAUAAUGUUAGAAAUCCCAAUUAUUAUCUCAAUGUUUCAAUCAUAACUAAUGUGAUAACUCAUCGGUAACUGCAACAUUAACUUAAUUAUUAAUAUUUAUCAUGAAAUGAUGAGAUUAUUAUUCAAGAAAAAAUUAGUAAACAUCAAUGACUAAUAUAAUGUGACAAUUACAGCUGAAUAUUAGUACAAUAAUUAGGAUUCCUAAAGUUAGUGAUGUAUUAUAAUAUAUGUGUUAUACCACUUUAUGUCUCUCAAAUUCAAUUGAGUAAUUUCAUAUACCUGAGUACCUUUUAUUACAUUAAUUAAUUGGGUCCGCCUAACUUACGCUCAACGUAAGUUACGCUCAGCCCGUCCAAUUUCAUAUAGUCCCCCUAUACUCUAUACUAUUUAUAUUUUAUUCAUAAAUAUUAUAAAUUUUUUGAAAUGUAAAAUUUCAUUUAACCCCCUCUACUCAAUUUUAUUUUAUUAAAACCAUAGAGUAUGAAUUUGCCCCCAUAAUUUUAAAUUCUCAAAAUAACCCCCAUUUAAUUAAAAAUAUAAUUAUUUUUAAAUGAAUUAUAAUUAUAAUUAUAAUUUUAUUAUAAUCAUAAAUAUUUUUUUAAUAGAUUAUUGUUAUUAAAAUAAAAUUUUGUUUAGCCCCUCUACUCAAUUUUAUUUUAUUAAAACCAUAGAGUAUAAAUUCGCCCCCAUAAUUUUAAAUUCUCAAAAUAACCUCCAUUUAAUUAAAAAUAUAAUUAUUUUUAAAUGAAUUAUAAUUAUAAUUAUAAUUUUAUUAUAAUCAUAAAUAUUUUUUAAUAGAUUAUUGUUAUUAUUAAUAACGAUAAUAAAAAAUAUUAUAAUUAAUUAAUUAAUCUAUUAACAAUAAUUAAUAAUAUUUUUAUUAAAUUGUUAGUAAUAAUAAUAAUAAUUAAUGAUAAUCAACAUAUUUAUGAUUAUAAUAAAAUGGAAUAAACACUGAGUCUAUAUUUAUAUAGGAGACUCUUUUAUAUUUCUAUACAUUUUAAUUUCAAGUACUUUUAGGAUUUUUUUGUUACCUUCAUAAAUAAUGAUUUUGUAGGCAUCUCAUUAUUAAACGGUCAUUUUUAAGUGCUUCUAGUGUUGGGAUCGUAUUUAAUUGUGCUUUUCAGCUUUCUUGUCAUAACAACUAGGGUAUUACUCUUUCUCCAUAUCAAGCUUGAAGUUCUAAAUUUCAGUUUUAUCUUUUAUUUGAUGUUUUAUAAGUUCUAAAUUUCAGCUUUCUCUCAUAACAACUACGAACGUGUUAUGGUUUAGCUCAGUGACACAAAGGACAGUUUUCAACAAUUGAUCCUAGGAAGAUGCCCAUAGCUUGUUGUGCCAAAAAUAGAAAAUCUAAGAUGCGAAAAAAUUUUGUUGAGAUUCAUUUUUCAUCCUGAUGUUACAGCUGGCCUUUUUUUUUUUUUUUUUUGGCAGAGAAUAAUGCUUAUGUGAUUUCUGAACUUGGUUAUUGUUGAAAUGAGCUGAAAAUGAGCUGGAAAUGUGUUUGGUUAAUGAGAAAGAGAGCGAGAAAAUGAAAGAAAUCUAUUUCACUUUUUAUUUAUCAGAAUGAUUACAUUCACAAUGAAUCUAAGCUGAUAUUUAUACUUAAAUGAAUACACACGAGAUUCUUCUUGCUAGAUACUUCUAGAAACUCUACACGCACACUCACACUGAGCUAGUGGUUACUAAAACCGUUACAACAAUAUUGCCAGCUCAGCAUAACCAACUUAUAACUAACACACUCAGCUGCAGGGGAAACCAUCAAGCAUACGGUGCAUCCUCUGUAAUCAAGCUUCUUUAAGCAUGCUCUGCAGAUCAUACGUCUGAAUUAUCGAAACAAGAUGAAUUAUUUUUUGUUUAUUUUAGCAGGCGAUCUAUGAUCGGAAUUUCUUGCAACAAAAGAUGUGUGUCCACCAGCUUGUAUUCAAUUCGCGAACACAGUUUGAGAAGAAUCAGACCAUUAAUUUUCUUUUGAGCCAAUCAACAGAAUGUACAUUUCUUCUAAGAACCUGUAACCGAAACCGCAGUUUUUCAGGUUUGCUCCUUCCUCAUAGCAGUUAAUCAAACGAUAAACAGAGAUAUCCCAUGUCAACAAGAAGGUAAUCAUAAAAGAACAACAGAAUUGUUGCAACAUAUUCAUAUGAAAUGUAAAACAAUUUUGAGAAAAAAUAUUGGGAAGAUAUUUUUUUUUCAUAGAAGUUGCAAUCUUUACGUUAUUUACUAGUUGCAAUCAUACGCCUGCAAAGGAUGCCAGUUAAUUUUAUCACAAUUAGAUGGUAAGAUUGCAAAUUCUGCAGCCAAAGGUAGUACGGAGCUGAAUGAAGGAAAUCAAAUAUGAACAUGUUUUCAAUCUCAAAAUAUUAAGAGUAGCAUAAGUAACUUGUGAAACAGUCAUAAGUUCAAGGGAAUUAGAUGAUGGCAUGGUUGAAUUUAUAAAUAUUUGAUAUUUUGGACCGAACAGGGCAAACAGAUGGAUCCAGAUAAUUAAGAAAAACAUCAAUUCCAUGCAACCAAAUUAGUGUGUACAAUGCAAUUGCCUUUCCCUAUGAGAGUAGAGGGCCUAAGUACGCUGCCGUUUAGAGCUGAUGAGUUUGAUUCACCAGCAAGCCUCACACAAUAUCACUUGAGCAACACUAUAAAAUCAUUCAAAGAAAUCUCUAGGUCAGUAUCCAAAUAUGUGGCUCCGUCAGUUCCACCACAACCCAAAAUAUCAGAUCCCCCCAUUUGGAUUCGACUGAUCAAUUUGAGCAUAUAAAAUCGGGUUUUAAACUUCCCUAAUUAAAAUUUAUAUUCCACAGAAUCGUUUCCUUUAACAUGAUGCAUUACAUAAUAUUUUGUUUGCAAAAUAAAGAAGAAAGAUGACAUAAUAGAAACACUCACAGAGAGAGAAUACCUUUGACGAAAAGCUUAGAAGUGAAUCCUCUGUAAAAUACGAGUUGAGCUGCUGAAUUUUUCGAGUUUGAAUGAGAGACUGCGCCGUUUCUGAAAAUGUUUUUUUCUCAGUAGCGCCGCCAUUUUUGUAAUAGAGGGUAAAGAAAUAAGUAACAGAGUAAGAGGUGAGCAGAAACGGCCCAAUUUAGUUAUAUGCCAUGCAUGCGAUCAAAAUUGAAUGGUUAAAUGGCAGCCACUAUGUUACAUCUUGUGUAAGUAACAAACCGCCUACAUGGAUCGUUGGAUUUGGGAAUAUGAAAUCCAAUGGAUAAUAUUGAAUUUAACGAAAAAUAGAUUACAGGUUGCAUUAGUCCAAGUUUAUUUCAAACAAACCAGCUGACGAAAUAGCCGCUAAUCAAAUUUAAAAGGGAAAAAAAUUCAAAUUAUAGGUUAUAGAUCUUAUUUCCAUCUUAAAUCUAUUUGUCUUUCAUGGUGUCUCAAUGUGUAUACUAAUUUAUAAUUUGGAUUUAUAUUAGAGCUAAUGCUUCCCUAAAUAACUAAGAAAAUUUUCUUUUCAUUGAUUUAAUAUUUAUUUCCAAUAUCUUGUAUAUGUAGGAUUUGAAAAGAGGAAAAAUAGUAGGGAUGAUAAUGAGAGAAGAUAAAGGUGUCGAUUCUCAAAUCUAAUAUUAAUGCUAUACUUAUAUUCCUAUACUAAAUAAAUUAUCCAAGGUUCGUGGUUAACAAUACGUUGCAAAAUUUUAAUUUCUAUUUAAAGCUCUGUCUAAUAUGACUUUUCAUAAAGCUUAGAGAAAAGUAGAGCUUUUACCAAAAAAAAAUAAUUAUUAGAAUUGUCAAUGAUAAAUUUUAAAAAGUACUUUAAUAAAUAAGCUUUUAAAGUUAUAUAUAUUAUGAAAGAAAUGAAAUAAGAUUAUAUAAUAAAUUAAGAGUAUCUUAGAUAAUUGAACUUAAAAAAAAAAACUCGCUAAGAGGUUUAAAAUUUGAGUUUUAAUAGUGGAUACAAAAUAGUUUAUUUAAUUCUCAAAAGCUCUACUCAAAAUAGUUUAUUUAAUUCUCAAAAAAUAUUUUUUUCAUUGAGUAAAUAAUACUAAACAUGCACUAAAGUGUUAGGACCAGAAGUUGUACAAAAAAUGAUGGCUACAACUUAAAUUAUGAAUGGAGUAAUCGGAGAAUAUUGAAACCCGUUUAAUUUGGAUCGUGCAUUGAGGGACGAAAGGAUAAAAAAUUUAAUUUUGAAAUUGCUGUUGGGUACGGUACAAUGACUUACCGUUGACAGCUUUUGCAACCGGAUUACAAUCGGUUAGUUCAAUAAUUUUAUAUCCCCAUUUAACCGCCAUGUGCUGCUGUUACAUGGGUCAAUUAGUCAUGUCAUUACUGUUACUUACAGAUGCCGCAACAUAACCGGACCCUGGUUAAAUUCUGUUGUUUCCAAUAAUUUUAUGCUGUAUCUUCUUUAAUAAUAAAGAAAACUUGCAUUAAAAUUAAAAUUAGGGUAAUACCUGAUUUUAUAAAUAGAUUGCAAUGUAAUUUUGAAAAAUAAAACAAUAAUUUACAAAAUGUUUAUAACAUAAUUUUAAUUUUUUUCAAAAAGGAAAAACAACAAAAGUAAGAAAUAGAGAAUUAGGGCUACAAACUUUGUAUCUUAAACGGCCGUUAGAUUAUUUGUAAAUGAAAGCAACGGUCAGAUAUUGGUGGAUUAUGGAAACAUGUAAUCAUAAGGACUACGAGUUUUUUUUGUUACAUUGAUAUAUUACAAUCAAAAUUCUAUUGGUAUUUACAAUCAGAAUUUUAUUUGACUAUCUUUGAUAAUUCUAAACUAGUACAACCCAAAUUCUUAUUCUCAUAUAAUAUCAAAGAGAGAUAUAUAUUCUUCUCCUCUAUUAAUAAAGAGACAUUUUUACUUCCUUUUAAUAGUUAGGACUCAGAACUCAUACACGCUAGUUUGAGAGUGUGGGGUGUGACAAUGGGCCAAGAGACCAUUGACAAAUACAAAAGAGUGGUAGAAAUUAAUUCAAACCGCUACACACGCUAUUGCAACCAAAUUGAGGGCACAUUUUUGUUUAUUUAGUUGAAAAGUAGUCUGUAAAAUUAACUCAAACCGCUACAUACGCUAUUGCAACCCAAUUGAGGGCCCAUUUUGUUUAUUUUGUUGAAAAGUAGUUUGCGCAAUUAAUUCAAACCGCUACACACGCUAUUGCAUCUUUUGAAAAAGAAAAAUGGAAUAAUUUUUCAAAAUUAAUUUAGAGAAUAAGAUUUACUAAUAAUGAUGUUAGAAAUCUUGAUAUUUGAAUCUUAAUAUUAUCUAUCACUCAUUUAUUAAAUAAUAGAUUUCAUAGUUUGUAAAAUUACUUAACCACUUGAUAAAUGUUAUAUUUGUUGGGACUAGAUUGGGACUUAAAUAUUGGAAUAUCUAGUAUUGCAUAAAAAAAAACUUAACAAUUUAUCUUCACACGACUAAUUGUUUUUACAUCACAACUAACCUUAAUUAUUUUAAAAGUUAUAGUAUUAUUAAAUUGCCCUAACUAGUUAUCAAAAGGUGAAACCAUGUUUUAAAAAGAAAUUACUAAGAAACAUUUGUUUAAACGAAGGUUAAGGUUAUGAUCAAUUAAUUAAGAAGAAACUUACUAUCAAAGGUUAAGAUUAUGAACAAUUUAAGGAAGUUAUUGAGUAGAGAAAGGGACAGAAUGGUUGUCUGAUUUGUCGGUGACAAGAAUGCUUGUGUUGUGAAAAGAAAGCCGAUGGUUUGUAAAUUUGUUGAAUUUUUCGCUCGCUUCAAUGACUUGCUUAUGCCCAAUAUAUUACUUUGCACAGUAGUAUUUGGGAUCCUAACAAUCAACUCUUAAUUUGGUCCCAAUUAGUAUAGUAAUCAUCUAUUGAGCGGUAAAAUAUUAAUUCUAAUAGUCAUGAAAUCCAAUAUAUAAUAGAUUAAUAACACACAUAAAUUAAAACAUAACUGUCUGAAAUCAUAACAUUACUCUACUCUUCAGUGAAGUUCUCUUAAACUGAUUAUGUGAAAGCAAUAUUCGCUUUUUGAUUAUAUCCAUAACUUUGAAUUGAUAAAGUUGUAUUCAACAGCUCUUGAAAAGACUAAGCAGGUCUUCUUUGCAUUUGAUCACUGGCAUUUCAGUUAAGUUUGUCACUUACUUAAAAUUUUCUUGCUUUCAAUUUCCACUGUUAUUUUUUUUUAAUAAAAUAAUUUAUUUAAACUAGUCAUAGAAAUAAGAGAGAAAAGGGGUCAUUUCUUGACUCAAAGUCAAUUAUAAUUAUCAAAACUUGAGGGGACAUCGCAUGCCUAAAUUCCACGCACCCUAAAACGGUUUGAUUUGCUUUCACGCGUUCAUGAAUUUCCAUGAAAGAGCCUGCCUUUCGUCUCUUUCGGGACAAUGACUACAAUUAUGGAAAAAAUUAUAAUUCUCGUUAGAUUGUAACCAAAUUAUUAUCCCUAAUUUUUUUAAGUUAAAUAAAAUAAAAUUCAUGCCUAAGUAUUUAGUAAUUAGAGAGAGAUAGAGAGGAUUGAGGGCCAAUGUUUCACGAUUUGGGGUCAAUUCAAAGUCAACUAACGUGUAAAACACGUGUAUGCAUAGAAAACGCUUAGAUUAUUUGUGUUCCAAGUGCAAGAAAUUAAGAAAAGAAAAAUUGAUUUCCUUUCAUGAACUUCCAAGAAAGAAAGAAGACCCUUCACCUUCUUCGUUACAACAAAUGAAUGAAUGAUGUUGAUAUGACAAAUACAAGCGCUAUUACAGGGAACAGCAUAAGACUGAGACUUGAUAAAGUGUUUGUUAAAUUACAUGUUAUUUUCUUUUAACUUGAAUGAUGUUGAAAAUAAAAUAAAAUAAAAUUGUAAUCAGGGUGAUGUGUGGAAUAUAGUGAAAUAAAUAAAUAGAGAAGAGAAAUUUGUUGAUCAAUAUUAAAGACACAUCCAAAGUGAUCGUCAAAGUCUAGAGGUUCGGUAUGAUUAGCAUUUAUUUUAUUUUUUUUGGCUUAGCAUCAUAUAUAGUCACCUGUCGUGUGAUCUAGGACAGGUUUAGAAAUCCUUUUAUUUUAACUUCUGUAUUCUUAUUAUUUAAUUAGUUAUAGGGUUUUUAAGUAUUUGAGUAUUGAUCACAUGUCUCCUAAUCUAAAAAUAUGUUUUUACGAGUACAAAUAACAAACUAGGAUUUUAACAGCCUUUUAUACUAAACCCUAAAAAUACAUGAAUUUAUCAAAAUAAGUAAAUUAAUUUAAAUUGGUAUGGCAUAGUAGAAGUUUUACCUGCCGAAACAAAUUAAAAAAAUAUUACACUUAAAUCAAAUAUUGACAAAAAUAGAUAACAAUCUAAUGAGAAUCUUAACUAGACAUUUUUACUUCUAUCCAAUUUAACUGGAAUGAGAAUUAAGUCCUGUCAAUAGUUAGGACUCAUAACUCAUACACACUAAUUUGAGAGUGUGGGGUGUGACAAUGGGUCAAAAGACCAUUGACAAGUAUAAAAGAGUGGUCGUAAUUAAUUCAAACCGCUACACACGCUAUAUUGAGGGCCCACUUUUGUUUAUUUCGUUGAAAAGUAGUUUUCACAAUUAAUUCAAACUGCUACACAUGCUAUUGCGUUUUUUUUUUUUUUUUUUUGAAGGGAAGCAAUUUCAUUAAACCAAAACGAAUUACAGACUAUGUAAUAACCACAAAGGUGGAACGAAAUUCCACUCUUGGGGACCUGACAUAGAACCUACUGCCCUUGCAACAGAGUGAGCAGCCAGGUUCGCAGACCGACGUACAAACGAGAAUUGUACUUCUCUUAAAGACUUAGCUAAAGCUCGACAUUCAUCAACUAUUAAACCAAAACCGUUAGGCCCUGAAAACUCCUCAACUAGAGCUUGAAAUACUUGUAAACAAUCAGUUUCAACAAUGACACAAGGAAAUUGUAAGCCUUUAAGCCAACUAAGGGCCUCCCGAAUACCAAGAGCUUCAGCCUCCCUUGCUCCAAAAUUCCCAGCCAUUCCAGCACAUCUUGCUGUUAAGAAAACACCCUCUGAAUUUCGAAGCACACACCCAAAACCAAUAUUUCCCUGAGAUGAAAAGAUAGCAGCGUCAACAUUACAUUUGACCCAACCAAACUUUGGCCUCUCCCAACAUAUUGCCCCAUGGACCAGCUUAUGGACAUCAGUAUCAGCAUAGAAUUGUUGCUUCUUUGCUGCUUGCCACUGAUAGAGAAGUUGCCCAGCAGAAUUGAGCACUUGAUUCACUGAAUCAGUUUUGUUAUUCCAUACUUUGUCAUUCCGAUUAAUCCAAACUCUCCAGCAGAUCAUCAUGGCAACAUGGCAUUCUUCUUUGCUGCAGCGUGUAAAGAUGUGAUCAAGCCACUCUAAGAAAGAAUAACAAUGGCCAACAAAACCCACAGAGGAAGAAAUCCAGCAAGCCUUAGCAACAUUACACUCAACCAACGAAUGGAGAAUAGUUUCAUCAGAAGCAAGACACACAGCACAAGUAGGGGGGAUAUUCACCCUCUUAGAAAUUAAAUUAACUGCAGUAGGCAGCACAUUAGUUGCCGCUCGCCAAACAAAAUUCUUAACCUUAUUCGGCACAUUCAAGUUCCAUAGUUUUCGCCACACAUCUGUGAAAGGGUCAGGGGUAAGAGAAUGUAAAACCUUAUAACAGCUACGGACUGAAUAGCAUCCGCGAGAAUCAGCCAACCAAUACCACACAUCAUCAUUUCGGCGGGAACUAAGGGGAAUUUGAAGAAUCAACUCCUUGUCUCUUGCGUUGAAAAGAUCCGAAACAAGAUCAUAAUCCCAAGCUCGUUGAUUAGGCACCAGUAAACUACUAACAGGAGCUGCAGCAAGCUCGGCAUGGAGAUUAGAAGGAACAAAUCCAUUAUUAGUAUCAGGAAGCCACGGAUCCUUACCAAUGAAGAUCGAAUUUCCACAGCCAACUUGCAGUCUACUCCCUUGAAUUACCACAUCCUUUGCAGCCAAAAUAGAGCGCCACACAUAGCUAGGAUUAUGCCCCGCAGAAGCUUGAAGAACAGAGGUGCGCGGAUGGUAGCGAGCUUUAAUUAUCUUGGCCACAAGAGAUUCCGGACAAGUUAACAGCUUCCACAUUUGCUUUCCUAACAUCGCUAUAUUGAAUAAAUGAAGUUGUUUAAAACCAAGGCCACCAUAUCCUUUUGGUUUGCACAGAUUUUCCCAUUUGGACCAGUUUAAAAAAGAAAAAUGGAAUAGUUUUCCAAAAUUAAUUCAGAGAAGAAGAUUUACUAAUAAUGAUGUUAGAAAUCUUAAUAUUAUGUAUCACUCAUUUAUUAAAUAAUAGAUUUUAUAGUUUGUAAAUUUACUUAACCACUUGAUAAAUGUUAUAUUUGUUUGAAUUGAUCCAAUAGCUCUUGAAAAGCACAUAAUAAUCAUUAUAAAUUUAAUCAAAGACUAAGCAGGUCUUCUUUGCAUUUGAUCACUGGCAUUUCAGUUAAGUUUGUCAUUUAUUUAAAUUUUUCUUGCUUUCAAUUUCCACUGUUGUUUUUUUUAAUAAAAUAAUUUAUUUAAACUAGUCAUAGAAAUAAGAGAGAAAGGGCGCCAUUUCUUGACUCAAAGUCAAUUAUAAUUAUCAAAACUUGAGCGGACAUUGCAUGCCUAAAUUCCACGCACCCUAAAACGGUUUGAUUUGCCUUCACGCGUUCAUGAUUUUCCAUGAAAGAGAGUGCCUCUCGUCUCUUUCCGGACAGUGACUGCAAUUAUGUUAACGUGACGAAUACAAAACGUUAUUACAUACAAGAAUAAGUUUUUGGAGCCGAUACUUGAGGGAGGUUCUAUCUAAUUCUAAAGAUUGUAACCAAAUCAUUAUCCCUAAUUUUUUUAAGUUAAAUAAAAUAAAAUUCAUGCUUAAGUAUAAAUAAUUUUUUUAAGUUAAAUAUAAAAUAAAAUUCAUGAACUUCCUAGAAAGAAAGAAGACCCUUCACCUUCUUCGCGACAACAAAUGAUGUUGACAUGACAAAUACAAGCUCUAUUACAGGGAACAGCAUGAGACCGAGACUUGAUAAAUAUUAAAUAUAUAAAAUAAGUGGAGCAAACGAACAGAAUAAUAGAUAUUUUAUAAUAUUCUUCAUAAAAAUCCAUGUUUUGAGCCUGCCUAUAAGCUUAUCUAGUGAAGUCUGGGUAUCCGCGUUGCCCAAGGUUCCGUUUGAAUCCAGGCCGUGUAGAUGUUUAAGACAUCGCAUAUGGACGGAGUGGAAAUAUUUUCAGUUGACUGAAUUAAAUAAAAAUAUAUUACAAUCAUAUUAUAUAUUAGCAGCAAAAAUAAAAAGAAAUGAAGAAAAACGCAUGCAAGACUUAGACAAGUCAAUUAAAAGCUGGGAGUAUCAUCAGUUCAAUUGGUUAUAAAUAGCGUAGAGCCAUCCUCUCGUUGUUGCAGAACUGAAGCAAAGAGACUCAGAAAGAGUGUGUGUAGGUGAUUAUAAUUAAGAAGAUAUAAUGUGUGGUUCAAAAAGAGUGUGGGUGAGUGAGUUAAUUUUCAUAUUAUUAGUAGUAAAAGGGUGGUGGAGUGAGGGAUGUUUGGAGCAAGAGAGGUCUGCUCUCCUACAACUCAGACAUUUCUUCAAUGAUGAUCAACUUCUUCAAAACUGGGUAGACGAUGAGUAUUAUUCAGAUUGUUGUCAGUGGGAACGGGUUGAGUGCAACAACACCACUGGAAGAGUGAUUGAAUUACAACUACUAGAAACUCGAAAACAGGGAUCAGCAGAGUGGUAUAUGAAUGCCUCUCUGUUUACUCCAUUUCAACAAUUAGAGUCUCUUGAUUUAAUGGGGAACAAUAUAGCCGGUUGUGUUGAAAAUGAAGGUCCUUAAUUUACUCUAUUUUAAUUCUUCCUCGUAAUUUCUUACAUUUAUCUGAUCCCUUUUGAUUUUUGUUUAAUUUGUUCGUGAUACAAUAAAAUUACUUUUUAUUUUUUGUCAGGUCUAGAUAGGUUAUCAAGGUUGAACAACUUGAAGUUUCUUUACUUAAACCUUAACCACUUCAACAACAGCAUCUUUUCAUCCAUAGGUGGUCUUUCAUCACUCAGACGCUUAUCAUUGGCUAGUAAUGAAUUGAAUGGAAGUAUUGAUAUUAAAGGUAAGCAAGCUUCAUCCCUUCUCCCGUGUCCCAUCUUUUGUGGAUCUUAUUUUAUUGACCGGCUGGAAGUAUUGAUAUAAGAUCUGGCUAGACUCUUGCUAGUUUAAGCUUCAAGGAUUUAAAUAUUAUAAAAAUAGGUUUAAGAAAUUAUCAAUAUAUGCAAUUUUCAAUGCUUCUCAUAAUCAGACACAAUUCAAUCUAAUUAUUUUGUAUGUCCUGUCUUCAAAAGUAAAGAAUUGUACACUAAAUGGAAAUCGACAUCGUAGCUUUUUAUUUUUUCUAAUGCUCUUUUUUCGUUAACGAGUUUAUAUCCUAAGAGGGAUUGGAUUGAAAAAAAAAAAGUUUUGAUGUUCAAGGUAGGCCAUAAUAACCCGCAUCUUAUUUGUCUGCCUGUAUCUAAAUUUGUGCACUGAAUUUAGUAUUUUGGUUAUUGUGAAGGGAUCAGAUAUUGGCUUCCAUAGACCAACUUGUAUUUAGUUAAUUAAUUAAUUAACGACAUUUAAUAUUUAACAAAUUAAAAUUUCGUGUUUAAUCUAUUUUAAUUUUUUUAAGAAAAAAGAAAAAGAUAUAGCAAUAGGUAAAGCUAAAAUAAAUUUUAAUUCCUUACAAAUUUAAAUUCAUGGUUGUCAGCUAAAUAUACUUACUUAAAGCCACUCAGUCGAGCCCUUUGAGAGCUGCUUUAAAUUUUUAGCCAUAUUCUUUUCUUAUUAAUAAAAUUCUUUUCGCUGAGAUUUAACAUAAAAAAAGGAGAAAAUAAGUUAUUUAAUUAACUCUGUUUUAAGUGUUGGAAUAAAUACAGGACUGGAAUCCUUGAGUAACUUGGAGGAGCUGGGCAUGAGCGACAAUGCAAUCGACAAUCUAGUGGUUCCUAAAGGUAUACAAAAUGUUCAAAUAUUAAUAAUUUGGAGGACAGUUUAAUUGAUUUGAUUAGGGAAUGCCCAAUGACACUUACCCAAAAUAAUUUAAUCCGAAAUUGUAUCCCAAAUAGAUUACAGAGGUUUGAGGUAGUUGAAUACCUUUUAUUUGGGGAGGGGGGGGGGGGGGGGGGGGGGGGGGGGGAGGGAGGGAAAUUGCAGUGAUAUAUGGAAGCAAGGUGUUGCAAUAAAUAAAGAAAUUCGUUGGUCAAUAUUCAAGGACUCAUCCAAAGUAAUCGUUAAAGUCUAAAGCUCUGCUCUCCUCCAACUCAAACAUUUCUUCAAUGAUGAGAAUUAUUCAGAUUGUUGUCAGUGGGAAGGGGUUGAGUGCAACAACACCACUGGCAGAGUGAUUAAAUUAGAUCUAGGAGCCACUAGGAAUCGGGAAUCAGCAGAGUGGCAUAUGAAAGAUAACUAGAACUUGGAAUAACUUAAAUUAGCUAUAAAAUUAAGACCAUUAUACAACUAAAAAGAAAGAAAAAUUGUUUGCUACUACAUAUCAAAACUAGUAAUAGCAAUGAAAGAUGGCAGACUUCUUACUUAAACAGAUGAGAGGCUACAAAUAAAAAAUUUGUGCAAAUAAAUAUAUGAUAAAGAGCAUAAUACUUUCUUGGGGGCUAAAAAUAAUAUACAACUUGUGAAAUAUAAAUUGAGCUACCAUUACCUUUUAGAUGUGGCAACUUUCGACUUUUGAGGCACUUUGGAAUAUGCAUUCAGAAUCCUGCAUUUGGAAGCCAAAUAAAUAAUGUUAAUAACAAUUUUACAAUAGAAAAAUUAAAAAUUGAUAAAUGGCAGUUGUAAUUUAUGUAUGUGUAAAGAUAGCAUCACAUCCAGGGUCCUCCCAUAAACAUGCUUGUAACAAGAAUUAGUUUGCGUCAACUGCUAGCAACUAUACAAUAGUAAAAAUCACUCUUAUGAACUCAACAAUACUAGGCACCAAUAAGAGUAUGAUACAGCCAUUCUAAAUGGAAGAGAAUACAACUGUUUUACAACUAUGUUGCAUCAGGAGAUAUGUUAGGAGUUUUAAUCCAGAUACCUUCCAACCCAAUUAGGAAAACUCGAGUCAGAAACCAGGAGCUGCAACUGAACCUUACAAUCUUGAAGGAAGAAGGAGACUUGGGGCAUUUUUCUAGAUAGGUGACUUACUAGAUCUACUGCCAAGAAAAUAUCUAUUGCUUUGAACCUCCAUUGAAAUUUCUUUUCCCUUUUUCUUAUUUUGACUUGGAACUUUCCAGCAUCAUCUAUUUGAUCUUUUUUAAAGCUAAAAUAGCAAUCUACGGGUUGUCAACAUCUUAUCCCCCCCCCCCCCCGGGGGCCCCCAAAAAAAAAACAUCAAUGAGUUGUCAAUAAAUAGCGCCUACUCAACUUAUGUUCUCCAAUGGAUGACAAUGUGCAAAUCGACCUAGCAGCCACAUUUUCCCCCCCUUUCAACCACCAUUAGGCAACUUUUCUAACCUUUCUUCAUUGCCCACGUCUACAGAACUAUCAUAUAAAGACUACAAGAUAGACGCACGGUAUCUAAAUAAUUGUACCAACCCCCUCUCCUGAUUGUCAUAAAACGGCCAAUAUUUAACGCUCGACAACAAAAUUGCAAAUACUCUAGCCUCUAUAUUAUUGGCAUAUAAAUAUUUUCGGUUAGGUACAUUAUAUUCUUCGUUCUAAAACCUCAAUUAUUGGCUAGUACUGUGAUAAAAUGAUUCAUCACUGAAAAUAAAACUAGUUCACGUACAAAUAAUCAAAAACUGAAAUAGAAGCAACGAUAAACCAACCUGUAUUACGUCGAUUCAUCACAACAAACUGAAAUCGAGGCUGUGUGUUCCUGAAAAUUGAAAAAAUAAUAAUUUCACCAACUUCAUGUGUAAUACAAUCUCCAAAACACCAAAUAUCAAAUGAAAAAAUGGAAAGCAUAAGAUAGAAAAGAAUCUAAUUUUAUUGACCUUUUGACGACGACGAGAGAGCCUUCAACAUCCUUACGACUCCAUUGGCUGAGGUCGAUGUUGAACUCGUAGAAGGUGACAUGAGCGGCCGUGAUGAGGAUCUCCUCAAUGAAUGGAUCGAUUCGCUGAAGAACUGUCAGGUUUAGGAGUUUUGUGCUCUGCUGGUCCAGAUUAGGCAUCAAUUUUCCGUUAUGCGACAUUUUUCAUAGUCGUUUUGGGCUCUGCCCCGAGCACAAGCCCCAGGGUUUUUCUGUGAGCUCUCUCUUUUGUAAAUAAAGUGUUUGAUGAGAUAGCCGAGAGAGAGUGAAAGUGUUGAACAGCCAAACACGGUCUCGAGAUUGAUCUUGCUUUAACUUCUUUUAAACAUUUGGGAAAUAGCAUUUAUUUCUUUUAGUUUCUCUACUUUUUUUUUCCUUUAUGUCAUUUAGACCCCAAAAUUAGAUUUAUUAUAAUCCUAUUUUACCCAUACACUAUUAACCCCUUUUAUUUUUAAAAUUUGUCAAUAUUAAUGUGUUAGAAUAAUGUUAAAAAUCCCAAUUAUUAUCUCAAUGUUUCAAUCAUAACUAAUGUGAUAACUCAUUGGUAACUGCAACAUUAACUUAAUUAUUAAUGUAACACAAUAAAAGUUUCGUACAGAUUUUGAUAUUGAGAGUAACACAAUAAAAGUUUCAUACAGAUUUUGCAAACGAAAAGCACAUAAUACACUUAACUAGGAGGAAAAAUUAAGGUGUAUAUAUUACAAACUGCUAACAAUAUACAAUUGUAAAAAUCACUCACAAAUACUAGGCACCAAUAAGAGUAUGAUACAGCCAUUCUAAAUGAAAGAGAAUACAACUGUUUUACAACUAUGUCACAUCAAGAGAUAUGUUAGCAGGAUUAAUCCAGAUACCUUCGAACCCAAUUAACGAACUCGAGUCAGAAACCAGGGGCCCCCAACUAAACCUUACAAUCUUGAAGGAAGAAGGAGACUCGUGGUCCAGAUAGGUGACUUACUAGAUCUCCUGCAAAAGAGAAUAUCUAUUGCUUUGAACCUCCAUUGAAAUUUUUUUUUCCCUUUUUCUUGUUUUGACUUGGAACUUUCCAACAUCAUCUAUUUGAUCUUUUUUGAAGGUAAAAUAGCAAUCUAUAGGUUGCCAACAUGUUAUUCUGCCAAACCCCACCCCACCCCCCCGGGGGACAACAAAUCGACCUAGCACACACCUUUCUUCAUUGCCCACACCUACAGAACUAUAAUAAAAAGACUACGUUACUAUUGGGGUAGAGAAAAUAUACAGACUGUAUUAUUAUUACAUCGCAUUUUACUAAUUAACUAGUGCAAGACUUCUUUAGUGUCAAAUCAAGAACUAAUUAGAAAAGACAACUCAUGAUAAUACAGACCUUAAUAAGCAAUUGCUAACAACAUCCCAUAUACUCCUAUUUUAGCCUUCAUUAUCCUGGUAAAAACACAAAUAAGUCUUGCAAACGAACAUUUAUAAGUAAAUUCAACAUUAAUUAAGAUUAGGUAUCUACUGCACCUAAUAGCAUGGUCAACCAUCCAGUUCCUGUAGCCUUCCAUGUACCUAUGUUAGUUACAUUUUACAUAUUAAGCCACGAAAACGAAGAAUCACAGCCUGGUAAAGAAAGACAUUAAUUAAUAGUUUUUGUUUAAAAAGUUCUCCUUUAGAUCUUUCCUAUUCAAUGAAUCAAUGUAAUCUAAAGAGAAUUCUUCCAUUUCAAACAGUGUUAGAAGGUAUUUGCAAAGCCUAAAGAUAAUAUACAAGGACCAAGAUAUACACAGAUGGUUUCUUUAUGGAAUUAAAGAGCUUUAUAGAUGUUAAAACUGUUUCAAACAAUUUUUCUUGUUUGGUUUAACUAAGGAAAAGCUUGUGGAAGAUUAAAAAUGAUGUUUCCUAUUCUCUGUAGGAAACUUUUAGGAGAUUUUUUGGGCUUUUUUGAAAGGUUGAAUUGUCAAAAAUACCUUGAUGUUAUUGUUUGCUAAAAGAUGUUACGGACAUCUAAACAACCAACAACAUUUUGUUAAAAGCUCUACUAGUGUAGGAUCUACUUAAAGAAGCUAUACCAAACAGACUCUUAGACUGAAUAACUCGAUCUUAAGUUUGUAAAAUUGGGCUCAGAAUCUCCACUAACAACCCCGCUUCGGUGAGAAAGCCCAAGCCUGUUACUUUGUAUAACCUUAUUCUGUAUGUUUGAUUGCAGGAACUGGCCGAUCAUACCGACGAGGUGAGUGUGCAACAUGAGGUGCUUGACGGGAUGUUUACUUUCUAUGAUACAACUAAAGCUAGCCUCAACAUAUAUCAGGUGCCUGCUUGUUUUUACCUUCUAGAUACUAAUAUUGUUUAGACGUGUAAUCUCUCUCUCCAUUGAACGCUAGACGGCUCGUCUCAAGCCUUCUACGUACUUCAGAGUCCUUCACUAGCUUUUUAUGUAUAAAGUUUUGAUCUUUUUCCUUCAUUUGCUUGAAGCUCAUUACUGCAGAUUUUUUUUACAGGUUGGUAGUGUAACAUUCGACUUGCUGUUGCUUCUAGUCUUGGGAUCGUAUUUAAUUGUGCUUUUCAGCUUUCUUGUCAUAACAACUAGGGUAUCACUCUUUCUCCAUAUCAAGCUUGAAGUUCUAAAUUUCAGUUUUAUCUUUUAUUUGAUGUUUUAUAAUUUCAUUGCAAACAGAUUAGAAUAGAAACUUCAAAAGUUCCAACUGACUAGUCCCGUGUAACUUUUUCAGGGAAGAUUUUCUCUCAUAACAACUACGAACGUGUUAUGGUUUAGCCCAGUGACACAAAGGACAGUUUUCAACAAUUGAUCCUAGGAAGAUGCCCAUAGCUUGUUGUGCCAAAAAUAGAAAAUCUAAGAUGCGAAAAAAUUUUGUUGAGAUUCAUUUUUCAUCCUGAUGUUACCGCUGGCCUUUUUUUUUUUUUUUUUUGGCAGAGAAUAAUGCUUAUGUGAUUUCUGAACUUGGUGAUUGUUGAAAUGAGCUGAAAAUGAGCUGGAAAUGUGUUUGGUUAAUGAGAAAGAGAGCAAGAAAAUGAAAGAAAUCUAUUUCACUUUUUAUUUAUCAGCAUGAUUACAUUCACAAUGAAUCUAAGCUGCUAUUUAUACUUAAAUGACUACACACGAGAAUCUUCUUGCUAGAUACUUCUAGAAACUCUACACGCACACUCACACUGAGCUAGUGGUUACCAAAACCGUUACAACGAUAUUGCCAGCUCAGCAUAACCAACUUAUAACUAACACACUCAGCUGCAGGGGAAACCAUCAAGCUUACUGUGCGUCCUCUGUAAUCAAGCUUCUUUAAGCAUGCUCUGCAGAUCAUACGUCUGAAUUAUCGAAACAAGAUGAAUUAUUUUUUGUUUAUUGCAGCAGGCGAUCAAUGAGCGGAAUUUCUAGCUUGUAUUCAAUUCGCGAACACAGUUUGAGAAGAAUCAGACCAUUAAUUUUCUUUUGAGCCAAUCAACAGAAUGUACAUUUCUUCUAAGAACUUGUAACCGAAACCGCAGUUUUUCAGGUUUGAUGCAUCUGGGAAAAUUGUCAGAUGGAAUAAAACCACCAUGCGCCAAGGUACCAAUGAUGUUUCUUCCAGCUUAUGAGCACUUCAAAUAAACUUAGGUCAUAUUUACACAAGGGCGCACAUGAUAUCAAUCUAAUGGCAAUUAUAUCAUCUAAAAUCCAAAACCAAGAGUCUCCCAUUUUCCCGCCCUCUACUCUGUUCGUAUUAUCAUAACUUGAAGAUUGCAAGGCAGCCGCAAUCUCCCAGAUCUUUGCUCCUUCCUCAUAGCAGUUAGUCAAACGAUAAACAGAGAUAUCCCAUGUCAACAAGAAGGUAAUCAUAAAAGAACAACAGAAUUGUUGCAAUAUAUUCAUAUGAAAUGUAAAACAAUUUUGAGAAAAAAUAUUGGGAAGAUGAUUUUUUUUUUCAUAGAAGUUGCAAUCUUUACGUUAUAUGCUAGUUUGACUAUGCUAUAUAAGGAAGCUAUAUGAAAUUAGAAAAAUAAGCUAUACUAGGAAAGAAUAAAUAUAUGUACAGAAAAUGAGGCUAUAAUCCCUGACUUUCAACAAAUUUAAUAUCAAUUUUCUUCUGGAAGUUGUCUCAAAUGGGGUGCAUCAGUAUUGUAACAUACUGUGAGAUGCUUAAACUCAACAAUAUAAGCAUGGUAAAUUAGAGAAAAAUGAUGCAAUUUUACCUUCCCAUUCAUGUAUGCCAAGGCUUUUUGGGCUUCCUCUUCUGUACUGAAAGUCACAUACCCGUAACCUUUUGAUCUAUUCUUACCUUUAUCCAUUAUUAUUGUAGCUGCAAAAAGAAAAGAACCGGAUAUUACAAAAUAGUGAAAGGGAAGAGGGGUUGAGACUUAAAACAGAAAUAGACCAAACCCUCAGUGACUUGGCCAAAUUGUGAAAAAGCAUCAGCUAACAUCUCUUUAGUGGUCGAGAAAGAUACGCCUGCAAAGAAUGCCAGUUAAUUUUAUCAUAAUUAGAUGGUAAGAUUGCAAAUUCUGCAGCCAAAGGUGGUACGGAACUGAAUGAAGGAAAUCAAAUAUGAAUAUGUUUUCAAUCUUAAAAUAUUAAGAGUAGCAUAAGUAACUUGUGAAACAGUUAUAAGUUCAAGGGAAUUAGAUGAUGGCAUGGUUGAAUUUUAUAAAUAUUUGAUAUUUUGGACCGAACAGGGCAAACAGAUGGAUCCAGAUAAUCAAGAAAAACAUCAAUUCCAUGCAGCCAAAUUAGUGUGGGCAAUGCAAUUGAGCAACACUAUAAAAUUAUUCAAAGAAAUCUCUAGGUCAGUAUCCAAAUAUAUGGCUCCGUCCGUUCCACCACCACAACCAAAAAAAUCAGAUCCCCCCAUUUGGAUUCGAUUGAUUAAUUUGAGCAUAAAAAAUCGGGUUUUAAACUUCCCUAAGCAAAAUUUAUAUUCCACAGAAUCAGUUCCUUUAACAUGAUGCAUUACAUAAUAUUUUGUUUGCAAAAUAAAGAAGAAAGAUGACAUAAUAGAAACACUCACAGAGAGAGAAUACCUUUGACGAAAAGCUUAGAAGUGAAUCCUCUGUAAAAUACGAGUUGAGCUGCUGAAUUUUUCGAGUUUGAAUGAGAGACUGCGGCAAUUCUGAAAAUGUUUUUUUCUCAUUAGCGCCGCCAUUUUUGUAAUAGAGGGUAAAGAAAUAAGUAACAAAGUAAGAGGUGAGCAGAAGCGGCCCAAUUUAGUUAUAUGCCAUGCAUGCGAUCAAAAUUGAAUGGUUAAAUGGCAGCCACUAUGUUACAUCUUGUGUAAGUAACAAACCGCCUACAUGGAUCGUUGGAUUUGGGAAUAUGAAAUCCAAUGGAUAAUAUUGAAUUUAACGAAAAAUAGAUUACAGGUUGCAUUAGUCCAAGUUUAUUUCAAACAAACCAGCUGAUGAAAUAGCCGCUAAUCGAAUUUAAAAGGGAAAAAAAAUCAAAUUAUAGGUUAUAGAUCUUAUUUCCAUCUUAAAUCUAUGUCUUUCAUGGUGACUCAAUGUGUAUACUAAUUUAUAAUUUGGAUCUAUAUUAGAGGCUUAGAGCCAAUGCUUCCCUAAAUAACUAAGAAAAUUUUCUUUUCAUUGAUUAAAUAUUUAUUUCCAAUAUCUUGUAUAUGUAGGAUUUGAAAAGAGGGAAAAUAGUAGGGAUGAUGAUGAGAGAAGAUAAAGAUGUCGAUUCUCAAAUCUAAUAUUAAUGCUAUACUUAUAUUCCUAUAGUAAAUAAAUUAUCCAAGGUUCGUGGUUAAUGAUACGUUGCGAAAUUUUAACUGUCUAAUAUGGCUUUUCAUAAAGCUUAGAGAAAAGUAGGGCUUUUACAAAAAAAAAAAUUUAAUUAGAAUUGUCAAUGAUAAAUUUUAAAAAGUACUUUAAUAAAUAAGCUUUUAAAAUUAUAUAUAUUAUGAAAGAAAUGAAAUAAGAUUAUAUAAUAAAUUAAGAGUAUCUUAGAUAAUUGAACUUUAAAAAUAAAACUUGCUAAGAGGUUUAAAAUUUGAGUUUUUAAUAGUGGAUACAAAAUAGUUUAUUUAAUUCUCAAAAGUACUAUUCAAAAUACAACCAUGUAACACAAAAAUUUUUAAUAAGUUUUUUGGACUAGUUAAGUACUUUUUUUGAAAAAAAAUAUAUUUUUUUCAUUGAGUAAAUAAUACUAAACAUGCACUAAAGUGUUAGGACCAGAAGUUGUACAAAUAAAACCAUGAAAUUAUAUGUUGUUGGAUGGAUAUUUUUCAAAUUUGCUGUAGUUUUUUUUUUUUAAUUUUCUGCUGGGAAAUUGAAAUGAUGGCUACAACUUAAAUUAUGAAUGGAGUAAUCGGAGAAUAUUGAAACCCAUUUAAUUUGGAUCGUGCAUUGAGGGACGAAAGGAUAAAAAAUUUAAUUUUGAAAUUGCUGUUGGGUACGGUACAAUGACUUACCGUUGACAGCUUUUGCAACCGGAUUACAAUCGGUUAGUUCAAUAAUUUUAUAUCCCUAUUUAACCGCCACGUGCUGCUGUUACAUGGGUCAAUUAAUCAUGUCUUUACCGAUACUUACAACUGCUGGUUAAAUUCUGUUGUUUCCAAUAAUUUUAUGCUGUAUCUUCUUUAAUAAUAAAGAAAACUUGCAUUAAAAUUAAAAUUAGGGUAAUACCUGAUUUUAUAAAUAGAUUGCAAUGUAAUUUUGAAAAAUAAAACAAUAAUUUACAAAAUGUUUAUAACAUAAUUUUAAUUUUUUUCAAAAAGGAAAAACAACAAAAGUAAGAAAUAGAGAAUAAGGGCUACCAACUUUGUAUCUUAAACGGCCGUUAAAUUAUUUGUAAAUGAAAGCAACGGUCAGAUAUUGGUGGAUUAUGGAAACAUGUAAUCAUAAGGACUACGAGUUUUUUUUGUUACAUUGAUAUAUUACAAUUAAAAUUCUAUUGGUAUUUACAACUAGAAUUUCAUCUGACUAUCUUUGAUAAUUCUAAACUAGUACAGCCCAAAUUCUUAUUCUCAUAUAAUAUCAAAGAUAGAUAUAUAUUCUUUUCCUCCAUUAAUAACGAGACAUUUUUACUUCUAUCCAAUUUAAAUAGAACAAGAAUUAAGUCAUUUUAAUAGUUAGGACUCAGAACUCAUACACACUAGUUUGAGAGUGUGGGGUGUGACAAUGGGCCAAGAGACCAUUGACAAGUACAAAAGAGUGGUAGAAAUUAAUUCAAACCGCUACACACGCUAUUGCAACCAAAUUGAGGGCCCAUUUUUGUUUAUUUCGUUGAAAAGUAGUCUGUAAAAUUAACUCAAACCGCUACAUACGCUAUUGCAACCCAAUUGAGGGCCCAUUUUUGUUUAUUUUGUUGAAAAGCAGUUUGCGCAAUUAAUUCAAACUGCUACACACGCUAUUGCAUCUUUUGAAAAAGAAAAAUGGAAUAGUUUUUCAAAAUUAGUUUAGAGAAUAAGAUUUACUAAUAAUGAUGUUAGAAAUCUUAAUAUUUGAAUCUUAAUAUUAUCUAUCACUCGUUUAUUAAAUAAUAGAUUUCAUAGUUUGUAAAAUUACUUAACCACUUGAUAAAUGUUAUAUUUGUUGGGACUAGAUUGGGACUUAAAUAUUGGAAUAUCUAGUAUUGCAUAAAAAAAAAAAAACUUAACAAUUUAUCUUCACACGACUAAUUGUUUUUACAUCACAACUAACCUUAAUUAUUUUAAAAGUUAUAGUAUUAUUAAAUUGCCCUAACUAGUUAUCAAAAGGUGAAAGCAUGUUUAAAAAAGAAAUUACUAAGAAACAUUUGUUUAAACGAAGGUUAAGGUUAUGAUCAAUUAAUUAAGAAGAAACUUACUAUCAAAGGUUAAGAUUAUGAACAAUUUAAGGAAGUUAUUGAGUAGAGAAAGGGACAGAAUGGUUGUCUGAUUUGUCGGUGACAAGAAUGCUUGUGUUGUGAAAAGAAAGCCGAUGGUUUGUAAAUUUGUUGAAUUGGUCCCAAUUAGUAUAGUAACCAUCUAUUGAGCGGUAAAAUAUUAAUUUAAAUAGUCAUGAAAUCUAAUAUAUAAUAGAUUACUAACACACAUAAAUUAAAACUUAAUUGUCAGAAAUCAUAACAUUAUUCUAAGCUUCAGUGGAGUUCUCUUAACAGAUUAUGUGAGAUUGCCUAUAUUAAAAAUAUGUUGAGACUGCUUGUUGAAAGCAAUAUUCGCUUUUCCAUUAUAUCCAUAACUUUGAAUUGAUAAAGUUGUAUUCAGCAGCUCUUGAAAAGACUAAUUUAUUUUAACUAGUCAUAGAAAUAAGAGAGAAAAGGGGCUAUUUCUUGACUCAAAGUCAAUUAUAAUUAUCAAAACUUGAGGGGACAUCGCAUGCCUAAAUUCCACGCACCCUAAUACGGUUUGAUUUGCUUUCACGCGUUCAUGAAUUUCCAUGAAAGAGCCUGCCUUUCGUCUCUUUCGGGACAGUGACUACAAUAAUGGAAAAAAUUAUAAUUCUCGUUAGAUUGUAACCAAAUUAUUAUCCCUAAUUUUUUUAAGUUACAUAUAAUAAAAUUCAUGCUUAAGUAUUUAGUAAUUAGAGAGAGAUAGAGAGGAUUGAGGGCCAAUGUUUCGCGAUUUGGGGUCAAUUCAAAGUCAACUAACGUGAAAAACACGUGUAUGCAUAGAAAACGCUUAGAUUAUUUGUGUUCCAAGUGCAAGAAAUUAAGAAAAGAAAAAUUGAUUUCCUUUCAUGAACUUCCAAGAAAGAAAGAAGACCCUUCACCUUCUUCGUUACAACAAAUGAAUGAAUGAUGUUGAUAUGACAAAUACAAGCGCUAUUACAGGGAACAACAUAAGACUGAGACUUGAUAAAGUGUUUGUUAAAUUACAUGUUAUUUUCUUUUAACUUGAAUGAUGUUGAAAAUAAAAUAAAAUAAAAUUGUAAUCAGGGUGAUGUGUGGAAUAUAGUGAAAUAAAUAAAUAGAGAAGAGAAAUUUGUUGAUCAAUAUUAAAGACACAUCCAAAGUGAUCGUCAAAGUCUAGAGGUUCGGUAUGAUUAGCAUUUAUUUUAUUUUUUUUGGCUUAGCAUCAUAUAUAGUCACCUGUCGUGUGAUCUAGGACAGGUUUAGAAAUCCUUUUAUUUUAACUUCUGUAUUCUUAUUAUUUAAUUAGUUAUAGGGUUUUUAAGUAUUUGAGUAUUGAUCACAUGUCUCCUAAUCUAAAAAUAUGUUUUUACGAGUACAAAUAACAAACUAGGAUUUUAACAGCCUUUUAUACUAAACCCUAAAAAUACAUGAAUUUAUCAAAAUAAGUAAAUUAAUUUAAAUUAGUAUGGCAUAGUAGAAGUUUUACCUGCCGAAACAAAUUAAAAAAAUAUUACACUUAAAUCAAAUAUUGACAAAAAUAGAUAACAAUCUAAUGAGAAUCUUAACUAGACAUUUUUACUUCUAUCCAAUUUAACUGGAAUGAGAAUUAAGUCAUGUCAAUAGUUAGGACUCAUAACUCAUACACACUAAUUUGAGAGUGUGGGGUGUGACAAUGGGUCAAAAGACCAUUGACAAGUAUAAAAGAGUGGUCGUAAUUAAUUCAAACCGCUACACACGCUAUAUUGAGGGCCCACUUUUGUUUAUUUCGUUGAAAAGUAGUUUUCACAAUUAAUUCAAACUGCUACACAUGCUAUUGCGUUUUUUUUUUUUUUUUUUUUUUUGAAGGGAAGCAAUUUCAUUAAACCAAAACGAAUUACAGACUAUGUAAUAACCACAAAGGUGGAACGAAAUUCCACUCUUGGGGACCUGACAUAGAACCUACUGCCCUUGCAACAGAGUGAGCAGCCAGGUUCGUAGACCGACGUACAAACGAGAAUUGUACUUCUCCUAAAGACUUAGCUAAAGCUCGACAUUCAUCAACUAUUAAACCAAAACCGUUAGGCCCUGAAAACUCCUCAACUAGAGCUUGAAAUACUUGUAAACAAUCAGUUUCAACAAUGACACAAGGAAAUUGUAAGCCUUUAAGCCAACUAAGGGCCUCCCGAAUACCAAGAGCUUCAGCCUCCCUUGCUCCAAAAUUCCCAGCCAUUCCAGCACAUCUUGCUGUUAAGAAAACACCCUCUGAAUUUCGAAGCACACACCCAAAACCAAUAUUUCCCUGAGAUGAAAAGAUAGCAGCGUCAACAUUACGUUUGACCCAACCAAACUUUGGCCUCUCCCAACAUAUUGCCCCAUGGACCAGCUUAUGGACAUCAGUAUCAGCAUAGAAUUGUUGCUUCUUUGCUGCUUGCCACUGAUAGAGAAGUUGCCCAGCAGAAUUGAGCACUUGAUUCACUGAACCAGUUUUGUUAUUCCAUACUUUGUCAUUCCGAUUAAUCCAAACUCUCCAGCAGAUCAUCAUGGCAACAUGGCAUUCUUCUUUGCUGCAGCGUGUAAAGAUGUGAUCAAGCCACUCUAAGAAAGAAUAACAAUGGCCAACAAAACCCACAGAGGAAGAAAUCCAGCAAGCCUUAGCAACAUUACACUCAACCAACGAAUGGAGAAUAGUUUCAUCAGAAGCAAGACACACAGCACAAGUAGGGGGGAUAUUCACCCUCUUAGAAAUUAAAUUAACUGCAGUAGGCAGCACAUUAGUUGCCGCUCGCCAAACAAAAUUCUUAACCUUAUUCGGCACAUUCAAGUUCCAUAGUUUUCGCCACACAUCUGUGAAAGGGCCAGGGGUAAGAGAAUGUAAAACGUUAUAACAGCUACGGACUGAAUAGCAUCCGCGAGAAUCAGCCAACCAAUACCACACAUCAUCAUUUCGGCGGGAACUAAGGGGAAUUUGAAGAAUCAACUCCUUGUCUCUUGCGUUGAAAAGAUCCAAAACAAGAUCAUAAUCCCAAGCUCGUUGAUUAGGCACCAGUAAACUACUAACAGGAGCUGCAGCAAGCUCGGCAUGGAGAUUAGAAGGAACAAAUCCAUUAUUAGUAUCAGGAAGCCACGGAUCCUUACCAAUGAAGAUCGAAUUUCCACAGCCAACUUGCAGUCUACUCCCUUGAAUUACCACAUCCUUUGCAGCCAAAAUAGAGCGCCACAUAUAGCUAGGAUUAUGCCCCGCAGAAGCUUGAAGAACAGAGGUGCGCGGAUGGUAGCGAGCUUUAAUUAUCUUGGCCACAAGAGAUUCCGGACAAGUUAACAGCUUCCACAUUUCCUUUCCUAACAUCGCUAUAUUGAAUAAAUGAAGUUGUUUAAAACCAAGGCCACCAUAUCCUUUUGGUUUGCACAGAUUUUCCCAUUUGGACCAGUUUAAAAAAGAAAAAUGGAAUAGUUUUCCAAAAUUAAUUCAGAGAAGAAGAUUUACUAAUAAUGAUGUUAGAAAUCUUAAUAUUAUGUAUCACUCAUUUAUUAAAUAAUAGAUUUCAUAGUUUGUAAAUUUACUUAACCACUUGAUAAAUGUUAUAUUUGUUUGAAUUGAUCCAAUAGCUCUUGAAAAGCACAUAAUAAUCAUUAUAAAUUUAAUCAAAGACUAAGCAGGUCUUCUUUGCAUUUGAUCACUGGCAUUUCAGUUAAGUUUGUCAUUUAUUUAAAUUUUUCUUGCUUUCAAUUUCCACUGUUGUUUUUUUUAAUAAAAUAAUUUAUUUAAACUAGUCAUAGAAAUAAGAGAGAAAGGGCGCCAUUUCUUGACUCAAAGUCAAUUAUAAUUAUCAAAACUUGAGCGGACAUUGCAUGCCUAAAUUCCACGCACCCUAAAACGGUUUGAUUUGCUUUCACGCGUUCAUGAUUUUGCAUGAAAGAGAGUGCCUCUCGUCUCUUUCCGGACAGUGACUGCAAUUAUGUUAACGUGACGAAUACAAAACGUUAUUACAUACAAGAAUAAGUUUUUGGAGCCGAUACUUGAGGGAGGUUCUAUCUAAUUCUAAAGAUUGUAACCAAAUCAUUAUCCCUAAUUUUUUUAAGUUAAAUAAAAUAAAAUUCAUGCUUAAGUAUAAAUAAUUUUUUUAAGUUAAAUAUAAAAUAAAAUUCAUGAACUUCCUAGAAAGAAAGAAGACCCUUCACCUUCUUCGCGACAACAAAUGAUGUUGACAUGACAAAUACAAGCUCUAUUACAGGGAACAGCAUGAGACCGAGACUUGAUAAAUAUUAAAUAUAUAAAAUAAGUGGAGCAAACGAACAGAAUAAUAGAUUUUUAUAAUAUUCUUCAUAAAAAUCCAAGUUUUGAGCUGGCCUAUAAGCUUAUCUAGUGAAGUCUGGGUAUCCGCGUUGCCCAAGGUUCCGUUUGAAUCCAGGCCGUGUAGAUGUUUAAGACAUCGCAUAUGGACGGAGUGGAAAUAUUUUCAGUUGACUGAAUUAAAUAAAAAUAUAUUACAAUCAUAUUAUAUAUUAGCAGCAAAAAUAAAAAGAAAUGAAGAAAAACGCAUGCAAGACUUAGACAAGUCAAUUAAAAGCUGGGAGUAUCAUCAGUUCAAUUGAUUAUAAAUAGCGUAGAGCCAUCCUCUCGUUGUUGCAGAACUGAAGCAAAGAGACUCAGAAAGAGUGUGUGUAGGUGAUUAUAAUUAAGAAGAUAUAAUGUGUGGUUCAAAAAGAGUGUGGGUGAGUGAGUUAAUUUUCAUAUUAUUAGUAGUAAAAGGGUGGUGGAGUGAGGGAUGUUUGGAGCAAGAGAGGUCUGCUCUCCUACAACUCAGACAUUUCUUCAAUGAUGAUCAACUUCUUCAAAACUGGGUAGACGAUGAGUAUUAUUCAGAUUGUUGUCAGUGGGAACGGGUUGAGUGCAACGACACCACUGGAAGAGUGAUUGAAUUACAACUACUAGAAACUCGAAAACAGGGAUCAGCAGAGUGGUAUAUGAAUGCCUCUCUGUUUACUCCAUUUCAACAAUUAGAGUCUCUUGAUUUAAUGGGGAACAAUAUAGCCGGUUGUGUUGAAAAUGAAGGUCCUUAAUUUACUCUAUUUUAAUUCUUCCUCGUAAUUUCUUACAUUUAUCUGAUCCCUUUUGAUUUUUGUUUAAUUUAUUCGUGAUACAAUAAAAUUACUUUUUAUUUUUUGUCAGGUCUAGAUAGGUUAUCAAGGUUGAACAACUUGAAGUUUCUUUACUUAAACCUUAACCACUUCAACAACAGCAUCUUUUCAUCCAUAGGUGGUCUUUCAUCACUCAGACGCUUAUCAUUGGCUAGUAAUGAAUUGAAUGGAAGUAUUGAUAUUAAAGGUAAGCAAGCUUCAUCCCUUCUCCCGUGUCCCAUCUUUUGUGGAUCUUAUUUUAUUGACCGGCUGGAAGUAUUGAUAUAAGAUCUGGCUAGACUCUUGCUAGUUUAAGCUUCAAGGAUUUAAAUAUUAUAAAAAUAGGUUUAAGAAAUUAUCAAUAUAUGCAAUUUUCAAUGCUUCUCAUAAUCAGACACAAUUCAAUCUAAUUAUUUUGUAUGUCCUGUCUUCAAAAGUAAAGAAUUGUACACUAAAUGGAAAUCGACAUCGUAGCUUUUUAUUUUUUCUAAUGCUCUUUUUUCGUUAACGAGUUUAUAUCCUAAGAGGGAUUGGAUUGAAAAAAAAAAAAGUUUUGAUGUUCAAGGUAGGCCAUAAUAACCCGCAUCUUAUUUGUCUGCCUGUAUCUAAAUUUGUGCACUGAAUUUAGUAUUUUGGUUAUUGUGAAGGGAUCAGAUAUUGGCUUCCAUAGACCAACUUGUAUUUAGUUAAUUAAUUAAUUAACGACAUUUAAUAUUUAACAAAUUAAAAUUUCGUGUUUAAUCUAUUUUAAUUUUUUUAAGAAAAAAGAAAAAGAUAUAGCAAUAGGUAAAGCUAAAAUAAAUUUUAAUUCCUUACAAAUUUAAAUUCAUGGUUGUCAGCUAAAUAUACUUACUUAAAGCCACUCAGUCGAGCCCUUUGAGAGCUGCUUUAAAUUUUUAGCCAUAUUCUUUUCUUAUUAAUAAAAUUCUUUUCGCUGAGAUUUAACAUAAAAAAAGGAGAAAAUAAGUUAUUUAAUUAACUCUGUUUUAAGUGUUGGAAUAAAUACAGGACUGGAAUCCUUGAGUAACUUGGAGGAGCUGGGCAUGAGCGACAAUGCAAUCGACAAUCUAGUGGUUCCUAAAGGUAUACAAAAUGUUCAAAUAUUAAUAAUUUGGAGGACAGUUUAAUUGAUUUGAUUAGGGAAUGCCCAAUGACACUUACCCAAAAUAAUUUAAUCCGAAAUUGUAUCCCAAAUAGAUUACAGAGGUUUGAGGUAGUUGAAUACCUUUUAUUUGGGGAGGGGGGGGGGGGGGAGGGAGGGAAAUUGCAGUGAUAUAUGGAAGCAAGGUGUUGCAAUAAAUAAAGAAAUUCGUUGGUCAAUAUUCAAGGACUCAUCCAAAGUAAUCGUUAAAGUCUAAAGGUCUGCUCUCCUCCAACUCAAACAUUUCUUCAAUGAUGAGAAUUAUUCAGAUUGUUGUCAGUGGGAAGGGGUUGAGUGCAACAACACCACUGGCAGAGUGAUUAAAUUAGAUCUAGGAGCCACUAGAAAUCGGGAAUCAGCAGAGUGGCAUAUGAAUGCUUCUCUGUUUUCUCCAUUUCAACAAUUAGAAUCUCUUGAUUUAACUGGGAACAAUAUAGCCGUUUGUGUUGAAAAUGAAGGUCCUCAAUUUACUCUACUCUAAUUCUCCCUCGUAAUUUCUAGCAUUUAUCUGAUCCCUUUUAGCUUGUGUUUAAUUUGUACGUGAUACAAUAAAAUUAGGUUUUAUUUUUUAUUUUUUAUUUUUUGGCAGGUCUAGAUAAGUUAUCAAGGUUGAACAACUUGAAGUCUCUUUAUUUAGACUUUAACCACUUCAACAACAGCAUCUUUUCAUCUCUAGGUGAUCUUUCAUCACUCAAACACUUUUCAUUGGCUGGUAAUGAAUUGAAUGGAAGUAUUGAUAUUGAAGGUGAGUAAGCUUCAUCCCUUCUCCCGUGUCCCAUCUUUUGUGGAUCUUAUUUCAUUGAGCAGCUGGAGGUACUGAUGUUAGAUCUAGCUAGACUCUUGCUAGUUUAGGCUUCAAGGCUUCGAUUACUAUAAAAAUAGGUGUAAGAAAUCAUCAAUACAUGCAAUUUUCAGUGCUUCUCAAAAUCAGACACAGUUUAGUCUAAUUAUUUUGUAUGUCCCGUCUUUAAAAGUAAAGAAUUGUAUUGUAAUUGGAAAUCGACAACGUAGCUUUUCAUUUUCUGUAAUGCUCUUUCUUCGUUAACAAGUUUAUAUCUUAAGAGAGAUUGGAUUCGGAAAAAGUUUUCACGCUCAAGGUAAGCCAUAAUAACUUCUUUCUUCGUUAACAAGUUCAUUAGUUCAAUUGGCAACUGUUUUUUAAGUUUUUCUGGUUAGCCGUAUACUUUUUUGCUUAUUAAUAAAAUUCUUUUGCGCCGAGAUUUAAAAAUAAAGGAGGAGAAAAUAAGUUAUUUAAUUAACCUUGUUUUAAGUGUUGGCAUAAAUACAGGACUGGAUUCCUUGAGUAACUUGGAGGUGCUGGACAUGAGCUUCAAUGCAAUCGACAAUCUUGUGGUUCCUAAAGGUAUACAAAAUGUUCAAAUAUUAAUAAUUUGGAGGACAAUUUAAUAGAUUUGAUUAGGGAAUGCCCAAUGACACUUAUCCAAAAUAAUUUAAUCCGAAAUUGUAUCCCAAAUAGAUUACAGAGGCUUGAGGAAGUUGAAUACCCUUGUCUUAGGGGGAACGGAAAUUGCAAUGAUAGAUGGAAGUAAGGCGUUGCAAUCAAUAGGAUCACUACUGUCCCUCAAAACACUUUACCUUUUGUAUACUAAUUUUACAGGAACAGUAGUUAAUCAAGGUAAGUAAAUCUUUUAUGUCGAAAAUAAUUGAAUUAAUAUAUAUAGCUAAAAUUUAUUGUUUCUAUUUCUUUCUAAAUAGAAUUACACAAUUUCACCAACUUGGAAGAAUUGAUAUUGGUCGAGUCUGAUCUCCAUGUAAGCCAGCUUCUGCAAAGCAUCGCAUCAUUCACUUCGUUAAAGUAUUUGUCAAUGCAAGUUAGUGUACUCAAGGGUGCCCUGCAUGGUCAAGGUAAAUUACGGGUAUCUGAAGCUUUUGUGAUAUUAAUUCGAUAAUGAUUCUUUCUUUUCAAGUUUAUUUUCUCCCGUAAAAUAAUAUUUUUUUCUUUUAAAUUUUAUAUACUUUCACUGUCCAAUAGUUCUACCUUCUCUAAAUUGUAGGAUUCUUGAUUAAGGUUAAUGAAUUUUUAGUUCUGUUAUGUUAAGAAUAUUUCGAUCGCUUAGAAGAGUAAGGAAAAAUAAGUAAAUUAACCCAAAAAAGAGAAAAGAACAGGACCGGAUUAUCCUUAUUCCCUUGCAUUAUGUGAUCAAUAUCAAAAUUAUAACCAUUUCUUGUUUAUUGCUUGUAGAUUUUCAUAAAUUCAAGAAUUUGGAACAUCUGGACAUGGAUUGGGUGCAGGUUAACGUCAACACCAGUUUUUUUCAAAUUGUCGGCGAAUCGAUGCCUUCUCUCAAGUUUUUAUCACUGGCAAAUUCAAGUCUUAAUAAAAACACCAUUCUUGAUCAAGGUUAAUUAAUGAUUCUCCUUCUCCCUCUCUCGCAUCAUAACUAAAUUUAAUUGAGAAUAUCUAUAAUGCUAGCUAUUUAUAAACUUAAUGAAAGUUGAUGAGGAGCCAUAUUAAUGACAAAAACAACUGUAAAAUAGUGCGCUGUUGUAGCGUUGAUUGAAAAAUAAUGCUAAUGUUUUACUUAACAACACUAUAAGUGAUCAAACUUAAUUUUUAAUGUGUACUUUAAAGAUUUUAUGCAAUUAUUUAAGUUUUAUGCAAUUAUAUUUUUCAGGACUUUGUCGGUUAGUGCAUCUGCAAGAGUUAUACAUCAGCGGUAAUGAUUUGAGAGGUAGCUUGCCAUGGUGCUUGGCAAACAUGACAUCCCUCCAAGUGUUAGAUGCCUCUUCUAAUCAACUUACUGGAAACUUUUCCCCAGGCCUUUGUGAGUUGGUGCUUCUGAGAGAGUUAUACAUUCACAACAAUGAUUUAAGAGGUAGCUUGCCUUUGUGCUUGGCAAAUUUGACUUCCCUUCGAGUAUUAGAUGUCUCUUACAAUCAACUUACUGAAAACAUCUCAUCUUCCCUCAUGCAUCUAAUAUCUAUGGAAAAGCUCAUACUUUCAAAUAAUCACUUCUUCCAAAUCCCUAUUUCACUUAAACCACUUUUCAAUCUCUCAAAACUCAAGACUUUCGAGGGUGAAAUAUGCGCAGAAACUGAGUCACAUUAUAAUUCUUUGACCCCAAAAUUCCAAUUGACUUCUAUCUCACUGUCUGGUUACAUAGAUGGUGGCACAUUUCCCAAAUUCUUGUACCAUCAGCAUGACUUGAAGAAUGCUGAUCUCUCACACCUUAACUUGAGUGGAAAUUUUCCAAAUUGGUUGGUAGAUAACAAUACGAACUUAGAGACGCUUCUUCUUGCCAACAACUCUCUUUUUGGAUCAUUUCGGAUGCCAAUUCAUUCCCACCAAAAAUUGGCAAAAUUGGAUGUCUCCAACAAUUUCUUUCAAGGCCAUAUUCCGGUGGAAAUCGAAACAUAUCUGCCAGUCUUAAUGGGUUUAAACUUAUCUAGAAAUGCUUUCAACGGUAGUAUUCCCUCUUCAUUUGCUGAUAUGAAAAUGUUGGAAAGGUUGGACAUAUCCUACAAUCAGUUGACUGGUGAAAUCCCUGAGCGCAUGGCCACGGGUUGCUUCUCAUUGGAAAUUCUUGCAUUGUCAAACAACAGUUUGCAAGGUCAUAUAUUCUCUAAAAAAUUUAACUUGACAAAUUUAUUAAGGUUGCAGUUGGAUGGUAAUAAUUUCAUUGGAGAGAUCCCAGAAAGCUUAUCUAAGUGCCGUUUGUUAGGAGGAUUAUAUCUGAGUGAUAAUCAUCUCACUGGUGAGAUUCCAAGAUGGUUGGGUAAUUUGUCAUUUUUACAAGAUAUUAUAAUGCCCAAUAACAAUCUUGAAGGGCCAAUUCCAAUCGAGUUUUGUCAGCUUGAUUCUCUGAAGAUUUUAGACCUUUCAAACAAUAGUAUUUUUGGAACUUUACCAUCUUGUUUUAGUCCAGCAUCUAUCGAACAAGUUCAUUUGUCGAAAAACAAGAUAGAAGGACGGUUGGAAAGUAUAAUCCAUGACAGCCCCAAUUUGGUGACAUUAGAUCUCAGUUAUAACCGCUUACACGGAAGUAUUCCAAAUCGGAUUGACAGACUACCUCUGUUAAGCUACCUUCUUUUAGCUAAUAAUUAUAUUGAAGGCAAAAUACCAGUUCAAUUAUGCCAGUUGAAGGAAGUGCGGUUGAUUGAUCUUUCUCAUAAUAAUCUAUCUGGUCAUAUUCCUCCUUGCUUGGUUAACACUUCACUCAGUGAAGGUCAUCAUGAGGCAAUAGCUCCAACUUCUAGUUCGCGGGAUCAAGCGUCUGCCUCUGUACUUCCAUCUGAGGCUCCAAAUGGAUCUCCGAUGGGAAAGGAAGAAACUGUACAGUUCACAACAAAGAAUAUGUCCUACUAUUAUCAAGGAAGAAUUUUGACGAGUAUGUCUGGGAUUGAUCUUUCUUGUAACAAACUGAUAGGUGAGAUUCCUCCUCAAAUUGGAUAUCUUACAAGGAUUCAUGCGCUAAAUCUAUCUCAUAACAAUUUGACGGGCACAAUCCCGACAACAUUUUCAAACCUGAAGCAAAUCGAAAGCUUGGACCUCUCCUACAACCUAUUGCAUGGGAAAAUCCCUUCUCAGCUCACUGUGCUAACUACAUUGGCGGCCUUCAGAGUAGCAUACAAUAACUUAUCAGGCAAAAUUCCGGAUAGAGUUGCACAAUUUUCAACUUUCGAGGAAGAUAGCUAUGAGGGGAAUCCUUUUCUUUGUGGAUGGCCACUGUCUAAAAGUUGCGAUGAUAAUGGAUUAACAACAGUGACAACAGAAGCUUACACUGAAAAUGAAGAAGUUGAUAGUUUAAUUGACAUGGACAGUUUCCUGAUCACUUUUACAGUAUCUUAUGGAAUUGUGAUAUUAGGAAUUAUUGGAGUUUUGUACGUAAACCCCUAUUGGCGGCGAAGUUGGUUUUACCUUGUUGAAGUAUGUAUGACCUCUUGCUACUAUUUUGCAGCAGACAAUCUUGUUCCUAGAAAAUUCUAUGGUGGAUGGAUGUAAUUUCAUUACAUUACAACUUAUAUGUAAUUUUCAAAGAAUUUUCUUUUGCAUGCAUGGAAUAGCAACUCAAUAAAAGUAUUUGAUGCAAAUUGUCCAAGAACAACUUAGUAAUUUCAUUGCUACUAUUCGGUUGUAUGUAUACAGUUAAUGAAAUUUUUAACCAUUCGCAGAAUACCCUUAGGAAUUUCUUUAGAUGGCGGCAAAAAACUAAGAGAUUCGGGGCUCUACACGGUCUGAAUGAAGAUUAACUUAAUGCCCUCAGGAUUAUGUGUAAGUUCUCUUUUAAAUUUAAGGGGUUGAGAUUUCAGGUCCGGAUGAAAGUUGAAUGCAGGUGACGAGACUUCACUGGGACAAACUUAAAAUAAAAAAUUAUAGUCCACAGUAAGAGCAAUGGGUAGCUUAACUUAUGGAAGAUAACUAGAACUUGGAAUAACUUAAAUUAGCUAUAAAAUUAAGACCAUUAUACAACUAAAAAGAAAGAAAAAUUGUUUGCUACUACAUAUCAAAACUAGUAAUAGCAAUGAAAGAUGGCAGACUUCUUACUUAAACAGAUGAGAGGCUACAAAUAAAAAAUUUGUGCAAAUAAAUAUAUGAUAAAGAGCAUAAUACUUUCUUGGGGGCUAAAAAUAAUAUACAACUUGUGAAAUAUAAAUUGAGCUACCGUUACCUUUUAGAUGUGGCAACUUUCGACUUUUGAGGCACUUUGGAAUAUGCAUUCAGAAUCCUGCAUUUGGAAGCCAAAUAAAUAAUGUUAAUAACAAUUUUACAAUAGAAAAAUUAAAAAUUGAUAAAUGGCAGUUGUAAUUUAUGUAUGUGUAAAGAUAGCAUCACAUCCAGGGUCCUCCCAUAAACAUGCUUGUAACAAGAAUUAGUUUGCCUCAACUGCUAGCAACUAUACAAUAGUAAAAAUCACUCUUAUGAACUCAACAAUACUAGGCACCAAUAAGAGUAUGAUACAGCCAUUCUAAAUGGAAGAGAAUACAACUGUUUUACAACUAUGUUGCAUCAGGAGAUAUGUUAGGAGUUUUAAUCCAGAUACCUUCCAACCCAAUUAGGAAAACUCGAGUCAGAAACCAGGAGCUGCAACCGAACCUUACAAUCUUGAAGGAAGAAGGAGACUUGGGGCAUUUUUCUAGAUAGGUGACUUACUAGAUCUACUGCCAAGAAAAUAUCUAUUGCUUUGAACCUCCAUUGAAAUUUCUUUUCCCUUUUUCUUAUUUUGACUUGGAACUUUCCAGCAUCAUCUAUUUGAUCUUUUUUAAAGCUAAAAUAGCAAUCUACGGGUUGUCAACAUCUUAUCCCCCCCCCCCCCCCCCGAGGGGCCCCCAAAAAAAAAAACAUCAAUGAGUUGUCAAUAAAUAGCGCCUACUCAACUUAUGUUCUCCAAUGGAUGACAAUGUGCAAAUCGACCUAGCAGCCACAUUUUUCCCCCCUUUCAACCACCAUUAGGCAACUUUUCUAACCUUUCUUCAUUGCCCACGUCUACAGAACUAUCAUAUAAAGACUACAAGAUAGACGCACGGUAUCUAAAUAAUUGUACCAACCCCCUCUCCUGAUUGUCAUAAAACGGCCAAUAUUUAACGCUCGACAACAAAAUUGCAAAUACUCUAGCCUCUAUAUUAUUGGCAUAUAAAUAUUUUCGGUUAGGUACAUUAUAUUCUUCGUUCUAAAACCUCAAUUAUUAGCUAGUACUGUGAUAAAAUGAUUCAUCACUGAAAUUAAAACUAGUUCACGUACAAAUAAUCAAAACUGAAAUAGAAGCAACGAUAAACCAACCUGUAUUACGUCGAUUCAUCACAACAAACUGAAAUCGAGGCUGUGUGUUCCUGAAAAUUGAAAAAAAUAAUAAUUUCACCAACUUCAUAUGUAAUACAAUCUCCAAAACACUGAAUAUCAAAUGAAAAAAUGGAAAGCAUAAGAUAGAAAAGAAUCUAAUUUUAUUGACCUUUUGACGACGACGAGAGAGCCUUCAACAUCCUUACGACUCCAUUGGCUGAGGUCGAUGUUGAACUCGUAGAAGGUGACAUGAGCGGCCGUGAUGAGGAUCUCCUCAAUGAAUGGAUCGAUUCGCUGAAGAACUGUCAGGUUCAGGAGUUUUGUGCUCUGCUGGUCCAGAUUAAGCAUCAAUUUUCCGUUAUGCGACAUUUUUCAUAGUCGUUUUGGGCUCUGCCCCGAGCACAAGCCCCAGGGUUUUUCUGUGAGCUCUCUCUUUUGUAAAUAAAGUGUUUGAUGAGAUAGCCGAGAGAGAGUGAAAGUGUUGAACAGCCAAACACGGUCUCGAGAUUGAUCUUCCUUUAACUUCUUUUAAACAUUUGGGAAAUAGCAUUUAUUUCUUUUAGUUUCUCUACUUUUUUUUUCCUUUAUGUCAUUUAGACCCCAAAAUUAGAUUUAUUAUAAUCCUAUUUUACCCAUACACUAUUAACCCCUUUUAUUUUUAAAAUUUGUCAAUAUUAAUGUGUUAGAAUAAUGUUAAAAAUCUCAAUUAUUAUCUCAAUGUUUCAAUCAUAACUAAUGUGAUGACUCAUUGGUAACUGCAACAUUAACUUAAUUAUUAAUGUAACACAAUAAAAGUUUGCCACUUCGGCAUUGGUCGGAGUGGUGGGAUGCUUGUGAGGGCAGCGGUUCAAGCCCCCACAAAAGCAUUUGUGGGGGCUAACGUUGUGGGGGCUAACGUGCUUAUUUGUUUAAUAUUUCAAAAAUUUCCUCUCCCUCGUGCAAUACGAGUGGAGUAUGGACAUCCCUCUUCUGUAAGGGAUUAUUUGUCUGGGCAUGUACUUCACAGAAUUCAAUGUAAUAAUAUAAGUCCCAAUCAUGUAUUUCUGAUUGUAAAUAUCAGUGUAAUAUAUCUGCUGUUGAUGCGAGAUUCUGGUUCUCCUCGUUCUACGACCAGGAUCUCUGCUCGAUCAACUUUACCACGACCAGGAGGUCUCCUAGUAAUGCUUCUUCUCCAGAUGUCCCUGCACACACAGACAAGUCAGAGUACGCCGGUUGUUCUCCCGGCGCAAACCCUCCGACGCUCAAGUCAGAUAUGAAGGUUCGGGGAACGCUUGCCACAGGUCUUAUGGCUUUUUCGUGGUUUUCUCUUUUAUCUUAAAAAUGCUAACCCUUUUACCUUCGUUGGCUACCUUUUUAUAGGCUUCUCCGAAUCCCCGUUUUCCGCUUUUUGCCAGACGGUAUGGGACUCUGACUGCUGCGUCAUGGGCGAAGGUGGGAUCUUGCGUGUUACGCCACGGUUCUGGGGAAAGCGUGGCUGUCGUGCCUAGAUUCUCGGGCUGGAGAGCAUGUCUUGCCAACUGCCGUCGACCGGGUCUCCUCGCUUCUCGACCUCUAGCCGGAAUGAUCUUAUGCCUCUUACAGGAAAUUGACCUCGCGGAUGACGUGCUCGUGGACGAGCAGGAUAUUUCUGCUCCUGUUCCCCCGCGCAUCAGGCUUUUACGGAACACACCGGCUCGAGGAACUCUGCCCCCAGAUAUCUGCUCACCAUGCCUGGUCUCGUCGACGUAUUUCUCCUAAACACCGGUCCCCCAGUUUCUGGUGUUGGGUAAUGUAGUGGACCAGCAGUAGAAACUCGAUAGUACUCGCUCACGUGGGACUGGAAAAGGCUGCCAAGAGUCGUGUCGCAUUUAAUUGCGGACGGGGUGACGUGGCGAAAAUCCCCCCCUCCAUUUGAAUUUCAAACCGACGGUUAUGAGGCCCUCGGGAUUCGGCGCUGUUAAAUGCUGGCAACCCAAGAGUCCGUCCCCAUUAGAAAAACCAAAUCCUCUCGAACGGCAUAUUCAUCAUCCACUACGUCUCCGUCUCUGUCUCUCCGGCAAAGAAGUUCCGGCAUAAAAGUCCUCCAUCUCUGAUUUUCACCGACUGAACCAUUACUUCAGGUAUUUCUUCUAUCUCCUUGGCCUCGGAUAGUUGUAGAUAAUUUCUCUUUUCUUCUGUUUGGGUAGUAGUUGGUGGUGUUGUGGUUAGAGCUUAGGGAAUGUCGAAAGGCAAAGAGAAGGUCAUUGAGGUUGACGACGACGAGUUGGACUUCCUGCCUAGUCUGCUCACCGACCCUGCUUUUGACCCCGGGAUUCCCUUAGAGCCCACUAGGUCUAGUGUCGGGACUAGUGCUAGGAGGAUGUCUCCCCAAACAACCUCUACGAGCGGAAGUAGUGGUGAGGAGAGAUCUUCUGACUCUGAGGAUACGUUGAGUGAGAAUGGCGAAGGUGAUUCUGGUGAGGUGUCUCCAUCUAGAACAUCACGACCAGGAGAACGGGGUACAGUAGGAGGCAGAGCCUUGUCGCGCGAUUAUGCCAUUGAUUACAUGACGUGCACGACCUCGUUUGACGAGCUCAAGGACCUCCGGCUUAGGUAUAGCAUUCCUGGUGAGAUACCUCUCAAGGUCCCAGGAAAGAAGGAUGCUCCCAGCCGGCCUCCUAGGGGAUACGUUACCCUGUUUUUAGAGAGCUUUAAGUACGGGCUGAGGUGUCCCUUGCAACCCUACUUUGCCCGGAUACUUAACGGGCUAAACCUAUCUCCUGGUCAGCUGAAUCCCAAUGGGUGGAGAGUGCUCUCUGGUCUGUUCAUAUUGUGGGACAGAUGUUGCCAGAGCGAGCCCACGGUUGAUGAGGUGAGACACCUGUACCAGCUAAAGAGCAGCCCCAAAGAUGCCGGCUGGUACUACUUCCAAUCUAGCACCAAGAGCAGGAAACCUAUAACCGACCUCCCCACUGGUGGUGGUGGGAAUUGGAAGAGAAAGUUCUUUUUUGCUGGGGGUCCUUGGGGUCAGGUUGCACAAAUGAACGGGAAGGAUUAUCGGGUCCCACCCCGUUUCACGGUCCCAGGUUGCCUGCUUGCUUUUAGAUGUCUUGUAUCCAUAAGUGUUCUUGCUUUAUUGGCUUGUCUCUAACCAAGUGUCUGUUUGUGUUGUAGUUUCUUGGGGUGUUCACUUCCCGCUCCCACCCGACCAGCUCAAACGGGUCGAGGAUGUGCUCGCCAAUUCCUGCUCGAGCCGGGAACUGUUAACUACGUACAACUUGCUCGAGUCUCGCUUGAUACUUCCUGGCCAUAGGAUGGAGGACGCUGUGAUUGGGGCUCUGACCCGAAAACGUUCUCGACCCCCAACCACGAAGAGGGACCAGAGUAAGGAUGCCCCUGUGGCAAAGCGGGCCAACAUCGUGCAGCAGGUCCCACCCUUGAAGAUUUUACCUCCUGCUCCCGUAAAAAUUGGGGAAGCUGGUGGAGCUGCCACAGAUCCUGCUUCCUCUCCUCCUCCUGUCGGGCCCCGAUCUCACUUACCUGACAGCCGAGCAGAACAUCUGGUCCUCUACUUCAAUGAGUUAACUAAACUCGUGAGCAGGAAGGAUCUGGAGGACUUUGACGGCCGCACCUUGGGUGAGUUGGUGGGGGCCAUGCAGCAUAGCGCUUUCCACCUCAGCUGCAUGACCACCUAUUACAAGGCUAAGGUUGGCCGCUAUGACCGGAAGAUGAAGGAGGAUAUUCAAUCGGCGACGACCAGAGCUGACGUUGCCGAGAAGAAAGCAGGGGAGCUGAAUCUCGAGAAUCUGAAGCUGAUGGAGCAAGAAUCACUUGCUCAAGCAAAAGCCAUCGCCCUCGAGGAGGAGCUUAUCAAGGUCAGGGAGGAUCUGCAAAGGCAGAAGACAAUGUAUGAGGCUCAGCUCGAAUCUCUUCGCGACUCCCACCGAGCUCAGGCCGAGAACUUGGAGAGGGAGGCCGACAACCAGUACGACCAGGGACUUCGGUAUUCCUAUCGUUGCAUCAUGGCCGUCCUCGGGAAGCAACACCCUGAUCUGAAGAUGGGUGACCUUGCGGCUGGUGUUGCUCAACAUAUGGACGAGGAGGCGGCCAAGGAGGAUGCCAAAGGGGUAGAGCCGAUCGUGAUAGAGGAGGAAAACUCUCCUCCUCAUGUAGUCCCUGCUGAUGUUGGCGAGGCGAGCACCCACCCCAAUGCCUCUAGUGAUACCCCUCCUGCACCUGAGGAGGUCCAGCCAACCGAUGCCGCUGGGCUCACUGAUCCACCAUCUUCUUGAUAUAUUUCUUGUAUUGUAAUGACAAUGUUUAUGAAGAUUAUUCCCUCUGUUAAUUAUUAACAAAUUAAUAAAAAUGUUUUUGAUCACCUUCUUGUGUCGUAAUUACGAAUUAAUUUUCGUUUGAGAAUCUGCUUGUCUUUGUCUAAACGAGCAGGUUCCGGCUUGGCUCAUGGUUUUGCCACAUGCCUUUGAAGAUUUUUCAAUGCUUGGGAUUCGGUUUGCCUUCGCGCAGUUGAGCAGAUCCUGGCACGCUUGGCUUCUGUCUCGCCAUAAGAUAGGCUUUGAGACUUGACGAGCCUUUGCAUGCCUUGGAUUCUUCAAAGCUCAGGAUUCUGCUGCCUUCUCGUGGCCGAGCAGAUCCUGGCAUGCUUGGCUUCUGUCUCGCCAUAAGACAGGCUUUGAGACUUGACGAGCCUUUGCAUGCCUUGGAUUCUUCAAGGGUUGGGAUUCUGCUGCCUUCUCGUGGCCGAGCAGAUCCUGGCAUGCUUGGCUUCGGUCUCGCCAUAAGACAGGCUUUGAGACUUGACGAGCCUUUGCAUGCCUUGGAUUCUUCAAGGGUUGGGAUUCUGCUGCCUUCUCGUGGCCGAGCAGAUCCUGGCACGCUUGGCUUCUGUCUCGCCAUAAGACAGGCUUUGAGACUUGAUGAGUCUUUGCAUGCCUUGGAUUCUUCAAGGGUUGGGAUUCUGCUGCCUUCUCGUGGCCGAGCAGAUCCUGGCAUGCUUGGCUUCUGUCUCGCCAUAAGACAUGCUUUGAGACUUGACGAGCCUUUGCAUGCCUUGGAUAAUUUCUUGGUUUCAAGCGUAAAAUUGCUUCAUUAAUGGCAGGAUUCGACUUACAUAAAAUUGUUUGGGACAUAAAGCGUAAAAGAUAAACGAUAAUGAGCAUGAGCAGAAAUAGCUCUCAAAUGUGAACAAAUCUUACUGGAAGUAUUUUCGGAGGUGUGCUGCGUUCCAUGGGCGUUUCACCUCGUGGCCGUCCGCGCGAACCAGCCUGUAAGCUCCGGGUCCCGCUAUCUGCUUGACUCUAUAUGGCCCUUCCCAAUUCGGUCCCAGCACUCCUUGAGUCGAAUCUUUGGUGCUCUGAUUCACUCUUCUCAGUACCCAGUCUCCGACCCUGAAUUGCCGUAUGUUCACCUUCUGGUUAUAAUACCGAGCAACCCUCUGUUGGUAAGUGACUGAUCGCUCGGCUGCUUGCUCCCUCCUUUCCGUCAGCAGAUCAAGAUUCAAACAUAUCUGCUCGUCGUUCUCCUGCUCAUUGAAAUGAUCUGUCCGGUGUGUGGUCGUUCCUAUCUCAGCCGGCACGACCGCUUCGUGUCCGAAAGCCAAAGCGAACGGUGUCUCCCCCGUUGCGGUUUUGUGGGUUGUUCUGUAUGCCCAUAGCACACCUGACAGCUCGUCAACCCACGCACCCUUUUUUGCACCAAGCCUGGUUUUCAAAAGCCUCUUGAUGGUCUUGUUGGCUGCUUCUACUUGUCCAUUCGAUUGAGGGUGAGCAGGCGAGCAAUACUUCAGCUCUAUCCCGAGGUUCUGGCAGAAAUCCCUGAAGCUGUGAUUAUCGAACUGCCUGCCAUUAUCCGUUACCAAGGCAUAAGGGAUCCCGUAUCGACAGACCAGGUUUCUCCACACGAAGUCUGUUGUUUUCUUCUCCGUGAUCCUGCUAAGGGCUUCCACCUCUAUCCACUUCGUGAAGUAAUCUAUAGCAACUAUUGCAUGUGUUGCUGCUCCUCGUCCUUUUGGCAAUGGGCCGAUCAGAUCAAUUCCCCAUUGAGCAAACGGCCAAGGGGAGGCCAUAGAGGUGAGCUUCUCUGGUGAUUGGUUGGAGAAAUUUACAAAACUCUGGCAGCUUGCACAACCCCUGGUCUUCUUUUGCGCAUCCUGGUGCAUUGUCGGCCAGAAAUAUCCCUGCCUUAGGACCUUGUGGGCCAGGGACCUCCCGCCAGAAUGAUUUCCGCAAAUUCCUUCAUGUACUUCUCUCAGCACGUAAUCCGCGUCGUCGUCAUCCAAACACCGAAGGAACGGUAAUGUGUAUCCUCGCCGAUACAGUACCCCAUCGAUCAUCGUGUAUCUCGAGGCCUGAGCUCUAAUCUUCCGAGCUCGCAGCUUAUCUGGUGGUAAUACCCCGUCUCUAAGGUAUGAAACUAUCGGGUCCCUCCACGAGCAUUUUUGUUCUAUCCGCAACACCCCCAAAUUCUGCUCGAUACUUGGGCUGGACUUCACUUCUAGAGGGACGGACUUUGGCAUUUUUGGGUCGGCUACUGCUGCCAUCCUAGCCAAAAUGUCUGCUCGACUAUUCUGCUCCCUGGGGAUUUGUAUCACCUCCACUGCUUCGAACUUCCCCAUCAUCUGCCUGACUAUCUUCAGGUACUGUUCCAUCUUCUCCUCUCUUGGUUGGAAUCUUUCACUGACAUGAUUCGCAACCAGCUGGGAAUCAGUUCUGAUCUUAACUCUGUCUGCUUUCACGGCCCUAGCCAAUUCCAGGCCUGCUAUCAAGGCUUCGUACUCUGCCUGGUUAUUUGUGACUGCAAAUUCCAACUUUACAGCAUAAGAGAUCUCCUCCCCCUCUGGGCCUUCCAGGACAAUCCCUGCUCCUGAACCCCGCUCCCCUGAUGACCCAUCUACAGACAUCUGCCAUACUUGAGUUUCGUCAUUGCCUAUAACUGCAUCUUGUUGACCUAAGCAUGUUUCGGGCUCUGUGAAUUCAGCUACGAAAUCGGCCAUUGCCUGGGCCUUUAUCGCUGCGCGGGGUUUAUAGUCUAUGUCGAACUCGCUCAGCUCUACAGCCCACUUGACGAGCCGCCCAGAGGCAUCUGGCUUGUGCAGAGUCUGACGCAAUGGCUGGUCUGUUAUUACCGAGAUCGGGAAGGCUUGAAAAUAUGGCCUCAACUUCCGAGCAGCAACCACAAGGGCAAGUGCCCAUUUCUCCAACGGUGGGUACCUGGUCUCAGCGUCGAGCAGGGCCUUGCUGGUGUAGUAUAUCGGAUACUGAACUCCUUCUUCCUCUCUCACCAGAACAGAACUGGCGGCCCGAUCCGAUACCGCCAAAUACAGAUACAACUUGUCCCCAUUCCUCGGUGUGGACAGCAGCGGAGCUUGCUGCAAGUAUUGCUUCAAGUUCCGGAAGGCUUCCUCGCAUUCUGGGGUCCAUUCUGUUUUCUUUCCCCUCCUUAUCACUUGAAAGAAUGGCUGACACUUAUCUGUAGCUUUGGAUAUGAAUCUGCUCAACGCCGCCAACCUCCCCGUGAGGCCCUGCGUCUCCUUCAGGUUACGAGGAGACGUCAUUUGCACAAUCGCCUGGAUUUUCUCGGGAUUUGCUUCAAUCCCCCUAUGGCUCACCAUGAAUCCCAGGAAUUUCCCUGACUCGACCCCAAAAGCACACUUCUCCGGAUUGAGCUUCAUCUUAUACUUCCUCAAAAGCUCGAAUGUCUCCUCGAGGUGUCUGACAUGUUCCUUCGGGAUCUUGGACUUGGUGAUCAUGUCAUCCACGUACACCUCCAUGGUUUUCCCGAUCAACGGCUUAAAGACUUUGUUCACCAGCCUUUGAUAGGUGGCCCCAGCAUUCUUGAGACCGAAUGGCAUCACCCUGUAACAGAACAAACCUUGGUUAGUGAUGAAAGCCGUGCUCUCCUCAUCCUGCUCGUACAUGGGGAUCUGGUUGUAUCCCGAGAAUGCGUCCAUGAAGCUAAGCAGACCAUGUCCAGCUGUUGAAUCUACUAGCUGAUCGAUCCUUGGUAAAGGGAAGCUGUCUUUUGGGCACGCCUUGUUGAGGUCUGUGAAAUCCACACACAUCCUCCACUUGCCGUUUGCCUUCUUUACCAACACCACAUUUGAUAUCCACUCUGGGUAACUGACUUCCCGAAUGAACCCUGCUCUCAGGAGCUUCUCCACCUCGUCAUUUACAGCCUCAUACCUCUCCUGGUUGAAGCACCUCCUCUUCUGCCUUACUGCCCGAGCACCUUUCUUUAUUGCCAGCUUAUGACACGCUACCUCAGGGUCAAUCCCUGGCAUGUCUUCAUGUGUCCAGGCAAACACAUCAGCAUGAGCCUGUAAGCAUUUCACCAACUCCUGCUUUUGCUCUCCCUUCAGUCUCGACCCGAUUCUGAUCGUCUUUCCCGGGUUCUCUGGUCCCAUGCUUACCGUUUCCAGAUCCUCUACAGGUUCUUGUCUGCCAGUCUUGUUUUCUACUCGGGUAUCGAAGGAUGUUAUCUGCAUUGCCUCCCUUGCUGCCGAGGAGUAGCAGCUUCUUGCGAUCCUCUGGUCUCCUCGUACCACUCCUACUACCCCAUUCACCCGGUACUUCAGAGCCAGAUAAUGGUUGGACAAUACCGCUUUGCUCAUCCUUAAAAACGGCCGACCUAGGAUCAUCUGGUAAGGACCUUCCUCAUCCACUACGACAAAGUCCAGUAUCAUUGUUCUUUCUGUUAGGGGGCUCCCAAUUGUGAUAGGUAGUUCGACCACGCCCAGGGGAACCAGCUUCCCUCCUCCGAACCCCUUCAAGGAGGUGUUGGUGUAUUCCAACUUCCGGUCGGCUAUUCCCAUCUCUUCCAGGGUUGACUUAAAUAACACAUCAACUGAGCUCCCUGUAUCAACCAGUAUCCGGUCAAACUUCUUGCUAGCGACCGUAGCCUUGAUGACUAAGGCAUCCUCGUGGGGGUAUAGGAUCCCUUCCUCAUCCUCAUCCGUCCACAUGAUUGGCACUUGCCUGACCCUUGCCCGUUUGGCUGCUGGGGUGUUGAGGAGUACCUCUUUACUGGUCAUGGCGUACCUAGCAUAAUUUUUUCUCGAUCUGUUUGAAUCUCCGGCCAACGUUGGGCCCCCCGCUAUCACCCUUACUGCGGGCUGCUCGUGCCUCAAGAUUCUAUCACUCUGCUCCCCUUCAUCUGUUGUGGCCACCAUCGGGAAAGUCCCAUCCAUAAACUCGUCCAGGUACCGAUUUCUCACCAAAUCUUCGACUUGGGUCUUGAGAUCUCUACACUCUGCUGUGGUAUGGCCAUGGGUGCCAUGGAACUUACAAUAACGUCCUCUAUCCCUCCUGUUGGGUAGCUUUGUUAUUGAUGUAGGGAGGUGCAGCAGCCCUCGAUCCUUUAUAGCCUCGUACACCUCAUCCAGGGACAUCUUCAAGGGAGUGUACCGCCCAUAGUCCUGGUGCUGGUCGAUCCGAUGUACUGCUCUUUCUCUGUUUGUCCCGCUCUGAGUUGGGGGCGGUAGAAGUACUUCUGGUCUGCUCGUCCUGCUACCGUGGGAAUGUUGAUGAAGACCACCAGAUGCCGGAUCAUUUCUUGUCCAAGGUUCCCUAGCUGGGGAACGAGGAGGUUGCGCCCUGCUGCGCUGAUACUGUGGUGGCCUCUGAUGAGGCUGGUAAGCAGUGACCCUGCCUCCUGCUCCACUACCGGAGGCCUGGUGGUCCCUCCUCCUGAUCGGCCCGUUCCCUGGUAAUGCUUUCAUCUCUCUCCUCCCCAACCCUUCUAUCUGGUCUGUCUUGAUCCGUGCAGCCUUCUCCUCUUCAAUCUCGAUGUCUCUUUUAGCCUGUUCGUAUGCGGCCGCAUACGUUUGAAUAGCUGGGCUUCUCAAAUUGUACCACAGCCUUCCUAUCUUCACCCCUUCUUUCAAUCCCCUUAACGCCUGAGGGUGGUUGAAGGCUCCCAAGUCGAGGACAGCCCGAUGAAACCUCUUGAUGAAUUCCGGAAGGGUUUCUUGCUCCCCCUGUUUCAUGCUUUUUAGCUCCAUCAUGUCAUCUUCCGGUGACAUUGCCCUACUGAACUGCUCCGCGAAUUCCUGGCACAUCUGCUCGAAGGUUUUAAUGCUGCCCCGAGGAAGUUUCAUGUACCAUUCUCGUGCACGUCCCUCAAGGGAUAGUGGGAACACCCUGCACCUUUGGGAUUGAGAUAAUCCUUGUACCCCAGUUAUGUCGUUGAAGCGCUCUAUGUGCAUCAGCGGGUCAGUUCUUCCCGUGUAUCUGAAGUCGGGGAGGCGGAAAUCUCUCGGAAUAACUGCCCUCAUGAUCUCUGCUGCGAGCGGUGAUUCUCCGUCCAGCAUUAUCCUCCAACCAGGGGCUCUGUUCCUCCCUUGCAUAUCGUCAAUUAUCUGCGCUAGUCUGCGCACUUCCUCCUCCAGCUGCCCUGCACGACCAGGGUCACGUGCUGCAACUUGAUCCCGCUCUUGCUCUACAUCUUGCAAGUGUUGCCUCAACUCGGUUUCCUCUGCAUUCACCACCCCGUCGUCCGCGUCACAAGUCUGUCUUGCCGGGGACCGCUCUCUUUCUCUAUGAAAUUCUCCCCGUAGAGGUGCGUUACCUCUCUCACCACCAAAUCUCCCUGUGGUUUGACUUCUCCCCGCACUAUCGGGACCUGGUGCCACUCCACCGCCUCUCACCCUUCCCUCUUGAGUUACCCUUCGCUCGCUCCGUAGCUCAUGCAGGAUGGUUGUCAAGGUCUCCAUCUGCUUUUCCAUCCGUUCCAUCCGGUCGAACAUGACUUUUCCCGUGCUUCACUGACUAUCUCCCUCAGCGUCACGAAAUCGUUAAGCCUCAUAUCACCCCCUUGUGCACUACUUCCUCCUGUCUCCAUUGCUUUUUGCUUACUCCACCCCUCUUCUUGCUAUCAACAGAAGCUUUUUGCUCUGGGUCCCCACAGACGGCGCCAAAAUGUUGAUGCGAGAUUCCGGUUCUCCUCGUUCUACGACCAGGAUCUCUGCUCGAUCAACUUUACCACGACCAGGAGGUCUCCUAGUAAUGCUUCUUCUCCAGAUGUCCCUGCACACACAGACAAGUCAGAGUACGCCGGUUGUUCUCCCGGCGUAAACCCUCCGACGCUCAAGUCAGAUAUGAAGGUUCGGGGAACGCUUGCCACAGGUCUUAUGGCUUUUUCGUGGUUUUCUCUUUUAUCUUAAAAAUGCUAACCCUUUUACCUUCGUUGGCUACCUUUUUAUAGGCUUCUCCGAAUCCCCGUUUUCCGCUUUUUGCCAGACGGUAUGGGACUCUGACUGCUGCGUCAUGGGCGAAGGUGGGAUCUUGCGUGUUACGCCACGGUUCUGGGGAAAGCGUGGCUGUCGUGCCUAGAUUCUCGGGCUGGAGAGCAUGUCUUGCCAACUGCCGUCGACCGGGUCUCCUCGCUUCUCGACCUCUAGCCGGAAUGAUCUUAUGCCUCUUACAGGAAAUUGACCUCGCGGAUGACGUGCUCGUGGACGAGCAUGAUAUUUCUGCUCCUGUUCCCCCGCGCAUCAGGCUUUUACGGAACACACCGGCUCGAGGAACUCUGCCCCCAGAUAUCUGCUCACCAUGCCUGGUCUCGUCGACGUAUUUCUCCUAAACAUCUGCUAUAAUAGCAGUUGUAAAUAUAUGUGUAAUGCAGUAAUAUGAUGAUUAAUCAGUAUUCAAAACACAAUAAAAGUUUCGUACAGAUUUUGAUAUUGAGAGUAACACAAUAAAAGUUUCAUACAGAUUUUGCAAACGAAAAGCACAUAAUACACUUAACUAGGAGGAAAAAUUAAGGUGUAUUUAUUACAAAUUGCUAACAAUAUACAAUUGUAAAAAUCACUCUUAUGAACUCACAAAUACUAGGCAGCAAUAAGAGUAUGAUACAACCAUUCUAAAUGAAAGAGAAUACAACUGUUUUACAACUAUGUCACAUCAAGAGAUAUGUUAGCAGGAUUAAUCCAGAUACCUUCGAACCCAAUUAACGAACUCGAGUCAGAAACCAGGGGCCCCUAACUAAACCUUACAAUCUUGAAGGAAGAAGGAGACUCGUGGUCCAGAUAGGUGACUUACUAGAUCUCCUGCAAAAGAGAAUAUCUAUUGCUUUGAACCUCCAUUGAAAUUUUUUUUUCCCUUUUUCUUGUUUUGACUUGGAACUUUCCAACAUCAUCUAUUUGAUCUUUUUUUAAGGUAAAAUAGCAAUCUAUAGGUUGCCAACAUGUUAUUCUGCCAAACCCCACCCCACCCCCCCGGGGGACAACAAAUCGACCUAGCACACACCUUUCUUCAUUGCCCACACCUACAGAACUAUAAUAAAAAGACUACGUUACUAUUGGGGUAGAGAAAAUAUACAGACUGUAUUAUUAUUACAUCGCAUUUUACUAAUUAACUAGUGCAAGACUUCUUUAGUGUCAAAUCAAGAACUAAUUAGAAAAGACAACUCAUGAUAAUACAGACCUUAAUAAGCAAUUGCUAACAACAUCCCAUAUACUCCUAUUUUAGCCUUCAUUAUCCUGGUAAAAACACAAAUAAGUCUUGCAAACGAACAUUUAUAAGUAAAUUCAACAUUAAUUAAGAUUAGGUAUCUACUGCACCUAAUAGCAUGGUCAACCAUCUAGUUCCUGUAGCCUUCCAUGUACCUAUGUUAGUUACAUUUUACAUAUUAAGCCACGAAAACGAAGAAUCACAGCCUGGUAAAGAAAGACAUUAAUUAAUAGUUUUUGUUUAAAAAGUUCUCCUUUAGAUCUUUCCUAUUCAAUGAAUCAAUGUAAUCUAAAGAGAACUCUUCCAUUUCAAACAGUGUUAGAAGGUAUUUGCAAAGCCUAAAGAUAAUAUACAAGGACCAAGAUAUACACAGAUGGUUUCUUUAUGGAAUUAAAGAGCUUUAUAGAUGUUAAAACUGUUUCAAACAAUUUUUCUUGUUUGGUUUAACUAAGGAAAAGCUUGUGGAAGAUUAAAAAUGAUGUUUCCUAUUCUCUGUAGGAAACUUUUAGGAGAUUUUUUGGGCUUUUUUGAAAGGUUGAAUUGUCAAAAAUACCUUGAUGUUAUUGUUUGCUAAAAGAUGUUACGGACAUCUAAACAACCAACAACAUUUUGUUAAAAGCUCUACUAGUGUAGGAUCUACUUAAAGAAGCUAUACCAAACAGACUCUUAGACUGAAUAACUCGAUCUUAAGUUUGUAAAAUUGGGCUCAGAAUCUCCACUAACAACCCCGCUUCGGUGAGAAAGCCCAAGCCUGUUACUUUGUAUAACCUUAUUCUGUAUGUUUGAUUGCAGGAACUGGCCGAUCAUACCGACGAGGUGAGUGUGCAACAUGAGGUGCUUGACGGGAUGUUUACUUUCUAUGAUUCAACUAAAGCUAGCCUCAACAUAUAUCAGGUGCCUGCUUGUUUUUACCUUCUAGAUACUAAUAUUGUUUAGACGUGUAAUCUCUCUCUCCAUUGAACGCUAGACGGCUCGUCUCAAGCCUUCUACGUACUUCAGAGUCCUUCACUAGCUUUUUAUGUAUAAAGUUUUGAUCUUUUUCCUUCAUUUGCUUGAAGCUCAUUACUGCAGAUUUUUUUUACAGGUUGGUAGUGUAACAUUCGACUUGCUGUUGCUUCUAGUCUUGGGAUCGUAUUUAAUUGUGCUUUUCAGCUUUCUUGUCAUAACAACUAGGGUAUCACUCUUUCUCCAUAUCAAGCUUGAAGUUCUAAAUUUCAGUUUUAUCUUGUAUUUGAUGUUUUAUAAUUUCAUUGCAAACAGAUUAGAAUAGAAACUUCAAAAGUUCCAACUGACUAGUCCCGUGUAACUUUUUCAGGGAAGAUUUUCUCUCAUAACAACUACGAACGUGUUAUGGUUUAGCCCAGUGACACAAAGGACAGUUUUCAACAAUUGAUCCUAGGAAGAUGCCCAUAGCUUGUUGUGCCAAAAAUAGAAAAUCUAAGAUGCGAAAAAAUUUUGUUGAGAUUCAUUUUUCAUCCUGAUGUUACCGCUGGCCUUUUUUUUUUUUUUUUUUGGCAGAGAAUAAUGCUUAUGUGAUUUCUGAACUUGGUGAUUGUUGAAAUGAGCUGAAAAUGAGCUGGAAAUGUGUUUGGUUAAUGAGAAAGAGAGCAAGAAAAUGAAAGAAAUCUAUUUCACUUUUUAUUUAUCAGCAUGAUUACAUUCACAAUGAAUCUAAGCUGCUAUUUAUACUUAAAUGACUACACACGAGAAUCUUCUUGCUAGAUACUUCUAGAAACUCUACACGCACACUCACACUGAGCUAGUGGUUACCAAAACCGUUACAACGAUAUUGCCAGCUCAGCAUAACCAACUUAUAACUAACACACUCAGCUGCAGGGGAAACCAUCAAGCUUACUGUGCGUCCUCUGUAAUCAAGCUUCUUUAAGCAUGCUCUGCAGAUCAUACGUCUGAAUUAUCGAAACAAGAUGAAUUAUUUUUUGUUUAUUGCAGCAGGCGAUCAAUGAGCGGAAUUUCUAGCUUGUAUUCAAUUCGCGAACACAGUUUGAGAAGAAUCAGACCAUUAAUUUUCUUUUGAGCCAAUCAACAGAAUGUACAUUUCUUCUAAGAACUUGUAACCGAAACCGCAGUUUUUCAGGUUUGCUCCUUCCUCAUAGCAGUUAAUCAAACGAUAAACAGAGAUAUCCCAUGUCAACAAGAAGGUAAUCAUAAAAGAACAACAGAAUUGUUGCAACAUAUUCAUAUGAAAUGUAAAACAAUUUUGAGAAAAAAUAUUGGGAAGAUAUUUUUUUUUCAUAGAAGUUGCAAUCUUUACGUUAUUUACUAGUUUGACUAGACUAUAUAAGGAAGCUAUAUGAAAUUAGAAAAAUAAGCUAUACUAGGAAAGAAUAAAUAUGUGUACAGAAAAUUAGGCUAUAAUUUUCAAAUUAGAUGCCAGUUAAUUUUAUCAUAAUUAGAUGGUAAGAUUGCAAAUUCUGCAGCCAAAGGUGGUACGGAACUGAAUGAAGGAAAUCAAAUAUGAACAUGUUUUCAAUCUUAAAAUAUUAAGAGUAGCAUAAGUAACUUGUGAAACAGUUAUAAGUUCAAGGGAAUUAGAUGAUGGCAUGGUUGAAUUUUAUAAAUAUUUGAUAUUUUGGACCGAACAGGGCAAACAGAUGGAUCCAGAUAAUCAAGAAAAACAUCAAUUCCAUGCAACCAAAUGAGUCUAGUCAAAGAAAUUAUUCAAAGAAAUCUCUAGGUCAGUAUCCAAAUAUAUGGCUCCGUCCGUUCCACCACCACAACCAAAAAAAUCAGAUCCCCCCAUUUGGAUUCGAUUGAUUAAUUUGAGCAUAUAAAAUCGGGUUUUAAACUUCCCUAAUCAAAAUUUAUAUUCCACAGAAUCAGUUCCUUUAACAUGAUGCAUUACAUAAUAUUUUGUUUGCAAAAUAAAGAAGAAAGAUGACAUAAUAGAAACACGCUAUUGCAUCUUUUGAAAAAGAAAAACGGAAUAGUUUUCCAAAAUUAAUUCCGAGAAGAAGAUUAACUAAUAAUGAUGUUAGAAAUUUUAAUAUUUGAGUCUUAAUAUUAUGUAUCACUCAUUUAUUAAAUAAUAGAUUUCAUAAUUUGUAAAAUUACUUAACCACUUGAUAAAUGUUAUAUUUGUUGGGACUAAAUUGGAACUUAAAUGUUGGAAUAUCUAGUAUUGCAUUAAAAAAUAAAUAAAAACUUAACAAUUUAUCUUCACUUGACUAAUUGUUUUUACAUCACAACUAACCUUAAUUAUUUUGAAAGUUACAGUAUUAUUAAAUUGUCCUAACUGGUUAUCCAAAGUUGAAGCAUGUUAAAAUAAAAAAAAUUACUAAGAAACAUGUGCUUAAACAGAGGUUAAAGCUAUGAACAAUUAAGAAGAAACUCUUAAUUUGGUCCCAGUUAGUAUAAUAAUCAUCUAUUGAGCGGUAAAAUAUUAAUUUUAAUAGUGAUGAAAUCCAAUAAAUAAUAGAUUACUAACACACAUAAAUUAAAACUUAACUGUCUGAAAUCAUAACAUUACUCUACUCUUCAGUGGAGUUCUCUUAAACAGAUUAUGUGAGAUUGCCUACAUUAAAAAUAUGUUAAGACUGCUUGUUGAAAGCAAUAUUCGCUUUUCCAUUAUAUCCAUAACUUUGAAUUGAUAAAGUUGUAUUCAGCAGCUCUUGAAAAGACUAAUUUAUUUUAACUAGUCAUAGAAAUAAGAGAGAAAAGGGGCUAUUUCUUGACUCAAAGUCAAUUAUAAUUAUCAAAACUUGAGGGGACAUCGCAUGCCUAAAUUCCACGCACCCUAAUACGGUUUGAUUUGCUUUCACGCGUUCAUGAAUUUCCAUGAAAGAGCCUGCCUUUCGUCUCUUUCGGGACAGUGACUACAAUAAUGGAAAAAAUUAUAAUUCUCGUUAGAUUGUAACCAAAUUAUUAUCCCUAAUUUUUUUAAGUUACAUAUAAUAAAAUUCAUGCUUAAGUAUUUAGUAAUUAGAGAGAGAUAGAGAGGAUUGAGGGCCAAUGUUUCGCGAUUUGGGGUCAAUUCAAAGUCAACUAACGUGUAAAACACGUGUAUGCAUAGAAAACGCUUAGAUUAUUUGUGUUCCAAGAAAGAAAGAAGACCCAUCACCUUCUUCGUGACAACAAAUGAAUGAAUGAUGUUGAUAUGACAAAUACAAGCGCUAUUACAGGGAACAGCAUAAGAUCGAGACUUGAUAAAGGGUUUGUUAAAUUACAUGUUAUUUUCUUUUGACUUGAAUGAUGUUGAAGAGAAAAAUCAAAUAACAUUGUAAUCAGGGUGAUGUGUGGAAUAUAGUGAAAUAAAUAAAUAGAGAAGAGAAAUUCGUUGAUCAAUAUUCAAGAACUCAUCCAAAGUGAUCGUCAAAGUCUAGAGGUUCGGUAUGAUUAGCAUUUAUUAUUAUUUUUUUUGGCUUAACAUCAUAUAUAGUCACCUGUCGUGUGAUCUAGAACAGGUUUAGAAAUCCUUUUAUUUUAACUUCCGUAUUCUUAUUAUUUAAUUAGUUAUAGGGUUCUUCAGUAUUUGAGUAUUGAUCACAUGUCUCCUAAUCUAAAAAUAUGUUUUUACGAGUACAAAUAACAAACUAGGAUUUUAACAGCCUUUUAUACUAAACCCUAAAAAUACAUGAAUUUAUCAAAAUAAGUAAAUUAAUUUAAAUUGGUAUGGCAUAAUAAAAGUUUUACCUGCCGAAACAAAUUAAAAAAAUAUUACACUUAAAUCAAAUAUUGACAAAAAUAGAUAACAAUCUAAUGAGAAUCUUAACUAGAUAUUUUUACUUCUAUCCAAUUUAACUGGAACGAGAAUUAAGUCCUUUCAAUAGUUAGGACUCAUAACUCAUACACGCUAGUUUGAGAGUGUGGGGUGUGACAAUGGGCCAAAAGACCAUUGACAAGUACAAAAGAGUGGUCGCAAUUAAUUCAAACCGCUACACACGCUAUUGCGUCUUUUAAAAAAAAAAUGGAAUAGUUUUCCAAAAUUAAUUCAGAGAAGAAGAUUUACUAAUAAUGAUGUUAGAAAUCUUAAUAUUUGAAUCUUAAUAUUAUGUAUCACUCAUUUAUUAAAUAAUAGAUUUCAUAGUUUGUAAAUUUACUUAACCACUUGAUAAGUGUUAUAUUUGUUGGGACUAAAUUGGGACUUAGAUGUUGGAAUAUCAAGUAUUGCAUAAAAAUAAAAAAUAAAAACUUAACAAUUUAUCUUCACAUGACUAAUUGUUUUUACAUCACAACUAACCUUAGUUAUUUUUUAAAGUUAUAGUAUUAUUAAAUUGCCCUAACUGGUUAUCAAAAGAUGAAAGCAUGUUAAAAUAAGAAAUUACUAAGAAACAUGUGCUUAAACAGAGGUUAAGGCUACGAACAAUUAAGAAGAAACAACUUACAAUCAAAGGUUAAGAUUAUGAACAAAUUAAGGAAGGUAUUGAGCAGAUAAAGGGACGAAAUCAUUGUCUGAAUUGCCGGUGACAAGAAUGCUUGUGUUGUGAAAAGAAACCUGAUGGUUUGUAAAUGGGUUGAAUUUUUUAUUCGGUCGCUCCAACUGACUUACUAAUGCCAAAUUUAUUACUUUGCACAGUAGUGUUUAGGAUCCUCAAGAUCAACUCUUAAUUUGGUCCCAAUUAGUGUAGAAAUCAUCUAUUGAGCAAUAGAAUAAGAAUUUUUCUAGUCAUGAAAUUCAAUAUAUAAUAUAUCCUUGACACACAUCGAUUAUAACUUAACUGUUAGAAUUCAUAACAUUACUCUACUCUCAAGGGGAGUUCUCUUAACAUAUUAUGUUAGGUUGCCUACAUUCAAAAUAUGUUAGGCUGCUCUUUGAAAACAAUAUUCCUUUUUCCGUAACUUUGAAUUGAUCCAAUAGCUCUUGAAAAGCACAUAAUAAUCAUUAUAAAUUUAAUCAAAGACUAAGCAGGUCUUCUUUCCAUUUGAUCACUCGCAUUUCAGUUAAGUUUGUCGUUUACUUAAAUUUUUCUUGCUUUCAAUUUCCACUGUUGUUUUUUUUUAUAUAAAAUAAUUUAUUUAAACUAGUCAUAGAAAUAAGAGAGAAAGGGCGCCAUUUCUUGACUCAAAGUGAAUUAUAAUUAUCAAAACUUGAGCGGACAUUGCAUGCCUAAAUUCCACGCACGCUAAAACGGUUUGAUUUGCUUUCACGCGUUCAUGAUUUUCCAUGAAAGAGAGUGCCUCUCGUCUCUUUCCGGACAGUGACUGCAAUUAUGUUAACGUGACGAAUACAAAACGUUAUUACAUACAAGAAUAAGUUUUUGGACCCGAGACUUGAGGGAGGUUCUAUCUAAUUCUAAAGAUUGUAACCAAAUCAUUAUCCCCAAAUUUUUUCAGUUAAAUAAAAUAAAAUUUAUGCUUAAGUAUAAAUAAUUUUUUAAAGUUAAAUAUAAAAUAAAAAAAUUCAUGAACUUCCUAGAAAGAAAGAAGACCCUUCACCUUCUUCGCGACAACAAAUGAUGUUGACAUGACAAAUACAAGCUCUAUUACAGGGAACAGCAUAAGACCGAGACUUGAUAAAUAUUAAAUAUAUAAAAUAAGUGGAGCAAACGAACAGAAUAAUAGAUAUUUUAUAAUAUUCUUCAUAAAAAUCCAUGUUUUGAGCCUGCCUAUAAGCUUAUCUAGUGAAGUCUGGGUAUCCGCGUUGCCCAAGGUUCCGUUUGAAUCCAGGCCGUGUAGAUGUUUAAGACAUCGCAUAUGGACGGAGUGGAAAUAUUUUCAGUUGACUGAAUUAAAUAAAAAUAUAUUACAAUCAUAUUAUAUAUUAGCAGCAAAAAUAAAAAGAAAUGAAGAAAAACGCAUGCAAGACUUAGACAAGUCAAUUAAAAGCUGGGAGUAUCAUCAGUUCAAUUGGUUAUAAAUAGCGUAGAGCCAUCCUCUCGUUGUUGCAGAACUGAAGCAAAGAGACUCAGAAAGAGUGUGUGUAGGUGAUUAUAAUUAAGAAGAUAUAAUGUGUGGUUCAAAAAGAGUGUGGGUGAGUGAGUUAAUUUUCAUAUUAUUAGUAGUAAAAGGGUGGUGGAGUGAGGGAUGUUUGGAGCAAGAGAGGUCUGCUCUCCUACAACUCAGACAUUUCUUCAAUGAUGAUCAACUUCUUCAAAACUGGGUAGACGAUGAGAAUUAUUCAGAUUGUUGUCAGUGGGAAGGGGUUGAGUGCAAUAACACCACUGGCAGAGUGAUUGAAUUAUAUCUAGGAUAUACUCGGAAAUGGGAAUCAGCAGAGUGGCAUAUGAAUGCUUCUCUGUUUACUCCCUUUCAACAAUUAGAGUCUCUUGAUUUAAGUUGGAACAAUAUAGCCGGUUGUGUUGAAAAUGAAGGUCCUUAAUUUACUUUAUUUUAAUUCUUCCUCCUCGUAAUUUCUUACAUCUAUCUGAUCCCUUUUGGCUUUUGUUUAAUUUGUACGUGAUACAAUAAAAUUACUUUUUAUUUUUUGUCAGGUCUAGAUAGGUUAUCAAGGUUGAAGUUUCUUUAUUUAGACUAUAACUGCUUCAACAACAGCAUCGUUUCAUCUCUAGGUGGUCUUUCAUCACUCAGAAACUUAUCAUUGGCUGGUAAUGAAUUGGAUGGAAGUAUUGAUAUUAAAAGUAAGUACGCUUCAACCCUUCUCCCCUGUCCCAUCUUUUGUAGAUCUUAUUUCACUGAGCAGCUGGAAGUAUUGAUACGAGAUCUAGCUAGACUCUUGUGAGUUUAGGCUUCAAGGCUUUGAAUAUUAUAAAAAUAAGUUAAAGAAAUUAUCGAUAUAUGCAAUUUUCAAUGCUUCUCAUAAUCAGACACAAUUCAAUCUAAUUAUUUCGUAUGUCCUGUCUUCAAAAGUAAAGAAUUGUACACUAAUUGGAAAUCGACAUCGUAGCUUUUUAUUUUCUAUAAUGCUCUUUUUUCGUUAACGAGUUUAUAUCCUAAGAGGGAUUGGAUUGAAAAAAAAAAAGUUUUGAUGUUCAAUGUAAGCCAUGAUAACCUGCAUCUUAUUUGUCUGCCGACAUCCAAAUUUGUGCACUGAAUUUAGUAUUUUGGUUAUUGUGAAGGGAUCAGAUAUUGGCUUCCAUAGACCAACUUGUAUUUACUUAAUUAAUUAAUUAACGACAUUUAGUAUUUAACAAAUUAAAAUUUCAUGUUUAAUCGAUUUUAAUUUUUUUAAGAAAAAAGAAAAAGAUAUAACAGCAUGUAAAGCUGAAAUAAAUUUUAAUUCCUUACAAAUUUAAAUUCAUGGUUGUCAGCUAAAUAUACCUGCUUAAAGCCACUCUUUUCGCUGAGAUUUAACCAAAAAAAAAAGGAGAAAAUAAUUUAUUUAAUUAACUCUGUUUUAAGUGUUGGAAUAAAUACAGGACUGGAAUCCUUGAGUAACUUGGAGAUGCUGGACAUGAGGGACAAUGCAAUCGACAAUCUAGUGGUUCCUAAAGGUAUACAAAAUGACACUAACCCAAAAUAAUUUAAUCCGAAAUUGUAUCCCAAAUAGAUUACAGAGGUUUGAGGAAGUUGGAUACCCUUUAUUUGGGGGGGAAGGGAAAUUGCAGUGAUAUAUGGAAGCAAGGUGUUGCAAUCAAUAAAGAAAUUCAUAGGGUCAAUAUUAAAGGACUCUCCUCCAACUCAAACAUUUCUCAAAUAGAUUAUUUAAUCUGAAAUAGUAUCUCAAAUAGAUUAUAGAGGUUUGAGGAAGUUGAAUACCUUUUAUUUGGGGGGGAAGGGAAAUUGCAGUGAUAUAUGGAAGCAAGGUGUUGCAAUCAAUAAAGAAAUUCGUUGGUCAAUAUUCAAGACUCAUCCAAAGUGAUCGUUAAAGUCUAGAGGUCUGCUCUCCUCCAACUCAAACAUUUCUUCAAUGAUGAGAAUUAUUCAGAUUAUGGUCAGUGGGAAGCGGUUGAGUGCAACAACACCACUGGCAGAGUGAUUAAAUUAGAUCUAGGAGCCACUAGGAAUCGGGAAUCAUCAGAGUGGCAUAUGAAUGCUUCUUUGUUUACUCCCUUUCAACAAUUAGAGUCUCUUCAUCUAAUUGGGAACAAUAUAGCCGAUUGUGUUAAAAAUGAAGGUCCUUAAUUUACUCUAUUUUAGUUCUUCCUCGUAAUUUCUUACAUUUAUCUGAUCCCUUUUGGCUUUUGUUUAAUUUGUACGUGAUACAAUAAAAUUAUUUUUUAUUUUUUGGCAGGUCUAGAGAGGCUAUCAAGGUUGACCAACUUGAAGUUUCUUCAUUUAGACUAUAACUGCUUCAACAACAGCAUCUUUUCAUCUCUGGUUGGUCUUUCAUCACUCAAACGCUUAUCAUUGGCUAGUAAUGAAUUGAAUGGAAGUAUUGAUAUUGAAGGUGAGUAAGCUUCAUCCCUUCUCCCGUGUCCCAUCUUUUGUGGAUCUUAUCUCAUUGACGGGUUGGAAGUAUUGAUACGAGAUCUAGCUAGACUCUUGCUAGUUUAGGCUUCAAGGCUUUGAAUAUUAUAAAAAUAGGAUUAAGAAAAUAUCAAUAAAUGCAAAUUUCAAUGCUUCUCGUAAUCAGACACAAUUAAAUCUAAUUAUUUUGUAUGUCCUGUCUUCAAAAGAAAAGAAUUGUACACUAAAUGGAAAUCGACAUUAUUGUUUGCUUUUGAUUAGUGGAUCAAAAAUCGACUAAUUUUGAUUUAACAUAAAAAUAAAAAAGAGAAAAUAAGUUAUUUAAUUAACCCUGUUUUAAGUGUUGGCAUAAAUGCAGGACUGAAUUCCUUGAGUAACUUGGAGGAGCUGGACAUGAGCGACAAUGCAAUCGACAAUCUUGUGGUUCCUAAAGGUAUACAAAAUGUUCAAAUAUUAAUAAUUUGGAGGACAGUUUAAUUGAUUUGAUUAGGGAAUGCCCAAUGACACUUACCCAAAAUAAUUUAAUCUGUAAUUGUAUCCAAAACAGAUUUCAGAGGUUUGAGGAAGUUGAAUACCCUUCGUAUAGGGGGAAGCAGAAUUCGAAUGAUAGAUGGAAGCAAGGUGUUGCAAUCAAUAGGAUCACUACCGUCCCUCAAAACACUUGACCUUUGGUAUACUAAUUUUACGGGAACAGUAGUUAAUCAAGGUAAGUAAAUCUUUUAUGUCGAAAAUAAUUGAAUUAAUAUAUAUAGCUAAAAUUUAUUGUUUCUACUUCUUUCUAAAUAGAGUUGCACAAUUUCACCAACUUGGAAGAAUUGAUAUUGCUCGGGUCUCAUCUCCACGUAAGCCAGCUUCUGCAAAGCAUCGCAUCAUUCACUUCGUUAAAGAAUUUGUCAAUGCCAGUUUGUACCCUUACAGGUGCCGUACAUGGUCAAGGUAAAUUACGGGUAUCUGAAGCUUUUAUGAUAUUAAUUCGAUAAUAAUUCUUUCUUUUCAAGUUAAUUUUCUCCCGUAAAAUAAUAUUUUUUUCUUUUAAAUUUUAUAUAUUUUCACCGUCCAAUAGAAGAGUAAAGAAAAAUAAGUAAAUUAACCCAAAAAAAAGAAAAGAACAAGACCGGAUUAUCCUUAUUCCCUUGCAUUAUGCGAUCAAUAUCAAAAUUAUAACCAUUUCUUGUUUAUUGCUUGUAGAUUUUCGUAAAUUCAAGAAUUUGGAACAUCUGGACAUGGGUGGGGUGCAAGUUGAUGUCAACACCAGUUUUCUUCAAAUUGUCGGCGAAUCAAUGCCUUCUCUUAAGUUUUUAUCACUGGCAGAUUCAAGUCUUAAUAAAAACACCAUUCUUGAUCAAGGUUAAUUAAUGAUUCUCAUUCUCCCUCUCUCGCAUCAUAACUAAAUUUAAUGGAGAAUAUCUAUAAUGCGAGCUAUUUAUAAACUUAAUGAAAGAUGAUAAGGAGCCAUAAUAAUGACAAAAAUAAUUGUAAAAUAGUGCACUGUUGUAGUGUUGAUUGAAAAAUAAUGCUAAUGUUUUACCUAACAACACUAUAACGUCGGAUAAUUUUUAAUAUGUACUUUAAACUAUCAGUACUCAAACUAUCAGUACUCAAACUUAAUUUUUAAUAUGUACUUUAAAGAUUUUAUGCAAUUAUUUAAGUUUUAUGCAAUUAUAUUUUUCAGGACUUUGUCGGUUAGUGCAUCUGCAAGAGUUAUACAUCAGCAGUAAUGAUUUGAGAGGUAGCUUGCCAUGGUGCUUGGCAAAUUUGACUUCCCUUCGAGUAUUAGAUGUCUCUUACAAUCAACUAACUGAAAACAUCUCCUCAUCUCCCCUCAUGCAUCUAACAUCUAUCGAAGAGCUCAUACUUUCAAAUAAUCACUUCUUCCAAAUCCCUAUUUCACUUGAACCACUUUUCAAUCUCUCAAAACUCAAGACUUUCGAUGGUGAAAUAUGCGCAGAAACUGAGUCACAUUAUAAUUCUUUGACCCCAAAAUUCCAACUGACUUCUAUCUCACUGUCUGGUUACAUAGAUGGUGGCACAUUUCCCAAAUUCUUGUACCAUCAGCAUGACUUGAAGAAUGCUGAUCUCUCACACCUUAACUUGAGUGGAGAAUUUCCAAAUUGGUUGCUAGAAAACAAUACAAACUUAGAGACGCUUCUUCUUGCCAACAACUCUCUUUUUGGAUCAUUUCGGAUGCCAAUUCAUUCCCACCAGAAUUUAGCAACAUUGGAUGUCUCUAAAAAUUUCUUUCAAGGCCAUAUUUCGGUGGAAAUCGGAACAUAUCUGCCAGGUUUAAUGGAUUUAAACUUAUCUAGAAAUGCUUUCAACGGUAGCAUUCCCUCUUCAUUUGCUGAUAUGAAAAUGUUGGAAAGGUUGGACAUAUCCUACAAUCAGUUGACUGGUGAAAUCCCAGAGCGCAUGGCCACAGGUUGCUUCUCAUUAGAAAUUCUUGCAUUGUCAAACAACAGUUUGCAAGGUCAUAUAUUCUCUAAAAAAUUUAGCUUGACAAAUUUGACGACGUUGCAGUUGGAUGGUAAUAAAUUCGCUGGAGAGAUCCCAGAAAGCUUAUCUAAGUGCUAUUUGUUAGAAGGAUUAUAUCUGAGUGAUAAUCAUCUCACUGGUGAGAUUCCAAGAUGGUUGGGUAAUUUGUCAGCUUUGGAAGAUAUUAUAAUGCCCAAUAACAAUCUUGGAGGGCCAAUUCCAAUCGAGUUUUGUCAGCUUGAUUCUCUGAAGAUUUUAGACCUUUCAAACAAUAGUAUUUUCGGAACCUUACCAUCUUGCCUUAGUCCAGGAUCUAUUGAACAACUUCAUUUGUCAAAAAACAAGAUAGAAGGACGAUUGGAAAGUAUAAUCCAUGACAGCCCUUAUUUGGUGACAUUAGAUCUUAGUUAUAACAGCUUACACGGAAGUAUUCCAAAUCGGAUUGACAGACUACCUAAGUUAAACUACCUUCUUUUGGCUAAUAAUUAUAUUGAAGGCGAAAUACCAGUUCAAUUAUGCCAUUUGAAGGAAGUGCGGUUGAUUGAUCUUUCUCAUAAUAAUCUAUCUGGUCAUAUUCCUCCUUGCUUGGUUAACACUUCACUCAGUGAAGGUCAUCAUGAGGCAGUAGCUCCAACUCCAAGUGGAUCUUCGAUGGGAAAGGAAGAAACUGUACAGUUCACAACAAAGAAUAUGUCCUACUAUUAUCAAGGAAGAAUUUUGACGAGUAUGUCUGGGAUUGAUCUUUCUUGUAACAAACUGACAGGUGAGAUUCCUACUCAAAUUGGAUAUCUUACUAGGAUUCAUGCACUAAAUCUAUCUCAUAACAAUUUGACGGGCACAAUCCCGACAACAUUUUCAAACCUGAAGCAAAUCGAAAGCUUGGACCUCUCCUACAACCUACUGCAUGGGAAAAUCCCUUCUCAGCUCACCGUGCUAACUACAUUGGCGGUCUUCACAGUAGCAUACAAUAACUUAUCAGGCAAAAUCCCAGAUAGAGUCGCACAAUUUUCAACUUUUGAGGAAGAUAGCUAUGAGGGGAAUCCUUUUCUUUGUGGAUGGCCACUGUCUAAAAGUUGCAAUGAUAGUGGAUUAUCAGCAGUGACACCAGAAGCUUACACUGAUAAUGAAGAAGGUGAUAGUUUAAUUGACAUGGACAGUUUCCUGAUCACUUUUACAGUAUCUUAUGGAAUUGUGAUAUUAGGAAUUAUUGGAGUUUUGUACGUAAACCCCUAUUGGCGGCGAAGAUGGUUUUACCUUGUUGAAGUGUGUAUGACCUCUUGCUACUAUUUUGUGGCAGACAAUCUUGUUCCUAGAAGAUUCUAUGGUGGAUGGAUGUAAUUUCAUUUACUUUACAACUUAUAUGUUAUUUUUAAAGAAUUUUCUUUUGCAUGCAUGGAAUAGCAACUCAAUAAAAGUAUUUGAUGCAAAUUGUCCAAGAACAACUUAGUAAUUUCAUUGCUACUAUUCGGUUGUAUAUAUACAGUUAAUGAAAUUUUUAAUCAUUCGCAGUAGGAAUUUCUUUAAAUGGCGGCCAAAACCAACAGAUUUGGGGCUCUACCUCUACACAUCAUAACAGGCAAAAGGUCUCUCUUUUACACUAUCUGAAUGAAGAUUAGCUUACGCCCCUGGAGUUCUCUAUUAAACUUGACGGUUGAGAUUUCAGGUCCAGAUGAAAGUUAAAUGCAGGCGACGAGACUACACUUUAAGUAAACUGGGACAAACUUAAAAUAAAUAAAAAUUAUAGUCCAGGGUAAGAGUAAUGGGUAGCUCAACUUAUGGAGUAUAACUAGGACUUGGAAUAACUAUCAGAUUUGCAACUCUUGUUAUAUGCUUGGGAGUUACAGUAAUCGAUUCAUUUCCUCCAUUUCUGAUGGUAACCCAGCUCUAUACAAGAACAAUCAGAGAAGGUUCAUUUAAGAAAUUUCACAACCCACGCUUUUUUUUCCUUUUUGCCCUCUUCCUCACAAUAAAAACACCUAACACACCAAGCCGUGCACAAAAUAGUCCUAUUUUAUUCAUGUCAUGAAUCCAAAAACUAUCCCAGCUCACUUUGUUUAACCAGCAUAACUAAAUUGUGGGUAUAAAUGAACACACUUUCGAAGCCUGUAACUUAUAAUAAGCUCAAACCCAAAAAUGACAUUUAAAUCCUGCAAGUGUUUUUCAUCAUCCCUAACAAAAAGAAACAAGAAUAAUUAUAUACCAAUAAUUUUUCCAUAAAAAAUACUGAUACCAAUAAUUUUUCCAUAAAAAAUACUGAUUUGAGUUGAAACACUAUACAAACUGGGUUUUAUACACUUGCAGAAAGCUACACGAUAGACAAAAUCUAGCAGCUACAUAAUGGUAUCACUUUCAGCUGGUCAUGAAUGGUGUGCAUUCAGCAGUGCUCGAUAGACCAUGUCUAUGAAUUGAUUGUCCUAUUACAUAUAAAAGCUGGUCAGCUAUACAAGGAAAAAAAUAAUAAUUGAAAAUGCAUCACAAAAAAUAAGUGUCUCGCAUUAGUGUUUGCACUCUAAGCAUGGCAAAGUGGUGCGGGUUCAUGAUUUUGAAGACUGGGAUAAGUGAAAAAUAGUUCAAUCCACUGAUGAACAUAAAUUUAUUUACAUGUCAAUUUAGAUAUCAUAAAAAAGUAAACAGUAAUUCACAGUCACUUAAAAGAGUUGAUAAAAUGCGUGCCGUGAAUGCAUUUUUGUACAUAAGAAAUCCAAAGAGUAUUUCUGACAAUACAAAUAUGCUAGCUUUAAAUCUGCUGUCAAUAUGCAAUUAAGAAGAUUAUACCAGCUGCAUGAUAAAGUUCCCCUAAUCUUAAUAACAGUAAACAUGAACAUGUCAGAUGCAAUUAUAGCUUCGAGCAUUUGCAUAACCAGAAAUCCUAACCUGAACAAGCACCAGAAGUGUCUCUCGGACUUUCUCCUUGUUGAUAAAUGGUCCGCUGUUUGAAGUAAGAGCAGGAGUAAGAGAUGGUGGAGGGGUUGGUAGUGGAAAAGGUUGAAGCAUUGGGGCACCAUAUGGGCGUUGCAGACUCAGGGGAGGAUUAAGUGGCGGAGCUGUUGGUGUAGAUGAAGAGACAAGCUGCAUCAUCUGUGCAUAGGAGGAUGGAGGAGGAACAAAGAAUAAGGAAGGCUUUACAAGAUUAGGGGUAGGUGCUGACAGAGGUGGAGAUGGUAUUUGCAAGGUUGGCACGAUAGGAGAAGCAACACUGGCGGGAUGAGAAGGUAAAGAAAUAGUUGUAUUGGACUGGUAAGGUUGUGCAGAGAUUGCUGCAUUAGAAGUAUUCCCCACAGUCAAAGCUGUCUGCAAUGAUAAGGACAGAUGUCAUAUACAAGGACAAGUGAUAACAUAUGAAAAUAGUAUGACUUGCUGCAGUUUUGUGGUAAUGUUGCAUACUUAUGCAGAAACAUAUUAUUUCAAAGAAAACAUACACUGAAGUAGUUCACAAAAGCAGGAUCUUCAGGAACAUCAGCAGCAUUUGAGGGAGUUGACUCUAGAGGACCAUCCAUAACUGCCAUAGUUGGAACAGCUUCCAGUUCCUCAAACUCACUGCAGUUUAACAUAAAAGGAACUUGAUGACCAAUUUAAGUAAUAAUUAGAUGAUAUAAGAGGUUAGGGAAAAUGAUGAGUGGACCCUUAUGGAAGGUGAUUUCACCUUAGCUAAACACGAAAAUAAAAAGAAAUCAAAGCUGAAUCCUCGAGUGCAAUGCAAAGAAUUUUUUCUCGCUCUUCUCUAACUCCUCUUAUUCGAAAUUGCUCAUCAUUGUGCUGUUCUUCGAGUUUUCGCUAGAGUAGAGAAAGCUAUUCUCUCGUUAAGUGCAGAGGAAAGAGAAGGGCAAGGGCCUGGUAUGAUGCUAUUCUAUAGGAAGUGAGAAGGUGAAGGGUUAAAAUAUUUUGUAAUUUGGAGGUGGUGUUUGUUAGUGUGUGUGUACUUCUGAAUUUAUUACCUCUUUAGGAUCCAUAGAAAUUGCCUCUUGUUCAGCAUGCACUGUGCCUACGAGUAAGACGAGCUUGCAUGGUAUCUAUUGUCUAUUUACUUGGAUAUUCAAACAUGACUACCAGCCACCAAACACAAAUCCCCAAACAAAACACUCUUUCAAGUGCAAGGAAAGAGUAACUUGGGCAUAUUUAUAGUUCAAGCACUACAAUAACUAAGAAUGUGAUGACUGUCCACAAACACUAUAUCAGUGCCUUUUGAACUACAUUACAUGCUCGAAGACUUUUUUUUUAGUCAUACAUAAAUUAGCUAUAAAAUUAAGACCGUUAUACAACUAAAAAGAAAGAAAAAUUGUUUGCUACUACAUAUCAAAACUGGUAAUAGCAAUGUAAGAUGGCAGACUUCUUACUUAAACAGAUGAGAGGCUACAAAUAAAAAAUUUGUGCAAAUAAAAUAUAUGAUAGAGAGCAUAAUACUUUCUUGGGGGCUAAAAAUAAUAUACAACUUGUGAAAUAUAAAUUGAGCUACCAUUACCUUUUAGAUGUGGCAACUUUCGACUUUUGAGGCACCUUGGAAUAUGCAUUCAGAAUCCUGCAUUUGGAAGCCAAAUAAAUAAUGUUAAUAACAAUUUUACAAUAGAAAAAUUAAAAAUUGAUAAAUGGCAGUUGUAAUUUAUGUAUGCGUAAAGAUAGCUUCACAUCCAGGGUCCUCCCAUAAACAUGCUUGUAACAAGAAUUAGUUUGUCCAACUGUUAGCAACUGCUAACAAUAUACAAUAGUAAAAAUCACUCUCAUGAACUCAACAAUACUAGGCACCAAUAAGAGUAUGAUACAGCCAUUCUAAAAUGGAAGAGAAUACAACUGUUUUACAACUAUGUUGCAUCAGGAGAUAUGUUAGGAGGAUUAAUCCAGAUACCUUCCAACCCAAUUAGGAAAACUCGAGUCAGAAACCAGGAGCCGCAACCGAACCUUACAAUCUUGAAGGAAGAAGGAGACUUGGGGCAUUUUUCCAGAUAGGUGACUUACUAGAUCUCCUGCCAAGAGAAUAUCUAUUGCUUUGAACCUCCAUUGAAAUUUCUUUUCCCUUUUUCUUGUUUUGGCUUGGAACUUUCCAGCAUCAUCUAUUUGAUCUUUUUUAAAGCUAAAAAAGCAAUCUAUGGGUUGUGAACAUCUUAUCACCACCCCCCCCCCCCCCCCGGGCCCCCAAAAAAAAAUCAAUGAGUUGUCAAUAAAUAGCGCCUACUCAAAUGUUUUCCAAUGGAUGACAAUGUGCAAAUCGACCUAGCAGCCACAUUUUUCCCCCCUUUCAACCACCAUUAGGCAACUUUUCUAACCUUUCUUCAUUGCCCACGUGUACAGAACUAUCAUAUAAAGACUACAUUAUUAUUGGGAUGGAGAAAAAUAUACAGACUAUAUUAUUAUAUCUCAUUUUAUUAAUUAACUAGUGCAAGACUUAUUUAGUGUCAAAUCAAGAACUAAUUGGAAAAGACAACUCAUGAUAAUACAGACCUUAAAAAGCAAUAGCUAGCAACACCUCAUAUACUCCUAUUUUAGCCUUUAAUAUCCUGGUAAAAACACAAUUAAGUCUUGCAAAAGAACAUUCACAAGUAAAUUCAACAUUAAUUAAGAUUAAGUAUCUACUGCACCUUCAAUCAAUGACUGGGUGAAUAGCAUGGUCAACCAUCUAGUUCCUGUAGCCCUCCUUGUACCUAUGUUGGUUACAUUUUACAUAUUCAGCCACGAAAAUGAAGGAUCACAGCCUGGUAAAGAAAGCCAUUAAUUAAUAGUGUUUGUUUAAAAAGUUCUCGUUUAGAUCUUUCCUAUUCAAUGAAUCAAUGUAAUCCAUGGAGAACUCUUCCAUUUCAAGCAGUGUUAGAAGAUAAUUGGAAAGCCUAAAGAUAGUAUACAAGGACCAAGAUAUCGAUUAGGUCAAAUAGUGAAUGUCAAAUAUAAAAAAUAAAUAAAAGAAGUUGUACAUGAUCAUUUACUAUCAAGUUCUGUAAAAUUGAAAAUACCAUUAUCACUGUAGAGAUUCUCAAACAACUCUUUAGCAAAUUAUAAAAUAGUUAAAAAAAGAACAAAAGUUUUUUUUUAAAAAAAGAAGAACAUCCAUAUCAGGAGAUGUUUUUCUUCUCAAUCUCAAUAUUUUCUAGCCGUGAAGCAAUUGAAAAGCUUAACACUAAGUGAAUUAUUAAGAAUUCAUCAUUUAAAUUCCCAAAUCGCAAAAUGUUGGUGCAACUAGGAAAGUGCAAAUGCAAUCACUUAACUAACACAAGAAACACCAAUAGUGAGAGCCCACUUUGUAUCAAAUUUGAAACAGAUAGAGGUCAAAAAAAUUAUACACUCAAUUAAAAGCCUUUCAAACAGCUUUUGCAUGGAACAAGAACAAAUCAAAGGCAAUGUGAAUGUAUUCAAAGACUAAUUUACAAUGAUCUACAGGACAUAAAUAUCUUGGAUACCUACUCUCUAUACCUUACUGUCCCACUAGAAAUCAUCAAAUCCCUCCAAACAAAAAUGACAAAAUGGAUAAGAAUUGUGUCGUUAAACUUCAAUAACUUAGCAGCCACAGCAAAAACUUAUGUAGGCACGCAAGCCACUCAAAAUAGUCAUAUUUUUUGCUUUCCAAACAAAAGCCACUUUGUAAUGAAUAUUCAUAAAUUGCUACUAUCAUGUUUGUUAAAACACGUGAAAACCACCAUAACUAACUAAAUGUAACUGAUGAUCAUCAUCAAGUUCAUGGAAUCACAUAUCUGACAGUAUUAAUUAGUGCAAAUGGCAUGCUUCUUAAAACUCCGUAUUUAUCACAUGGGCGCCAUUCCAAUCAACCAAUGAUUCUGAUCUAGUCGGCAUAUUCAACCCACGAGCGAGUAAUACCUCCUAUUGCUUCUUUACAUUUCUCAACGAAAUUCCACAUUCUAACCAUACUUCUGAACAUGUUGCUCCCAUAGACUAAUACAAUAUAAAGAUUUCUUCCCACACCACCUCAGCCCACACUCCUGAAAAACCAAUUUAAAUUCUCAUUGGCUGUACAACCUAUAGUCCAUACCAAAUUGAAAAAUUUACAAAUAUAGAACCUCAAAGAAUCUUCUUGUGUUCCAUUUUUUACGGCAAGAAAUUUGACUUUUACCACAUGCAAGUCAACAAAUAAAAAAAUCAUGUCUUUGUGAGAUGCACAUUUUCAGAUGAAUCUAAAGAGCAAUGAAACCGUAAAAACCGAAUAUCAGAACACCGAGGACUCCAGAUAUCACCUAUAGAAUCUUUGGUCCACACUUGCACGAUGAAAAUGAUGAAAAACAAUUGAAGGCUUCAUCACCAGCUCCCCAGGUUGUUUUGUUCUCCUAUCUCCUAAAUAUAAAGGAAACGCAACCCGUUCUUUUUUCCAAUCUUAAGGGGCACAAAACGACUCUGGUAUAAAAUAGUCAGUUUCUAUACAAAAAUAACUCCUUUGCACUUGGCAUUGCACAUCUCGAAAUAAAAAGCAUGCUAGAAAGAGAAUAUAAUAGCAUUAAACAAGUUUUAUUAACCAAACUUCAUGCCACACAAGGCAAAAAAGGAAUCUGUACAUGCCAGAUUCCAAGAAUAAUAAUUCCAAUAUACAAUUCAGGAAAACAAUAACUAAAACUAGGUUCACGAGGCCUCGGCAGAAGCAACAUGUAAUAACCAUACUCUAUUAUUUGAAACACAUUUCUAAGUUUGGUUAAGAUUCUAAACUAUUCUCUGUGUCAAUUAUUAACAUGUAAAACAUAAUAAUAUACACUUAAACUACUACACAAACUACUACAGUAGUAAAACCAGUAAAACAACAAUACCUGUUGAAAAGAUUUGCUACCUCUUCACAUUCACGAGCAUUGUAGAACCAAAUCCCAUUUACUUCUUGGGAUGCAUUUCGAUAUAACAAAUACAGAACCUGAACUUCAAACUCAAAAUCUCCCAAAAGAUUUUCCACUAAAUUAUCUGCACAUAUACAAGAUAUUGAAGCUUAUCAGUGCAAAAACAUAUACAAAAAGACAUGAAGGUUAGAAGACAUAACUAAAACUUAGCAACAACUGAUAAGCACAACAAGACAUGAAAUAUAACACUAGUUGUAAACAAGAUAGACACAUGGUAUCUAAAAAAUUGUACCAACCCCCUCUCCUGAUUGUCAUAAAACGGCCAAUAUUUAACCCUAGACAACAAAAUUGCAAAUACUCUAGCCUCUAUAUUAUUGGCAUAUAAAUAUUUUAGGUUAGGUACGUUAUAUUCUUCGUUCUAAAACCUCAAUUAUUAGCUAGUACUGUGAUAAAAUGAUUCAUCACUGAAAUUAAAACUAGUUCACGUACAAAUAAUCAAAACUGAAAUAGAAACAACGACAAACCAACCUGUAUUACGUCGAUUCAUUACAACAAACUGAAAUCGAGGCUGUGUGUUCCUGAAAAUUGAAAAAAUAAUAAUUUCACCAACUUCAUAUGUAAUACAAUCUCCAAAACACCGAAUAUCAAAUGAAAAAAUGGAAAGCAUAAGAGAGAAAAGAAUCUAAUUUUAUUGACCUUUUGACGACGAAGAGAGAGCCUUCAACAUCCUUACGACACCAUUGGCUGAGGUCGAUGUUGAACUCGUAGAAGGUGACAUGAGCGGCCGUGAUGAGGAUCUCCUCAAUGAAUGGAUCGAUUCGCUGAAGAACUGUCAGGUUUAGGAGUUUUGUGCUCUGCUGGUCCAGAUUAGGCAUCAAUUUUCCGUUCUGCGACAUUUUUCAUAGCCGUUUUGGGCUCUGCCCUGAGCACAAGCCCCAUGGUUUUUCUGUGAGCUCUUUCUCUUUUGUAAAUAAAGUGUUUGAUGAGAUAGCCCAGAGAGAGUGAGAGUUGAACAGCCAAACAAGAUGAGGUGAACAGUUUCGGAUUGAGACUCGAGAUUGGUCAAGCUUUAACUUCUUUCAAACAUUUGGGAAAUAGCAUUUAUUUCUUUCAAUUUCUC
rnacentral:lncRNA from 1 species